UGCUAUAUAUUUUUGUUUUGAGUGUCCAUUUUUUAUCCUUCAUAAGAAAUGUCUUGAUGAGUUACCUACUAAAAUUAAUCACACUUCCUAUCACAUACACCCUAUUUUUCUUAACCGUAGUGGCAGUGAUUGUUUGUGCAACCUAUGCCAAAAGCAACAUUCUGGACCUUUUUAUGGUUGUUCUCUUUGCCAUUUUAACAUCAAUAUUGGUUGUACUCUUCCAAUGUCCAUUGUUGAAGGUAAAAGCCGCCAUCAACACCCAUUCACAUUAUUUCGAAGACGAGGUUCAUUCAUUUGUGAUGCAUGUGGCAUCGAGGGAAAUUCUAUUUCUUAUAUAUGUUUGAAAUGUUACAUCGAAGUCCACAAGAAAUGCACUUCACUCCCACGUAUUAUCAAAUUUUCUCGACAUGAUCACUGUAUUUUUCACAAAUAUUUUCUUGAAGAUCUUACAAGGCAAGAUUGCAAGAUUUGUUUCAAAGAAGUGAGACUAGAGCAUGGGAGUUACUCUUGUGGGAAGCUAGGGUGCAAUUACGUUGUCCAUGUGAAUUGUGUCUUAGAGGAUGAUAAGUUGUACGAGGUAAUUGAGGACGAAAAGCAAUGUGAGGUAUGGUGCAUUCAGAUGUGGAAAGUGCAUAUUUGCUUUGGAUUUUGGAUGCUUAACAUUACCACGUUCAGCUCUUCACAAAAUUGAUGAACACAAGCUAAAGCUUACUUAUCAUGAUGAUAAGGAGCAAAGUUAUUGUGAUAUUUGUGAGCAAUAUAGAGAUCCAAGCCUUUGGUAUUAUUCUUGUUCAAUCUGUGAUACUUCUGCUCAUCUCGAAUGUGUUCUUGGAAAUUUUCCAUUUCUCAAGGAUGGGAGCACACUUCCUAAUUAUGAACACGAUCAUGAUCACGGUCUUAAAAUUUUUAGGAAGGUUGAGGGCUUCCCUAAAUGUUCUGAGUGUGGUAAGUUUUGCCAAGAAGAAAUUGUCAAAUGUAAAGAGUCUACAUGCAAUUAUAUUCUCCAUUGCAAAUGUCUAGGUUUGUGAGUUUAAAGCUUUGUGGUAAGUACUUUAGAUGAUUAAAGAGCUAUUGUUUUUCUUUGAAAUCAUCAAUGCAAUUAAUUGUUCUUAUUUCAUGAUUUUGUUUUCAUUAUUAACAUCGGUUUUAAUUGUCUUCAUGGCUACAGAUGUAUUUUGCUCAAAUGGAAAGCACUAGAGGUUUUAUCCGAUCCAAAGAGUUCACAAAGGAUUUGACAUUUCAUUCCUACUUCUUCGAUGAAGGAUGCUCAAAUUUUAAGUGUGUUUUGAUUGAAGUGUUGGUUUGUUUAAAAUUUGUUUGGGUUUGUAUGAUUUGAACUCACUAUUAUUUUGUGAUUCAUCUAUGAUAUAUUUGAGUUUGUAAAAUUUGAUUUCAGUAUUAUGUUGUGAUUUAUUGGAUUUGAAUUAUGAAAAUUAAUAAUUAUUUGAAUUAUUUCUUAUCUAAAUUAUUUCCGCAAUGUUAAUUAAUUAUUUUUACCCCAUAUAUGAUGAAACUUUUGGAAGCCACCAAUUUGCCUUCAUGCUAGAUGCUUUUCUACCGCACUUGUUUAUUUGAGAAAUAUAAUUAUAUAAAGUUUUGAAUACAAUAAUAUAAAAAGAAGUUACGGAAAUUAUGUAAAUAUGAAGCUGAAUUGAGUUCAAUCUCAACUAAUUCCAAUAUUUGGCCCAAUUGGACAUCUUAAUUUCAAAAUUAUAAAUAAAAUGCAUGGUACAAUUUGAAAAUUAUAAAUAGAGUUAAUUCCAAUAUUUGAAAAAUGAUUGAAAUGAUGAGUGGUAAGUAUUUGUUAAUAGAUUGUUACAAAAUAAAAAAAGGAAUGAUAUGAAAGAGAAGAAAGUUGGCAUCUUUUCUUUUUUAUUAAAUAUGAAUUGCAAUGCCUUCCACCAUCUUCACCCUUCUUUUCUUUCUUUACUUCCUACCUCUUUCUACCCUUCUCUUUUUCACUCUUUUCUUCAUCCUCUGCCUUUCUUUCCUUCCUAUUAUCUCCUUCAUCUUUUUCAUUUCUCACAACCACAUUCAGCUCUUCACAAAAUUGAUGAACACAAGCUAAAGCUUACUUAUCAAGAUGAUAAGGAGCAAAGUUAUUGUGAUAUUUGUGAGCAAUAUAGAGAUCCAAGCCUUUGGUAUUAUUUUUGUUCAAUCUGUGAUACUUCUGCUCAUAUCAAAUGUGUUCUUGGACACUUUCCAUUUCUCAAAGAUGGAAUCACAUGGAAUUAUUUCGAUCAUUCACAUAAUCAUGAUCUGAAAGUUUUUAGGAAGGUCGAGGGCUUUCCUGAAUGCUAUCAUUGUGGGAAGUUUUGCCAAGAAGAAAUUCUCAAGUGUGAAAAGUCUACAUGCAACUAUAUUGUCCACUACAAAUGCCGUUGGGAGUGACUAUGCCUAAAGCUUUGUGGUAAGUACUCUAAAUGAUUAAAAAAUUAUUUUUCAAUCAUCAAUGUUGUUGAUUGCUAUUAUUUCAUGAUUUUGUUUUCAUUAUCAACAUCAGUUCAAAUUGUGUUCAUGGUUGUAGAUGUGAUUUAUUCAAAUGAAAAGCACCAAAGGAUUUAUUUGAUCAAAGGAGUUCACAAAGGAUUUGGCAUUUCAUUCCUACUUCUUUGAUGAAAGGAUGCUCGAAUUCUAAGUGUGAUUUGGUUUUAUUGUUACGUUGUUAUGAUUUGAUUUCAAUAUUACUUUGGGAUUCAUCUAUGAUUUGUUUGGGUUUGUAAGAUUUGAAUUAUUUCUUAUUUAAAUUAUCUUAAUUAAUUUAAUUAUUCUCAACAGUAUUGAUUUAUGGGUUUUAGAAGUCACCAAUUUCUGGAAUGGACUUCCAUUCCGUGAUCAAUUAUCGUCUAUCAUUUUAGAGAAUACUCGUGACAAGAUGAUUAAUCACCGUUGCUACGAUCAUGAUGGAUAUCUUAAUUUCUUUAAAUAAUUUUAACAAACAUGAAAAUUUCUGAUUUUAUUAAAAUAAUUAGUUUCUCAAAACAUAAAGCCUACAUUCUAUUAUUUUUUGUAUUAAUCUGAAUAAUUAUUUUAAGUAUGGUUAAUAUUAGACUAAUAAAUAUGGUUUUGAAUGUUUUAUAAAACUUAUAAAGUAAUUAGGUAUUUUCUUAGAAAUUUUGAAAUGAAUUUUUGGACUAUUUCAAAACUUAAAUAUCUUAAAUAAUUAAAUUAUAAUUAUAAAUAAUGAUAAUUUUUUAAUUUUUUUAAGUUCUUUUUAUUGUGCAUGUUUAGGAUUCGUGAUUAGAUUGAAUUGAAAUUAUAUAUAUAUAUUAUUUUUUUAUAAAUUUUUAAUCAUUUAUUUAAUGAAACCAAAUGAAUUGGUGGUUUGAUUAAUUGGAUCAUUAAUUAGUCCAAUUUUGCAAACUUUAGUGGCAUAAUAGGUUAGACUUUUUCAAAUACUGUUCUUUGUUUGUGACAUCUACCUAACCCACUAAAUUAAAAUUUUAAUAAUAAACUUAAUAUUUUUUUUAGAUUUAUUUAUAUUUGGAAUGGUAAAAUGUAUUAAAUCUUUCAAAAUUGCCAGUAUAAAAAUAUUUUUUUAUAAAAUGCUCAAAUAAAAGUUAUUAAGUUUAAAUUUUUCGAUAUCUUUUCAAGUAGUAUUUGAUUUAAUUAUAAUCUACUCUUUCAACAUUUAUUGGACAUUUAUUAGAGGAUAUAUGGACAUGUGCACAAGGUGUGCUAAAGUUGCUGAUAUCAUUGAAAGUGAAGGACACCAACACUUUCUCUUUUUUGAUUUCAAAUGUGAGGAGAAAUGUAAUGGUUGUGGCAAAAGGUGUCUGGAUGUUGCAUUCAGAUGUGGAAAGUGCAGAUUUGCUUUGGAUUUUGGAUGCUUAACAUUACCACAUUCAGCUCUUCACAAAAUUGAUGAACACAAGCUAAAGCUUACUUAUCAUGAUGAUAAGGAGCAAAGUUAUUGUGAUAUUUGUAAGCAAUAUAGAGAUCCAAGCCUUUGGUAUUAUUCUUGUUCAAUCUGUGAUACUUCUGCUCAUAUCAAAUGUGUUCUUGGACAAUUUCCAUUUCUAAAGGAUGGGAGCAUAAUGCCUUCUUAUUUUUAUCGCAAUCAUCAUCAUCAUGAUCUUAAAUUUUUUAAGAAGGUCGAGGGCUUCCCUGAAUGCUCUCCUUGUGGAAAGUUUUGCCAAGAAGAAAUUCUAAAGUGUGAAACGCCUACAUGCAACUAUAUUGUCCGCUGUAAAUACAAAUGCCGGAGGGGUCACUAAGCCUAAAGCUUUGUGGUAAGUACUCUAAAUGAUUAAAAAAUUAUUUUUCAAUCAUCAAUGUUGUUGAUUGCUAUUAUUUCAUGAUUUUGUUUUCAUUAUCAACAUCAGCUCUAAUUGUGUUCAUGGUUGUAGAUGUGAUUUAUUCAAAUGAAAAGCACCAAAGGAUUUUUUUUGAUCAAAGGAGUUCACAAAGGAUUUGGCAUUUCAUUCCUACUUCAUUGAUGAAAGGAUGCUCAAAUUCUAAAUGUGAUUUGGUUUCAUUGUUACUUUGUUUAAAGAUCGAUUUGGGUUUGUAUGAUUUGAUUUCAAUAUUACUUUGGGAUUCAUCUAUGAUUUGUUUGGGUUUGUAAGAUUUGAAUCAUUUCUUAUUUAAAUUAUCUUAAUUAAUUUAAUUAUUCUCAACAGUAUUGAUUUAUGGGUUUUAGAAGCCACGAAUUUUUGAAAUGGACUUCCUACUUUUCAGCUUGGGUUGUAAUGUAGAGUCAUAAUAUUUUGGGAUAAAUUUAUCAUUUAAUAAAAAACAUAAAUGUGUUAGGGAGUUGACUACAUUUCGUGAUCAAUCGUCUAUCAUUUUAGAGAAUACUUGUGACAAGAUGAUUAAUUACUGUUGUUACGCUCAUGAUGGAUAUCUUAAUUUCUUUAAAUAAUUUUAACAAAUAUGAAAAUUUCUGAAUUUUAUUAAAAUAAAUAGUUUCUCAAAACAUAAAGCCUACAUUCUAUUAUUUUUUGUAUUAAUCUGAAUAAUGUUUUUAAGUAUGGUUAAUAUUGGAUUAAUAAAUAUGGUUUUGAAUGUUUUAUAAAACUUAUAAAGUAGUUAGGUAUUUUCUUAAAAAUUUUGAAAUGAAUUUUUGGACUAUUUCGAAACUUAAAUAUCUUAAAUAAUUAAAUUAUAAUUAUAAAUAAUGAUAAUUUUUAAAUUAUUUUUUAAGUUCUUUUUAUUGUGCAUGUUUAGGAUUCAUGAUUAGAUUGAAUUGAAAUUUUAUAUAUAUAUAUUAUUUUUUAUAAAUUUUUAAUCAUUUAUUUAGUGAAACCAAAUGAAUUGGUGGUUUGAUUAAUUGGGUCAUUAGUCCGAUUUUGCAAACUUUAGUGGCAUAAUAGGUUAGACUUUUCAAAUUUUGUUCUUUGUAUUGUGACAUCUACCUCGCCCUCUAAAUUAAAAUUUUAAUAAUAAACUUAAUAUUUUUUAUUUAUAUUUAUUUAUAUAAAUAUUUUUUGAGUUUUUUUGUAAUGGUAAAAUAUAUUAAAUCUUUCAAAAUUGCCGUAUAAAAAUAUUUUUUUAUAAAAUGCUCAAAUAAAAGUUAUUAAGUUUUAAUUUUUUGAUAUCUUUUCAAGUAGUAUUUGAUUUAAUUAUCAUUUACUCUUUUAACAUUUAUUGGACAAUUUUAAAAAAUUAUUUUUUUAUAUGAAUAAUCAAAAGUUUAAUCUUAAUUUCAUUAUGUAAUUUUAUCAAAAAUAUUUUAAAAAAUUAUAUAUAACAAUAGAAAUAGAGAAUGAUAGAAAAUCAGUAAAUGCACCCAUUUCUAAAUUAUAUACAAAUAUUUAACGGCAAUGAUUAUUUCACCUAAUUAUAGUAAUUAGAAUAACUAAAUUGAAAAAAGAAUUAUAGUGAUCAAAAUAGGACAAAUUUUAUUUUAAAGUGACUAUUUUAUAUUGUUUAGAUUUUGAAUAAUUAAGUGACUUAAAUGAAAACUUUAGAAUAAUUCUAUAAUUAUUUUAUAAUUUUUUAAAGUUGAAAGAUAUAAACGGACUCAUAAUUUAAUAAUUUUCAACCUACUUUCCCCUAAAAAAUGAUUUAUAUAUAAUAAUAGAAAAUGAUGGGUAAUUUCUAUACCUAUUAUUAUCAAAUGAUUAAAUUAUCCUCUAGACACAAGCUCUCAUGGUCAAUAAUUUUAGAAUUGGAUCAAAUCAAUCACUAGUUCUUGAUUUCAUCAAAUCUAUCGAUACAAUUCAUAUAUAUAUAUAUGAAAAGCAUGUAUGAGGAAAUGCAUACAAUAAAAUCAUAACUAUAGUUCAAAGGUGUGAUUCUUGAUUAUAUUAAGGUUUACUACCAAUUAUUUUGGCAUAUUCUUGUUUCUUAUUUCAACCCCACAUCCCUGUUUGAAUAUAUAUAAUACAAUAAAAAUAAAUCAAUCAAUAAGUUUUAAGAAUGAGAACAAAAACUUGAAUAGCACCAUGUAUUUUGAUACGGUUAGUCAGAUUCUCUCAUUUUGAUCUCUAGUCUAGUCAUAUCCGACGAUCAUAAACUACUCAUAUAUAUUGAAUAUAUGAAUACAAUUCACAUAUCUUAAGAACACGAUGAAUGAAACAUAUUCAUAUCCAACAUAUCGAAUAUUUGACACUGACUCCUAAUACAAAGCUACUAACAUUUAACAUAGGAUUACACGGAGAGAGUUGCAUGAUUACACAAAGAUAAGCAAAGAUGCCACAAGUCUCCAAUGAAAAGAUACGAUAAUCCGACGACUCUCUAGAUACAUGAAAAUCUACUUGCUCUCAGAAUACAAAUGCUUAAAGCUACUAGCUAAAUCACACCCUUACUAAACUGAGAAUAUAACCUCACUAAGCACAACUCCAUUUGGAAGAUAACGAUUGUCACCGGUUCCAACAUCAAACGGCCCGGAUUCUCAUGUUGCCAGCUUUCAACUCUGCAUGUUAAACAAUGCCGGAAUUCGACUCAUUCGCCUCUUCCAUUUGACUAAGCUUUUCUCCUGCUAGCAUCAAACCUCAAAAGCACAUUUUUCUACUUAUUCUAUGUUAACAUCUUUAUUGUUCAGAAAAACUAAUUCCAGGAUUGAAACUAACGGAUCCUAUUUUAGAUAAUAACUUCAACGAGCUCAAGAUAAGUAUGGGAUCUUCAGGACGAGCUUCUGUGUUUAUCCAAUCCGAUCCAAUUUCUUCAACGUUAGGAAAACAUUAGAAAAACAUUUUCCUCAAUUCAAUCCAAACAAAACUCCUAGAUAUGUUGUUAUAAACAGUUUAGAUAUUAAGAAUGGGUUUGCAGUCAUCAAAGUGUGAGCAAGAAUGAAAGCCUAAAGAUUUUUCUUAUAAAAAAUUGCCAACUUAAUAUGUCAAGUUUCUGAGCGGAACAAUGUCAGGCAGCAAUAGACACAAGCUUUUCUUAAGCAUUUUAUCAAACAGUUUCUAUGCGCAAUCAGGCUUCAAGCCAACUUGGCCGCAAAAUAAUGUCUGCCUCACGCUUCCACAAGUAUCGCUCCCAGGUGACACAACACAUUCCCAGGUUGAUACAGAUGCAGCAGAGCCACCCGAGACAGGUUCACUGUUUAUCACCUAUUCAAACUAAUAAAUAUAUUACAUUUUUAGAGCAAUAAAAACGAACUUUUUAGAGCAAUAAAGAAGAAGCUAAGAACUUCUUCCUAAGAAGCUAAGAACUUUUCGAACCGGUCAAAUUCGGUUAGUCGGUUUGACAUUUUUAGAGCAAUGAAAUAAGUUAUAUGGCUGGCAAUUUAAAUAGGAUGCUGGAAGUCAUUAAUCAGAGAACCAAUCAGAUAACCAAAUUUUAUGCUUUAUGCUCUCAACUCUCAAACCAACUAUAGAAAAGUAUUAUCUGACACUUCAGCACAACUAUCUAACCCUUGAUCGUGUUCUUGCUGGUGCUUCAAGAGCCGGCCUAGAGGGACUAGUUGGUGCAGCCUGCAAGAUUCAAAUAUCAGAAACAAUUUAUUUAUAACCGUAGUGAAAUCUUGAAACCAAAGAAAGAAAGAGAGAUAAAGGAGAAGAUAUGGUUCAUUGCAGUCCAUGAUUAUCCAGUAGAUGAGAGAUUUGACGAUUACUCUUGGAGGCUUGUGUUUAGAAGAAAUCUUCGAUUGGGAAGAGAUGCUUAAUGAUCUUAGACACACCAUCUCUAUUCACGAGCUGGUCUCCUAGAGAGCCGAUAAAAUCAUUUGGCAGCUUGAUGACUAAAGCAAUUUUGUAAGGAAUCAUCUUGGUGGUCAAAUCUUGGUGGUAUAAUCAUUUUGGACUGCCUCGGAUGUUAGUUGGGUAAAGUAUAACCCGGACUCAUUUUGCAAUGGCUACCUUGCAAGACUCAUCUGAAGCAGCUUCUCCGCUUGAUCUGGGAACGAAGUUAUAGACAGAUACGCGCCUGCGCCAUUUCAUGAGGUUAGAUUAAAAGAGAAAAAGGACUUCAACAGAAGUUUUUUAUGGCUAUUGAAUCACUAACAAAUGUGUGCAGUUCCAAGCACGGCUAAAUUCUUGCCUUGAAUUGUGACCAAACCAGCUUUGACAGCACCUUGCAACUUAGUUGUACCUACAGAAUCAAACGUACCUGCAAAAACAAGAACUAUUUCAUGCUUUGCUCCCUGCAUACAUCACAACCACGGUCAUUACAACGGCAAGCAGUUGAUAUUUAACCUGGUUUUACAGUUUGAGGCCCUGGUGUUAUACAUGCUAUAUUCUGAAAACCAGCUUGCUCCAAUUUAUUGGCUGCAGAAGUCCAUCUUUUCAUUAAGCAUGUGGGACACCCAUGUCCAAUGCAUACUCAACAGAGUAAAACAGACUGAACCCAUAAAACCACUUUUAAGUUGCAAAUUAAGUGAGCAUAAUCAAUGAAGCUAAUUGUACAAAUGCAAAGUAAACAGAGAAGGAACCCGACCUCCAAAAUUGCACAAGAAAAUCAGGAUAAAAUGAGUGAACCAUUUGUCGAUUUUCCCAUCAUGCUAAUAAUUUAUGCCGUAUGUUGGUUUCUAUAAUAAAGGGUUGUAUUUAAUGAAGUAAUAAUCCACAUGUAGAUCAAGUUACAAACCUGCAUCUGAUGACCAUGCAAUUCUGAUUCAUUUAACAGUAGAGCACUUUGAUCAGCAUCAACUUCAACAGAUUCAACAUAGGAAAAUCCUUUAGGUUGACCAAACUUGUCUGUCAAAAUUGUUACCCUGAGCACACGAUUGGAAUUGCUGGUGAACUUCCUCAGGUGUACAUGCAUAGUCUACCUGAUGUUACAAAGACAUAUAAAGAAAUAGAGAGUAAGAGAGAUGCUCAAAACAUUGAGAUCAUUUAUUAAUUGUACACCUAAACAGUCUAUAAGGUACCUAAACAAGCCAAACAAAGCAUAUGCCAAACUAAAUUAAUGUUUCCCCUGAAUAAGUUGUUAAUUACAUAUGGGUGAAAUUAGUUUGAAUCACAUUGAACUCGCCAUCUGUAAUAACUAAGAUUUAAUUGUUCAUGCACAUGCACAUGGACAAAACAGAGCAUUUCAAGCCACACGUACACAAGCAUAAAACCAAAUUGGGUUGAAGGGAUCAAACUGGUAGAACUACUCCUACAUCCUUUGGCCAAACUAAAAAGCAUGAUCCUAAUUUUAUUUGAAUAAAGAAUGAUAUCAAAAAAUUAUAGUGAGCAAGAUCUCAAAAACAUCCUGACAAAGCAAAUUCCAAGCACCAGCAGGAGGGGAAACAAAAAUUUGCAGCUCGAAACCCAUGUUAAACCCCCUGUUUUGCCAGCCACUUGAUUCGCACUCCAAGUGAGAUGGACAAUGCAAAUAUCCCAACCACUUGAUUCUUAAUUUCGGCAAGACCACUCCAAAAAACAAUAUGUACAAUUCAACAACAAAAUUUAGCAAAAAAAUGGCGAUUAAGGUAUUAGUCUUCCAGGGAACCUAUAUUUGAAUCAAAUCACACCUUUUUAGCUUUCCUUCUAAUUUGUCCAACUUUGAAAAAUUGCAGUCAUGCUCCAAACUUCGAAAACAUUAUAGUAAUCCCCCAAAUGUUUGUAAACCUUAGGAAUUCACACCAAUCCAAUCCCAACUAGAUUCCAUAUCCCGCUUUAUUACCAAAUCUUGCUUUAUCCAAAUUAUUAAUUGCAUCCCACUUUUCUUUCUCAAUUUAAAACCGAAAAUUGUUCAAAAAUAUGCCUAAAAAGAGAUGAGAAAAAUCUUGUUUCACUUUAUAAUUUAAAUGAAUAUAAAUUCCAAACUUUAUUAUAUACAACGUAGAGUUGUAAUGUUUUGGGAUAAAUUUAUCAUUCAAUAAAAAACAUAAAUGUGGUAGGGAGUUGACUGCAUUCUGUGAUCAAUCGUCUAUCAUUUUAGAGAAUACUCGUGACAAGAUGAUCAAUCACUAUUGUGACGCUCAGGAUGGAUAUCCUAAUUUCUUUAAAUAAUUUUAACAAAAUAUGAAAUUUUCUAUUUUUUUUAAAACAAUUAGUUUUUUUAUAAAUUUUUAAUCAUUUAUUUAAUCAAACCAAAUGAAUUUUAAAAAAUGAUUUUUUAUAAGCAUAAUGAAAUCUUGACACCAAAGAACUGAAUAGAGAUAAAGGAGAACAUAUAGUUCAUUGCAGUCCAUGAUUAUUCAAUAGAUGAGAGCUUUGACCAUUACAGUUAGAGGCUUGUCUUUAGAAAAAAUCUUCAAUUGGGAAGAGAUGCUUAAUGAUCCUAGACACACCAUAUUUACUCACGAGCUGGUCUCCAAAUAUAAUGAAUACUGGGAGGAAGUAGUAGUAUUUGUAAUGCCAUUUUGGUUGCAUGUCCAAACAUUUUCUCUUUUUUGAUUUAGGAGAAUUGUAAUGGUUGUGGCAUAUCAAGUGUUGGCGUGGUGCAUUUAGAUGUGGAAAGUGCAGAUUUACUUUGAAUUUUGCAUGGUUAACAUUAUCACAUUUAGCUCUUCACAAAAUUGAUGAACACAUGCUAAACCUUACUUAUCAUGAUGAUAAGGAGCAAUCUUAUUGUGAUAUUUGUGAACAAGAAAGAGAUCCAAGCCUUUGGUAUUAUUCUUAUUCAAUUUGUGAUACUUCUGUUCAUCUCAAAUGUGUUCUCGGAGAAUUUUUAUUUCUAAAGGAUCUGAGCAUAGUGCCUUUUUAUUAUUACAAACAUAAUCAUGAUCUUAAUUUUUCUAGGAACGUCGAGGGCUACCCUGAAUGCUUUUAUUGUGAUAAGCUUUGCCAAGAAGAAAUUCUCAAGUGUGAAAAGUCUGCAUGCAAUUAUGUCAUCCACCGCAAAUGCCGUUGGGGUUACUAAGCCUAAACCUUUGUGGUAAGUACUCUAAAUGAGUAAAAAAUAAAUUUUCAAUCAUCAAUGCUGUUAAUUGCUUGUCGAAACCAUUUUUUUGGAAAACGGGGGUCGAGUUUAAUUUUGUAAAGAAAACGAACAUGGGAGUCACCACCAAUCCUUUUUUAAUUUUGUGAGGUGUGAUCGGAUUACCUCGUAAUUUGAUUGUUUUAAAUAAACUGUUUGAUUUACUAAAACAAUAUUUUCGGUCCACGAAAAUCCAGAAAUUGGGUUCGGGAGUCAGUUACGUACAAGGAAGGAUUAGCACCCUUGUUACGCCAAAAUUGGUACCUAAUUGAUUACUUAAUGUUUUAAUGUCGAAAGUUAAAAAUUCGAAAAGAAAUUUAAAAUACGAUCCCUUUUUAUUAAUUUUAUUAAAAAAUACUUGAAUAAAUCGAAAAGGGAGUUAAAGACCCACUCGUCUCAAAGUAACGAAAUACCACAUCUCAUAAGUUAGGACACGAUAUUUGGAACCUUAGAGAAUAAGCUUGCCUUUAAUUUUUAUUGAAAUUUCGUAUUUUAAAAUUUAAAAGGAUAUUUUGCCAUUUAGGUUUAACGAGAAAACCGAAACCCCCAUAAGUUAGGGUACGAUUUCUCAAAUUUCUAAAAUGCAAAAUAUUUCGUUAUUUUGAAAAUUUUUAUUUUUUGAAUUUAAGUAAGAAUGGAUGAAAUGUUUAAAAGUAGUAUAUAUGCAAUUUGGAUUAUAUUUAAAAAAAAUUUACUUGAAACGAAAAGGGUCAUACAUAACUAAUAGUAAUAAUACAACAUGUAUUUGAUAUACAUAAUAAAAUAAUUACAUAUAGCCUUGAUACUAACAUGCAUGAAUAAAAGUAAUGGUACAAAUGGCAAUAAUAACAACAACAACCAUAAAAAUAAUGACCCCAAAAGCUUGAAAGUAUUUGAAAAAAUAGCAAAUAAAUAAAUAACGGAAUAAAAUGGCACUAAUGAUAGGCAAAAAUAAAUCAAAAAAUAAAUAAAUAAAAACUCAUAUAAGUUAGAUUAAAAGUUAAAGAUAAGUAAAUAAAUAAAUAAAAUGUUAAAUGAAAUAUUUAAUAAAAUCUUUUUAUUUAAAAAAAUAAAAAAAAAACAAUUGAAAUUAAACAAGCUAAGGAUUAAACUGAAAUCGAAAUGAAAUUUGGAGGUUUAACAAUUGAUUUGGGUUUGUAUGAUUUGAUUCAAUAUUACUUUGGGAUUCAUCUAUGAUUUGUUUGAGUUUGUAAGAUUUGAAUUAUUUCUUAUUUAAAUUAUCUUAAUUAAUUUAAUUAUUCUCAACUGCACUUUUCAGUUUGGGGUUGCGAAACCCAUAAUUCAAACACACAAUAAUCCGUAAUUCUAAAAAAAUAAAUAAUAAAGACGUUUAAUUUAUUUUUAGAAAUUAGAGAAGAUAUUUUCUUUCUCAAUUUUAAAUUGAAAUGAAAUUGUUCAAAAAUAAUACCUAUAAAGAGAUGAGAAAAAUCUUGUUUCACUUGGUAAUUUAAAUGCCAAACUUUAUUAUAUACAAUAUUGUAGAGUUAUAAUAUUUUGGGGAAAAUUUCUCAUUUAAUAUAAAACAUGAAUGUGGUAAGGAGUUUGACUAUAAAUGGGCGAACAUUUAUUAUUCAAGGAUUCACAUCAUGUAUAGAGAAACUUACAUUGAGUAUACACGUGUUAACUCUAAAAUAAGCGACGUGUCAACAUAUAUCGAGUAAAACAUGCAAACAUAAUAAUUUCUUAUGGUUUUCGACUGUUAUCCAUGUAUUCAUGGCAUGAUUAAAUACUCUUAAACCCAUAAAGAAUCAAAGUAGUAGCCUAAUUUACAAAUAAAAGAAAAGUACAAUUUUUACUUUAAUAAAGAAAGCAAAGUAUUAUUCUUGUAGAAAUGCUUUACUUUGUUAGGAUUUUUUUUAUAUAAAAGGCUGAAAUAAAAGUUAUUAAGUUUUAAUUCUUUUAUAUUUUUUUCAAGUAGUCAUUUACCCUUUCAACAUUUGUUGGACAAUUUUUAAAAAAAAUGUUUUUUUUAUAUGAGUAAUCUAAAAGUUUAAUCUUAAUUUGAGAAAAUAUUUUAUCUAUUAACUGUCAACAAUUUUUUUAAGAAAAAUAGAACAAACACCAAAAUUAUAUAUAAUAAUAAUAAUAGAAAAUGAGUGAAUGGACCCAUUUCUAUGCUAUAUAUUAUCCAGGCAGUCAAGGUUUUUGGAAGUAGAUGAACUCACCUGGUCUCAUCAAAAUAAAAAAUAACUCAUAAGAAGAAAACGAAAAAUUUAACCCCAGUGAUUAUUUUAUUCAAUUAUUUAAUUAAAAUAAUUAAAUUGAGAAAAAAUUAGAGUGAUCAAAAUAGGAUAUAUCUUAUUUUAAAGUGACUAUUUUAUGUUGUUUAUAUUUUAAUGAAAAAAAACUGAACAAUGAAAAAAAAAAAAGAGUGAAAACUUUUGCUGUGAGAACAAAGAAUCCAUACAGUAAUGAUUUUAAAAAAGGCCUUUCGAAUAAUUAAGUGACUUAUAUGAAAAUUUUAGAAUACUUCAAUAAUUAUUUUAUAAACUUAAGUUUACUAAUAGUUUAAAAACCUGAAGUGUAAUUCUUCCUAAAAAAUAUUUUUAUAUAAAUAAUCAAAAGCUUCAUCUUAAUUUGAAUAUUUAAAUUUUUUUUUUAAAUAUUUAGUCCAUUAACUGCCAAACAUAUUUUUUAGAUGAGAGAUUUGACCAUUACUCUUGGAGGCUUGUCUUUAGAAGAGAUGGUUAAUGAUCUUAGACACACCAUCUCUACCCUAGAGAUGGUCUCCUAGAGAGGAGAUAAAAUCAUUUGUCAGCUUGAUGACUAAAGCCAUUUUGUAAGGAACCAUCUUGGUGGUCAAAUCUAAGUUGUUGCAUGGACAUUUCUUACUAUUGCGGCAGGGAUAAGGACUCAUCUUGGACUGCCUCGGAUGUUAGUUGGGUAAAAUAUAACACAGGCUCAUUUUGCAAUGGCUACCUUGCUAGACUCAUCUGAAGCAGCUUCUCCGCUUGAUCUGGGAACAAAGUUAUAAACAGAUAUGCGGCUGCGCCAUUUCAUGAGGUUAGAUUAAAAGAGAAAAUUAAGGAACUUCAACAAAAGUUUUUGAUGGCUAUUGAAUCACUUACAGAUGAGUACAGUUCCGAGCACAGCUGAGUUCUUGCCUUGAAUUGUCACCAAACCAGCUUUGCAUGCACCUUGCAACUUAGUUCUACCUAUGGAAUCAAAUGUGCCUGCAAAAAACAAGAACUAUUUCAUGCUUUGGUCCUUGCCUACAUCACAAGCAUAUGGUCAUUACAACAGCAAGCAGUCGAUGUUUAACCUGGUUUUACAGUUUGAAGCCCUGACGUUAUACACGCUAUAUUCCAAACACCAGCAGGAGGGGAAACAAAAAUUUGCAGCUCGAAACCCAUGUUAAACCCUUAGUUUUGCCAGCCACUUGAUUGGCAGUCCGUGGGGUGGGAGAUGGACAAUGCAAAUAUCCCAACCAUGUCCGCACAGUUGUAGUAUAUUUCUAACCAAUGCCAAGUUAUGAGAAGCAGCCUGGCCAUCAUUCAACAGCUGGACAGCUUGGGAACUGUCACAUUCCACCACUACCUUCUUGAAUGGAGCGAGCAUGAAAAAUGCCCCACAAUUCCGCUUCCAGCACAUUACCAAACGUAAAUAGAAUCUGGAAUUUCCCCCUUUUCAACUUGAUUUGCGGAACUCAUAAUUCAAACACACACAAUAAUCCUUCAUUCAAAGAAAUAAAUAGUAAAAGUUUAAUUUAAUUAUCAAAAUAUACCUAAUUUAAAUAUCAAAUAGUUAAAAAACAGAGGAGAAAAAUCUUGUUUCACUUCCUAAUUUAAAUAUCAAAUUUUAUAAUAUUAAUGUUUUUGAUAAAUUUAUCACUUAAUAAAAAAACAUUAAUGUGGUAGAGGGUUUGAUUCCCCUUUAGACUACAUUUCAUGAUCAAUCAUUUAUCAUUUUAGAGAACACUUGCGAUUAGAGGAUUAAUCAUUAUUAGGUGAAUAUCUUAAUUUCUUUAAUUUUUUUAAAUAAAUUUUAAAAUAAUUAGUGUUUCAAAACUAAUUUGAAGUGUGGUUAAUAUUGGAUUAAUAAAUAUGGUUUUGAAUGUUUUAUAAAACUUAUUCUUGAAAAUUUUGAAAUGAAUUUUUGGAAUAUUCCGAAAUUUAAAUAUUUUAAAUAAUUAUAUGUUUAUUUUUAUUUUAUUAUUUUUCUAGUUCAUGCAUAUUUAGGAUUCGUGAUAAGAUUGAAUCAAUUUUUUUAAUAUAUAUUAUUUAACCAAACCAAAUGAGUUGGUUGGAUUGACCAAAUCAAGAAUUGGUGGUUUAACCGACUGGAUCAUUGGCCCAAUUUUGCAAACUUUGAUGGCAUUUAUUCUUUGUAUUAUGACAUCUAUCUCGCCCUCACUUGAAUUAAAUUUUUUAAUAAUAAACAUAAUAUUUUUUAUUUAGAUUUAUUUACAAAAAUAUAUAUAUUUGAAUUUUUUUAAUAGUCAAAUGGAUUAAAUAUAUACAUUUAGAAUUGUUUCAUGAAAAAAACCGAACAAUGGAAGAGAAGGAUGAUAAUUAAGUGACUUAAAUAAAAACUUUAAAAUAAUUCAAGGAUCAUUUUAUAAUUUUUUAAAAUUGAAUGACUAAAACAUAAAUGGUUUUUAUUGAUCUUAAUUGGACCAUUAUUUAUUUUUAACAUUUAAUCCAUUAACUACCAAACAUAUUUUCUAGAAAAAUAAAAACAACCACAAAAACUAUAUAUAAUAAUAGAAAUAGACAAUAACUUUUGGAGUUAAAAGGAAAAAAAAUCUAACCCUUGAUGGCGUUGUUGUUGAUGCUUCAAGAGCUAGCCUAGAGGAGCUAGUUGGUGCAGCCUGCAAGAUUCAAAUAUCAGAAACAGUUAACUUAUAUCCAAAAACACCAAAGAGAACAUUUAUUUUUUGAGAAUAAGACGUGCUUCCUUUUAAUUACCAAAAAGUAAUAUUCUUUGUGCUUACAAUUAAUCAAAGCAAAAUACUUUUUAAUUAGUAAAAGUAAAAUUCUUUAUAUUUAAAUUUUUUGUACUCCUUCUAAUUAGCAAAAGCAAAGCAUCUCGUUUACCUCGAUUGAUGGGUGAAUUAGAUAUAUAAGAAUAUAUAAAUAACAAUAAUUUCGAGUGGAACAUGCAAGUAUAAUAGUUUUUUAUGGUUUUCGACUAUUGUCCAUGUAUUCAUAGCAUGUUUAAGUAAUCUUAAAUCCGUAAAGAACCAAAAUAGUUACCUAAUUUGCAAGUAAAACAAAAGAACAAUUUUUACUUUAAUAAAGAAAGCAAAAUAUUAUUCUUGUAGAAAUGCUUUACUUUGUUUGGAUUUUUUGUAACAUAUAAAUUUUACUUUGUAUUUAAUUGUCUUUUCUUUUAAGAAAUUUUUUGAGUGUAUGAUACGUUUGAUAUAUUAAAUUUUUUUUAACUAUGAUGUAAAAAUUAAGGCUAAAGGAUGUUUAAAAGCCCCUAAAUUUUUUCAAAAAAUAAUUAAGCCCUUAUACUUCUUUUUUUUUUUUAUUUGAUUGAGCUAUUGAACAUAUUUUAAUUUAUCAUUUAACUGUUAAAGUUAGCGGUCAAUCAUUAAAGAGCAACAAUAACUAUUUUUAAGGGUUGUUUUCGCCAUGUGGCACACCAAGAUUGUGCUAUGCAAGGAAAUAUGAUAUUUUAUAUUAAAAUUAAUAUAAAAAUAAUACAAAUAUAUACAAAUUUAAAAUAUUAUAAAUUUAUAAAAACAUAUAAAAGUACAAAAACAUAUAAAACCACAUUAUAAAUGAAAUAAAAUAUAUAAACUAUAAAAAUUAUUAAAAAUUGAACAAAAAAAGCAUUAAUAAUUAUUAAAAUAACAAAAAGUAUGACAUUAAUCAUUAUUAAAAUUACAAAAAAUAAAAAUUGUAAAAUUAUGAAAAAUAUUUUGAAAUAUAGAAAAUUAUUAAAAUUGUUAAUAAAAUGUAAAAACUAUUAUAAAAAAGCAUAAAUUUGUUAAUAAAAUAUUUAAAAUAAUUAAGUUAUUAUUAUAAAUAAUGACUUUUUUUUUACUAUUUUUAAAGUUCGUUUUCUUGUUCAUGUUCUCGGUUUGUGAUUACCUCUUUUAAUAAUGUCAUCUUCAAGGUUCAAACCUACGUUCUUCGCUUAAGAGUGUAAUGUGUCUUAUCAUAAUACCCAACACUUAUUGGUAUGAUAUACUUAAGCUACAAAUUGUAAUUCUAUACUAAAUAAAUUAUUUAUUUUAAGAAACAUAUUUGGAUUUGAAUGAUUCAAUUUACAUUUUUAAAAAAUUAUUUUUAAUUUUUUAACUUACCAAAUUCAUAUAUUAAUCAUAUUUGGAUAAUUAUUAUUUUGGAUUCAAAUAGUAAUAUUUAGACUUAAUUCAUUAAUAAAGAAAUUAUGCAAUUUCAUAUUAGAAUUUUAUUACAAAAAUGGCAUAUAUGUGAUCUAUUAUCAUCUUUAUCAAAUAUAUAUAAUCGUCUUUAUUAAAAUCAUAUGGUGGUGAUAAUGUCUCUUAAUUCUUCAUUUCUUGUUCUUUAAUAUCAUUCAUAUGCAUAAAAUCUAUUCAAAGUUUUGUAGUCUUCCCUUUUAAUUACCAAAACUAAAAUUCUUUGUGCUUACAAUUAAGCAAACCACAAUACUUUAAUUUUUUUUUUAGAAGUGAUAAUCUUUGGAUACUUGAGAAAAAGAAAACGAAUCGAAUCUCGCACUACCAAAUCUCGCUUUAUCCAAAUUAUUAUAUUUAAUCAAUUAUUAAUUGCAUCCCACUUUUCGUUUUUCUCUUUUUUAUUAAAAUUGAGAAAUAAUAGUGUUAAACCAAAACUCCUCAAACUACCAUUUCUCAAUCAUUCCUCUACUUCAAAAUUAUCCCUCCUUUUAUUCAUCCCCUUUAUUCAGUCCUAUUAUUUCCUUCAUUUCUCACAAACACAUUAAUCAAUAGAGAUGGAGAAUGAGAAUGAGAGACACCACAAGUCGGUGCAACAAAUUCAGCAUCCUCUUCAUGAGGAACAUCCAUUGGUGUUAGUGGCAGAGUAAAGCAAUGAAGGUCUCAAAGCUUACUGUGGUGGAUGUGGGGAACUGCUUUCAGCUCCAUGCUUUACUUGUAUUCAUUGCAAUUAUCACCUUCACAAGCAAUGUGCAGAGGCACCCCUUUCACUUCCUAAUCACCCACUCUAUCCCCGACACUCAUACUAUGGUCUUUUUCAUCAACAAAGAUACUAUGGUCUUUUUCAUCAACAAAGACCAUAUCCUAGUGAUCACAAGGUAUAUGGUUGUGCAUUAUGCAAGGAAAAACCUAACACAUUUUUUUAUGGAUGUCAUUUUUGUUAUUUUUCCCUUAACAUCAAAUGUGCUCAUUUAUCUUCUUCGUAUAAGUUUAACCAACAAUCCAAAUAUCACAUCCACAAACAUCCAUUUACCAUCAUAGAAAGUCCCAUGGCCAUAGAUGUACUCAAAAACUUGAAUUGUCUCUACCGUAACAAUAUCUAGAAUUCUCACCUAACAAUAUUUAAUGUUAUAUACAAGUGGGUGUUUCUAGAUCUUCUUAAACCUUUUACCCUAUUCCACAAGGGUCCAGCCCUUUCUAUAACCUUUCAAAAUGUUUCGGGCUUUCUAGACUUCUCCAACGAGUACUAGAAGUGUCUGCCACAAUCUAGGACAUUUUAAACUCUUCCAUCUCAGUUCUGCACCCUUCCAGGCAUGAUGUGCCUCGAGCCGUUGGCUCUGUACCAUGGAGUGUGCUGCUUUUUGGUGGACAAUGACCAUUACAGGUGGUUUUCCAUUCUCUCUUCUCUUGUAUGACCUUUUUUCCAUCAAUGAGACCUUAACUUAAUGGUAAGGUUGAGGCCUUAAUAACUUUGAGAUUUAUAUUCGAUUCUCAUCUUGUAUAAAUUUGUGGGUUGUCUUCCAUUUUUAUUUUGACUAGUUAGUUAAUUAAAGUUAAAUUAAUUAUUGAGAAUUCUGUAACGCCCUGCUUAAUUUAUUUAUUUUCCUGUAAAUAUCUAAUAUAAAUGUGUAUCUACUUUGGUGGUUAAGUAUUUUAGGUGUGUAUAUGAGGUCUUGGGUUCAUGUCUCCUUAUUGCCAAAUUUUGUUAUUUUAGAUCCAAGUCUUACCCUUGUUGAGUGGGCUUAUAUAAAUUGUCUAUUAAUCUAUAUAAAAGUGAGCCUACUGGUUAAAGUGGUAAGGAGUUAGGGUGUUGGAGGUCUUGUGUUUGAAUCCUUACGUGUGCAAAGGUGUUAAUUUUUGCUCUGUUGACUGAUAGAGUUUCGGUAAGCUAAAAUUCUGAGGUGGUUGUGAGUUAGUGGGUUAGUGGGAGAAAAAUAGGGGACGUGUUAUCAAUUAUGUGGUAUUACUUUUUUUAAAAUUUUUAUCUUUCUUUCAGAAAAAAAUUCUGACAUUCUUUUCUUCUCCUUUUGGGUUUUCUGUCAAUUUUCUUUGUUCUUUCCAAUUCUAUCACAUCUCUUUUGCAUAAUUCAUCGUGUCUCUAUAUUUCAGUGUUCUUUGUGUGUUUCUGGUAAGUGUGGCAAGUGUGGUUAUUAUUUUGGGUUAGUGAAUCGUUGAUUAAUGGGGUUCGUUUUGUGUUUAGGAGAAGAUUAAGGGCUGAGGGUUUCCAAUCGGUGCUUUAGUUAGGCGAAAUCACUGUUGUUCAUUCGAAGGUAAAAGUAGUUUUUGUGGAUUAAAGGAUUAUCUAUUUCGAGAUAGUUCGGUUUGUUAUCGAUUUAAGCGACUAAUUCGAUGAUUUAUUGGUCAAUUUUAGGUGCUGGUGGUCUCAGGAGUGUUUUUGCAUCAGAACUGCACUAGGUGUGUACUCCUAACGCGAAAAAUUGAGCUUCGGUGAAAGUUAAAAAAGGUAUUCUGUCGACGUCACACGAGAGUGUGCCUAGCCGUGUGGUUGCCCAUGUGCGAGACACAGCCGUUUGUUUGACGAAGGCGUAGCCGUGCGCAGGACAUGGUCAUGUGGUGGUGUGAAUGUAGCCGUGUGGGCCACACAGGCUAGGCCAAGUUGGGCAUAUGAGCCACACGGACAUGCCACACGGGGCGUAUGGGCCACACGGGUGAAGUCAAUCUGAGCGUGUGGGCCCACAGGGCAUGUGGGCCCAUAAUUCUAAAAUUUUCCCUAAAGUCGCACUGAUCGUUUCGAUCGAUUGUGGGCCUAACGUAGAGUCGGUAAGGGCUAACCAAACCCUAGAUUAGGUGAUUUGAUAUUCUGAUAGUUUGCUCUGAGUAGGACACUGUAAUACAUGUUUGAUUAUUCUACUAUAUAUAUAUGACAUUUGUAUGCGAGCAUGUUAAGUAUGAUAUUUCUUUAUCUGUAAUCUAUAAUUAUGUCUGGGAUGGAAAUUGUAUAUGUGGAUGAAGUAAUUUGUAUGGCGACAUUCGCCUAUAUUCUAGCAGCUUGGCUGCAUAUUAUUUGAUAUGUGUCGUAAAGACACAAUAUGGUGUGUAGGGAUGGUUAGGUAUUUUUAACCCCACAUGGUGUGAUGAGAUGGUCGGAGUUGGUGUAUAGAGGAUGGGGGUAGGAUUCUAUAUAUCUGUUUUGCAUAUUUGAUUCUAUUAUCUGUAUCUGUAAAGGAGAUAGAUUCGAGACUAAAUCUGACUGUAUCUGUGAUUUCUGUAUGAACUGUAUGUUUAUUUCUGUUGGGUUACACACUGAUUUUACGAAAACUCAGUUCUGCCUGUCUAUUUUGUAACACCCCUUACCCGUAUUCGACACCGAAAUAGGGUAUGAGGUAUUACCGGAGUUUACUAAUUAAUUUUCAGACUAAAUGUAACACCCCUUACUCGUAUUCGACACCGAAAUAGGGUACGAGGUAUUACCGGAGUUUACUAAUUAAUUUUUCAGACAUUUCAUUUUUAUCUAACAUUCAUAUUUAUAACCAAUCAAAAUCAAAACAUUAAUGAGCUAACGUUAACCAAUUUAACUUAUAUACGUCAUUAUAACCAGAAUCAAAUCAUCCAAAAUUACAAAUAGAACCAAUGAAUAAUGUGAUAUAUCUCCAACAAGCUUCCGAUAAUCAUUUCAAAGCAUCUAAUAAUUAUACAUAUUACCAAUAAUAAUUCAGUUCCAAUAAUAAAGCACACAUAUAUAUAAUAUUCAUUACCAAAUAGCAUUCACUUCAACUAAAAUUAAACAAAAUAUAGUUCAUACGAACUUACCAGCUAAAUUGCAAAAAUACCAAAAUUCAUGGACAUUUUGAAAAUUUUCUAUUUUUUUCUCGAAUUUCCACCCAAUCUUGAUCUAAAUUAAUAUUUCAUUCAAUUUACUAAUUUAAAUAAUAAAACAAUUCAUUUCAUGCAAUUUGGUCACUUUUUGACAUUUUUACAAAUUUACCCUUAAAUUUUCACAUUGUUCAAUUUAGUCCCUAAAAUAUAUAAAUUGGUCAUUUUUAAUGAAAACUCAUGCUAGUUGAAUAAUCAUAUAUUUUCCUCCUCCUCCUCCUCUCCAUUCCACAUCCUUAAUAAAUAUAACAUGCUUAUAUGUAACAUUAUCUAUAAUUUCACAUUUAUUUAUAUUCAUUCAAAGCUGUCCACUUGAGUCAUAGUCACUAAAUUAUUUAUAUCUUGAGCUACAGAACUCAAAAUUGAGAUCUGUUAAUUUUCUAUGAAACUAUACUCACAUGUCUUCUUACCAUAAAAUUUUCAGAAUUUUGGUUUAGCCAAUAAGUACAGUUUAUUCUUUAAAUUCAUCCAUAUUCUGUUGUCUGACAGUUCCGACCAUUCUUUACUAAAAAUUAAUUAUCUCCUCGUACAAAAUUCGAAUGAUAUUACCAUUUGCUUCUAUUGAAAAUAGACUCAUUAAGGAUUCAAAAAUAUAAAUUUAAGCCUCUAAUUAUUUUUCUCCAAUUUUUUAUGAUUUUUCAAAGUCAGAACAGGGGAACCCGAAAUCAUUCUAACCUUAUCUCACAAAACCUAUUAUAUCUCAUAAUUUACAAUUCCAUUGCUUACACUGUUUCUUCUAUGAGAAACUAGACUCAACAAGCUUCUAUUUCAUAUUUCAUGCAUCUCACGUGGAAGAGAAGAGAGGAAAGAUAGUUUUACUUUCUUUACAAUUUGGUCCUUUUACCAAAAAUUCACCAUUUUCACUUAGAAAUUAAAAGAAUUUUCAUAUCCAUCAAGAGAGAAAGAUAACAAGGAGACUAUAGGGAGCUAGAAUAUCAAGUUAGAUUCAAGAAAUAGAAGUAGGGGGAGAGAGAAAAUCAAGUUAAAGAUUGAAAUCAAUAGCACAAGGUAAGAACAUCAAGAUUUUUAUAUACUUUUGAGUUUGAUAUUAUUGAAAAAGUAGGAAAUUAAUGUUAAGGUAGAGUUUCUUUAUAUAAGGUUCUAUAUUCUUGUUAUGUUAGUAAAGGGAAAUAAGAGAAAGUGAUGGAAAAUAUUGAAGAGAAAGGAAAGGAAAGUGUUAUAAACUUAGUUAUCAAUAUUUAACACUAAAACAGUUUUGAGACAGCAGUAGUAGUCUGACUUUGAAAAUUUACCAAAAAUCGUAUAAAUUGAAUUAGAGGAUGCAAAAAAUAUGAAAUCAAAUCUUAUUGAGCCUAGUUUCUCAUAGAAGAAACAUUGUAAGCAAUGAAAUUUUAAAUUAUGAGAUAUAAUAGGUUUUGUGAGAUAAGGUCAAAAUGAUUUUGGGUUCCCCUGUCCUAACUUUUGAAAAUCAUCAAAAAUUGUAGAAAAAUAAUUAGAGGCUUAAAUUUAUAUUUUUGAAUCCUUAAUGAGUCUAUUUUCAAUACAAGCAAAUGGUAAUAUCAUUAAAAAUUUUUACGAGGAGAUAAUUAAUUUUUAGUAAAGAAGGGUCGGAACUGUCAGACAACAGAAUAGGGAUGAAUUUAAAGAAUAAACUGUACUUAUUGGCUAAACCAAAAAUUCUGAAAAUUUUAUGGUAAGAAUACAUGUGAGUAUAGUUUCAUAUAAAAUUAACAGAUCUCAAUUUUGAGUUCUGUAGCUCAAGAUAUAAAUAAUUUAGUGACUAUGACUCAAGUGGACAGCUUUGAAUGAAUAUAAAUAAAUGUGAAAUUAUAGAUAAUGUUACAUAUAAGCAUGUUAUAUUUAUUAAGGAUGUGGAAUGGAGAGGAGGAGGAGGAGGAAAAUAUAUGAUUAUUCAACUAGCAUGAGUUUUCAUUAAAAAUGACCAAUUUAUAUAUUUUAGGGACUAAAUUGAACAAUGUGAAAAUUUAAGGGUAAAUUUGUAAAAAUGUCAAAAAGUGACCAAAUUGCAUGAAAUGAAUUGUUUUAUUAUUUAAAUUAGUAAAUUGAAUGAAAUAUUAAUUUAGAUCAAGAUUGGGUGGAAAUUCGAGAAAAAAAUAGAAAAUUUUCAAAAUGUCCAUGAAUUUUGGUAUUUUUGCAAUUUAGCUGGUAAGUUCGUAUGAACUAUAUUUUGUUUAAUUUUAGUUGAAGUGAAUGCUAUUUGGUAAUGAAUAUUAUAUAUAUGUGUGCUUUAUUAUUGGAACUGAAUUAUUAUUGGUAAUAUGUAUAAUUAUUAGAUGCUUUGAAAUGAUUAUCGGAAGCUUGUUGGAGAUAUAUCACAUUAUUCAUUGGUUCUAUUUGUAAUUUUGGAUGAUUUGAUUCUGGUUAUAAUGACGUCUAUAAGUUAAAUUGGUUAACGUUAGCUCAUUAAUAUUUUGAUUUUGAUUGGUUAUAAAUAUGAAUGUUAGAUAAAAAUGAAAUGUCUGAAAAUUAAUUAGUAAACUCCGGUAAUAUCUCGUACCCUAUUUCGGUGUCGAAUACAAGUAAAGGGUGUUACAUAUUUUGUUCAGGCAAACCACGAACUAAGGCGAAUAGGUGUGACGGAGCCUCACGGUGACAACGAAUUCAUAAACUGUUUAAGAUUGUGGUUUUUUUUUAAUGUAAGGUUUAUUUCUGAGAGUUUUGUUAUAAUUGGACUCUCCGGACUGUUUGGUUAAAUUUUAGGAUUUUUGUUUUAACAUUUUAUCUACGGCAUAUAUUUAAAAAUGUGGUUUUUACUAAAAUAAAUGUUUCAAAUAUAUAUAUACGAAUGGGAUUUCCAAAAAAAUACGUGUUCUAUGACUUUCGCUAUAAAUUACGUUUUGGCAAAUAAGUUAAUUAAAUAACACUUUCGAUAAUAGAUAUAAACGAAUUUGAGUUAUAAAACUAGAACGAUUUAUCGUAAUGACUCAGUUUUCAAAACCCAUCUUUGUGACAUCUCCAAAUUCAGCAAUAAUGUCUAGGUCUGGUCUGAGGUGUUACAAAUUCAUAUCAGUGCUUAUUAUAAUUUAAAAUAAAAUAUUGCUGACUUUUCCUUAACCAAAAUACUAUAUUUGUUUAAAGUUGAAUGUAGGAGUAUGAACACAUUAUUUUAGUUUGCAUCCGCUAUCAACAAUUUGCUUGCAUUCUACUUCAACAACAUUACAAUGGUGGAGGCACCCACUUCAUUUGCUAUUGUUAAAUUUGCCCAGCAUAUUGCAGACUGGCCUGCCCUAGUUUGUUUUCACAAGUGAGUGGCGAACUUACUGACUUAUUAUGUUAUAGUGUACAUGGAACAAAUUUUAUUUUAUUUGCAUUACGUAAUUUUUUUUCCAUGAUUUUAACUUUGUUUAUACCUUUGAUACAUCAUUUUGACAAGCUUAUAAGGGAUGUCACUCGAAGCUUAGAUUCGAACAAAAAUAAGUUAACCUAGGGUGGAGUUAGAAAAAUUUGUUAGAGUGCCGAAAUUAAAUUGUAACUUUUCCAAUAGUAAAAAUGUAAUUUCAUCAUUUUAAUAGUUUAUAUCUUUAUAAUUUUUAAAUGAUUAAAUAAAAUUUUUAUUAUUUUUAGGAGGUCAAAGUGAAAUUUUACCUAUUACUAAUUUAAAAUUUUAAAAAUUUUAAAAUAUUUAAAUGAAAAUUUUUCCAUUUUAAGGGGAGCUGGACUUCUACCAUCCCCUAACUACACCCUUGAGUUCACCCAGAACCUAACCACAUUCAAACACGAAUUUGAUAUGCAUUAGCUCAAUUAUUUGCCAAUAGUAUCUUUUAUAUAAUGAGUUGAUGAGAUACAAUAUAUGAAUAUAGUAAUACCCAAGUACAUAAACAUGCGGGUAGUCUAACAAUCAGUGUGCGUUGUAAUGAUUGAUUUUUGCUGUAACUAUUCAGAUGUAUUACUUGUAAGUAAUUGUAAUUGUAAUUUCAAUUAAAGAAAAAAAAUCUUUAUUUUUACGCUAACACAUACUCGGACAUGGUUAUGGGAUACAAUUAUCCAAACGUAUCAAAAAAUAUAAAAAAGUGAAAUCAAUGUUGUUAUUUGGACUUAAACAACUAUAUAUCCAUGGAGAAUGGUUAGGAUACAGCUUCUAAAGUAGAAAAUUGUGUGAUGGCCUUUUGCUUGCCAUCUUUUCAUAUGUUGUAACUAUCAUACAAUGUGUUGCCAUGUAACAACCCGAUUUUGGGUCUAGUCGGAAUAGUGGUUUUUGGACCACAAAUCCGACGAGGAAAAAUGUAAUGGUCUAAAUUUUCAGAGGUGUCGGAACGGUGAUUCGAGAUCACUAAAUUCAACAAAUGGGUAGAAAAUAUUAUUAAUUUAGUGAGUAUAAGUUAAAUGUGAAGUUAGGAAAAUUUUUGAAAUAGUGAAUAGUAUGGAGUGUUAAAAAGUUAGUAUUAAAGUUUCGUUGAGAAAUUUUAAAGUUCCCAUAAUUAAUUGAACAAAAAGGACUAAAUUGUAACAAAUGCAAAAUUAUGGGAAAUGAUUAAAUAGCUUAAAUGAUAAAAGGAAGAGGGCUUAAAAGGCAAAUAGACCCAAGGUCUAUUUGGGCUGGACGGCAAAGGCAUGAAAUCAGCAACAAAGUCAGGAGAAUUAAGGGUAAAAUUGGAAUAUUGCAAAAUUUACUUAAUAAAGUUAGGACCAAAGUGGAAUUAUCUAGAUUUCUCUUCAUUUUUCUGCACUCUCAUCAGCUAAAACACCAUAGAAGGGUUUCUUCAAGCUGGUUCUUCAUAUUCUUACUGCAAGUAAGUUCAAUUCUUGAUUAUUUCUUCAAAUUUUUGUGUUUUUGUGACUUUUACAACUAGGCCCACUUGUUAAAUUCAUUAGUUUUUGAUUUUAUGAAAAAAGUUGAAAGUUGAUAUGAAUAUGUGCUGGAAGUAUAUGAUGAUUUAGCAUGGAAUUAGAGCUUUAAAUUGUUCAUAUGCUGAUUUUAUUGAAAGAAUUGAAUAGAAAGUGAAUAUUUGGGACCUAAUAGUAAAAGAGUUUGAAGAUAGAGUUAUAUGUGAAAAUUCUGAAUUUUAAUAGUUGUGAAACAACUUAUCAUGUCUAGGUAAAGUAUUAAUUGAGAAAAUUAGAUUAAUUGAGGGGUUAAUUGAGAAAGGACCGAAUUGUAUAAACUGUGAAAUUUGGGGCAAAAUGGAAAUCAACAUUUUGCACUAAAGCAGUUUUGGACAGCAGCAGUAGUCUAACUUUGAAAAAUCACCAAAAAUUUUAGAGAUUGAAUUAGAGGAUCAAUAAAAUAUGAAAGCUUAUUGAGUGUAGUUUCUUAUAAAAGAAACGGUGUAAGCAAUACAAUUGUAAAUCAUGAGAUAUAAUAGAUUUUGUAAGAUAAUGUCAGAAUGAAUCCGGGGUUCCCCUAUUUUGACUUUGGAAAAUCAUUAAAAAUUGUACAAAAAUUAUUAUGAGUUAUAAUUUAUAUGGUUAGAAUCCUUAAUGAGUCUAUUUUUAUAAGAAACAAACGAAAACAUCAUCUGAAUUCUGUAGAAUGAGAUAAUUAAUUUUUAGUGAAGAGUGGUCGAAAUUGUCAGACAGAAAAACAGGGGAAACUUUAAAGAAUAAACUGUACUAUUUGGCUGAACCAAAAAUUCUGAAAAUUUUAUGGCAAGAAGAUAUAUGAGUCUAGUUUCAGGGAAAAUUAACGGAUCUUAAUUUGGAGCUCUGUAGCUCUGGAUAAAAAUAAUUUAGUGACUCUGACUCGGAUAAACAGCUUUGAAUAUACAUGUGAGUGAAUAUUGAAAUUAUGGUUAAUGUUGUUUAAGUGUGUUAUACACAUUAAGGAUGUGGAAUGGAGAGGAGGAGGAGGAAAAUUGAGAAAUAUAUGAAUGAUUUGUGUAUAAUUGGUCAUAUGCUUGAUUAUAAUUGAUAAACGAUGAAAUAGAAGUGAUGCUUAUAUUUGUUCAUUAUUGGUCAUGGUUUAAGCUCAUGUGUAAAAAUAAAGUUUCAUAUUAUGUGUGUAUGGUAUAUUCGGUGUACAAGACCAAUUUGACCCGGCCCAAUAGCCCAAGGCCCAAAAUCUAAAUUGGCCCAAUUGGGCCCAAAAAUUAAACAACAUCAGGGAACCCUAGGGUUCCCUACCUUGCUCAGCGUCGUACGCCUCCUGCAGCCUAGCCCUCUGCCACCGCCGUUCACCUUGUCCCAUCGCCACCUGCUUCACCUGCAAAUAAUAAAGAGAACAACAGCAACAAGCAAGAGGGGUUUUGUUUUUUUGAUUUUCGGUAUAUAAAUCGAUUAUUAACAAAUUUUCAAUGGGGGGAUCACGGUAAUCGAGUCUUUUUCUCUUCUUUUUUGUAACAUUUUCACACAAAAAAAAACAAGAGAUUAAUAAGAAAAAGGUUGAAUCCUUGUGAUUUCCUCUUCGUUUUCAAUUUUUUUUUCUUUAUUUAUUUGUUUUAUCUUUUUUUCUUCUUUUACAAAUCUAUAUUAAAUAACUAUAAUAAAAAAUCAAAAGCAAAAAUAGGGGGAAGGGAAACUCACCGGAGUUGGCCGUGACUGCGCUGUCAGAGGGUCUCUCCUCCGUCACUUGAUUCAGGUCUAAAGGGGUCGAAGGUCUCCUCUUUGUUUCAUUUCUCGCGGGUUGAGAGAGCUUGGCUCUCAAGGAUACCGUAACAGAGGCUAAAAGCUCAUCGUUUUCCGUUGCCGGCUGUUAGCCACGGCGACGGCGCGGCCAUUCGUCGACAGAGACCAUAGGCCAGAUGCGUGGGGGGUGUUGAGAGAUUGUGAGGGUUUCUUUUUUUAUUAUUAUUUUUAUUUUAAAUGGCUGAAUGAGUAAAAAAACAACUUUAGUUUUUGUAAAGAACGUGAAACGGUACCGUAUAGGGGGGAGACCCGCGCGCGACCCUACCCGCUCCAGGGGGAUCCGCGUGUUUCCAUGAAAUGGGUUAUUUGCAACCUUGGCCCUUCCACGUUCAUCCUCUUUUCAAUUUACUCCUUUUUUGUUUACUUCCACCUUUUUUUAAUUCGGCCCUGCAAUUUUGUUUGAAUUUCAAUCGAAUCCCUGACCCAUCAGCGCAUUGAAAGCGGACGCGUGUCUGAAUUUGCGCAUUUUGCCGAUUCGGUCCUCACCUUUUAUUUCACUUUCGAUUUUGCCCCAAAUAUUUGUCUUAAAAUUCAAAUAAGUCUUUUUUCUGUUAUUUUCCUAUUUUACAAAUUAACUUAGUUUGUUUAUUUAUUUAUUUAUUUCUCAUUAUUAUAUUAUGCUAUGAUUUUUUUACAUUGUUAUUAUUAUCAUAUUUCUAUUUUAUUUGUUUAUCUAAGUGUAAAUAUCUUUUAACAUCUUUAUUAUUAUUAUUAUUUUUACCACUUAUACUGUUUUUAGACUUUGUUAUAUAUAUAUAUAUACACAUACUAACCUAUAUAUACCUUUUUAAUAUUUCAUAUAUGUGCGUACUUAUAUUUUUUGUAUACUUUAUAAUUUAUCUACAUAUAUACAUACGUAAUAUUCAAUAAAUGAGUACAUUUCUACCUACUUUAUAACUCGUAUAUACGUAUUUAUAUAUACAUCUUAAAUUUUUAUACAUAUACAUACCUAUUUCCAUAGUAUGUGCACGUACAUAUUUUUAAGUUUAUUUAUAAAUACAUGCCUACUUAUAUAUAUUACUCGUAUUUUUAUACUUUAUAUAUUUACAUAUUUUUUAUCUUCAUAAAUACAUAUACUUAUUUUAUAUAUAUAUAUUUUUGUAUAGUUUAUAUACUUACAUAAUAUACAUAUUUACGUCCUUUUUUACACUUUAUAAUUUAUAUACAUAAAUGUGUAUAUUCGUUUUUUUACAUAUAUACAUGUAUAUGAAUUCACGCAUCUUUUGUAAUUUAUAAUCUACUAAUAUACAUACAUAGAUAUUUUAUCUCUUAUUAUUUGUAUUUUUAUUGACGUUCUAUUCAAUAUUUAUUCAUUUAUCUAUUCAUAUGUUCGUUAUUAUUUUUAGGAAAUGCUUUAGUUUAUUUUAUUUUAUUUAUUAUUUCAUAUACUUGAUUCUUUUAUUUUAUGUAUUCUAUUUCUUGUGAUUAUUGCUUAUAUUAUUUGUGCUUGUAUUAUCAUCGUCAUUUUGUCAUACAAGUUAAUAUUGUGUUUAUUCCUACCAUUUUAUGUUGAGUUAGUUUUAUUUAAUAUGGUUUUAAAAUAAACAAAAUUUCGUGUUUAGAUUUGAGAAAGUCGUACCCUAACUUACUAGGUUUCGACUUUCACAAUAAAUCUAAAGACACGAAUAUUUUUAAACUCAAGUUUUUAAACGAUCUCGGGAAUUAAGAAAAGAUCGUGUCCUAACUUACUGGGCAUGAUCCCUUUUCUAAACCCGAGAGAUAAUUAAAUAUCUUUUUAAAUAAGUAAAUUUUUUGGCAUGUAAUCUCGUAUCGGGAAUUCGAUACGUUGUGUCCUAACGCAUUGGAUAUGACAUGUCGUUUUCUCGAGAUGAGAAUUUUUCUAAAAAUAUAUAUAAUAAAGGAAAUGUUUUGCGUUUGGAAAUUCGAGAAGACGUGCCCUAAUGUGCUGGGUGUCGAUUUUUCUCAUUCAACCAAAUGGCUAAAUAUCCUUUUAAAAAUUUUAAAAUAAGGCAAUGUUUUGCGUUUGAAAAUUCGAGGAACGUGCCUUAAUGUGCUGGGUUUCGAUUUCUCGAUUGACCGAAUAGCCAAAUAUCCCCUUGAAUUUCAAUCCAUAUCAUCCGAGGUUUUUUUAGGAUCGUUUUUUAAAUCUUUCUAAAUUUUCAGUUUUUCGACACUAAGACAUUAAGUAAUCAACUAGGUACCAAUUUUGGGCGUAUCGAGGGUGCUAAUCCUUCCUCGUACGUAACCGACUCCCGAACCCGUUUUUUUGAAUUUCGUGGACCAAACUCGUUGUUUUAAUAAAAUUAAAUUGUUUAUUAAAAACAACCACUUUUGCGAGAGGAUCCGAUCACACCUCAUAAAAAAAAGGAUUGGUGGCGACUCCCGUUUCAUUUUUCAAAACCCAAGUUGACCCCGUUUUCAAUCUAAAAAAUGGUGUCAACAUUCGGUAUAUGAUUGGCAUGAAAUAAUGUCAUGAAUGGUUUAUGAAUUAACACAUGUUGGUAAGCCUGACACAUGAAUAAGUGUUAUGCUCAUCCAUGCUUAUAAUGCUUAUGCUAUAUGUGUAUUUGGCUGACAUAUUUGGUGUAUAUGCUUAGGCUUUGGCCAAGUAGUGGCUAGAUUAUGCUAUGUUAAAUUUAUAAGUUAUGCAUUGAAAUGAUUUAUCAUGUGGUUAGCCCCAAAAAGAGUUAUGUUUAAAUACACUAGCUUGCGACUAUGGUUGAAUGAUAUGUUUAUAUCUUGUGUGAUGUGCAUAGAAAACGAGUGUGGAAAGAUAAUGAAAUAAUAAGUUCAUAUGGCUGAAAUUUAAUGAUUAAAUGUUAAUUUCAUGAAUUAUAUAAUGUAUGAUGAAAUAUAUAUUUAUUGAUGAAAUGAGAAUAAAAUAAAAAUGCGAAAACUGAAUAAAUGAUCAAAUUGAGCGGAACGCCAGAUUUGAGUACAUCCGAUCAAGUGACAAAGUGAUAAGUGGUAGCCUAGCUACACUUAUCUGAUCAGGGACAAGUGAUAAGUGAUCAUACGUAAAGACCAUAGUUAUACUAUGGCAAAGUGGAAGUGAAGUACUCAAUUUUCUGUAACCGUUCCCUAAUUUGAUUAAGGAUGAUAAGUGACAAAUUGGCUCAAAAGAAUUAAAGUAAAUAGAUAAGUGGUAGUGUAUUUAUACCAAGAUGAUGUUGUUAUUUAAGCUAAAGUAAUAUUUUCAUUGCAAAAUUGAGAAUUUCAUAAAUGUGUUAUUGAAUGGCAUAAUCGAUAAACGUUGAGUUAAAUGGUAAAUACGUAUUAGUGUUGAACUUAAUGUCAUUGAAUUGUAUGUGAAUUAAAUGGAAAUUGCUAGUGAUAUGAUUUAAAUUGUGAGCAUGAGAAAUUGCGAAUUGAAUGAAAUGGAAAUGAAGCAUUGAAUUGCAUGAGUAUAUAUUGGGUAUCGUAGGCCCUAAUUAUUAUGAUUAUAAUAUUUUGAGGAUAUAUUGUGAAGAGUUAUAAAAGCAUGUUAAUAAUUUUGAAAGUUUUAAUUUAGAUGAAAUUUUAUAACUCUGUUAAAUACGUUUAUAAGUGUAUGUAUUCUGAUAAUGCCUCGUGCCUAUUCCGGUGCUGGAUACGGGUAAGGGGUGUUACAUGCCAUCUUUUCAUAUAGUACAACAAUAUGGGUUCAACAAUGUGUGAUGGUGCCAUCUUUGCAUAUGUUGUAGCUAUAAUACUAUGUGUUGACCUUAAUUGUUAACAUUAUUUACAGGGCCAAGAUCAGGUUCAAUAGGUGAGAGUUCAUUGAUCAUUGUCAAUAUGAAAAUUGUAAAAGCAAUUAGAAGAGGAAUUAUAAGAAAUUACCAAUUACAAUAUGACCUUUCAAACACAUAUACAUGAUUUAAGUUUAAGAAAAUUUUUUUUAUACAAGUUUAUAAAAAAUAUCUGUUAAAAAUAGAAAGUCGAUAAUGGCAAUGUAUCCCAAAGAAAAGAAAAAAAAUAGAACAAACAUAAUUUUUACGUGGAAACCCUUUCGGGAAAAAAACCACAGACAGAGGAGAAGAAAAUUCGCUAUGUUGAAUUCUAAUGAUACAAGAGAAGAGACGACUACGUCUAUUCAUAGGUUUGUAAAAUCAUAUUCUAAUCAAAGUCAAAUAGAAGUAAUACAGUAAGGUUAAAACACCUUAUUCUAAUCAACAUCAAAUAGAGGUUGUAUACUUCUAUACAGAUUUCACUUAUGCAGCCUGAUACAAUUUGUUGUGCAAAUAGGGUAAAAUAGAGUAAAUCAUUGUACUAAAAAAUUAUACUAGGUUCAAUUUCCAGAAAAGAUUGGAAGGGUCAUAGACGGUUUCAGUUAAAACCCAACCUCCUAGACAAAAUAUCUCACCAAUGUAAUUUAAUAGCAAAAUAUAUUACAACCAAUGUACCCUAUAAAAUAUUGAAAGUAAAAAACAAUAAAGAACUCCAAAAUUUUAACGAGGUUUGGCAAAUUAUGCCUACAUCCUCAGAUUCUACCAAAUAUAUUUUACUGCAAAAAUACAGGUGAAAAAUUACAAAAGGGAAAAUUUGUCUUAUGAAGGAAUAACAAAUUUUGGGAAGAUUUAAAGGUGGAGAGACCACCUCUAUUUAUAAUAAGUAUAAGCACUCCACAACCUUGUAUUUUUUAGAUGAGGGAUUGUGCUAUUUUAACAUUGUUUUCAUGUUAGAUAAAUAUAAUAUUCAUGUAUACCAUAUGUAAAUGUAAAUGUAAAUGUAAAAUGAUGCUACAUCGAUAAUAAUAUUUAUAGUAAUUUGUGAAAAUUAAAUUGAAUAAUUUUUUUAUAUAUAAUUAUACAAAAUCUAAAUUCAUGUAUCACACUGUAUAUUGGACAAAAAAUCAUGUGUAGUUUUUAUUACAUUUUAUCAUUAAAUAUAUACUAAAUAAAAUAAUAUUCUCAAUUAAAAUAAAUAUAUAUUAUAUUACUAAAUUAAAGCAGUGAUUUGUCUCAAUUAUUACAGAUAAAUUCCCAGGUCACUUUCCUUUUUAAUAUUUUAUUUUAAGUAUAAGUAUGACAUAAAAAUUUAAUGUAUAUUAAUUUUAUUAGUGGUCUGUAUAAUGGUUUUGGCUCACCAUUUACUUUUUAACCUUAUUUGAGUAUAAUAUAUAUGGUAAGCCGAGAUGUUACAUAAUUAAUGCCCGUAGAGGAAAUCUCAACCAAAAUUCAUAAUAUUGUGACAGGCACCCCAAGUUUUCGUUAGAUUUCAAUUUAACCCUUUAAAUAUUGCAUAUUAUUACUCAAAUUCAAGAUUCUUAAAUCACUUUUCAAGAAUAUUACAUGUCUAAAUUCACUCAAAUUUGUAAUUUCUAGAAGAUUUAAUCCACGGUUUAUUGUCAAUAAAAUAAAGAAAUAUUAAUUUAUCUUAAAACAUUCUUAAAAACAUUCAUUAGCAAAACCAUAAAUCAUCAUAAAUCUAAUGAAUAAAAAAAACCCCAUAAAUUUAGUGUUUGUAAAUCCUUGAAACUUUCAUGUUCACUAAUUAAACAUGUUUAUGGAAGAUUGAAUAUUAAUGUCACAAAAAUUGGGUUGCAAUUAUAACUAAGAUAUUCUAAAUACCUUGAAAAAUUUUAACAAAUAAACACGAGAAAUCAAAUUGCUUAAAAAUUAACAUGUUUGAUCACAAUUCAAUUAAUAUAAAUUAUGUAUUUUUCUAAUUUCUCGAUGAUUAAAUAAAGUAAAAGAUAUAAAUUAAUAAAUGCGAGUGAGUUAAGUGAAAUUGCACGGGCGACAUGCAUUUUCAUGCAACAUACGUAAAAAUUAUCCCCACGCAUUUAAUAACUUCAUGUUCAAAAUAAUGUACAACCAAAAGAAUAAACCUAAAAUUUUUCUUUAAAAAUUAUGCUCAAUCAAUUUAGAAAGACAUAUAUAUGUUCAAGGGUAAAAUUGAAAAUGAUUCAACACCCUAAGGGACAAAUGCAAAUGAAAAGAGGAAAAUGAGAGGCAAAUAUGUAAAUUUGCAAAAUUACCAACCCACACCGGGGCUAUAUAUAGGUACGAGAAAUGGAGAAGGUGCAUACAAAACAAUAGGCAUUGUAGGUUUUAAUAAAGUGAUGAAGAUGGAGAGUGGCGAGUCGAGCUUGACGAAGAGGAGGGGGAGACCAUCAGUAGCAGCAGGCUAAGGAGUGGUCGCCAUUGAAGCUAGCCACCUUGAGGGCGGUGAAAGAGAAGGCUGAAAAAAGGGUCAAUAGGAUGUCACUGGAUGUCACCAUAUCCAAUACUUUGACAACACCGAUGCUCCUUAUGACUGGUUGCUCCCUGGUUGGAUAGUUGAAGGGUGCUUUGUUCCGUCUGGUUAUAGGGGCCGCGGCAGGAUCUGUAAGGCAUAUCAAACAACCAUUGUUUCCUUCAUCCUACAUACAUGUAUGCAAAUAUUAAUAUAAAGAUGAUGAUGAUUGUGAUGAUGAUGGUGCAAUACUACUAUGAUCCAGUUGGGCAUUCGUACCGCACCAAACGUUAAGUCUUGUUUGCAUGGGAGGAAUUAAACAUCAUUUGCCUUGAUACAUAAUUAUAAUUAAUCAAAUCUGAAAACUCCAUGGAAAUAAACACACGCACGCACAGAGAAAAACCUAAUUUUAUUUAGUUAUAUAUAUUAUCUAUCUUUUUCAUUUUUUGGGGUUAAUUAAAUUGCAGGGUUUCUCACUCCAUGUCAGAGUCAUGAAGAUGUUGAACUAGAACAAGAACGUGAAGACAUUUUCUUGUGUUUCAAAUGUUUUGUAUGUCGAAUAUAUGAUGGAAAUAACAAUUUUAUAAAUUAAACAAAAGUUUUUUAAGCUAUAAACUCAACUUCUCUUUAGAUGGUGAUGGUGGACAGUGCUAGUAUCGUUUGAGGGAGGGACAAAGUGAUGAAAAAUGGUGAAGGGCUCGAGAGUGUCCAAAAGUUCACCAUCCCAUUCCUCAUUUUUAUUGUUUUAUGGAGAGGGAGUGAUGGGUUGAUGGAGAUGGCAUAGGGUGGCUGGUGAGAAUGGCAGCAGGGGUAGAGGCAGGUAGGGUGGCUGAUGGGAUGGGGGCAGCUGAGUAGAGGGUCCAGACAACAGCAUAAGGAAAGGGGCAAAGUACCAAAUUGCAAUGAUUUGAAAAAUUGUGAGACUUUUUGUAAUUUUCCUUUUUCUGAUUUUUUAUAUUUUUUGAAUUUUGUAAUGUUUUUAGAUUUUUUUUUAUGAAUAUAGCAAGUAGAUAUAUAUAUAUUCAAAAUGCCAAAAAGAAAUUUAAGCCCAUUAACCCAAAUUUCAACCAUGUUUGAAGAAUUCAACAUUUUACUUUAAAUUAGCAAUAUCCGGAAUUUAAAAUCAAUAAAAACACAGUUAGAAUCAUAGCCUAAUACAUUUAUCCAAAUUAAUCUUUGAUUUUUUUCAAUCGAGCCCAGGCUUUCGAGUAUAUUCAAUUUUUUUUAAAGUUGAUCAGAAGAAUCAUAGCCUAAUACAUUUAUCCAGAUAUGUAUCAAACACGAAUAUUUCAAGAAAAAAAAUUGAUUUGGACCUAACAUAGAUAAAACCACACCAAUCCGUAUGUAUAUAUUAAAAAAAAAAAAACAGUAUUUCCAAAACUCACUUUCAUCCAUUUUUGCCUUCAGUCCCUUGCAACCAUUGUUCUAAUUUAGCCUCUUUAUCUGCCUUGAAAUCGUCGAAGUUUACGGACCCGAACGAUAACUUAUGGUGUGAAAGUUCAACAUCAUCCUCGGGUUCUUCCUUUUCAUCUUCUUCAUUGGGUUCAUCGGCCAUUUGACUCGAUACCGGUAGCUCAUCAGCUUCUGUAUCAGGAAUUGAACUAGUGCUAGCAGAUGCAACUGAUAACGGUGGAGCUGGUUGUGAAGGUGGCUUUUGGGGCUCGGCUUCCAUCUGUUCCUUGGUAUCAAGUUGUGGCCACUUAAAAUUGCUUGCUUUUUGUUUUGCGGACUUGAUUACAGUCGAAAAAUAAUUACUCCCAUCAAACUGGAUGUUCCCAGCAGGAUUCCAAGACAUUGGUCCCGAAGAGCUAGUUCUUCCCAUCUGAAAGCUUGAAGCAGGACUGUGGAUCAAUCCUCUCUUCGGUUGUUUUGAGGACAUUAACAUUAAGGAACUCUUAAUGUCCUUAAUCAUCUCGUCUGCAAUUGGGAAACCGCAUUCCUUCAUCGAUCUCACCGUGGUGAUAGAAUCUUCCAAGUCUUGUGUGUGUAAAGUUGCUUCAUGAGAUUUUUCUACAACGUGAUUACGGAGAUUAACUACGUUAGGAAUGGCAUUCUCGGUGUGCUGUUGAAUGUAGAAAAGUCCUACUGAGGGUUCAUUUGCCACGAACUUUAUCAUCUCAGCUACGGAUUCGGUUAUCUCCAAGAAACCAUCCACGGUGGAGAAUCCAUUCAUCUUGUUGAAGGUGAAUGGCAAUUCAUCACUGAGGUUUGUCCGAAAAUCACAAAUCGAAAUCCAUGUCAAAAGGGAUGUUUUAAAAGAGAAAAAAGCCAUGCUAUUUGCUCCAUCUAACAACGAUAUCCAAUACAUUUCAGACAUGAAUAUAGGGCAUGAUCCUCUAAUUAUAUGAAAAAAUGUCAAACAUAUACCAUAUCCAACACUUGCCCAAAUCUGGAUAACAUAAAAGCUAAUGGAAAAUUUCAUUCCUACAAUCAAUGUCCCAAAAUUGGCAUUUUUUUUUAACUUUCCACUAUAAUCCCUAAGAAAGUGAUGUAAACAGAAACAAUUAGAAUAAAAUUGAUCCCCAAUUUGAACAACAAUCAUCAUCAAACACCUUAUUCAUGGCUGGUAGUGGGUUUCAAUUUAAAUCUCGAGCUAUGCAGGAUUAAAAAAAACAUUCAAAAUCUAUCAAAUUAAUGGCUUUUAGAACCCUAAUUCCCAAAUGUAAUUUUGACCAGAAAGUGCAGAUUUUGAUUUCACAAAAGGUUAUUACUAAGCUCCUAUGGCUUCUCUACUGUCGAGAUAAACCUUCAACUCAUACCAAUCCAAUUCCAAAUAAUAUUUCAUGGAUUAUUCAAUGAAUUUUAGGGUUUAAUUUCAUAGCAAAGAGAGAGAGAGAGAGAGAGAGAGAGAGAGAGAAAUCAGAUAAACAAGGCAUCAGCAAUUUAGCCAAAAACAAGAACCGAUUGAACAAAAAAAAAGAGAAAAUUUAAAUUUAAAAAAAAAGGACAAGGCAUUUAAAUUAAUACCCACAUUAAAACACGAGAAAAUAAUAAAAACCCAGAAAUCAAAAUGUGAAAUUGACUUUGAUUUAUUCAAUUAAAAAGGGAGAAAUUACUUACCAGACGAAACGAAUAGAAGAACAGUUGAAUUUGCCAAAGAAGAAGACAAAAGAACAAUCUUCUGGUUUUAGAUCAAAAGAAAGAUUAAAAAGCUUCAAACUUGGAUAGUUAAAAGCUUCAAACUUUUUUUUUUUAUGUUAUCUCUGUUCUUUAUCUAUGAAGCUCCGUUGAUAAUUUAUUUAUUAUUUUUUAAAAUAUUAUCUUUUAUUUAUAUAAAAUCCAUAAGUUAUCAUAAAUGAACUAACGGCAUAUAGAGACAAAGACGAAACUUGUUUUGUAGCUUUAUCUUUUUUAAUGAUUUUUUUAAUUCUAAAAAUUUUAUUUAAUUGAUUGAAUUUUAAUUCGAUUGAUAUUAGUAUUGUUCUUAAUACAAAGGGACAUUAAUUUGAGUAUCUUCAAGUUAGACCUGUUCAUGGGCAAAGCUACCGCCCAAGCUCGCCCCAAAUUUAAGAGGGUUUGAGAAAAAAUAUUAUACUAAAAAAUAAGUUUGGGUAAAAAAAUAAACCCGUUUAAAAUAUAAGUCAGGUUUGGGCUUGAACAUUCAAGGCUCGAACCCGACCCCAAUCUAUUUUAAGUUUAUAAUAUUUUUUAUUAUUUUAUUUUUAUAUAUUAUGUAAUUUAGAACACAUUAAAAAAUUUAACAUAUAUUAAAUAUAAAAUACUACUCUAAUGUAAACAUUAAAAAAAUAUUAAGAUGACUGUAUAAAAGUUUUCAAUAAAUAAAAAAAUGCAUAAAACUAUUAAAUAUUAAAUAAUAUAAUAUAAAUAUUUUUUAAAAAUAAUAUGAGUAGGUCUAAAAUGGGCUUAGGUUAGUCUUUUGCAAAUAUGAGUAAGUUUUGGUAAAAUUUAAACCCAAAAUUCAGGCCGAGAUGAGUUUGGACAAGUAUAAAAUAUGUUAAUAUCAUGUUUAGGUCUGGCCCAUGAACACCUCUAGUUGAAGUGCAUUAUCAUCUUAUUUAAAGGUUAAAGAAAAAUAGUUUAUAUCUAUACUUAUAUCUAUCUAUUUAUUUUAAAUAUUUUACUCUAUCACAGAUCAAUAGAGUACUAAUUCAAUUAUGAAAUUAUUAAAAUAUCUUUUCAUGACUCUUAUAUAAAUUAAAUUAUAUUUUUAUGAAAGUGUUUUCAUUUUUUUAUAUAAUAGAUUCAUAAAAAUGUGAUUAAUUAUUUGAAACUAGAAUAUCAUUCAUGAUAAACAAUUAGUUUUACCAUUAUAAUCAAAACAUCAAUUACUUUUUUUUCACUCAUAAAAUAUUUUACUAAGUUGAUGUCACGAGUCAACUCGACACCAACUUAAUCAGGAAAUUGCUUAAAAAUUUUUAACCAACUUCAGAAAAACGCAAAAAAAAGCUUCAUUAGAAAUGUCAUACAAUCUAGUAUAAAAAUUAAAAUAAUCUCAUCUUCAUUCAUUUUCAGAUUUUUGAGCUUAGUAGUCCAAAUUUGCAAUUUGGACAUUCUGACAGUAGCAUUCCCUUUAUGUUGGUUUUGUAGAAUGGUCCAAGCCUUUUUAGCAGUUUUACAUGUUGAAAUCAUAUUGAAUUGCUCUAUGUCAACCCCACUAAAGAUGGCAUAAAACGCUUUUGAGUUGGCAUGAGCAGCCAUUCUCUCAAUAACAGUAUAUUGAUUUUUCUCUUUUACCUUUUGUUACUCCAUCAUCACCAAACAUCUCAGACUUUGCCCAUCCUUCCUCAAUAGCUUCCCAUGCAGUUUCAUCGAUGGGCAUAAUCAAAGCUCUCAUCCAAGCUUUUAAGUAGGCAUAGUUGGAGGAACCAACAAUAAAAGGUGCUCGAGAAAUAGAACUUUCUUUUUUUCAAUAGCUUCCAUGGUAGCAAAUUGAACUAGGCUCGUCUUCAACCAAUUCUUGAAAUAAGCUUUGAUACCAUUUGAAAUAAACUAGUCAAUUUGCAACUUGUUCAAACUGCAUUUUAAACAGGGCAUCUAAACACGAAUUUGAAAAAGAGAAUAUAUUGAAAUAUAUAUAAUAUUUGUUAGCACAGUUCAAAAACAAUCUUACUCUGCGAAGCCUUAAUGAAUGAUUUAUUCAAUAGUUGAUCUAACCACCUAUUAGUUAAAAUUAAAUCUUCCCUUACAAAAGAAGCAAUUGCAACCCCAAUAGCAAGCUCUAACUUGUUACGAUCACUCACUCAAACCUCACAUACAAAUUGUUUAAUCUCUAAGUGCUAGAAUACAAAGGAAAAACAACAAAAAAAAAUAUGUCAACCAAAUAGCAAACUCUCUCCCCAAACAACACAUCUUCAUAUGCAAACUAGUUGCCUAUUUACAGGCUCGGUAUGUCAAUCUAAUCCAUCAACCCAAGUAGAGAUAAAUACAUCUUUUAACAACAUAAUAAUAUUGGAUAAAUAACCUCCAAAACUUAUCCUAAGAUAAAGCUUGAUAAACUCAAUAAUAUCAACACAUAAUCACCCCGAAUAAUAGCUAAAGUAUAAGCCUUAUCCAAUAAAAUAAGUCGAUCAAAUCUUUCUUAACCCAUCGAUUUAGAUUAUCAAAAAUAUGUCAUUGAAUCUAUUAAGGUAUGGUAAAAUCAUAUACGAAGGCCCAAGUUAAAAACGUCUACAUCUUAUAGUACUUAGAUUGUGGCUUUAAAGAAGGGUUUAAAAGUCAUAACAUCAUUUGAUCAUAUUGCACCCUAAUGCUACAAUGGCUUUAUUCUUUCUUCCAUAGUUUCAUCGAAUUUGUUGUAGUUUAUUCCUAUAUAAUAUUUGUAUCUAUACCAAUUAAAAAAAAUCAACAAAAUGUUAAUGGGGAAAUUAAAAAUAUUUAACUCAUAAUUUAACCUAGGGCUUAUUAGUUUCCGAAAAUGAAACAAAACACGAACUUUGAGGGAUUUUUUAUUAUUUUUUUUACCAUAACUUGGAGGCUUGAGCACUCCCCAACAGUUGAAUUACAGCAAGUGGAGAGUUCCAUAACCUUAAGAACCCUAGAAACAUGGACACUUCAGAUACCCCAGUUACCAAAACCGCUACAUCGCCGCCGCAGCAGCAAGAGCCUGACCCUAAAAGGCUCAAAAUGUCUACCACCACCACGUCCGAAGACGAAGAUGCCGCCGCCACGACAACCGACACCAAAAAACCGAGAUACAAACGCCGCAAAAUCGCCAUGUUCUUUGCCUAUUGCGGUGUCGGAUAUCAAGGAAUGCAAAAAAACCCAGGAGCCAAAACCAUCGAAGGUGACCUCGAAGAAGCGCUAUUCCACGCUGGCGCUGUCCCCGAGCAAGAUCGUGGCAACCCAAAACGUUACGACUGGGCCCGGUCGGCCCGAACCGAUAAGGGCGUAAGCGCCGUGGGCCAGGUCGUUUCUGGGCGGUUCUACAUCGACCCUCCUGGCCUCGUGGAGCGUCUUAAUCAGAUACUUCCGACCCAGAUUCGGAUAUUCGGGUAUAAGCGUGCGACGGCCUCUUUUAGCGCGAAGAAGUUUUGUGAUCGACGGCGGUAUGUUUAUCUUAUCCCAGUUUUUGCUCUUGAUCCAAGUUGUCAUCGAGAUAGGGAAAGUGUUUUGUCUAGUUUGGGGUCCGGUAACGAGCUUGUCAAGUGCUUGGAGUGUUCGGAAAGAGGCCGCAAAGUAAUAGGUGUUAUGGGCAAGCGUAGUAGUUUUGAACCCAAGUCGACUAUAGUUCAGCAUGGCAUUUCAUCAAACAAUUUAGAUGCAGAAAACGUAAUGAAGGAAGAUAACCUGACAUCUCAACUUAAGGAGGAGGUUACUGAAAUGGAUGAUUCUGGGGUUGUGGAAGUUGAAGUUAAUGUAGCGAAGUCUACAAUAGUUCAGCCUGACAUUUCAUCGAACAUUGGAGGUGCUGAAGGUGCAAUUAAGGAAGAUAACCUAACAUCUGAACUUAAGGAGGAGGUUACCGAAAUGGAUGAUUCUGGGGUCGUAGCAGAUAAAGUUAAUGUAGCCAAGUGGACGAUAGUUCAGUGUGGCAUUUCAUCAAACAUUAGAGAUGCUGAAAAUGCAAUCAAGGAAGAUAACCUGACGUCUGAACUUAAGGAGGAGGUCACCGAAAGGGUUGAUUCCUUGGUUGUGGAAGAUAAAGUUAAUGUAGAAAAGAAAGAGGAAAGAAGAUUUUUUUACGGUGAGGAAGAAAAGAAGAGGUUCAAUAAAAUAUUGAAUUACUAUGUCGGGUCUCACAACUUCCAUAACUUCACUACAAGAACAAAAGCUGAUGAUCCUGCUGCACGGCGCUAUAUUGUUUCAUUUCAUGCAAACACGGUUGUCACUGUGGAGGGCAUUGAUUUUGUUAAGUGUGAGGUUGUGGGGCAGAGCUUCAUGCUUCAUCAGAUUCGAAAGAUGAUUGGUAUGGCGGUUGCAGUCAUGAGGGGUUGUGCUCCUGAGUCUCUUAUCGAAACUGCAUUGCGAAAGUAAGUAGUUCUGAUUCUUUUUAAUUGUAUUGGUGUCUAUGUAUCUAAAACUUGAGAUGGGAGUUGGAUACAAAUAUGUGUUCAACAUGGAAUACUCGAGGAUCACACUCCAUGCUGAAUCCAAAUUUGUGUCAAACAUGGAUACUUCAGCUAAUAUAUCUUAAUGCAUUACAGGGAUGUAUACAUCAACAUACCUACGGCGCCUGAGGUUGGUUUGUAUUUGGAUGAAUGCCUCUUUUCAUCAUAUAACCAAAAAUGGAAAGAUAGUCACGAAGAGUUGUCUAUGAAAGCUUACGAAGAAGAGGCGGAGGAAUUCAAGAUGAAGUUUAUAUAUUCUCACAUCGCUUCCACAGAACGUGAGGAAGGAGUUGUGGGCCUGUGGUUGCAUUCUCUAAACCACAGAAACUAUCCCGAUUUACGAGCCGGCAGUGGAGACUCAGUUGAAGGGAAGAAGAGUCCUAAGGUUGAUGAUAAAGCAGACACCGUUGAAGAGGACAGUAAUGUAGUGGAGAAAAACGGUGAUACUACUGAGAUGCAAAGUGCCGAAGAGUAGAAUAUUAUGAUACGCAUACUCAUUGAACAAAUUAACUAUUUUACAUAAUUUUUAUUAAGUUAUAGUUGGAUGGUCUUCCUGUUUCAUUUGGAACUGUUUGUGUUUUGUUUGUUUACCUUCCGGGUCGAAAUUUGGAGCUGUUCUGGUGUUAAUUACAAGGCUGCUCAUGUUUGGAAGGACUGGCUAUAAUGGAUAUGUCGCCUACCAAAGAGCAGACUUGGUUCCUAGGAUAUGCAUUCGGAUUGUCGACUGCCCUUUCUAUAAUCUGGCUGCGGAGACGGAUCUGUAUUUUCUUCGCUUGUGAUCAUUCAAAGCAGCUUUUCAACUAAGUUCUUCAGGCUUAUGGCAUUCAAUGGACAAGUAACUGUUUCUAUCAGUCUUCAGCUUGCUUAGAGUUAUUAUAUUUAGCACUUAUGGAGUAUGAGAAAUAUCCAGCUUUAUGGAGAGAAGGGUGAUUCAAUUUUGGCUUUUCAUCGGCUUUUGUGUUAGUGUUAGAUAUGAAUAUGUAUCCGAUAAUAAGUAAAAGAAAAGAAAAUAUACCCCAAACCAAGAAGGUUAAUUACAAAACUAAUUUUUUUUUUCUUGGAAGGGAUUUGGCCACUAAAUAUGAACUUAAAAUAAACAAAUGUUUUUUUUAUAGAUAGAGGGAAUUAGGGAUGCCAUUUUUUUCCAGUUAUCUGAAUUGUGUGUAUAUAUAUUCUAAGUUUGAUUAAAAUUUAAUUGAUUCAAAUUUAAAUGAUUAAAAUGUAAUUUGAGGGAAAUAAAAGUGAUUAUUUUGAUAAUUUACCUUAUAUUAUUUAUGAUAUUUAAACUGAGAACAUUUAAACUGUCUUUUAGCUGUCAAACCAUUAAUUUUGAAUACAUUCUUAAAUCCAAUAUCAAUUAGUGCCCCUGGUCUAAGUUUAAUUUCUGUUGUGCAGGAUUCAUUGUAUGGCAAGCACAAAGCAUACUUUUAAACUCACGGAAGAUUUUCUUUUAAAGUUUGGCCUAUGUUGAUUAUAAAGAGAACAUGAAAUAUUUUAAAAAAACAUGUUUUUAAAACACACACUAGUAUUUUUAUUUAGAAGCUCUUCGAUGAUUACAAUUGAGAAUUAUUUUCCCUUAUAUAGAGAAAAUCUCUCAUCUACUUUUACAGACAAACAUGAUAAAGAGGAAUCUCUUUUAAAAACAAAUUUAUUUUUAUGACUCACAUAACAAACAAGCUUACUUUUAUUACUCAUAUAACAAACAAACUUAUUUUUAUGACUCACAAAAUAGGCAAAUAUGAAAGUGACAAAAUAGACAAAUAUCCAAUCACUUUCAUCGUCUGUGCUAACAUCAGAAACAAGGUUCUCUUCUAUUAUCUUUACUUUUUCUUCUUUAGUUCUGUAGCACUUUAUCUCCAUCUGUUCAAUCUUUUGUUCAAAACCAUCACGUUAGUUGUCAAGAUUGUCUUCCACUUCCAUAGGUGAUAUCUUUUCUUGUGAAUUAGUCCAAGCUGGCGUGUUUUCUAUUACACUGCUAGAAAACCAUGGAUAAUCUUGUGACCAUUCUUUUGGAUCUGGUAUAUUUGACUGGUAGUCUUCUAAUGCCAUUUUCAAAUGUUCUUGAUAAAGUGUCGAUGGAUCAAUCCUUAUAUCCCAUGGUGCUAACUUAAAGUUAUUAAUAAAAAUGAUAAAUUUACAUUGAAUUAAACAUACAUUUUACUAUUAUAACUUCUUUCUUUGGGCCUUAACUUAUAGUCUAUGGGUGUAACUUUCAAUAGGCUUAAAGAUUUUCAGUAGGGAAUCAAUUAAUGACGAUUUUAUCACUAUCCUUUUAUGAUGGUAGUGUAUAAUUUAUUUUAGACUAAAAUUACCCUUUUAAGUCUUAUAAUGUUUUUUAUUAUUAUUUUAAAGAAUUUAUUCCCUUCAUUGUUAAGCAUUAAUAAUUGAAUUUGAAAUUUAAAAUUUAAAAUUAGAAGAAUUAAAUUCAUAAAAAUAAAAGUAUAGGGAUUUAUUUCACAUUUUAACUUUUAAUUUAAUUUCUCACCUACUUGGUUAGUAUAAUAAAUAAUAAAAUAGAAAAAAACCUAAAAAAUUCUUCUUCGGUCUCCCACCAACCAUUUCUUUCUUUCUUUCUCUCUUGAAAAGUGGGUGGCUCCCUGUCAACUUCUUAAUCUAUUUUUGUUUUGAGAAUAUUUCAAAAUAAUAAAUUAUUUCACGAGUUGAUUUAGACUCCUGUUGUGUCUUGAGUUUUAUAUUUUCUUAUUUGUUUUUCUAUUUUUAAUAAGUUUUCAGUUUUAAAAGUUUAAGAUGACUAGGAUUCUAUUUCUACCAUUAAAUGUCAGCUCAUUGAGAGGAAGCUCCCUCUGGAUCCUAUCACUCCUCCAGGGCGAUGGGAUCUUAGGAGCUCUCAAUCUCACCUCAUUUUCAUUGAUGAAGCUGUUUGGGGAUACUUAGGUGAAAUAGACGCACUUCAUUCGUCUCUCUUUGGGUUUGGGUUAGUGAUUAAAGGAUGAGUGAUCAACAUAUUAAAUUUUGAUAAUAUUAAUUACUAAAAUAGAAAAAAAAAAUUUAAAAUUUGAGUGACUAAAAAAGAAACAUGCUAAUAAUUAGGUGAUUAUCUUUAUAAUUUACCCAUAAAAAUAAACUCAAUCCAAAUUUUGGACGUUGCUCGUACUUGGAACUUGGGAGUUGGACUUAGGAUGAUUUGGUUUUACUUAAUUAUGCUAAAAAUCGGAUGUAUAUAUUUAUAUGACUGAUGGUUAAACAACUUUUAAAUUUUAUGAUUCCUAUUGGUAUAGAUAACUUUUUAUUUAAAGAAAUAUGGUUCAAAAUUAAUGUUAUUAGUAUUACUUAAUAAACCAUGUUUAAUCGUAUAACUGAUAACUUUCAUAUUUAGAGUUAUGUUAGUAUAAAUUUUAUAGCAUUUUAGGAGAUAGUUUUAUAAUUUAGAUUAGUUUUAUUACAUUUUAUAGUUUUUUUAGCGUAAUCAUAUUUUAUUUUUUUAUUUUUAUUUUUAUCAUUUUUAGAAAUACUUCAGAUUUACUUGUUAUUUUUCUUUUUACAUUGUAGAUUUCGAAUGAAGAAUGGAAGGCUUCGAGCAUAGAGUAAAAAGUAGUAAAGAACAGUUUUUUGCUCCACCAGAUUUCAGUCUUCAAUUCAAAAUUUUCAAACAACAAACAGCUCGCUCCACUGCAAUUCUACGCCCAGUUUUCAGGCUUAUGGCAUUCAAUGGACAAGCAACUGUUUCUAUCAGUCUUCAGCUUGCUUAGAGUUAUUAUAGUUAGCACUUAUGGAGUAUGAGAAAUAUCCAGCUUUAUGGAGAGAAGGGUGAUUCAAUUUCGGCUUUUCAUCGACUUUUGUGUUAGUGUUAGAUAUGAAUAUGUAUCCGAUAAUAAGUAAAAGAAAAGAAAAUAUACCCCAAACCAAGAAGGUAAAUUACAAAACUAAUUUUUUUUUUCUUAGAAGGGGAUUUAGCCACUAAAUAUGAACUUAAAAUACACAAAUGUUUUUUUAUUAAUAGAGGGAAUUAGGGAUGAUAUUUUUUUCCAGUUAUCUCAAUUGUGUGUAUAUAUAUUCUAAGAUUAAAAUUUAAUAUUUCAAAUAUAAAUGAUUAAAAUGUAAUUUGAGGUAAAUAAAAGUAAUUAUUUUGAUAAUUUACCUUAUAUUAUUUAUGAUAUUUAAACUAAGAACAUCUAAACUGUCUUUUAGCUGUCAAAUCAUUAAUUCCAAAUACUUCCUUAAAUCCAAUAUCAAUUAGUGCCCCUGGUUUAAGUUUAAUUCUUAUUGUGCAGGAUCCAUGGUAUGACAAGCACAGAGCAUAUUUUUAAACUCACGAGAGAUUCUCUUUUAAAGAUUGGCCUAUGUUGAUUAGAAAGAGAACAGGAAAUAUUUAGAAAAACAUGUUUUUAAAACACACAUUGGUAUUUUUAUUUAGAAGUCCUCUACUUUUACAGACAAAUAUGAUAAGGAGGAAUCUUCUUUAUAAACAAACUUACUUUUAUGACUCACAUAACAAACAAACUUACUUUUAUGAUUCAUAUAACAAACAAACUUACUUUUAUGACUCACAAAAUAGACAAAUAUGAAAGUGACAAAAUAUCUAGUCACUUUCAUAGUCUGUGCUAAUAUCAGAAAUAAGGUUCAACUCUUCAAUUAUCUUGGCUUUUUUUCUUUUUUAGCUCUGUAGCACUUUACCUCUAUUUGUUCAAUAUUUUGUUCAAGACCAUCACGUGAGUUGUCAAGAUUGUCUUCUACUUCCAUAGGUGAUGUCUUUUCUAUUGCACUGCUAGAAAAUCAUGGAUAAUAUUGCGACCAUUCUUUUAGAUCUAGUAUAUUUAACUAGUAGUCUUCUAAUGCCAUCUUCAAUUGUUCUUGAUAAGGUGUUGGUGGAUCAAUCCUUAUGUCCCAUGGUGUUAACUCAAAGUUAUUAAUAAAAAUGAUAAAUUUACAUUGAAUUAAACAUGUAUUUUACUAUUAUAACUUCUAACUUUCUUUGGGCCUUAACUUAUAGUCUAUAGGUCAAUAGGUCAAUAGGCUUAAAGAUUUUCAAUAGGGACUCAAUUAAUGACAAUUUUAUUAGUAUCCUUUUACGAUGGUAGUCUAUAAUUUAUUUUAGACUAAAAUUACCCUUUUAAGUCUUAUAAUGUUUUUCUAUUAUUUUAAAGAAUUUAUUCCCUUUAUUGUUAAUCGUUAAUAAUUGAAUUUAAAAUUUAAAAUUCAAAAUGCAAAAGGAUUAAAUUUAUAAAAAUAAAAGUAUAGAGAUUUAAUUCACAUUUUAACUUUUAAUUUAAUUUCUCAUCUACUUAGUUAGUAUAAUAAAUAAUAAAAUAGAAAAACCUAAAAAAUUCUCUUUUUUCUUCAAACGAGCCUUCUUUGGUCUCCCACCAACCCUUUCUUUCUUUCGUUCUCUCUUGAAAAGUGAGUGGCUUUUUAUCAACUUAAUCUAUUUUUGUUUUGAGAGUAUUUUAAAAUAAUAAAUUAUUUCACGAGUUGAUUUGGACUCAUGUUGUCUUGAGUUUUAUAUUUUUUUUCUAUUUUUAAUAAGUUUUCAGUUUUAGAAGUUUUUGUCUACUUUUUUAGCACGUUUUUUAGUCUUACUUAUGCAUGUAAAAUUAGUUUUAUAAAUGAUUUUAGAGAAAGUUUUAUUGUCGUCCUCUCUAGUUUAGUAGAUGCUCAACUCUUUUAUUGGGCCAUUUAAAAAAAAGUAUAAAAUUUCAAUAACCGCGACAGUUCUUAACGGUGUUUGCGGGAAGAACGAAAGGAAUGUGGCAUAUUAUUGAUUCUAUCUAAACCCCAUCAUAAUUUGCUUUCUUAGCCAUAAGGGAUGCCAUGGAAGUUGGAAACUUUAAGAAGACUGAGAUUCUAUUUCUACUAUUAAAUGUCAGCUCAUUGAGAGGAAGCCCCCUUUGGAUCCUAUCACUCCUCCAGGGCGAUGGGAUCUUAGGAGCUCUCAAUCUUACCUCAUUUUCAAUGAUGAAGCUGUUUGGGAUACUUAGGUGAAAUAAACGCACUUCCUUCGUCUCUCUUUGAGUUUGGGUUAGUGAUUAAAGGACGAGUGAUUAACAUAUUAAAUUUUGACAAUAUUAAUGAUUAAAAUAGAAUUUUUUAAAUUUGAGUGACUAAAAGAGAAACAAAAUUUGGAUGUUGCUCGUACUUGGAACUUGGGAGUUGGACUUAGGAUGAUUUGGUUUUACAUUUAAAUGACUAAUGGUUAAACAACUUUUAAAUUUUCUGAUUCAUAUUGUUAUAGAUUACUUUUUAUUAAAAGAAAUAUGGUUCAAAAUCACAUUUAUUAGUAAUGUUAUUAGUAUUGAUUAAUAAUCAUGUUUAAUCAUUUGUAAUAAGUAUAAGUGAUAACUCUCAUAUUGAGAGUUAUGUUAGUAUAAUUUUUAUAGCAUUUUAGGAGAUAAUUUUAGCAUUUAGAUUAGUUUUAUUACUUUUUAUAGUUUUUUUAGCGUAAUCAUAUUUUAUUUGAUUUUUAUUUUUAUCAUUUUUAGAGAUAGUUCGAAUUUACUUGUUAUUUUUUCUUUUACAUUGUAGGUUUCGGAUGAAGAAUGGAAGGCUUGGAGCAUAGAGUAAAAAGUAGUAAAGAAAAGUUUUUCGCUCCACCGAAUUUCAGUUUUCAAUUCAAAAAUUUCAAACAACAAACAGUUCGCUCCACUACAAUUCUACGUCCAGUGGAGCAAAAUGAUUAAAACCCUAAAAAUAAGAGGCAAUGUGAUUUGAGAGGAAAGAGGGGAAAAAAUCAACUUGAAGGUUAAGAAAAAGAGAUUGAGAGCGCUCGGCCUUAGUUAGAUAAUCAUUUUUUUCUCUAGAUUAUUUCUUUUUAUUUUAUCUCAAUGUAAGUUUGUUUUGAAUUUCUUCUUGUGAUGUCUUCUCAAAUCAAUAUGAACUGAACUCUAUUUUCUUAGAACAAUGACGAAUCGUAUUUCUUGGUUAAUUAAUUAUUUUCUGUUCAAUUUUCUAAAAUUCUGUUAAUUAUUUAGUCAAUCAUGUGUUUGUAUAAUCUGCUUGUUUGAUCACCAAGUUAUAUUAAUUCAAUAAUCUCGAUUUAUCUUGAAAUAGAAAAUUAAGGUUUAAAUCUAGACUGAAUAGAUUAAUGUUAAUUUUAACAGCGCUGACAAACAAGGAAAUUUGCAGCUAGGAUAGGAAUAUACCUAAUGCCCUAAUCAACCUAAUAGGCUUGGUCGUAGUGACUUUGCCCAACUUGCCUAAUAUAGGAAUAUAACUAGUGGGGAAGAGGGAUUAACUUAGCUAAAUAUUGGACCGGUCUAACUAAUGCCAUUAAAUUUUGAGUUAGUAAUUAUAUAAGUUGAACAAUUGAAUGAGAAAAAAAUGAUUAACUGGACUGAGUGAAGUUAUAGUUCGAAGAUCUUAAAAUUGAUAGAGAAACUUAUGGAUUUUCACUGUUUUAGUUUAAUGGAAAUUUCAGCAUUUCCUUAGUUUAAUUUUAGCAAUAAUUAGAAUUUAUUUUCUUGAUCUAGACUAGAUAAAACUGAAUGGUUGUUUUUAAGAACUUAGAAUUUGGUCAUCGUGGCAACGAUAUCCUCUUAUCACUUUAUUAUUUGAUUCAACAUGUGUAAUAACACUAGUUAUCGUAUUAUUAAAUUAAUAUAUUAUAUCAUUAAAUAUUUUAUAUUAUCAUUAAAUUUAAAUUUUAUAUAUUUAUCAUAUAUAUAAUUAUAAUAUUAAAAAAAACUUCAUAUUCAAUAAAUACUUUAUAAUUUAACAUAAAAAUUGAUUAUCAAUUACUUUUGAUAUUAAUAGAAAUUUAAUAUAAAUAUGUAAUUCUUAUAAAUGAUUUUUCAUAAAGUAAAUAAUGAUCAUUUAUUUAUAUUUUAUUUUUAUUUUAAAUAAUAUCAUAAAUUAAUAUUAUUUAUUAAUGUUUAUUUUGGUUGUUCAAUUCUAAAUUUGGAUUUUGGGUUGGAUUUAUUUCGGGUUCGGUCCAGACCAGUCUUGGACUUAGAUUCUUAUAGACUCAGGCUUUUCCAAACUCAAAUUUUCUCGGUCUCGAACUUUUUCAAACUCAAAUUUUCUCAAACUCAAAUUAUUACGAGCAUUUUAAGACUUUUCUAAAACUUAAAAAGUAAGAAAAGUUUAACACUUAAAUUCGAGUAUCAUAAUUUUCUUAAUUGUUUUUGUAUCCAUUUGGUGUUGGUUUUUUAGAAAUACAUUCCUAAUAAAUUAGCAGUUUAACAUUCUGUAGGUGAAUAGUAAAGGAUGAGGUCUUUGUAUUAACAAUUUUCUUGUAAAAUUUUUUUUAAAUAGUAGCUCUAGCAAUGUAGCCGUCUUAGCUCAGCCGGUAGAGCGCAUGGCUUUUAACCAUGUGGUCGUGGGUUCGAUUCCCACAGAUGGCGGAUUUGCUUGAUAUAUUUUAGCUUCUCACCUACAUAAUUAAUACGAUGAUAAAUAGGUCAACUUUAUAGCGAGAAUUAUUUUGACGCCGCUUAAUUAGAAUUAAUAAAUAUUUAUAUUUUAUAUUAUUAAAACAGAAUUUUAGUAUUAAAUGAUUAAAAUAAAUUAUAUUAAUAAUUUAUUAUAUUAUUAAUUAUAAUAUUGGUAAUAUUGAAAAUUAAAUAUCUGAUAUCAAUAUUUUAAUAUUUUAAAGUAUUUUUAAAAAUAAAACAAAAUAUUAUCAAUAUAAUAUUACUAAGAUUGAUUUAGGUUAAUUUAUAAGGUACUUUUUUGAAAGAUGACUUCCGUUUUCUAAAAGAAGAAAUCAAUCUUUAGAAGAAAAAAAAAGCCUUAUUUCUUAUUUAUUUAUAAAUUAUUUUCUGUUGACCAAGUUAUUUUUUAUAAAACAAACACAGAGAAAUACACAAAAAUGUUCUUCGUAAAUCAUUUUAUGUGAAACAAACGCAUCAUAAAUCUCAAUAUAUAUGAUUUUUUAUAAAAUUAUUAAAAAAACAUUCAUCGUGUCUGCCCUGAAUUCUCAAUCCAAAUUACUAUUACGAUUAUGCAUCACAAUCAAUUUUUUAAAUAAAAAAAAAACGUAAACAUCAUAUUGUUCCAUAGAAUUUAACUUAAAGGUUCAAUAAUUUGAUACAAACUAUAAAAAAAAAUUAAUAUUUUUCAAUAAUUGCCUCCUAAAUUAUUUGUUUCCUCAGUUAGCCAUGAUUGAGACUUAGACUUUGGGUUAUUGGCCGAAAAUGAAGAGAAUAAAAAAGACUUUAGUCCACUUGACAACCAUACCCCAUUGGAAUGUACUUUUACCACUAAUGUAAAGAUCAACUACCUUUAGUGGUUCAUAUUCCAUAAUUGGAUUCUUUUAUGUUACGAUUUAGAGAAGGAUAUUAACAUCAAAACUCGAACCCUAAAUUUUAAUAUCCGAAUACAUAAUUUUAAUUCUUCAUUCUUUUAAUUUGUUAAAUGUCAAAUUAGAUAUGACAUGACCUCAAUCAAAUUGUAAAUACAUGUAUGCCUAUGAACAAUUACGAUUUAAUGUGUUAAAAAAAAAGAUAACAUCAACAAAAUUUGGGACCGCUAUUUCCAAGUUAAUAAUUGAACUCACCGAAGAAUCUGGUUAAUACAAUAUUAUUACUUUUGAGGGCUCAAUUAAAACAUUUUAAAAUUUAAAUCAUAAUUUGAGAAUGUUUGAUACAAUAAACCCUUUUCUUUUAUUAAUUUCUUCACGAAUCAUAUAAUAAUUUAUUUCAAUUUAAUAAUACAAAUACACCAUAAAUGAACUUAGAAAAUUGUACAAAACUUUAAACAAACACAUCUAAUCAACUAAAGUGACAAUAACAAUAGUAAGGAUUGAUUGAGAAAAUUUUCCAAUAAGGAGACAUGCCAUGUUAAAAUGUACAUUAUUGUUAUCCAAGGAUCAAUUAUAAAUAUUUUCAAAAUUAUCAUUAAUGAAAUGAAUAAAAGAAAAAGUGCAAAGAAAAUGAGACAAAAAUGCACCGACUUUGAUGUUACUCACCCAUAUAAAUUUUCAACUCAUUCUAUCAAUCUAAUCAAAUAAAUUACGUAAAAGAUUGAGUUUUAGUUCGACCGAUAUGAACAUUAUUGUCAACAUAAGAGGAUACGGGUUUGAGUGUGUUAAAGUGCAUUAUCCUUCUAUUUAUUGAUUGAGAAAGGACCAUGAUUAAAAUGUUAUUUAUUAUUAUAUUAAAAAUUUUAAAAUAUUUAAUGUAUUUAUUACUGAAGUAUUUAAAAUGCCUAUUUAAUGUAUAAUUAUAUUAAAUAAUUUAAAUAUUAUCUAAAUUAUUUUAUUUUUUAAUUUCUAUUCACUACAAAUUUUAACAAUAAUGUCCAACAAAAAUUAACAAACACCACUUUUUCACUAAACUGAGCUUUUAAAAACACUUUUCAACUGCAACAACAGUGCCUAUAGAAACUUUAAACACUAUUCAUGCAAACUACUGAGUUAGCUUGAUUAUGACUUUGGCGAACAACUUGGAAAGAAAAUUAAAACCAGACCCAUCCCAUGAACACUUUGUACCGAACAAAUCAAAGAACAAAUUUCAUUUCUUAUAUUAAUUAUCAUUGAUUCCCUUUCUUUUGUAAUGUAUACUACAACAAUAAUAAUGGUAGAACACCUUGGUGGGUGGUUGAAUGCAAAAACAAAAUAAUUAAAAAGGACAAGAAGAUUGAGGCUAUUAGUCUAGAUGGUGGGAGUGGUGGCGCGCCGCUCCCAAAUAUCAUUCCGAAGAAGUCACCAUCAUUGCCACUGGAACCACCACGGCCACCACUGCCGGCGUUGGUUGUGCCGGUGUACCCAGGAUAAGAAUAGCUCCCUGUCUCUUCCCUGUACACGAACAAUUCAAAUACACGACAUUAGAAUAUUAACAUUUUGGGUGUAAAUAUCAUCAAAAUUUUCUAAGUUUUUUCAUGUAUAAACAAAUAAAAGCUUUUGAACUCGAAAUUCAAUUUGUUUAUACAACCAGCAACAAAUGAAUAAAACAAUUUCAUGUAGGAGCAGAUUUUCAAAGUGGGCAUUUCAGGUCCACUGUAAUAUUUUUUUUCAGGAACUUUUGUACCAUAAAGGGUACAACCAAUAGCAUUGAGUUUUCAAGUUGAGUAUUUUAGGGGUAGAAAAGCUCAAGUGGGAUCAUAAAUGGGGAAAAAGAGCAUCUUUUGAGGUACAACUUUUCAUUAAUUAUUUGAUAGCAAUGACUAUUUUGACAUGCAAAGAGACAGAAAAAAAAAAGUGCUUGAAAAGCUGUAGUGCUGACUAAUAUCCUGAGGCUCCAUAUGGGUGAUGUUGGAAAUAACUAACAAAAUAGGUUUAAGCCUAGAUUGAAAUAUGCAAUAAGAUAACAUUGUAUGAGAUCGAUUGAAUCGAUUAAGAGUAUUUAAAAUCGAUUAAGAGUGUUUAAAAAAUCUAACUCUUUUUACCAAAAUCGUGACUGUAAGUUUCUAAGAAUCUUAUCACUGCAUCUUACAGAACAUAAACAGAGGAGGGCCCAGGUAAUGGCCUAAAAGUCAGACGGAAAACCCAUCCUAUUUUGGCCUACAUUAACAGCUAUACAUUAACAUCAGAGUGGUGCCCACAUUGAGUCACUGAAACACAUUUAAAACUAAUGGACCCCUACUCCUUGCUAGCUGGAACCCUCAACUGAGCCACCGGCCCCCAUGUUUAACACUAUAAACAUCACCAGCGUCACUCUCUUCACAGUCCCAUCUUAUUCUAACAAAGGGGAUCCAACGGUGAAAGAAAAAAAAAACAAGAUUUAAAGGGUGAACACACCCUUUUAAAAGUGCAUGGGUACCCUAAAAAAGAGGACGACCUUCCCCAUGCAAAAGCACAUGGAUUAAGGACAACAAAUUGAGUCUGUACUAAAGCUGUGAAGAGGCACACGCCAUCACGUGCCUUUAUGAUCAAAAUUACAGAAAUGGGGUCUAAAAUAUAAACACCAAAUUAUUAACUAUUAUUAUUUAUAACUGUGGUGGUUAGAAGUGACAGGUAAUUCAGUUAUAAGGGCAAAAAAAAACCAAAACGAAAGGGUAUAUUAGGGUUUUACCUGGUCUCACCAAAAACGCCAGCGUUUGAAGUGAGUUGUUCAACGAGGGUAGCUGAUUUAGGCUCCACGCUGGAAGCUUUAACAUAUUGAGUCAUUACGCCAGCUCCUGAGGGUACAAAAUACGCUCCAUUGACCAUUAUGUCCCCAUCUGUUCUCCAGUUCCAACCUGUCCAAUCCUUCUCGUCAGUAUCCACGCGCUUUGUCACCUGUUUAUUAAAAAUAUUAAAAUAUACGCCGACUCAGUGUAGUGCAUCACACGCGCUUAAAAUGGCAUGUAUUAGAAUACAUUCAAUAAGACGAGUCAUGCACCGUCUUUUUAGAAUUAUAUUUUCACUUUUCAAAGCGAUUAUUUGAAGAAAAAUACAAAUCCUACACAAACCCCAACCCACGCGCCACGGCUGAGAGUGGAGAAUUACAGAAGAGUUCCACUUGCAAAAAGAAAAAAAAGUUCACGAGACACCCACCAAAAGACAUUCUCAACCCAAACAAAUUACUUUUAAAAAUAAUUACCCUUUGAACUUAUAAAGAACUAUUUAAAUGAAAAAAGGACUAAAUUGAAUAAAGUAGUAAAGUUGAAGAUCAAAAUGAAAAAAGGGGUUUACCUCUUUAGCACUGGGAUCCCCAGGGGCAGAGUAGCGAUUGCCUUGACUGUUGAUGGUAGGGUUACCGCUGCCGCCGAUGGCAUACAUUUGCCAUGAAGUGAAAUCAUUGUUGACCACGUGAAUAUACCCUCUCCUACACCUUGGCAUCCUUUGCACCAAUCCCACCCCAAAUACAUUGAAUGCUAUCGUCACCUGCAUCCCUGAAUCAGGCAAAUACCUACCCCAAAAUACAGACCCACUUUCAAAAUUUUAUUUUUUCACCGUGAUUGGAGUAUUCAAAUCAUUAUUUUAACAGUUUAACCUUCUUCUUUUUUGGAUUAACCUCGUGAUAAGAAUAAUGUUCACUGAAACCUAAGAUAAUAAAUGGUUGAAAUAUGGACCCACAAAAAAAAAGUUUGGAAAAUGGGUCCUUUCAACUAAAGAUGACUUUAGAUGGAAUAUUUGCAAUUUUUUAUGAAUACAAUUAAUUAUUUUGUAUAAAUAGCAUUAUCUGCUAUAUAAAUAUCUGAAUUUUAGUAAUUAAAAAAAUAAGUAAAUUAAUUUCUAUUUUGAAAAAUUAAUACUUAAACGUCAAUAUGAUAUGCAUGUGUCUUGUACCAUUUUUAAGAGUAAAAAUAAGUGAAAUUUUCAAACAAAAAAUUUAAUUUGCUCUUUAUUCUAAUCUAAAAAAAACUAACUUACUUAUUUUUUAAUUAAAAGAUACAAAAUAUAAUCUAUCACUUAAUAUAAUAAUUAAAAGAUACAAAAUAUAAUCUAUCACUUAAUAUAGGGACUUUCGUGAUAUUUUUACCAAGAUAUUAAAUAUUAUCUGCAAAAGCAAAAUCAAUUAAAAAAUUUUGUUUAUCUGAUAUUUAUUUACAAAUAUCAACCAUUAGAAACAGGGGAAAAAGCCGGAAUGGCAAGGGCAUUGGGCUCCAGGUUAAAUGGGAUAAUUUCACUUUUAGCCCCUCAGAUCUUUUUAAUCCUUCGAUUAAUGGGAAAAUUGCAUUUUCUGCCGUCCAAAAUAUUAACCUCUAAACUUUUUUAUAAUUUUAUAUUAGACCCCAAAAUUCUAAUCCCAAAAUUUACGUUGAACUAAGCUAAGGGAAACGGAAAAAUGUACCUGUCAUCAUGUCCCAGGAGCAUAACUUCAUCAUGGUGAGCAAAAUAGCUAUUACUAAUGGUAAUCCCAGUGGACCCCAUAACAGCAUCAACCAACCCAUCGGUGCAGUAACUUAAAGAACAAUGAUCAACCCAGAUUUUCUGAGACCCAAAAAUGGAGAUCCCAUCACCGUCCGAUCUCCCUCUCCUCCCCACAUGCGUUGGAGAUGAAGCAAUGUCAGUGUUCCCCGAAGGUUUACAAUGGUGAACAUGGAUAUUAUGGAUGAUAAUAUGCGACACGUACUGUAACGUUAAACACCCAUUUCCGGUUAUAUGGACGUUAACCCCUCUACCGUCAAUGGUUUUGAAAGAGUUGAAAAUGAGUUCGUGUUUGAGUUUGAUGACCAUGUUGGUUGAAAAGACGAUCCAAAGGGGUUCGUCUUGGAUGACGGCGUGCCGAAGGGUGCCUGGUUUGGGGUUAACGGUGUCGUGGUCGGAGGAAUCGGUGACGGUGUAGAUCCGACCGCCUUUUCCGCCGAGGGUGCCUCGUGCGAAGCCGAUGGAGCAGUCGGCUAAGCGUUGACGGUUAUUGAACCAGUUGGGGUCACAUCUCCAGCAAUCAUCAAUGGGGUUUCCAGUUCGACAUUGAUCUUUGGUGUUUUCAGACAAUGUUUGUCUUCUAGAUAAAGAUGCAUUUAAGCUCCUGCAAGGGAAAAAGUGAAGAUUUUUAGUAAAUGUAGAGAGAGAAAGCAGAUUCUCUUUUUUAACCUCAUUUUCUCUUAGAAUCCUUCAAAAAGGGGGGAUUCAGAUUUGGGGUUAAAAAAACACAAAAAUGGGGGGUUUUUUUUUCCUUUUUGUGAAGAACAAAGAGAAGCCAUUGUAAUGCGAAACAAAAGGGGUGAGGAUUUGCGGUUAUAAAGCACUAAAAUGGGUUUUCUUUUUGAAGAACAAACAUUCGAGGGAAGCCAUUGUAAUGCAAAAACAGAGAACUUGAAAUGUUCAAAACAAAACAAAAGGGGGGAGGAUUGGGGGUUAAAAAACACCAAAAUGAGUUUUUUGUGGGUGUGUGUUCUGAAACAAGCACUUGAGUAGCCAUUGAAAAGGGAGGAUUAGCUUACCAUUGAACAUCAAGAACAACGGAUUCAGGGUGAGGGUGUUGAUGAGGGAGACUAAGAUUGAAGGUAGCUCUUGAAACUGAAGCCAAUAUGCACAUGAAGAGAAUGCAGGUGAAAGGAAGCAUCUUGGAAGUGAAAUGAAGCAACAAAAAUGGAAACGAAAGUUGGGGAUUUCCAGUUUUGUUCUUCUGUAUGAAAAAGGUUCACUUCUUUGCACAAUGGAAUGUGAUUGGCAUUUGCUUGUUGUUGACAGUUGUUCUAGAGCCCAAAAUAAACUUAGGAGACUGCAAAUCCUUGGAAAAUGUGAAGUGAUUUAUAUAAUAAUACCAAAGCAAUUUAAACAAAAAGUGAAAGAAAGAAAGCUUUGCUCAAAGAAAAGAAGAAAGAAAAAACAACCCUUUUCCAAUUUUUCAACUUUUUCUUCUUCAUUUUUGGUCGGAUUUUUAACUUUUUUUCUUUAAUUAUUUUAUCUAAGGCUAAACUCGACGAAUGCUCACACAAUUAUAUGAAAGUUUUUUUAGUUGAUAUAAUAAUAUAUUUAGUUUUUAAUAUUUAAUUAUUCUAUCAACUUGAUCUUAAUUUUAAAUAAUGUAAUGAAUCUAACCAUUCACAUUUAUAAAUUUUAUCAAUUUGAUCCUCGAACUUCUUAAUCAAAACUUUCAACUUUUAAAAGAGAGGCAUUCCACAUAUAAUAAUUGUCUUAUUUAUUGUUGAAAUUAUCUAAUUUGAUACGCAACUUUUUUAUUUAUAUUUUUAAAAAGUUUAUGUUAAAAAUUAAUUAAAUACCAUUAAAAAUAAUAAAAAUUACAAAUUUUAAAAAUAUAAUAUAUAAUGAAAUUAUAUAAAUAAUUUAAUAUUUGUAAAAAACAAUAUUUCACUUUGACCAACAAAAAGUUUUGAAUUAAUUUGGUAAAUGAUUUGACACUAAAACAGAUUAGUAGUUAUACAUAUUGCUUAUUGUGAAAUUAAAAAUAAAAAAUAAAUAGAACACAUAAUAAUCUCUUAAUCAGUUUAUAAAACUAAAAAAAAUCAUUAAUUCAAUUAAUUCUUUCGCAUUUUUUUAUAAAAAAAUUAAAUGUUCGUAAUUUUUCAUAUAUAAUUAUUGAUUGUAUAAUUAGAUUUUUCAAAACCAUAUCUUUUAACUUUGGAUUUUAUUUCCAAUUUUAAUAACUAACUUGGAGGACUAUUUCUACAUACAUUGAAGGAAUUACCAUACUAUUAACAAUAAGAGUAAAUCUAAUGUGUUUUUUUUUAAGGUUUUUCUAUUUUCUUUAGCCAAAAUUGUAUCGAUUAAUUGUUAUAAAAUAUUAUAUUUAGAAGAUAGUUAAUUAAAAAAAGAAAAAAUAAAUAAAAAUUCAAGGUAAACCUAUUGGUAUUAGGAAUUGGGUUGAAAAAGGAACUGGGUUGAAAAACAACUCGUUAGUUGAUAGAAGUAUUUAUAGAUGUGGAAUGCCUUUAUUUUAAAAGAUGAAAGCUUCUAUUGGGAAGUUUGAGGAUCAAAUUGAUAUAAUUUGUAAAUAUAGUUGGUUAAAUUUAUUUAAUUAUUUAGAAUUAGGACCAAAUUGAUAGAAUAAGUAAGUAUUGAGGACUAAAUGUGUUAUUAUAUCAGUUAGAUAAUGAUUUUUCGUUAUCAAUUUAAUGGCAGAUGACCAAAACAGUCUCCAAGAUAUCCCAACCAACCUUUGCGACCGUGCAUUUUGCAAUCCUCUUAAACUUCUAUAGGUCAACUCCACAUAAAUAUUGAAAUUCUUUUGAGUUAUCAUUUUCCAACUUCUCUUCCUUUGUGGUCCACUGUGCUUCCGGCUUCACAACUCUACCAUUCUUAGUGUCUAUCUUGGGUACCUGCCAACCAAUCAACACAACAUGCCAUGUCUUCUCUUCAAUGGACAUAAUAUGUGCCUUCAUGUGUGCUUUCCAGUAAGCAUAAUUCUCAACUUUGAGCAUAAGAGGAUGAGAUGUAGAAGAACCUUCUAUAGUUUGAAUCUAGCAACACUUAGGAUCUUCACUAGCUAUUUUAAGUGGCAUACUCUAAUACCAAUUGUUAACUCGAACUGUUGCUAAGAAUCAAGCUAAGUGUAUGAAAUAGUAACAAGGGAAUUGGCUCUCCUUCAUCACUAAAUGAAAACAUUAAAAAAAAAUAAAACAUGAAUUGUUUAUACAAUUCAGUUUCCAUACGUCUGUGGAGCCUAGCAAAGUGAGAGAUAUUCACUUUCUUCGAUAAUUAAAUAAGCUAUGCUAAUCUAUCACGCACCCUAUGACAAUUUUCCUUACCUUUGCACUUUGAAUAAUGAAACUCUUACUACUGAAUUUACCCUGUGAAUUUAGCAAGUAAAACACAACAUAACAAGAUUUACUAUCAAUAUACACUCAUACAAUAAAAUUCCUCACAAUGACAGAUUAAGUGAUUAAUUCUCUCUAUACAAUAACCUAUAAAGUUUAUCAAUUAUAUAGAAUAUUUUGAAACUUGCUAACAUAAUAAGAUUUAUCACAACCCCAUUAAAACAACAAUAAGAUGAGUUGAAUACAAUAUAAUAACAAUUAAUAUAAACAUGAACUCUUGGCAACUAAGCAUUUUGUGCUCCAACUCAAUCCAAUAUCCACGAUCCAAGGGAUUAGAUAAGGUGAUCCGAUUUGAUUAAAUCUUCAAACUUGUUUUCCCAUGUGAUAUGAUAUUCAAUAAUGGGCUAGAUAUCAUCCACACAAUUAGCACAACCCAUAAAUAUUGUUCGGUAAAUUGCCAACAUCUCAAAUAUGGAAACUGUCUCAAACAACUCUAGUGGUCAAGGAGUGGGCACUCCCUUUACACUUAAUCCCCAGUCCCAUAUUUUUCAGCAUUGUUGAUAUUUUUGGAUAAUAUUGGUGGGAGUAUCUAAUUUAAAAUUAGAAGAAGAAAAAUAAAAAAUGAAACAGAAAACAUAAAAUUAACAAGUUUUUAUUUAAAAUUAGAAAAUAAAAAUAAGAAAAGGAAAUUAUAUUGAUAAAAAAUCUCUUUAUUUUUCAAAAUUUUUUAAAUUGUCAAAGUCAGUCCUCAUACUUUAAAAAAACUUAAAAUUUAUUUCAAAUGACACCAUUCUUAAAUUACUAAGCAUGAAAUAAACAACUUAACAAUUUAUAUACAAUAAAAUUAGAAAAAAAAAUGCAGUUCUACUCACUUUUAUUUUAAUAUUUUAUUUAAUAUUCUAACACUUAACCCAAAGGCGAAUCUAGGAGUGUUGACAGAGGCCUUGUCCCCCUAAAAUAAAAUAUUGCUAUUUAGGUCCUUUAAAAAUUUUAAAACUUUAAAUUAGUAAAGGUAAAAUUACACUUUAGCCCCCUAAAAUUAUAAAAAUUUAAAUUAAUUAUUUAAAAAUUAUAAAGAUAUAGACUAUAAAAAAUUAAGAUUUCAUUCGCCUCUCAUAAAAAUUAUUUUGGCUUCGCCCCUGCCUUAACCCUAACCUAAAAAAAUCAUCCUAGUCAAAUGGGUAGAGCAAUACUUCAUUUUUAAUGGCCCGAAGCCAAUAAAUUAAAAAAAAGGCAAAUUGCAUUAUUAAUUACUCAAUUAUAGGUAAAAUUUUGUUUUGAUCACUUAAUUAAAAAAGUUACAAUUUGGCCAUUAAACUAUUUGAAAGUUUUCAUUUAUAAACUAUUUGAAAGUUUUCAUUCAAGUUAUUGAGCUAUUUAAAAGUUUUUAUUUAAGUCACUGGAUUGUUAAGUUUUUUUUUUUAAGUUCCACCAGUGAGCUCCAAGCAACGAUUCAACGAUUGGUACAAUGGAUUAGUACCCAUCGACGAGUAGAAAAAUAUACCUUAGAUCCAAGUCGAUUUAAUGGUCAAUAUCGAAAAUUGAAGAAAAAAGUUGUUUGAAUUUUGGUUCACAAAUUUAUGAUGUCUAAAGUUGUUUUGUGAAAAAAAAUUGAACUGUAGGAAAGAAUGAGAAAGAGACCUUUCGAUUGAUGCAGGCAAUAUGAAUAGAAAAAAAGCUAUAUAGUAUUAAUUUUAACAGUCCGAUGACUUAAAUAAAUUUUUUUAAAUAAUUUAGUAAUAAAAUUGUAACUUUUUUAAUUAAGUAAUCAAAACAAAAAUUUAUCCAUAAUUUAAUAAUAGAGUUUACUUGUUAAAAAAUGUAUGAUAUAAAAAUUAAAAAAUGUAUGGCAUAUAAAACAUAUAUAUAUAUAAUUAAAAAAACUUAUUUUUUUAAAAGAUUAUUAAAUUUUAUGACAUUAUGUAUAUAACAACAAUAAAUGCAAGUGAACCGACCUUGAUUCUAUUUAUUUGAGGCCGGUGGGUGUUGCAAUAUUCUAUUAUUAUUGCCAAUCCUUCAAAUAUUUUGGACGGCCUAAGUUUCAUAUUUCUUCAUUCUUAUCCAUUGCACACAUUUUAUUUAUCUAAAUAUUCAAAAUCAAUACUCUUUGUCUGUAGUAAUAUAUCUGUAUUUUUUAAAAUCUCAAACAUGGACUGGUAGUCACGAAUUCUAUAAACUGAUUUUUUUUUUAUUUAGAUUAUUUUAUAUUUUAUAAAAUUUUAAAUUAAUAAUAAUAAAAUUAUGUUUUUAUUAUUAUAAAAAUAUACAAUUUAAUUCCACCCAAAGAAAGUUAUUGACUUCGCCCUAGAAUAUAGAAAUGCAAAACUACCCAAAAUUCAAAUAUGUGUUAUAUAUAUAUAUAUAUAUGAUUCGAGUGCAAUUUUGUAAGAAAAAGCUCAAAUGAAUCGCUUAGUUUACAACUAAACUUUAUAGUUGAAAGUCUUACUAGAAAGUAAUCUAGAUUAGAAUAUAGAUUUAAGGUUACUACAUGGUGAAUGUGUAUAACUUAAAUCAUAGCUUAUAAUUAUUAAAGCAUAGUCAAAUAAUUGUUUGGGAAAGGCCCUAUAGAUUUAAAAAGAAUUUGAAUCGCGUAACCAAGUUUUCUGUGUCUGUCUCUAAUCUUACUUGCACUUACAAUUUGAUCCAAUUGCAACUUUUCAUAUAUCGAGACUUAUAACUACUAGCAAAAAUCAACGUUCCUUCAAAUAUUAAGGGUCUGUUUGAUUGAUGGAAUUGAUUUUCCGGAAAAUCAUUUCUAACUUUUCCAGCGUUUGAUUGGCAGAAAUAUUUUCCAUUUGGAAAAUGAACUCCAAAACAAGGGAAAAUGUAUUACAUUUUAGGGAAAAUGCCUUACCCUUUCAAUUUCCGUAAGACAUUUUCCGUGCUGUCCUCUCUAUCGCCUCCUUCAUUCCUUCCUUCAUUUCCGGUAGAAAAAUGCUUCUGUUUAUCGAUUUUCCAGUAACUUGUUUUUUUAAUUAUUCAAUACUUAUUUUUUUAACACAAUUACAAAUAAUUUAUUUGAUAUUAGUUUUUUUCAAUUUAUAACGAUUAAUAUUGUAGCUUAAUAAUUGAGUAUUAUUAUAAAUAAAUCAUUGCAAUAUAUGUAAAAAUAAUUUAAAAUAUAAAAAUUUAUUAAUAUAUAUUAAUAUAUGUAAAAAAACUUUUCCGAAAAAUAUUUUCAAAAAAUCUGCCAAGCAGCAAAAAAUAUUUUACACAGAUUCAAUCAAACACCAGAAAAUAUUUUCCAGUAAAUCAUUUUACAGAAAAGUAAAACAUUUUUCAAAAAUCAUUUUACGGAAAAUAUUUUACUGGCAAUCAAACAGACCCUAAAUAUUCAAAUUUGUAGAAAAAAACUGAAUGGAUAUUCGCAUAUAUCUUAACCCACGUAAAAAUUACCAUUAUUUGGUUUAUUCGUCGGGGCAAUUGAGUGAAUAAGAUCGAAUGAGUUUUGAAAUUUUUUGGUCCAUAUUAGAAUUUUUAAUUUCUCUUUUCACAUUUUCUUCAUUAAUCAUAUAUAUUUUUAAAUUAUCUUUUUUUUCAAUUUCCUCCUUCGACUAAAUUAUUUAAAUAUGUCAUUUUUUUAAGAUUUAGGGAAAUAGAUCGAUUUUGAAGAGAGUGUGUGAAAGUGUGUCCAGUCACAUACUCUCUCCUCGGCCAUCGAUUUUUAAAGUUUGUUAAGGUUAGGGUUUUUUAGUUUAGAAUUUAAGGUUUUUAUUAUUUAGGGUUUUGAGAGUGAAAGUUUAUAGGUAGAUUUGAGAGGGUCAGGGAUGCGAUAACGCAUCUUAAAACACAUACAUUUCAUAUGUCAUAUUAGGAUAGAACCAUUAUCUCAAAAAUUCAUCUUAUAGAAGUCGGGUUUCGGGGUGACAGUGCUUGAUACAGUCAUGGGUCAAAGUCGAAGUUUAAGUGGAGGUCCCAAUCGACGACCGUUAUACGGUCACAGGUUCGAGCAUAAUUGGGGGCCAAUUGACAGUCGUUAUGCGAUUACGAGUUCAAGCUUUUUGAAUAUCCAUAAAUGAUGCAUUAUAUAUAUCAUAUAUAAGAUUAAUGUCAUAAUCAUAAGAAAAACAAAGGGUUUUUUGAUGCAAUUAGCGUAAUUUUUUUUCUCUAUUUCUAAGUGGCCAGUAUCUUUAACAUUUUAUUUUUAUCAGAGCAAAAAUACUUAAAAAAUAAACAAAAAUUAUAAGUUGUGAAUUAGAAGUCGUCAGGUAGCAAAUCCAAGCGAAAAUACCUAAAAAUAUAUAUAAAAAAAAUUAUAAAAAAUAAAUAUAAAAAAUUAUAAAAAUAGUAAAAAUAUUAUAAAAAUACUUUUCAGUCCCUUGAAUAGUGGACCAUCAACAUUGUCCCCUCUACCAAGACCAGCACAACGUUCAGUGCACCAUUAUGGCAUCACCCAAAGCCUUGUGCAGUCAAAAAUUCCUGCACUCAAAGCCCCCUGCAGCUAAAGUCCACUACAACCAAAGCCCCUUGCAGUCGAAAAUUUGAAGAGUUUGAUUAGUUAUAAUUUUUAUAAAUCUUAUUAUUUUUCUAGUAUUUUACAAUUCAUGUGAUUUUUAAAAUUUUUAAGUGUAAUAACUUAGAUGUGCCAUGUGGUGGAUUUUGAUUAGUUAUAGGAAGUGAUUGGAGUUAGAAUAGUUUGAAUGAGCGGUGUAUUUAUCUGCAGUUAAUGUAAAAAUAAUAAUGACGGUGAAAUUAAAUACUAUAACAUAAGACAAAAAAAUAAGCUAAAUGCAUCGCACGACACAUCUCAUCCAAACCCACACUUAUCUUAGAGUAAAUUAUCUAAUGGAAAUAAACUUUUAAGUCUUGAAUCGUGGUGCAAAAUUCUUUUAAGUAUCAAAUAAAAAAAAUAUUAGAAAGCAAAUGAUAGAUUAAGCCUAUUUUUUGUUAUUAGUUUACGUUUUAACAAAAUUUUAAUAAUAUUAAUUAUGGGGUAAAUCACACUCAAGGUUAGUGAUUAUUAGUAAAUUUAUAUUUUUAUCACUCAACUUUAAAAAAUAAUAAAAUGGUCAUUAAACUAUUCAAAUAUUUUCAUUUAAGUCACUAGUCUAUUGAAAUUGCUGCUGCAUGACCUUCUCUAUUCGCAUCACCUGCCUCAAUCAAAAGCUCUCAUUCCCUUUAUCUCCUAUAAUUAAGUUUUUUUUCCAUGAAAUAACUAUGAACAUCACAAAUCAGUGAACCAAAAUUCAAAUAAUUAUAUUUUCCAAUCAUCAGCAUUGAUUGUCAAAUUGGCUUAGAUCUAAUGUAUAUUCUUUUACUCAUUGAUUGAUGAAUAUUGAUCUGUUGUAUCAAUCAUCAAAUUAUUGUUUGGAGCUCACUACCUGGAUUUUAUUUUUAAAAAAAUUAACAGCUUGAUGAAUUAAAUAAAAAAUUUGAAUAUUUUAGUGACUUAAAUGAAAACUUUUGAAUAGUUUAAUGACCAUUUUGUAACUUUUUAAAAUUGAGUGACCAAAACAUAAACUUACUAAUAGUUUAGUGACUUUAGCUGUAUUUUACCCUAAAUUAUUUAAAAUUUUUUUUGAAAUAGGUUCGGUUUUAGGCUUGGAAAGCCGUUAAGCGACUCAAAUCUGAAUUUGAACCUCCACACAGUUUUACCAUAAUACCCUUUAUAUUCCCUUUCUCACUUUCCCUCCCAUAUUCAAUCAAGAGGCAGAGAGAUUUAGGGUUUGAUUUUGAGAGUAAGGUAUUAGCUCAUUCUUUGCUAUGGAAAAUUUAACAACACUCGACACUGGAACCGCCGACGUUGCAGGUACUUCGAUUACCUUAAAAUACCUCUCAAUUUCUUGAUUUUCCCCCUGAAUUUUAUUGGGUUUUUUAAAAUUUGUUUAAAAAAUAAUAAUAAAUUUUAGCCAAUUUUUAAAAGCAUUACUUUCCCCCUCGAAAGGUGAAUUCACUGAAUCUUUCUAAUCAUUUUAUUGUUUUAUUUUUGUUAAUUUUUUUCUUCUAAUCUUAAAUCUGAGAAGAUUCGAAUUGGGAUUGUAAUGUUUUCAUGAAUUAGGUCGAGGAACGAACCCUAAUCCUAAAUAGUAAUUUUAUCUGCAUAAUGUUAGUUGAAUAAAAUGGAUAGUUUAUUUAUUUACAUUUUGGAUUUGGUAAAUUGGUUAGUGAGACUAUAAUAUAGUUUAGUUUGAUGCUGGAGAAAUGCCGGAAAGUUGAAGUUUGAUUUGCUGCUGAUACACCUGUUUAGUUUGAUUUCUAUGAGCUGAUGUAGAGGUUAGGAAGAAUUUUUUUUGUUCACCAUUGAAUGGAAGAUUGGUUGUUCUUUUUUAACAUGAUUAACUUAAUUUCAGCUUAAAAAUCUGUUCGGAUUUCAGGUGAUAAAUUGAAAGGGGAGAUUAAGGAAAAUAGAUGCUCAAUGGGUAAUAUGUCAAGGAAAGGGCUUACUGACAUAUCCAACUUACAGCAGCAACCUAAAUUGUUAAACCAAGGUGCAAAGCUGCUGUUGCAAACUGCUUCACUCGGGACUAAAGAUUACAUUGACAAACUUCAACAGGUAUGCUUUGAACAUCAAUUAACUCACCUUUCUUUGUUUUUAUUUUCACCCCAUCAUUUGUUUAUGUGUGCCUUUAGCUUAUUGAGGUUUUUAUUGAAUCUGCCUCAGGAAAAUAUGAUGCUGAUGAAAGUUCUUGCAGAUAGAAAGUAUUCUCUAUGAUUGAUUUUAUUUUAUUUCUUUUCCUUCCCUUUCUAACCAUUGCUUGCUGUUAUUUGUGUUUGGAUGACUUUCUUUUUUAUGGUUGUGUUUUUCUUAAUUUUGACCAGUAAAGUCAUUGAAUUGAGUGGAAUUGAGUUACAAAAGCUGAGAAUCAAUUUGGAGAAGUUUCAGCAACAGAACAUGGUACUUGCCCAAACAAACAGCCAGAUGUUAGCGGUACCUUAGUACUUCUUUGUAACUGUCUGUUUCUCAGUUUAUAACUCUUAGGGGCAUACUUUUAAUGAUAUUAUGAUCUUCUGGUAAGGCUGAUGUCUUACUUUGGGUUUUGCAGGAACUUAAUUCAAGCAAAGAUAGGGUAAGUUUUCAGAACAUUAAGUUUCAUGAACUUCAUCUUGCUUACUGCUUUUGUGCAACUGUAUAUUUUUGGGACUUGACCAUUGAGUUCUUUUGUUUUCAGUUAAAAGCCCUUAAGCAUGAGCUGGGAUGUAAAAAUGCUCUGCUUAAAGCUAUUAAAUUGGAGGUAUUUUUAUUUUGCAAUAAUCUACUCAUCUAAGUGCACAAUAGUCAAGUCUAAAUUAGAUUCCAUUGCUGUUUAUCAAAUCCUUUGACACCUGCAGAACAUCCGGAAACGAAGCAUUAAAUAGAAUAAUUUACAGCAUCUGUAUUGAUUUUCUUUUCUUAUGUUUUACCAAUGUAACAUGUUAUUCACACAUUCUUUUCCCGUGGUUUGAAGCUAGGAACAAACAAGUGUGGCAAGGUAGGUGAAUCACAUGAUGAAGAAGAUGGCGAAAAUAAACCUUGUAAUAUGAACGGGUGUGGCGAGACAGGUGAAUCUCUUAAAGGAGAAGAUGAAGAGAAUAAACCGUGUAAUAUGACCAGAAAGAGACAAUCGUACGAUCUUGGUAACUUGCUUGACAGAAAUUUUAGUUGAAAAUUAUUAAUGUUGUUCAUCAUACCAUCGUCAUUUAUCAUUCGCAUGCUGCUUCAGGUCCUUGUAAUAUUAAACCAGUCCAAGGCAAAGAGGGGGUCAAGAACAAAAGGUUUUUGUACAUUUUUAUUGCUUUGUGCAAAUUAGUUUUCUAAUAACUUUAGUGCUUCCCAAUGAAAAAGGAAAAUUAUGGUUUCUUUUAUGUUUCCUUAGCAGGAUGUAUGCAAAAAGGCAAUCUGCUAGGCAUAAAACCCAAGCAGAAACAACUGAAUAUGUAAUUAAGGUCCAUGAGAGUGGCCCUUCUGAUAUCAAACCAGUCCAAGCCAAGGAGGGGAUUGACAACAAAAGGUUUUUGUACAUUUCUUAUUGCUUAGUGCAAAUUAUUUUCAAUAACAGUGUAGUCUUUAGCUUCUUUGUUUGAAAACUUCAGUGACAGAGUAAAAUUCAUGGUUUCUUUUAUGUUUUGGUUGCAGGGUUUGUUCAAGAAGGCAAUCUGCUAGGUUUAAAGCCCAAGAACCUGAAACUACUGAAUAUAUGUUCGAGGUAGAUGAUACAAAAUCUUUUGAUUCUACCCGUGAUGAUAACGUCCAUGGGAGUGGCCCUUCUGAUAUCAAACCAGUCCAAACCAAGGAGGGGAUUGACAACAAAAGGUUUUUGUACAUUUCUUAUUGCUUAGUGCAAAUUAUUUUCAAUAACAGUGUAGUCUUUUAACUUUUUUGUUUGAAAACUUCAGUGACAGGAAAAUUCAUGGGUUUUUUUUAUGUUUUGGUUGCAGGGUUUGUUUAAAAAGGCAAUCUGCUAGGUUUAAAGCCCAAGAACCUGAAACUACUGAAUAUAUGUGCGAGGUAGAUACAAAAUCUUUUGCUCCUAUCUGUGAUGAUAAGGUGUGUAAAAGUGGCCCUUCUGAUAGUAAAUCCGCCCAAGGCAACGAAAGGGGUGACAGCAAAAGGUUUUCUACAUUUUCUAUUGCUUUGUGCUAAUUAAGUUUCUGAUUAGAUUGUUUUAUUUGAAAACUUAACAACCAUGGAUUUAUGUGGGUUGUUUUAAUGUUCAUAUCUUACAGGGUAUGCUUAAGAAGGCAAUCUGCUAAGAUUAGAGCACAAGAACCAGAAAUGAGCGUAGAUGUGUCUGACGUAGAUGAUGUGAGGUGUCUUUUUUCAUCUACCAGUGAUGAUAAGGUGCAUGAAAGUGGCCAACUAUCUUCCGAUUCAUCAGUGAAAAGAGAACAGGAAGAAGGAAAUACGAGUAUGUCCACCAGAAGUGAAGCUCAAGAACUUAGAAGGGUGUCUGUGGGAAGGCCUUUACGCCGAGCAGUGGAGAAGGUCCAAUCCUACAAGGAAAUGAAGCUUAAUGUGAAGAUGCGCAGAGAAGUGUGAGUGAGUUCAUUCUCUUAGCAUCGUUCUAAUAAGCUUUGAGUUGCAUCUAAUUUCUGUGUUACCACAACGCUGUAUAAUAUAUGUUGUGCCUUUUUCUUUUUCUUGACAUGCCUAACCCAAUGCAUCUACCAUGUAUGACUGUUGGAAAUGCCUGAAUUCCAAGUAGUUUUGUAAGAUUUUUGAUCCAUUUGCUGGUCGAAUGUGGAAUAUUUCUGUGGGAAUUUUCAUAAGAGAAUUCGCCUCUAGUUCAAACAACUCUUAUCAAUUCCCAAUCUUUUUAAUUCUGUUAUUUGAGUUUCGAGAUCUAUUUUUGUCUUUUACUUUUCAAUGUACUCUUAACUUAAUAAUGGAGGGGAGGGGGGGCAAACCCCGAAUUUUACCUCAUUAUCUAAUUUAUCUUUGAUGGAUUUCACCUGAAUUCCAUUGGCUGAGCUUAACUGAAUUCUAAUAAAACCCAAGUAAAAUUCAAUAGAUGGUUGGAUCCUCACCCUAGAUAAAGAGUAGUUUUAAAAUUCGUGGCCAGCGUUUACCUCUUAAUAAAUUUACAGAAUGCGAAUGAUUAGUUAUUGAUCUUGCUUCGGUAAAUAUAUUGAGAAAAAGAAAAAAUAGAGUAUAAUAUUUGUUAGAAGGUGUCUAACAUAAAUAUGCUCAAAAUUCUUAAAUAUGUUUUUUUUUUCUUAAUGUUUUGAUGAAUCUAUUUCAAUGCCUAUAUAUCAUAUAUAUUGAAUUGUUUUCAGAUUUUUUUUCCACCUUUUAUUAAUUGGUGACUUGACAUUUUAAGGAAAAAAAAUAAAUUCUGCCGCAUUUUUCUUUCAUAUAAAUCAAAAUUAAAAAAUAAUUAAUAAAAUAAGUCAAAUGGUAAUUUAUUUUCUGAAAGUAAGUUUAAAAAUGAAAAAUCAUCUCUAAAAAUAAAACAUAUGAAGACGCAAAUAAUAGGCGAUUUGAGAACCUACUCUCAUCGUCUACUCUAAUUGCUAUCUUCAUAUGUUGCCGACUUUUGCCAAUGAAUUUAUUUUCUUACACUUUUAAUUGAUAAAUAAAUAAUAAUUUUACAUAUUUAUUAAUUAUUUUUGAGUUUUGAUGUAUAUGAAAAGUUUUCAUCUUACUAUUUUUUAUUAAAAUAAUAUAAUUUUAUUCCACAAAAAAACAUAUAAUAUAAUCUUAUUCAAAGCUAUAUCAAGAAAAAAUGGUUAAAAUCAACUAAAACCUGUUGGUUAUUUAUGACAUGCAUAGGCAUACUUCCAGCUACACCUGUCCAUGGGCCGGGCGGCCCGGCUGGCCCGACGGUCUGACUGUUUGCUUGAAAUAUGGGAGGGUUCAGGUAAAAAUAUAGGCCCAAAAUAUGGACUUGGACAAAAAUUUAGGCCCGUUUAGAAAACGGGCCGGGUCUCGGGCAAAAUUUUUUUGGCCCGGGCUCGGCCCGAAAAAUAUUAAAUAUAUAUUUUUUUAUUUUAAAAAUAUAACAGCUUUUAUUUUAAGUUUGAUUUACUUUUCUCUUAAUGCUGCUGUCAGUGCUGUGCCUUCCUUUUUUCCCCAUUUCCAAAAUCGACAGACACCCAAAAUCCCUAACCCUAUUGUGCUGUCUCCUGUGCCUUCCUCCCUUUUUUUCCCAUUUCCAAAAUCGACGGUCUCUUCCAGUACCGUUUGCUCAUCUUCUUCGUUUGGUACAAGUACGGGUUUGCUCAUCUUCUUCGUUUUCAUUCUCUGUGACUGUAAGAUACUUCAUUUCUUUUGAUUAUUCUUCUUCAGGUUACUCUUUUAUUUCUUUUAUCAAUUACCCUUCUUCUUUGCCUGCACAUUCAAUUAAGCGCAACUCUUUUACUCUUUCAAAAUCUGAGACAUUGAUUUUUUUUCUAGAGAUUGUGUUCUUAGGUGUUCUGAAUCAAUGGUUAGGAUUAUGUUACAAAGUUGAAACAUUAGAUAAAUAUUUAUUAAAAACAAUUGUUCUUUCAAUGAAUUUAUGCAUCAAAACAGCAAUAACAUAAAUACCAAAUGUAAAAUAAAACGUAUUAAAGCAUCAAAAAGCUUACCUGAAAUGCAGACCGAAAGCUCAAAAAAUCAAUAAACAUAUGAACAAAGAAGAGAAGAAGAAGAAAUAGUAUAUGAAGGCACACAGUUUAGCAGGCAGGACAAGAUUAGUCUACUGUUUUUGGUUUUAGGCAAAGAUUAGUCCAAACUCCAAAGUUAAUAUAAAAGGGUCAAACGUGUAGGAAGUAAGCAAUGGGAUAACAAUAACAUUAGCUGACCAACCAUUAUAACAAUAAUAUUAAAAUCAAGAGUAGAUAAUGCUAAGUUCCCACUUUCUGCAGAUUACCCACUCUUUUUCUUAGAAACAGUUUGAAUUAAAAAUGUUAGAAUUAAAAAUGGAGAAUAUUAGAGGGUAGAGUCAGUAGUGAGUCAUGUCAAUGGAGAAUAUUUAAUACAAUUCUUCCUUUUUCUUAGAAACAGUUUGAAUUAAAAAUGGAAAUCUAAUCUAACAUUCUUACUUCAUUUCUAAUUGCAGUUUUCUUUCAACUUCUUUCUACUGAAGUUACACACACUUCAUUUGGGGCAUCCUUUUGCUGAAUGUUAACCAAUGUUGACUAUUCUAGAACUAUACCACAUCGACAUAUAAGAAUGUUAAAUUAGAUAAAGCAGGUUUCUCGGCCUCUUGAAUUGCGAAUUGGGUUUAGUUUAUUCCUUUAAAUAAGGUAACAUAUGCAGAUAACAUGUGCCAAUGCUCUGCAUGUAUUCUGUUUGUUUCUGUCUAAGUUUGUAAAAGUGUAUAAAAAAAGUGUUUAUAUAUAUAUUCCCUUCCAUUUUCUGACUGUUAAUCUAUAAUAAAAGUUUAUAUGAAAUUUGUCAAUUAUUUUUUUGUUAAUCUAUGAUUCAAUCAAAUAAUUAAGUGGUAAAUGUUUGUUUAUAUGUUUAUAUCUGGAAAUAAAGUUAUCAGAAUUUUGAAAUUGCAUGAGAUUCGAGUUUAAUGAAUUUAUUAUGAUGUUUACUAAGAUCACAAGCUUAGUUUAUUCAUUUAAUCUCAUCUUCUUCUUCUUCUUUUUUGCUUUGUUUUAUUGCAGAAACAAUCGACAUUGAAUUCGAUUUGGCUUACCUUAGCUUCCUUUCCUGUAAGCUUUCAUUUACAUUUUCUUUUUACAAUUUAAUUUAAUUUGAUUUUUCUUUAUUUUACUUUGUACAACAUUUUGCAGAUUAGCAGAUUUUCCCGUAAGCUAAACUUGCUUAUCUACUAGUAGGAAAAUAAUGGGAUUGAGAAAUAGAGAUGCUUCUAUUUAAGAUUUUGGAUUGGAUUUGUGCAGUUUGAAUUUCAUUAAUUUCUUUUUUGGUACAUAUGUAAUUUAGCUUAUAGAAUAAGUAUGACUAUCUCAAUUGUUUAAACGCAAAGGAUGUUUUCUAGUUUAGGUUUAUAUUAUAUAUUUAAUAAUUUGCCUAUUGUUUAUAUAUAAAUUUGAAAUCUAAUAAAUGUUUUUGUUCCAUUCAAUUCUUAUUCAUUUUUUGUUUGCAUUUUAAUUUUGUUUGUGUUUUCUUCUACAUAACGGUAACGGACUUUCAAAGUUAAACUAUUUUAUCUAGUUUUCAUUUGUAGACCAUGAUAUAUUUUUAAAUUAUUUCAAAAAAUUUUUAUACAAGGUAAUUUUAAAGAUAAUUGAUUGUAGCUUAAAAUUAUUUCAAAAGUUAGUAUGAAUUUUAUUAAAAAAAUAUUUAAUAACAAAUUAUAUAUUUGUAAUUUUUAAAAGAUUAAAUUAAUUUUUUUAUUAUUUUAAAGAGUUCAAACUUCAAAGUACAAUUUUUAUUAUUUAUAGCAAAUUAAAGAGUUAUUAAUUUAAAAUUCUAUAUAUUAUUUAUAGCAAAUUAAAGAGUUAUUAAUUUAAAAGACUGAUAGUUUAGUUAGUAGUUAGCUGCUAAUAGUUAAAGUCAGUUAAGUCAGUUGUUAGUUGUAUUCUGUUAAUAUUUUUGUGAGUGAGUUAGUCAAGAUUCUUUUAACUUAUUGUUAGUUGAUUUCUUGACAAGUUCAUUAACUUAUUCAUUGUAUAAAUACAUAGUUUCAAUUUUGUUGGGAUUAUUCGAGUUAAAAAUAUAAAACAAGUAGACUCUUUUUCUCUUAUAUAUAUGAUUGUUGUAUAUAUUAUAAAUAAUAUAUAAUAUAUUAUUAUAUUAUUAUAUAGAACAUAUUCUACGUUAUAAUUAGUUUAAUAUAUCUUGAUGCUUUUUUUUUUCUUGUAAUUACACUGUAUCAUAUUAGUCAAAGUUAACCGAGCUAUAAAUAAGAUUAUUUUUGGAUUUCAGGAUUUUAAUUUUUAUGACUAUGGCUAGUUCGAACACUCCUAUACCUGUGGACGAUGGGUUUAAUGAGUACGAAAGUGUUGUCAAACGUCAAAAGUCUACCACUUCAAAGGUGUGGGAUGAAAUGACAAAGCUUGAAUGCGAGAACAAAAAUGAGUUGAAGGCACAAUGUAAUCACUGUAAGACUAUCUUCUCUGCUAAAUCUUCUAGUGAAACCUCUCAUUUAAGACGUCAUCUAAAUAGCUGUUUGAAAAAAGUUAAUAAGGACAUCGCUCAAUACAUCAUAGCCACUCAACCAUCACCAGAAGGUGUUCCAUCUAUAAAAAUCUACAAGUUUGAUGCUGAUGAGUGUCGUCAAGCUAUUUCUACUUUUCUUGUGUGUGGCAAGCAUUCAUUUGGGACAGUUGAAGAACCAGGAUUUAGAUACAUGAUGAGAAUUGCUAGUCCUAAUUUUAAGAAUAUAAGUAGACAAACAGCUAUUAGGGAUGUCCUAAAGUAUUAUGCAAAAGAGAGAGAUCAUGUUAAAGAAGAGUUGGCUAAAGCACCUGGUUUAAUUUGUCUAACUUCUGAUAAUUGGAAUUCGGAGCAUACUAAUGAUGAAUAUAUUUGCAUUACUGCUCAUUGGGUUGACAAAGAUUGGAAGCUACAAAAGAGAAUCAUAAGGUUUAGAGCUUUAUUUCCUCCAUAUGAUGGUUUGAACAUAGCGGAUGAACUUGUUUUAUGUUUAUCUCAAUGGGGUAUAGAUAAGAAAAUUUUUAGCAUCACUUUGGAUAAUGCUUCUUAUAAUGAUGUUAUGGUUUCUUGUCUUAAAAAUUGUUUUCGUGCAAAUCAAGCUAUUUUGUGUGAUGGUGUUUUUUUUCAAGUUAGAUGUUGUGCACAUAUAUUGAAUCUUAUAGUUAAAGCUGGUUUGGAACUUGCCGAUUAUGUUGUUUGUAAGAUUCGAAAUGGGAUUAGGUACAUAAAAAAGUCAGGAAUUCGUAGAAAAAGGUUUUAUGAUGUGGCCGACAAAAGUUUUCAUUUGAAUGUGACCAAAAAGUUGCGGCAAGAUGUGUGUGUGAGAUGGAAUUCUACUUAUUUGAUGCUUGAAUCUUUUCUUUACUAUAAAGAUGUACUAGAUUAUUGGGGUCAACGGGAUAAAGAUUAUCAAAUGUUUGCACUUUCUAGCGAGGAGUGGAGAAAUGUUGCUAUUCUUUGCAAAUUUUUGAAAGUAUUUUAUGAUGUGACUUGUGUUUUUUCUGGUUCUAAUUAUCCAACGGCUAAUCUUUAUUUUAGAGGGGUUUGGAAGGUUUACAAGCUCUUGAUUGAUAUAGUUAAAGGCCCUUAUUCGUUUUUAACUCCAAUGGUUAAGCAAAUGCAAGAGAAAUUUAAUAAGUAUUGGGCUGAGUAUUCGUUGAUAUUGUCAUGUGCUGCAAUUUUAGAUCCUCGUUACAAGUUGAAUUAUGUGCAGUAUUGCUUUAAAACAAUCUAUGGUGUUCAUGCUUCAGAUUUUGUUGAGACCAUUCUUAGCAAUCUUAGACUCUUGUUUGAUGAGUAUGUUAAGAAAUCCAAAUCCAUGUCUUCUUCUUUGGCUGGGAGUUCUAAUGUUUCGGAUAAAAAUCCUGUUGAUUCUGGUUUGGAUGAACACAAUGAUAAUAGUGCUGAUUUUGGUGGAUAUUUUGAUGAGAGUGAUGAUUAUAAACGGUAUUUAAAUGAAUCUAGCACUAGGAGUGAAAAGUCACAGUUGAACAUUUAUUUGGAAGAAUCGGAGCUUGAGUUGAAUAGUCAAAUAGAUGUUUUAGAUUAUUGGAGCAAAAGUUCAGUUCGAUACAAUGAGCUUUCAUUAUUGGCUCGUGAUCUUUUGGCAAUUCCAAUAUCGACUGUAGCUUUCGAAUCGGCUUUUAGCAUGGGUAAGAAAGUUAUCACACUUAUCAGGAGUUCACUUAAGCCAAAAACGGUUCAAGCCGUUGUUUGCUUGGAUGAUUGGAUGAGAGCUAAGGGAUUUUCAGCAGGUAAUUAUUAUUCUCACUUUAUUGUUGUAAUUUUAUAUUACUUUUUCAUCAAUUUGAUUAUCUAAUUAUUCAUUCUUAUUUCAUGUUAGAAAUUGGUUGCAAAAAGGAUGAUGACGACGAUGACGACGAGGUUUCUUCAGUUGCUUUUUAAGAUACUUUCUUUUUAAAUGUUUAAAUUUUAAUUUAGCUAACAAUUUAUAUUUUGUUAUAAAAUUAAAUAUGUUGAUGGAUUAAUGUAUGAAUACUAUAGUUUGUUGUUUAUUGCUAUAAAAUUAAGUAUGUUUAAAUAUUUUGUUAUAAAAUUUAGGUGACAUGAUAGAAUUGGAAGUGAUAAAAUUGGACUUAUAGCAAUGAACUACUUAGGGGAGAUUUGAGAGUAUUGUUACUAAUAUUACAAAGGUUUGUUCAAGACUAUGAUGUAAUUAUAUGAUGUAGGAAGCAUGAAAAUUUGGUUAUGAUUAUUUAAACCCAUAUUGUAUUGCCAAGUUUGAAUAGAUUAUUAUGAGUUAUGGCAAUUCAUUAUAUUUUGUUGCCUAAUUUGAUUUGAUGUCUUAACUAAUCGAUGCAUUCGACCUAUUACAUCAAUGCUUGCUUAUUGUUUUUUUUAUAUAAUUUUAUUAUGAUGUAAUUAUAUGAUGUAGCAAGCAUGAAUGCUUGCUGAUUGUUUUUUUUACAAUUUCCAUAUUUCAUGGUCUUUAUGUGAAAGUUGAAAAGGUUGUAAAAAUUUGCAGAGCGAAGACAAAAAUGUUGCUAAGCUUAUUCAAUCAUUGCGACCAAUUCCAAAACACUUUCAUGGUAAAAAGUGACGUUAUAUUAAAAAGGGAAGAUGUAAUUUUACAUUAAUACAAAUUGGUUAGGUGCGAAUGAAUUAAGAUGCACGAAUUAAAAAAGUGGCGGUUAAACAGGUUGCAUGCAUAAUUUUAAUUCUAAUCCAACAACUUACCUUUUUCGGACAAAGCAGUUAAACAAAAGUUGGUCAAAGAAAGGUUAAAUUCUAUUCUUAAAGGUUAAAUUCUAUUCUUACAGCAUGUUUGGUUGGGUGUAUUGGAUUAGCCAAUACACCCCUAAUCCGUGGGCCCCACUAAUCCCCACUUAAUCCCGUGUUUGGUUUGAUGUAUUGCCUAUUACAGGCCUAUUACAACACGAAUGUAUUCCUCAUUUUCUCUGCUUCAACAACGAUUAGCCAAUCCGUUUCAAAAGUAAGGAUUAGCUAAUCGUUUCUGUUUUACCCUCCCCAGCCAAAAUCUGCUGCUCCACCCCACCCUCUCCCUCCCAACAUCAACAGCAGUUUUCUUCGAACCAAAUCUCCACCGUCUCGCGUUUGGGAAGCGAGAAAGUGCGAGAAAAAUGAGCAGACCGGGGAAGAAAGUCGUCGAUGUCGCGUUCAAAGCAUCAAAGAACAUUGAUUGGGAAGGGAUGGCUAAGCUUUUGGUCUCCGAUGAGGCUCGCAAAGAGUUCGCUACUCUUCGUCGCACUUUUGAUGAAGUUAACUCUACUUUACAAACCAAAUUCAGCCAGGUCUUUUUCUUCUCUCUAAUCCCUAGCUCCUUUUUUAUUCUCUCUAUAAAUCAAUUGGGAUGUUUUGGGUUGUCUCCUACACGAUGGCGCAGCCAGCUUGUGAAACGGUCAUGAAUUGGUUAUCUUCUGGUGGAGUUACAGAGUUGUUACCUGAAGCAAAUGUACAGCCCAAUGAGAGAUUCAUGGUGAUGCGGGAAGUUAGUCCAUUGCCUAUUUCACUGUUAUCUGGCUUUUCAAUGAAUCUUUAUUUGAAGUUGGUCUUUCAAAUGGAAGAAUCUUUAUUUGCUGGGCAGGUAUUAUCCUGAAUAGAGUAAUGUAAUCUAAUUUAUAAAUUGAUCACUAUUUUCUUGUAGGCUUAAUUAAUUUUUAUUUGGUCUUUGACAAUUGGAUCACUACUGAUUUUCAAACUAUUUCUAAUGCUUGGUAUUGAUUCGUUUGACGCAGGUUGUUCCUAGUAUUGCUAUGGUUGAAACAUACACCAGAUUGUUGCUCAUUGCACCUCAUUCGUUAUUUUGUUCGCACUUCAGUGUAACUUGCUUCCCUUCUAAUGUUAUUAUUUCUUAUCUUUUAGAAGAUUUCUUAGUAAAGGAUUAGUGUCAUGCAGUUUUCGAGAUUUGUGGUAUAAAUUUUGUCCAUUGGAAAAGUUAUUCCAUCUCAUUUUUAAUGGAAGUCUUAAGAAGUAAUUGCCACUUUCAAUAUACUUGUAACCUCAUUCUUGCUACUGGCUGAAAGUAAGUCAAUCAUCCUACUAAUUUGGAAAAACAAAUUUUGACUUACUUUAUCUGUCAAUAUAAUAUUUGUUUUUCAGAUUUCCUGACAUCUGUUCAAGAUCAUGCUACUUUUCAUCCAAACCAACUAACUGACUAAAUGUAACAAUUCACCCUUUAUUAAAUCAUUUAAUUUAGAAAAUUGCACUUUGGAAAUUUCUUUCCAAACCCAUUGUAACCAUCCAUUGGCAACUUAUAUAAGAGCCAAUGAUGAUUUAUGAUCAAUAGAAAAUUGCCUUCUUUGCAGCAUUUGGCACAGAGGAAUGCUUCUUUAUUGAGCAAGCCUGCGGUGACACUUCUGGUGCUUGAAAUUGUCAACUAUCGUCUGCUUCCACCGUACAGGUGAUCUUCUGCAUGGUUCAUUCAGCCAAGAUACUCCUCUCCCUUCUGCUGGUCAUAGCAUGUGAUAGUAUUUAGAAUGGAAUUUGCAGUUUCAGAUUGAGCUUUCUGAUUCCUGAGGAUUUCUGUGCCCUUUGCUUUAUAUUGCUAUUGCUUUAUAUUUCUCUGAUCAUUUUCUAGCUCCAGAUCUCCUUGAUCUUUCCUAGAUCAGUUCCAUGCCCCAUACUUCACUGAAAGUUCAAUGGAAAUCAAUUGCCAAUGAGGACAUUGUUUAAAUUGGCUGCUAUUUUGUUUGCAAAUACAAUUCUUAUUUAUGUGCAAUUCACUUGUUGAAUGCUAUUAGCAUUUAACAAUUUCAGAUUAAUGCCGUAGAUGUUUCAUUUCAAUAAUGCUAUUAUGUGAUCAGAUUCUUCUGGACACCAAAACUUGAGAUACUCCUAUACUUAUGUUCAAAGUAGAAUGAAGAAAAUAUAAACAUCUAGCUACUCAAUUCUCACUUGUCUGCAAUUUCUAGCAGUCGAAGUAAUCAUAUUUAUCAUGCUUGUUAUAAGGUUUGGAUGGAGUUUUGAGGGAUUCACCGUUACAAAUGUUAUAUACUCUUCCAUUGCAGGUGUAGAGAUCCCCAAGUUUGUUGACACCGUCACUCCUCAAUACAAACCAAAAUUUGAUGAAUUGGUGAGAAUCAACAGGAUAAUUUACUCUCUUUUACCCUGUCUCCAAGUUUUUUCCUCGAAUGAUGUGCUAUUUAUUUGUGGUUAUAGCUUGUAGAAUUGAAAGAGGCAGAGGAGAAAUCCUUGAAAGAGUCUGAGCGAUUGGAGAAAGAAAUUGCCGAGGUUCAAGAACUUAAGGUAAUAAAUAAAACAAUGCCGGAAUGUGUGUUGUUGUGUUCCAAAUCACAAUUGCUGAAUUUUUUUAUCUUUUUUUAUGAACAGCAAAAGAUCAGCACCAUGACCGCAGACGAGUACUUUGAGAAACAUCCAGAGCUUAAAAAGAAAUUCGAUGAUGAGAUCCGGAAUGACUACUGGGGCUAUUGACAUCUUUGUGAAUUUAAUGGCCAAGCUUUUGGUCUCGACUAGAAUUUCUGAACCGUUUCUGUUGUUUUAACCCCUUUUUCUCUUGUGCGGUGAUCUGGGUUGGAAAGAUUAGGCUGUAAUGAUAAGAAAAUAAUUGUGUGAGAAAAAUUUAUCCAAACAUUUGAGAAACAAGGUGGAUCUUGUAAGACAUGCAUUCUAUUUAGCAGGCAUCCGCAGUCAUACUUUUAUGGCAAAAUUUUUACUGUCUGCCCUCUUCAUUCCAUUCUGUUUUAUGUUUAUUAUUUGAAUAUUAUCUAGAUACAAUUGAAUUUGGACACCUAUUUAUCUUGAUCCAUUCUAUAUGUAUUUUUUAAUAAGUGGUUAUUUAUAUUAUUAGUAUUUUGAAAUUUUAAAUUUUAUAAAUUAAUAUAAAAAAAGGUUUUUACAUCAAGAAUGAAUUUAUUGAUUCAAGUGCAUCUAGACAAUCAUUUAUCCAAAUUCAUCGGGACGUGCUUUUUAGUUCUUUUUAAUAUUAAUUAUUUUAAAUUGUAUAAAUUCAUAUAAGAAAAUUUAUUAUCAAGAAUUUUAUGAAAUUAUAUAUUAUUAUUAAAUUAUAUGUAAUAAUAAUUAUUUUAAAUUAUACAAAUUCAUGUAAGAUAAUUUAUUAGUUAUAAUUAUUUUAAAUUUUAUUAAAUCAUAUAUUUUAAUUAAAAUAUAUUUAAUAUUAAUUAUUUCAAAUUAUCUUUUAUGGUAUCAUAUAUUAUGAUUUGAGUAAAUUCAUAUAAGAAUAUUAAUUAUUAAGAAUUUUAUUAAAUUAUAUAUUUUAAUUAUAAUAUAUUUAAUAAUAAUUAUGUUUAAAUAUGAUUAAAAUAUUUAUUAUUGAUAAUAAUAAUCUUAUUAAAAUUUAAAUAACAAUAACAAUAAUCAUUUACCAAAACAAAUUUAUGCUAAGGGUAUUCUAGUCAUUUUAGUUUUUUCCACUAUGCUAUUACACCUCUAUUCCAUUCAACCAAACACAAGAUUACUAUUACGCCUCUAUUCCAUUACAUUCAACCAAACAGUUGAUUUGCUAUUACACCUCUAAUCCAAUACACCUCUAAUCCAAUACACUUCUAAUCCAAUACACCUCUAAUCCAAUACAGCGAACCAAACGCACCCUUAGUCUUCUACUUUGUGAAAAUUAUGAAUUUAGUUUUUGUAAAUUAAUUUGAUUAAAUUUAGCUUGUGUGUUUUUUAAUUGGUCAGAUUUUGAAAAAUGUAGUCUUAGCUUAAAAGGUUGCAGUUAAAUUAAUUUGAUUAAUAAUAAAACAUCUUUCUUAUAGCAAAUUAGCAAUUAAUACAAUUAAUACAAUUAAUAAUUUGAUAAAUUUACUAAUCAAAUGUUAGAUUUUAUUACAACAAUUAAUACAAUUAAUAAUUAAUAAUUUCAAAAUUUUACUACCAAUUAAUUUUAAUAAUAAUUAGUUUUAAUUUUAUUAAAAAAUAAUUUUAAUUUAAAAACGGGCCCGGGCCCAUAUUUUUCCCCGGGCCGGGCCUGGGCAAAAUCUCAGGCCCAUAUUUUGGGCCGGGCCUGGUAAACGGGCUUAAAUUUUUUGUUGGCCCGGCCCGAACCCGGUCCGGCCCGGCCCAUGGACACCUCUACUUCUAGCUGGGUUCUUUUACUUUUUUUCUAAAGAAAACUGUAUGUUUAAAUUCUGAAUUAGAAUUUAUUUAAUUUUUCAGUCUAUUUUAUUAUUAAAAUAAAAUAUAAUAUAAAAAGUAUUUUAUAUUUUUAUAAAUAAAUUUAAAUAAAAAUAUUUUUAAUUUAUUUGAUCAAAAUAUAGAAAACCUUCAUGUAAUACAAUAGCCUUGAGUAAUUAAAUUAAUUAACAUUGCAAAAAUAAUUUAAAUAGAAAAUGGUAAAACUCAGUCUUAUAAAAAACAAACAGAAAUAAUAAUUAAUUGUCAUAAUUCAAAUUCAACAAUUAAAAAAGAAACAAUGAAAUCUAAUCUUACAAACUCAAAUUAGCAUUAAACAAAUCCCAAAAUAACAUUGAAAUCAAAUCAUACGAAUACAUUAAUUAAAUAAUACACCAAUUAUAAACAAAUCUUAUUGAAAUGUCAAAUCCUUUUUGAGAUCCUUGGAAUAGAUAAACCUCUUGAACUUUAAUUUCAAAUGCUAGCAAAAACGCAUCUACAUCAAUGAAGACAAUUAGAAAUUAUGUUAGCCUUGAAAAUAAAAUCAUUCUAUAAUAACAAUCAACAACAUUGAUGAUUAAAAAAAAAAAAAACUCUGUAAUUAUUGAAAGAACUUACCAGAAAGCGUUAGAGUUGUGGUAACGGACAAUAGAAAUGAGUAAUAUAAUUGUAUGUAGACUUUUCACACUUGAUAACAUCUUUUGGGCAAAGCUUACCACAAUCAGAGCAUUUAGAGUAGCCCUCAACGUUCCUAAAAAUUUAAGAUCACGACGAUGUGGGUGAUCAACAUAAGGCCAUUUCAUCCCAUCCUUGAGAAAUGGAAUAUUUCCAAGAACACAUUUGGGAUGAGCAGAAGUACCACAGAUUGAACAAAAAUAAUACCAAAAGUUUGGAUCUCUUUCUUGUUCACAAAUAUCAUAGUAACAUUGCUCUUAAUCAUUAUCAUAAGUAAGGUUUAGCAUGUGUUCAUCAAUUUUGUGAAGAGCUGAAUGUGGUAAUGCUAAGCAUCCAAAAUCCAAAGCAAAUCUGCACUUUCUGUAACACCCCUUACCCGUAUUUCUUACCGGAACAGAGUAUGAGGCAUUACUAAAUUUUUAAAAAAAUUUCGACAGCAUUUCUGCUUAUUUUUACUUAAACCUCCUGCAAAUUUUCAAACACAUUUCAAUAUUUCCAACCAAGAUCAGUUGUAUAAUCAUACACAAUUUAACCAUUACUAACACCACAAUUUAAACCGAACCAUAAUAUAUAUUUACAUAGUUUCGCCAUAUUACAUAAAGUCGUCUAUACAUGCCAUAUUUUCGGAAUACUAGUUGCAAAAUACCCAAACGAUGAUGAUAGUGUGGAUGAUUGUCUGACUCCGUCCAAGUUCCGGGUUGAUGGAUAUCACUAUAAUCAAGGGGAAAAUGAAAACGAGUAAGCAUAUAACUUAGUAAGUAAACAUAUGAUGAAUAAAAAAAUUUCUCACAUAAUUCCACCAUAAAACAAUUUUUAAUCACAAUUAAAUCUAUUGUUUGUUCAAUUUCCAGCAAACUGUUUUUCUGCAUCAUGGUCACUAAUUUAUUUUUAUCUGGAGCUACAGGGCUCCAAAUUGAAUUCCGUAAAUUUUCCCCAAAACUAGAUUCAUAUACCUUUCCACCAUAAAAUUUUUAUAAUUUUUGGUCGGGCCAAUUAGUACAGUUUAUUCUUUAAAUUUUCCCCUAUUUCACUGCCCGACAGUCCUGACCUCCCCUUACUAAAAUUCACAUAAAUCUCUGUAAAAAUUUCAAAAAAAUGUUCUCGUUUGUUUCUAUUAAAAAUAGACUCAAUAAGGAAUCCAGGCAUAUAAAUUUAAAGGCAUAAUUAUUUUUGUACAAUUUUUGGUGAUUUUCCAAAGUUGGAACAGGGGAUUUCGAAAUCAAUCCAGCCCUGUCUCAGUAAAAUUCAAAUAUCUCGAAAUAUUCAACUCUUUUGCUUGCUCUAUUUCUUUCAUAUGAAAAUAGACUCAUUUAACUUCAAUUUCAUUUAUUAUUCAACCUCUAACUCAUUUUCCACUAUUUAUGGUGAUUUUUCAAAGUUUCCCAACUGCUGCCAUUCAAAACAGUUUUGCAUUCAAAUUGUCUCUUUUUGUAUUUUUGAUUUUCCUCUCAUCUUAUACGUGGGUUGAUUAAGUAUCACCCACUAUUCCUCCCAUAAACUUGUCCACCACAUAUAUGAAUAAUCACCUUCCAAAUUUACUCGUUGAACACUCGGAAUGUUAACUGUUAUCGGUGGAUUCCGCAGUUAACAACCACCAAUGAAUCGGAGAAUCAACACACAGCAACCCCUUGGGGGAAUCAGCACUUAGCAACCCCCUUCACAUUUCAGAUGCGGUGGAAUCAACACUUAGCAACCACCAAAUGGGUCGGGGAAUCAGCACUUAGCAACCCCUCGGGGGAAUCAGCACUUAGCAACCCCCUUUCACAUUUAAAAUACGGUGGAAUCAGCACUUAGCAACCACCAAUAGGUAGGGGAAUCAACACUUAGCAACCCCUCGGGAGAAUCAGCACUUAGCAACCCCCUUUCACAUUUAAAAUACGGUGGAAUCAGCACUUAGCAACCACCAAUAGGUAGGGGAAUCAACACACAGCAACCCCUUUAUAUGCAAUAUGCUCCGGCCUAUUCCGAGUGUUCAACCAAAAACCGUGUUUUGCAACCCCUUACCACCUUUCCCAAUUUAACAACAUUUUUGGAAUCUUGCCAAACAUUUAUUUUAUAUUCAAAUAAAUCUCAACAUAUACAAAUAAUACCAAAAUAAUACAUUAAGACACGUGUUUACUUACCUCGGUGCAAAAUAUCGUAAUUUUGCAAUUCACUCCACUAUCUUUUCUUUUCCUCGUUUGAGAUAAUCUUCCCGUCUCUCUUGAUCUAUAAUAGCAAAUUUAACUCGUUUAAUGUUCACAUUUAUUUAAAUAAUCCUCCACCCAAUUUUUUGAAAAUUUACAAUUUUGCCCCCAAACUUUUACAUAUUUACAUUUUCGUCCCUAAACUCGGAAAUUAUAUUUCAUCUCUCAUUCUUAUGUUUUUUGACAUGCUGAACAUUUUUCUCUUCUAUAGCAACAUCCAAUUCCCACUCUAACACACAUUUAUGAACAUUAAGUAUUUUUACCGAUUAUGUCUAUUUACCCGUUUUCGCUUAAAAUCGCUUAACAAAAAUUGUUUAACAUAAUUUAUAGCUUCAUAUUCUACCAUAAAACAACAAAAUAUACACAUUUCACAUAUGGGUAUUUUUCCAAAUAUGAGCCCUAACACGAAUUAUUGCUAGAAUAAGCUAAACCGAGUUACGAGGAUUCCAAAAAUGCGAAGAACAUUAAAAACGGGGCUAGGAUGCACUUACUAUGAGCUUGAGAAAGCAAAGAAACCUUAGCUAUGGUGCCCCUUAAAAUUCGGCAGCAACUUCUGGAGAAGAUGAUGAUUUUUUUCAUCUUUUUCCUAUUUUAUUCUUUUUAUUACCAAAUGACUAAAAUGCCCCCAUUUAAAAAAAAUCUAUUUCACCCAUUUCUUAUGUCUAUUUUUGUCCAUCAAUUACUAAUGGUCUAUUUACCACAUAAGGACCCCCAACUUAUAAUUUCAUAUCAAUUAGACACUUCUAACAUAUAGAACUCAACUUUUGCGCUUUUUACAAUUUAGUCCUUUUGACUAAAUUGAGUGCCCAAACGUCGAAAUUUUCGAACGAAAUUUUUACGAAAUUUUUCCGUAGAAUUGUAGACCAUAAAAAUAUAAUAAUAACCAUAUUUUACCUCGUCGGAUUUGUGGUCCCGAAACCACUGUUCCGACUAGGUCCAAAGUCGGGCUGUUACACUUUCCACAUCUGAAUGCACCAUGCCAACACUCGUUGCCACAACCAUUACAUUUCUCCCUGCAUUUGAAAUCAUAAAAGAGGAAGUGUUGGUGUCCUUCACAUUCAAUGAUAUUAGCAACUUUAGAACACCUUAGACAAAUGAACCAUAUUAUAAGUUUGUAAAACAAUCCACUACAAUGUUGACGAUAAAGGUAACACAACAAGUAGUCUUCGAAAACGAGGGUGGCUUUGGCUUGACGAAGCCAAUGAUGCUUGGUACUUGGCAAUUCAACACAAGUUUUAUGAAGAAAAAAAAGGGCAUUCUGAACAAUAAUAGAAGAAAGUUGAGAUAGAUAGCAUGCACCCAUCACAUUUUCUAUCAAUUUUCUCAUCCAUCUUGUCUGCUAACACCAAGCAAUGUUGAUUACUGAAAUGUUCAAUCUUUGUAGCUUCCCCAGCUUCAUUCACCUUAAUAACAAAAAUGAUGGAAGACUGCAUAGAUUUUUCAUAAGCUCCUCCCAUUGUUUUUUGUCCUCAAUUACCUUGUACAAAUCAUCAUCCUCUAAGACACAAUUCACAUGGACAACGUAAUUGCAACCUGGCUUCCCACAAGAGUAACUCCCACGAUCUAGCUUUAAUUCAUUAAAACAAAUCUUGCAAUUUUACCUUGUAAGAUCUUCAAGAAAAUAUUUGUGAAAAAUGCAAUGAUCAUGUCGUGAAAAUUUGAUAAUGCUUGGGAGUUGUAUGCAGUCUUUAUGGACCAUGAAGUUGCAUGUCAAACAUAUGUAAGAAAUAUAAUUUCCCUCGGUGUCACAUGCAUCACAAAUGAAUGAACCUUGUCUCCAAAGCAAGGCCAAUGGCUGUUGAUGACUUUUUUGAUCUUCAACAAUGGACAUCAACAGACUGCAUCCAACAAUAUUGAUGUUAAAAUGGCAAAGAGAAUAACAAUAAAAGUGUCCAGAAUGUUCCUUUUGGCAUAGGCUGCAAAAGCGAUCAUUAUCGCUAUAAUUAAGAAACAGAUAGUGUAUGUAAUGGGAAGGGUGAUUAACUUUAGUGGGUUACUCAAGGCAGUUCUUGUGAAUAAUAAAUGGACAGGAAGAACAAAUAUAUAUAGCAUCUAUGAAUGGUUUUUAACACCUGAAGCAGUUAAAUCUUUUGAGUACUUUUAUGGUCAUGGGAUUUUCUAUGAAGGUCAAUGGAUGUUUGUGGAUGUCAUGUUUGGACGGUUGGCUAAACUUAAAUAAAUGAGAUAUUGAGCACAGUUAAUGUCAAGGAAAAAUAACAUGCGUUACAUUCAUAAAAAAAUAUGUUACGUUUUUCCUUGCAUAAUGCACAACCAUAUACCUGCGUCUGAGUGUUGGGGAUGGAUAGGGUGAUUAGGAAUUUCAAGGGGUGCCUCUACACAUUACUUGUGAAGGUGAUAGUUGCAAUGAAUACAAGUGAAGCAUGGAGCUGAAAGCAGUUCCUGACAUCCAUCGCAGUAAGCUUUGAAACCUUUAUUGCUUUGUUCUGCCACUAACACCAAGGGAUGCUGCUAGAGGUGAUCAUGGGUUGGGCUACCCAGCCCGGGCAGAAGGCUCGCCUGAAAAAUGAGAGGGUUCAGGUAAAAAUAUAGGCGGGUGUAAGCAAAAAAUAAGACCCAUUUAAAAAAUAGACCAGGCCCCGGAUAAAACUUUAGAGACAACUGGCCUGAAGGAAAGACCAUAUUAGCUUGCAGAGCAGGAGUUGACAUAGUACCCCUAUGAGUGCAACAAUGAGAACCUACAUAAGAAGGAUUAGAAGAAUCCUAAAACUGAUGACAAUGCACUUGCAUUGACUGAUGAGAGACACCCUCAAAUGAUUCAUCAAAACGAUAAUAGUAUUUGUGCACAGUGUGCCCAAUUCGGCCACAAAGUUGGCAUUGAGGUUUGCUAUGAGUAAACUUUCUUCCUCAGCCUUUGCCUCGAAAGGCCCUAGAUCCACUACCCCUAUAAGAUGGUCGAUAACCUUGAUCAGACUGUCUAACACAUCUAUCAUCAGACUAAUUAUGUUAAGUAAUAUUAGCCUGCAAAGAGAUAUUUGAAACAAAAUAUAGUUGUCGAGCCUCACAGUCAGUAAGCAUCUCAGUAAGAAGAUCAAGAGGAACAUUCAUCGUUGAUGCUACAAUGCGAAUCGACUCAUAUUCAACAGGCAAACUAGCAAGAACAAUGCUAGCUUGUUCUUGUUCAGAAAUAACAUUUCCUGCAGCUAGUAAAGUAUCACACAGACUUUUAAUCUUGGAUAAGUAUUCUUGAAUGGUUAGUUGUCCCUUCUUCUGAGAGUACAAAGAAUGCCUCAUAAUAGAUACUGUCAGAGAAGAUUUAGUAGCAAAUCGCCUGACAACAAUACUUCACACAUCAAAACUUGAACAAGCACCAAUAAGAUGGACCAGAAUACCAUUAGAAAUGGUAGACAAGAGCUAAGAAGCCAACAACUUGUCUUGUUGCUUAUGAAAGACAAAGUCAAGAUUAGGAACAUGAGUAACAUUGCUAUCAAGAACAGAUUGUGGAGGAACCUGAAUAGUUCCAAGAACGAAUUCAUGCAGGUCAUAUCCUUCAAGAAUUAACAAAAUCUGUUGUUUCCAUAAAAGAAAAUUGUGUUCACUGAGUUUCACCGUAUUAUGCUUGGGAAAUUGAUGAAGUUUUCGUGAGGAAGCAUAUCCAGGAUCAGGAGAAGAAGCAGCUAUAGGUGUGGCCGUGUGAAUAGACUGAUGAUGAUCAUCAUUACCAGAGACUGUUUCCCAUGACCGAAAUCCAAGAGAAAAAAAUUAUGGCUCAGAUACCAUGAUGAGAACUAUGGAUUAAAUCAAGAAAUCAAUCUUAUUAAUGAAGAUAAAGAUACUUUCCAGAAUACAAAGCAUAGUAUUUAUAAUACAAAGUAUUUCAACUUAACUAACAGUUAACAAACAUAACUACCAAGACUUCGAACAAUUACCUACUAACUACCUUAACUUCCACAACUGUUUUCAUACUCUAAUAGUGACAAGUCUACAUUGUGAUAGUGCAUUAAUAUGUAGUGAACUCACAAGAAUAGGAAAAUAAGAAGAAACCAAGUUAGUUUAUUUAUUUCAUCUCUAUAAAUGUCUAUAAGCAACAAGUGUUUUGUUUAACAAUUAAAAAAUUUGUCCUUAAUGAAAAACUGAAAUCUAAAUUUAGAAAUAACUUACUCUCUACCAAGAUUCCUACUCAAUUCUUGUAAGAAAUCAUGAAAACUCAUUUUCAAUUUUUACAUCAUUGAGUAGUUCUUUUGUUUACCAAAGUACUGGAAACUGAAACAGAAGCCAAAAUAGGUCAGUUUCCAAGUUUUGUAUUCAUUAUAUGUUUGUCGUUUCUAUAUAUAUAUAAAUGUGUUAGAUUCUGACACACAUUUUCUCUCUUUUUCUCUAUCUUUCUUGUGUUAUGCCACUCAUGCAUUAUAUACAAUUUGUGUAUAUAACCACUUUUUAUUAUAUUUUUAAUUUGUGUAUUGUUUUAAGAAUUGUUUUAGUAUCAUUUUUUAUUUGUUUCUUGUUUUAAUAUUUAUUUUUAUGUUUUUAAAUGUAUUUGAUUUAUUAUAUUUUAAAAUUUUUUUAUUUAAUGAAAUAAGCUAAAAAAUUUUUAAUAUAAGCUUGGCUUAGUAAUUUUAUUUUGGGCUUGGCUUGGACAAAUUUUUAGGCUCAUAUUUUGGGCCGACUGGGUUCAGGCCUAGAAAACAGACCUAAAUUUUUUUUGGGUCCAGCUCGAACCCGGCCCGGCCCGACCCAUGAUCACCUUUAAUUUUCAUAUUCAUCCCUAAAGUUUCAACCUUUUAGAAAUUUGAAUUAGGGUUUUGAUAUUUCCCAAAAUUAUUUGAAAAAGGAAAAUGAAUUUGGGGGAUUUGCACAAGGUCUGGGAAAGCAAAGCAUUGAAGAGGAAACCUGGAGAAGAAGAAGCCAAAAAAAUCUUAGAGAAAAUAGCCAAGCAAGUUCAACCCAUAUGGAGAGUCAAGCUCCUCUCAGAAUUCUAGUAUCUUUAUCAAUUUUAUUCAUUUUUGUAUCUUUUAUUCUGUUAAAGAGAAUGAUUUUUUUCUUCAAUUAUGAUUGAUGGAAGAAUGGGUAUUUACGGUUGUACUACUGAAAUUCAAGCGCUUUUCUUUUAUGGCAUUGAGAUGUGUUUUUAUCAAUGGUGAAGCAUGAUGCCGAAGGCAAAUAAUGCAUUGAAAGAAUUGUGAAGCGUUUGCAUGCUUUGAGUUAUCAUACUAGGAGUUACUUUGGCUUGGCUUUCAAAAAUGAUACUGAAUUUAGUUUUGAUUUCUUUUUUCAUAUUGAUAGUCCGAAUAAUCCAGCUUUGCUUGGGCUGAACGUGGGAGCUAGCAUCCACGUGAAGUUAAGGCUACGAAGAUCGAACUGGGAUUGGGAUUUUUAUCCCUUCAAUCAAGUUCUUGAUACAAUGCUUCACGAGCUUUGCCAUAAUGCUCAUGGUCCUCAUAAUGCUAAUUUUUACAAGCUCUGGGAUGAGUUUAGAAAGGUCCAUUUCCAUUUUUUUAGAUAGUCCCUAAUCAUCAUUUUCCAGUGCCCAAUGUUGUUUCAUGGAUGGUUCAUUUCUAUAUUACUAAUUUUCCUGUUAAGACUUGUUUAAGUUCGUGCUAUUGUGUUAGAACCAUUUAAGCCUAUCAAAUGAAAGAUUCUGGCGUGUGAGGAUCAAAUCAUUAAGAAAGCAUUAUUAGGUGUGACUAGAGGUUCUCAGGAUGUGCCUAUAUAUGGAUUCACGAUUAAACAUUAUCUAUGUAGAAAAAGGGAGAGCUUAUGUAAUGGGUAUUAGAGCUAUAGUGAAUGACUUCUAGAGAAAAAAUAUUGUAGUAUUCAAAUCUUACAGUGAAUGAUUUCUAGAAAUCGUUCACUAUAGCUCUAAUACCAAUUACAGAAGGAGGAGGGAUAGUUGUAAGGUUACAGAAAGAAACUAAUAGUAAAUGAAAGAUUUACAAAAGAAAGGAAAAAAAUUAAAAUUUAUCAAAAAAACUUGAGAAGAAACUCAAAUCAAACUUCGAUGCCCCCUUUUAGGUUCCUACUACUCCUAAUUAUAGGAGGGAUUCAUAACUUAAUUUGAUUUCUAUUACAAUUCCGCACAGUUUCUUGAUAAGGAUGACAUAUAUUUUUUGGACAAGGAUAACUUCUUUUUGUCCAGUUGUGGUUACUUUCACGUUGCUUCCUUUUUCGUUAUUUCUUAGUUGUGGUCUGUUCCACGUAACUUCCUCUGUCUUUUAUGUCAGCCUUCUUGAAUAUUGUCUAGAUUCAUUUCUUCAACUUCAUCUAAAUUUAAUGAAUCGAUUAACAAAUCUGGUAAAUUCCAACUUUUCCAUAUAUUUUUGAUGUCUUCAAUUAUAUGGGUUGGAAAAUCAUCAAAAAACGAUCCUGAUCUUUGUAUAUUCUUACAUCCAAGGUAUUGUCAUCUUUAACCACCAUCCACAGUUUUUGCUCUUGAAACUCCACUAAUGCUUAAUUUAGAUGCUUAUGGCAACAACGAUGUCAUUUCACUCGAUGGAGAGCUUCCACAAGUGUGCCCUCCAAAAUCGCCAUUGUAGAAGGACAUGAUUGAAUGUGCAAAGGUUUUGCAAUUCAUCCCAAGGUUAAAGUAAUGCGUUAAUGAGAUUAACUUGAUAUCCUUAAAUAUUCUAUUCAGUUUCCCAUACUUCUCAUAGUUAAUUCAGCCACCAAAAAAAAAGGGGAAGAAAAGAGAAACUGUAAAUGAAUAAGACAACAAAUGAGUGUGGUAGGAGCUGGUAUUUACAUUGAAAAGAUUACGAAAUAACAUCAUUAGUUUGCCCCAAAAUGUGAUUCUACCCAGAUCCGCCCCUCAUCACUCGGAUCAAUAGAACAUUUUAAUAGCAUCCAAAAGAUGAAUAAAAAAAAGGGCUGCCAAGACAAAAAAAAAGGCAUUGUAAUAAGCAACCAAAACAACUGUUGAAAAUGCUCCCUAUCUCUUGUAACACGAGCAGUAACAAGGAAAAAUCAACCGACUUGAAUAAGAUGAAGCAAAUUGCCAUUGAUGAGAUAUUACUUCUCAUGUGCCAACAUUGGGAGCUGGAGUUGAUAUAGGAGCACCAUGUGAAUAUCUCCAUUGGUCACAUGCUGAGCAUUUAUCCAGUUUCACACUGUUUUUCAAGGUGCAAAACUUGCAGGACCAAAAUUUGUACUUGGUGCCAAUGUCUCUUGGCCUUUCCGUGCAGCAAAGCUUGCAUAUUGGGGCUAAUGGCUGAAAUGUUUUCACAUCAAUGACAUGCAAAGUAAGUUUCCAAGAGGGGACAUUAAAAAAUAUAUAUAUAUUUCUCCAGUCCAGGAGGCAAACAAGUAACACAAAGCAUCUCUCACUGGAAAAAAAAAAAAAAAAAAGGCAAACAUGGUCCAUGCCAAUAUUAAUAUAUCAUGGCCUGUGGAGCUCAAAAAGCUCAAAUUCAUGAUUAUUAAGAACAAUCAAAGCGAAAAAUAUGUGGGCCAAAUACCAUACAGGAUAAGGAUAUACAGCUCAAAAACAGGACCAAGCAUGCCAGCGUGAACAUUAUCAAUAUAAAUAUCAAAAUGUUUCAGCACAUAAAAUUCAAUAUAAAACAUGAACAUAUAUGUUAAACAAUAUGAUAUCCCUUUAUAAGCAAAGUAUUUGAAUGAAAUGAUAUUGGUGCAUGAAACACUUACUGGAUUCAAUAAAGUGCAUGAUUGGCACUCCCACACCGCAGUUACUCCUUGAUUUUCUGGAGAAUCAUCAUUAAGCAUGGGGGCAGAAGAAGUGGCACUUGAACUAGAUAGGUGAGGUAUAAGAUUAUUGGAUUUACAACUUCGUUUAGGAGAUUUGGCACCUUCAUUGAUAGAAGAUCUAGAUACAGGAGGGGUAGUUAAAUCCACAAAGCUAGAUUCCGGUUUAUCUUGCCCAUGGCUUCGUUUAAGAGAGGUUCCACCAAAAGCAUGUCUGCUGGAAACAUCAUUGAUACUCGAUCUCUCUCCUCCCUGAUCCAAGUCCAAAUGAUCCUGCAGAGUAUCAGCACAGCUUUCUUCAUCCCCAGCAAUCUGAGAGGAAUGGGAACCACACCAGAUAUCAUCCUGCAAUCUCCUUUCAGCAGCCAUUGCAGCUGCUUGUAUAGGACUAAGCGCAUCCCUAAUGGUGCUGUCACCACCAAGACGUUUAGGUCCAGAAGGUAACAGAGACCCCAAGCGUGCUCUGUUCUCUGCUGCAGCUAAUGCAGUCUGACGAAGAGAUAAGAGUGCAGGUUGUCGGGAAAAUCCACCCAAGCGCCUCCCAGGAAGAUCAAACCCCUCCCCUGUGCCAGUUAUUCCUUUUGACAUAAGCUCCUCACAUUCCUACAUGGAUAUAACAAGGAAAAAUAUACAAAGACAUUAAAAACCAGCAUGUGCUACUUAAAUAUAGAUUCUCCAAAUUAUCUUCAUAUAUCAAGAUCUUUAGGAUACCUAAGAUAAAAAAAAAAGGUGCAUUUCUUAAAACCUUAACUAACCCCUAUUUAAUUGUAAUAAUUCCAGAAACACAAGUAAAUAGACAACAAUGAGGAAACAUGCAGAAGGAACACUGAUUGAGCAAAGAUCAGUCCAAUUUUCCAAGUAAGACAUGCAUCCCAAAAGGAUUAAAACUAACAUAGGGCUCAAAUACAUUGUAACCAAUAAUCAAAUUAUUCAACUAACAUAAGCUCUCCCUUUUCCACAUGGAUAAUGUUUAAUCAUGAAUCCAUAAAUAGGCACAUCCUGAGAACCUCUAGUCACACCUAAUAAUGCUUUCUUAAUGAUUUGAUCCUCACACGCCAGAAUCUUUCAUUUGAUGGGCUUAUAUGGUUCUAACACAAUAGCACGAACUUAAACAAGUCUUAACAGGAAAAUUAGUAAUAUAGACAUGAACCAUCCAUGAAACAGCAUUUGGCACUGGAAAAUGAUGAUUAUGGACUAUCUAAAAGAAUGGAAAUGGACCUUUCUAAGCUCAUCCCAGAGCUUGUAAAAACUAGCAUUAUGAGGACCAUGAGCAUUAUGGCAAAGCUCGUGAAGCAUUGUAUCAAGAACUUGAUCGAAGGGAUAAAAAUCCCAAUCCCGGUUCGGUCUUCGUAGCCUUAACUUCACGUUGAUGCCAACUCCCACAUUCAGCCCAAGCAAAGCUGGAUUAUUCGGACUACCAAUAUGAAAAAAAAAAAAAAAAUCAAAACUAAAUUCAGUAUAAUUUUUGAAAGUCAAGCCAAAGUAACUCCUAGUAUGAUAACUCAAAGCAUGCAAACGCUUCACAAUUCUUUCAAUGCAUUAUUUGCCUUCGGCAUCAUGCUUCAGCAUUGAUAAAACAUAUCUCAAUGCCAUAAAAGAAAAGCGCUUGAAUUUCAGUAGUAUAACCGUAAAUAUCCAUUCUUCUAUCAAUCAUAAUUGAAGAAAAAGAAUUCAGCACAAUUGAAGAAAAAAAAUCAUUCUCUUUAACAGAAUAAAAGAUACAAAAAUGAAUAAAAUUGAUAAAAUUACCAGAAUUCUGAGAGGAGCUUGACUCUCCAUUUAUGCUUACGCAUAAUGGGUUGAACUUGUUUGGCUAUUUUCUCUAAGAUUUUUUUGGCUUCUUCUUCUCCAGGUUUCCUCUUCAAUGCUUUGAUUUCCCAGACCUUGUGCAAAUCCCCCAAAUUCAUUUUCCUUUUUCGGAUAAUUUUGGGAAAUAUCAAAACCCUAAUUCAAAUUCCUGAAAGGUUGAAACUUUAGGGAUGAAUAUGGUUACAGUAACAAUAACCAAAAUUUGAAACUAUUGAACUAUUCUAACAUAAACCCAAUCCUCAGCGCUGUCCAUUUACCAAUAAACAAAGCAAGUACAGGCAUUCUUACACGCACAGAUGAAGGCAUGUAGCCUUCAGAAAAUACAUCAUACAUAUACACAUGAAAAAUGUAUAUGAAACCAAAAAAAAAACCCAAUUGCCUAAAUUCAAUGAACAACCAUUAUCCAGUCCCAUCAAAUUAUCACUGUUCACUGAGCAUCAAAUUCAGUCAUGACUCGUGCAUACACACACGGACGAUGAGAGGAACACUAAUACGUUUGCCUAAAUACCAUCAACAGCCAAAAUGGUUCUGCUAAUCACCACUGUCAACCAAGCAAAUAACAAAAGAACCACAGAAAUACACAGAUAUGAACAUACCCAAAAAGGAACCUGGAGGCAAAAGGGGUUCCAGCAACGACGGUAGCGGCGGCUGAUGCGGCGGCAGCUGAGGCAGAGAAGAAUCCAGAAGAGUGGAAGCAUUGUUGAGAGCAAAAGCUUGGGUUUUUCCUGUAUAGGUCUAGCAAUAUUGCUAUCCCCGCCAUUGUUGUUUAGCUAAAAACAAUAAACAAAACAGACCCGCUUUGGUUUGUAUCACAACCAUAGCAGUGAUCAGCUCUAGUUGUUUUCUACCGUUUGGUUUUCUAGGGAAAGGUCGAGGCUUUGAGGGGAACUUUUAAGUUUCUUUUUCCCUUUUUCUUUUUUUAAUUAUAGAAUUUCCUUGUGUUUAAUCAUAAAAUUGGAGGUAAUAAUUAGAGGUAAACAGGGAGCACACCUUCUAAGUUCUAAGAUUUGAAAUUCUUUUUAAAGUGUUUUUAGAUUUACUCAUAUUAUUUUUUAAAAAUAUAAAUAUUUAAUAAUUUUAAAUUAGAGAGUCCAUAAUACUCAUACCAAUUGAACUAAGACUUAAUCAAUUGUCUUAACAUUAUUUUUUAAUGUUUGCAUCAUAAUAAUAUUAUGCGUUACAAAUUACAUAACAUAAAACACUAAUUUUUUUUUACUCGUCAUGUACUUAAUUGAAAUUUUAGAUUUUAUGUAAGUUAAAAUGUAUCACAUUAUUUGUUAUUAUUUAUAAAAAAACAUGUUAUGUUUUUCCUUGCAUAAUGCACAACCAUAUACCAGGUCAUCAUUAACGUGUGGCCUUUGUUGAAAAAAAAGACCUGCGCCUGAGUGCUUGGGAUGGAAAGGGUGAUUAGGAAUUCAAAGGGGUGUCUCUGCACAUUGCUUGUGAAGGUGAUAAUUGCAAUGAAUACAAGUGAAGCAUGGAGCUGAAAGCAGUUCCCCACAUCCAUGGCAAUGAGCUUUGAGACCUUCAUUGCUUUGCUCUGCCACUAACACCAAGAGAUGUUCCUCAUGAAAAUCAUGCUGAAUCUGUUGCAUCGACCGUCGUGACUCUCAUUCUCAUUCUCGUUUUUCAUCUCCAUUAAUUAGUGUGGUUGUGAGAAAUGAAAAAGAUUUUUUUAAAAUAAAAACAUUUUUUUCCUAAAUGCUUAAGUUUUAGGAUGUCAUACAUUAUAUAUUGAAAUAGAUGAUAUAAAUUAUUUGGAAAAUUAACAUAAUUUAAUAUAAUAGGUUAAGAAAUAAAAUUUAAAUUUUGUACUGAUGUGUAAGUGCAAAAUAGGUGAAAUUCAAUUUAAGUUCUACAAAUAGUCCUAAAAAGUUAUCUGGUAUCUUUUUCUAUUUAAAUAUUUUUUAAUAUAUUACUAUUCUUUUAUAGACAUUUGUCAACUCCUUAACCUAAUUUGUGGAGUCUAAAAAAUAUAUAAAUUUCGGUUAACUGAAUCGAAAUUUUUUCAAAAAAAAUUAACCGAACUGAACUUUUUCGGUUAAUUCGGUCGGUUAACGGAAUUAAUCGAAAUUUAUAUUUAUUUAUUAUUUUUGGUUAAAACAAGUAUAAAACAUAUAAAAAAUUAACCGACUUAACCGACCAUUUAUAUUUCCAAAAAAUUAACCGAACCGACCGAAUACUUAUAUAUUAUAAUAUUAUUUAUUAAAUUCGGUUAAUCGACCGAUUUUAAAUUCAGUCAGUUAACCAAAUUAAUUCAGUUUUACCCGAAAUUUGCACACCCCUACUUCACUGAUGGUACUUUUAUUUUUUUCAUAUUUUUAUAUGAUUUUUAAAUCAAACAAUUUCAAAUUCAAUGACCGAACACAUGUUCAAUACUAUUAAAAUAUAAAUUGUUAUCACUAUAUCUAUAUUUAUUAUUGAAUAAAUUAAAAAAAUAUUUUAAUAAAAUAUAAAAUAUUUUCUUUCACCCAUUUGUUAGUAAUUUUAUUGAUGGGUGAGAAAAAAAACCAUAUUUAUUAUUGAAAUGAUAAAAUUAAAUAUUUAAAAUGCUUGGUUAUGUUGAAAUGGUAUAAGUAUAACUUUUGAUUUUUUUUUUAAUGUUUCUCUUACCAAAUUGGCUUAUUUUACUAAAAACUACAAAAUGCAUGUGAUAAUUACAGAUUUAAAACACAUAUGUCUAUUUAAAAGUAACAUAAGAUAUUGUUUGAAAUUAAUUAAUUAUAAUAACUCAUGGAAUAUAUAAGAUAUUAAAAUGCAAAAUUAAAUUAAAUUAUGAAUAAAACAAGAUUUAAACACAUAAAUAAACAUAUAAAUGCAAAAUUUGUUGCAUCGACUUGUCGUGUCUCUCACUCUCAUUCUUGCUCAGACUUCCACUCUCACUCUGACUCUCGAUUUUCAUCUCCAUUGAUUUGUGUGUUUGUGAGAAAUGAAGGAGAUAAUGGGAAUGGAAGAAAAGAAGAAGAUGAAAAAAAGAAAGGAUAAUUUUGAAGUAGAGGAAUGAUUGAGAAGUGUUGUGGUUUAACACUAUUAUUUCUCAUUUUAUGCUGUGUUGUGCCAUCUAUCUUCUUCUCUCUAUAUAUAUGAGAAACAAUCCUCAACAUACCUUAGUGUAACUUAAAGUGUUUUAAGCAUAAAAUUUUAAAAUUAAUUUUUCAUUUCAUCAUGUUAAAUUUAGACAUCAAUAUAUCAUAUAAUAUAUUUUAAGUUGAUAAAUAUUAAUAUAAGAUAAAAUAUUUGGUACAUUGCUAGUGAAGGUUUUAGACUCUACACCAAGAUUAAAGGGUUGACAAGUGUCCUAUAUGGAUAUAGUAAAAUAUUAAAAAAGAAAGAAAGAGACAUGACAAGUUUUUAGGGUUGCUUGUGAAAUAAAAAAAAAGUACAUUGUCACUUGUCAGUGUAUCAAAUAUUAACCCUUAAUAUAAUUAUAUUUGUUUAAUAUUAAUAUAAAAUUUAAAUUUAUUAUUAUAUUUUUAAGAUAUUUAUUUAUUUUUAUAUAUUUUUAAAUUUUGUAUAGUAUUAUUUUUGGUCCAAAAUAUUUUUAUUUUUAUAUAUAUUUUUAAAUUUAUUAUUAUGUAUUUUUUGAAAAUGUUUAUGUUUUUUUUAUAUUUUUUUUGCAUUUUUAGAAUUAGGAUUAAAUUGAAAAUGUUUGUAAAUUUUGAGGGUUAAUUUUUUAAAAUUAUUACUAAAUUGAUAUAAAUGUAAAAGUUGAAGGCUAAAAUUAUUAUUAUACCAAUUUUUUAUCUGCCACAUCAGCUUCGUGUUUGUGAUUCUAUGUAAUGUGAGUGCUUAAAUUGCAAACAUUUUAUUUUGAGUGCCUAAAAUAAAUGUUUUUGAUAGUUAGGUGACUCUCUAUGUAGUUUUUCCAUUUUUUUGAACAUUUCUAUAUAUUUUAUUUUUAAAUGAUUUAAAAAAAAAAACUUAAACUUUAGAGGACUUUUUAUUGAAAAUAUAAAAAAGUAUUUUGAUAAUUUUUAUGUAGUUUUAAAGGCUAAGGGUGGGUUUGGAUGGGCGAUUGGGUGCGGUGCGGUGCGGUGCGUUUAGCUUACUUUUUGUCUCACGCUACAAUAUCGCUACAGUAUCUAAUCUCACCGCCACCACUGUUUUUACACUAACCACAGGUAAACGCACCGCCCAUCCAAACUCACACUAAAUUAAUAAAAGCAAAAUUGGAUAAAGUGAUGAAGGUUUUUAUUUUUUAUUGUUAAAAAGAAAAAAAGAGGUCAAGGUUUUCAAAUAAAGAAAAUAUUCAUAAACUUAAUAUUUUAAAAUUGAACUACCAGGAUUAAAUUUUAAAUUAUCAAAACGUAUAGAGAUUUUUUACAAAUUCAAAUUCUCAAUAUCUUAGAACAUUUGAUAUACUACCAAUAAAGUUUCUGUAAAAGUUUUGAAAACAUUCAAAUUAAGAUUUUUAAAGCAUUCAUUUUUACAACAUUCAUUUUUUCUUAAUUUUCUUUUCAAAUUAAGUCACAUAAAAUCUAGUGUGUUAUUUUAUAGUUAAAUUAAUGAUUUUAAUAUCUGAGGGUUAUAGUUUGAGGAUGUUUGGUGCAAUGUCUCUUUCUUUGAUUUGCAGAUUAGGUUACCACGUUAUAUCUUUAUAAAUAAUUAAGAUGACUUGAUGGUGCAUUUAUGCAAUGUGCCUUGCUUAAUUCUAGGUGUGGUUUGAAUUCGAGUCGCACUUAUUGCAUUGUUAUUAAAACUUUAUCCUCUUUUAUUCACAAAAAAAAAAGAAAAAAAAGAAAUUAUAUAUAUUAAUAUUUUCUAGGUCCAUUUUACAAUUCAUAUUCAAGAUUCGUGAUUAUAUCUAUCGAUAAUGUCAUCUUCAAUAUUCAAACUUAGCUCUUCUUUGAGAGUAUAAUGUGCUUUAUCAUUACACCCAAUGUAAUCACUGAAUUUUGUUCGGUACAUUCUUCGUGUUUUUAUUUUAUUUUAUAUAUAUUUAAAAAAUUAUGUUUUUUUUUUGGGCUUGCCUUAGAUGGGCCAAUGAUUGGGUCUAUGGGGGUUGGAUAAUUGGGUUUGAAACAUUUUAAUUUUGGACUUGUUUGGGCCUUGGCCCAUUGUUUUUAUUUUAUUUUAUUUUAUUUAUUUAUGUUUUAAUAAUAUUAAUAAAACAAUAAUAAAUAAAAAUAAAAAAAUAAAUUAUGUUUUAGCCCUCGAAUUUUUCAAAAAUUACAUUUUAAUCCCGUAUUUUUGCCAAAAUUGCACUUUUACCCCAGAAACUUUGCGCCCUCUACAGUUUAGUCCUUCUGGACUUGUCAAAUCACCCAAGCGGCAGCCGAGCUACUCCAGCAUCCUCCCUAGGCCAUGAUUGCUCCACUGCCACCUGAAAACAAAGAGAAAAGAGACAAAGUGAGCAGAUUAAAAGAAGAAAAUUGAAGAGAAGAGGGGGGAGCAGCCAAGAAAAGAAAAGAAAAAAACAAAAAUUUUAAGCAAAAAACCAAGCAAAAACAGCAGCAAAAAGGGCCACCGCCGCCUUCGAUCUCGCACCACCGCACCACCGCCUCAUCACUACCAUCCCAACACCCAACAAAGCAACUAGGAAGUAAAAAAGAAAAAAAAACAGCAAGUAGAAAAAAAAAACAGCAAGCAAAAGAGAAAAAAGGAAAGAGCAAAGAAGAAAAAGAAAAGGGGAAGAAGGGAGGGGAAGAGGAGACCUCCGUGCUCGCCACCGCCGGCCAUCGCACCAGGCGGAGAGACGUCACCGGCGACAAAAGGGUGGUGCUGUCGAAGGAGAAGGGAAGAAAAGAGAAAAAAAAAUAGAGAAGAAGAAGAGAAAGAAAAGAAAAAAGAAAAAGAAAAAUAUACCAUCAAUCGGGUUGACCCGACCCGACCCGCACCAGUAAACCCGACCCAGCGCAGGCCCAACACCACUGACGGCCCACUAAGCCUCAAUUUGCAGCAAAAAAAAGGAAAAAGGGCUUGUCCUCCAAGAUUUUGGGCUUUUGGGUAAAUUUUUUUUCUUUUUUCUUUUUAAUCUAUUUUAUUUUGUUUAAUAUAUUUAAAUGGUAUUUUAUUUAAUUUAAAAUAGUAUGUUUAAAAAUAGUUUUUCAUAGAUAUUAUUAUGUCAUUUUAAUUACAUAUUUUUUUUAAAUAAUAAUAAUGAUAAAUAUUUUAAUGCAAAAGGCAACGAACUGAUUUAGCAUCGAAUCAUCGAAUUCAUCGCUAUUUUGGAUGAAUAUCGAUGGCUCGUGUUAAAUACGGGACGCCCUUCUAAAAAAUCGAAAAUAUUCAAAAUUCCUCGUAUUUCAAUAAAAAUCCUCGUGUUUUAUUAGAAUCCCGAUUAAAUAUUAAAUUGAAUUGAUUUAACACUAAUUCGAUGGUUUCAUCGUCAUAUCGGGGUGAAUAUCAUCGAUUUGUGUUAAAUACAGUAUUUUUUAAAGAAAAAUCGUUUUUAAAAAAUUUUCAUGUCUUCAAAAUUUCUCGUGUUUCAAAAAAAAUUCGUGUUUUCGUGUUUUCGAAAAAAUCUCGUGUUUCAAAAAAAAUAAAAAAAAUUCUCGUGAAUAUUUUUUGAUAUUAUCGUGUUUUCAAAAAAAUUAUGUGUUCGACAAAUUUUGUGUUUUCAUGUUUUAAAAAAUUUUUGUGUUUUAAAAAUCUUCGUGUUUUCAAAAAUUCUGGCGUUUCAAAAAUUUUCGUGUUUUUAAAAAAAAAUUACGUGUUUUCAAAAAUUUUUCGUGUUUCACAAAUUCUCGUGUUUUCAAAAACUCCGGUGUUUCAAAGUUUUCAUGUUUUCAAAAAUUCUCGCGUUAAAAAAAAUUCGUGUUUCAAAAUAUUCUCGCAUUUCAAUUUUUGUUUUUUAAAUCGUGUUUCAAAAAAAUGUCGUGUUUUAAAAAUUUUCGUUUUUCUAAAAAUUUUCGUGUUUCUAAAAUUUUCGUGUUUACAAAUUCUCGUAUUUUCAAAAAUUCUCGUGUUUUAAAAAAAACUUUCGUUUUAAAAAAGAAAUACUACGCUUGAAAAUUCUCGUGUUUUUUUUUUUAAAAAAAGGUUCUCGUAUUUCAAUCGGAUCACGCUAAAUAUUAAAUGGAACUUGUAUUUUUGAAAAUUAAGACAACAUGCAUUUAACGAGAUACCAAUUUUGGGCGUCGCGAGGGUGCUAAUACCUUCCUCGCGCGUAACCGACUCCGGGACCCUAAUUUUCUCUGGAUUUUGACGUGGACCUAAAAUUGUCUCUUUUUUAGAAAAGUUUAAAAAAAAAAUUCUUCUAAAAAAGGAUUUUAUUUGGUGUCCGAUCACACCUAAAAAAAAGAUCGGUGGCGACACCUUUUUCAAAUAAAACCGAGAUUCGAUUUUCAAGUUUUCAAUAAUUACUUCGAGUAGCGCCCGUGCACGAAAUUUUUAGGUCGCUAUAGCUGGCGACUCCACUGGGGAAUUUUGAGAGUCGAGUCUGGUGUUAAACGUGUGUUGUUAAAAUUUUUAAAACUUAUUGUUCAAUUUAAUUUUUAAUCGUGAUCCUUGAAUUUUGUUUUGAAAAAUCAUGCAUCCGCAUCCGAUUUUGAAAUUAAUAUUUUUCUAACCUAUUUUAUUUUCGCGUUUUUUUUUUCAGCUUUAAGUUUUAUGGUUUUAGUUUGUUUUUUAGGAAAAAUAAAAAUAAAAAGGUUUGUGAGUUUCUCCCUACGCACCGUGCACUUGCAUUCUUGCAUAGCAUGAGCUCUCUACUCGGGCUCCGUCCGUUUAAGUGGAAGUAAAUGCUACGCCUUCGUGAGUUAACUCGUCCCUCCGCACAGGCUAGUGAAAUACUUCCGGGUUACAUAUGACUUAUGCUUUCGUGAGUUAACUCGUCCCUCCGCAUAGGCAUAAGUAAAUGUAAUCCCUCGAAUUGAACUCGCAAGCCCAUGACGGGCGAUAACCGAGGCUCCGUACUUACCUUAGUAGGUGACAGUAUGGACAAUUCGAGUACCUUUCUAGAACCAGAACCACAUGUAGUGAACCGUACGAGCCAUCCAAUUAGAGCCAUGCCGAACCUCUGUCCGUUUAAUAGUCACCAAAAUAAGUACACGGGAGAAACGCCUCUUACCUUUUAUUUCUUUUACAUUUACACUUAUUUGCAAAUGAAUUGAGUUUAUUUAAUAAAUUGGGUCGGGUAGAUUGUCUGAUGGUAUGUGGGGUAGGUUUCUUGUAAAGCAUAUUGGGGCAAGAAAAAAGAAAAAAUGUGGGUCUUUUCCACCAAAUUGCAUGAUUGAAUAGCUUAAUUCGUUAAAUUUUCCAUAGUCAUUAUUUUUCUUCUUUCUUCUUUUUAUAUCUGUUGUGAUCUCUGACCAGGGUUAUUUGUUUUCUAUUUUAUUUUUCAUCAUGCAUCGUAGACAUCUCAUUAGGAAGGUGUUGGUUAAAGAUUGGUUGCCAAAAACGGGUUUCUGAUGGAGGAGUCAAUUACACGAGUAACCGAGAAAAAUGCUGUAGUCCGAGAUUGGUCUUUGAGAACUCAAAAAGUGAAAGGAGACAGUUUGAAAGAAGGAUACACCUCUGAUCUUCCUGAGCGUGUGACUUUGAAUGCUCGUCAGAAUGAUCUCGAAGACUUGACUAGGAUUUGGAAGCAGUGGGACUCAGAUACUAGAAGCAUAUUCACUGAAAAGUAUGGGGAUAUAGCUCACUUGAUAGCAAUCGAUGUGAACGAGCAGUUGAUCCAAGCCAUGGUUCGAUUCUGGGACCCAGCCUAUCAGUGUUUCACUUUCAAUCAGGAAGAUAUGACUCUGACCAUAGAAGAGUAUGCCGCUUUACUUCGCAUCGAUAAUGUGCAACUCAACAAGAUAUAUGUGAAGGAGCCUAAACCAAUGACCUUCAAGAAAAAGCUAAUGAAGUUGACGGGGAUGACUGAUACAUGGGCUGAAAAACAAAUAAGAAAGAAGAAUGAAGUCAGUUGUGUUCCGUGGUUUUCUCUGCGAGAGUUAGUUCAGAAUCAUCCAGAUGUGUUAAAAAGAGUAGAUUUGUUUGCCUUGGCCGUUUACGGACUGGUCAUCUUCCCAAAGGUUCUUGGGCAUAUUGAAGUUGCGGUUGUGGAUUUCUUCGAAAAGUUGAGGCAAAGAGUCAACCCGGUCCCAACCAUCUUGGCUGAGACUUUUAGAUCCCUAAAUGCUUGUAGGAGAAAAGGGGAAUGACGUUUUAUCGGAUGCGCUCAGUUACUGAAUGUUUGGAUCUUUAGCCAUUUUUGGAAGGUGGAGCGCACGCCUUUCCACAUGUUUUCAAAGACAUUCGCCCCGUUGGAAGCACACCUUGAAAAAGAUUGGCCGAGGGAUGUCACUGAACAACACUGGGUCUUGGUUUUUCAGAACCUCCAUGCCGAAGAUAUAACUUGGAGAGCACCUUGGAUUCGUCCCUCUGUAUUAUUUUACAAAUGCAGAAACCAAGACUGGGUACCUUUACUAGGAUUAUGGGGAGGGGUUGGAUAUGCUCCAUUGUUGGUUCAAAGACAGUUCGCUUCGCGACAAUUUGUACCAGUUACCGAUGGAUUGGCACAAUCGGAGUUUGCCUUUAUGGGUGAGGGUUACAUGAAAAAGGUUCGAGAUACUGCAAAUUCUUGGAGGCAAAUCUACCUAAUGGAAUUAGCUCUCUAUGCUGAUACUAUCACUGUAGACUAUAACCUAUGGAGGCAACGACGAGUGAAGAGUCAAGUAACCCCAUCAAUUGAUGAAGCUUGCCAGAAUCCGUUCUUAGAGAAAAUCCCAUCCGAGCUAGAAAUUCCAAAACAUGAAUUUGAACGUGAAAAGGCCAAACUGUUGCGAGAUAUUAGUUCUCUCCAGGAAGAGAACUACCAGCUGAAGAUUGAUGUCGAAAUUGAAAAAUCCAGAACCGAAAAAGUCCAAAAAGAGGUUGAAGUUACGAGAAAGGAUUUAAGGGACCUUCAUUUGGAAAACAAGAAAUUAAGGGGCACUAUAAGAAAUAGUGGAUUGGGCAAAACAUCAGCAGAAUGGAAGGAGGAAUUAAGCAAUAUCAAAGGUGGGAUGGAAUUCUGGAAAGCCAAGGCGAAGAAAGAAGAAGAAAAAGCUGCAUGUACUAUGAUAGAGUUGAGGAAGAAGAACGUUGAAUACGAAACUGUGACUGCAGAACUAACGGCUAGUCAGUCUGAGCAUCAAGAGCUAAAAGGAAAAAUUCGAAGUCUAGAAAGUACACUGCAAGCUCAUCAGCAACAUUUGGAUGACCUCUUGAGAGCUUUAGAAGAGAAGAAUAGUCAGCAUGACAGAGACGUUUGCGCCUAUGAAAGAGCCCUCCAAGAAAAGGAUAUGCAUAUCGGCAGUUUGAUCAAUGAAAUUCGUAGGGCGGCUGCGCAUGUAGUACAUUUGUCAGAUGAAGUGGAAGUUCUCAGUUGCCAAUACCCUCCAAGCCAAAGAUCAAGCAUAUCGGAGUUCCUGGAACGUAUAAAGAAGCAAGGCGAUGUGGCUAAGAAGUUUGUGUAACUGUAAAACUAAUAUGGCAAAACUUUUUGUAAUGGACUCUUUUGAUAAAUGAAACGUCCAAGUAUGGGGCCAUUUUGGAAUCAACACCUAUUUUUGCAUAUUUACACAUGAUUAACAUUCAUUAAUUAUUUAUUCAUUCAUUCAUUACAUGCUCAUAUCUCCCUAAUCAUUCGCUAAGGUUAAAACCAUCUAAUCCACAGUUACCACACUACGAGCCUGGAAUCACGUCACUCCUAUAGGACGCGCUUAAGAGCUAGAACUAUGGAUGCCGAACUCAAUGAAAGGAUGGAAAGGAUGGAAAGAACCCAAAGAGAGUUGCAGGAGCAACUGGCCAAGUCGCAGCAAGAGGCAAGAGAUUUGAUGGUGAGAUCUCGAGAGGAAUCGCUAGAGCAAAGGGAUCAAAUGGCCAAAAUGAUGGAAAUGAUGACGGCCUUGGUCAAAGGAAAGGGACCUAUGUAGAGCCCUGAUGUCGUAGAGCCACCUCAAUCAAGAGUUAAUCAAGACCCACUUUAUCCCCCGGGAUUUACUCCACCUCAUGUCCACGCAAUGCGAAGAGGAUACCCCCAAAGGGAACCUACAGGCCUGGAACAACAUCCUGCUCCAUCUGCUCAUUUAGCACAAGGAAUGUUUGUAUCGAACCUUGGGGCUAAUCCUUCAGAUCCAAUUGUUCCAGACCUAGAUGAUCCUGUAGAAGUAGCAAGGCUGAGAAUUGAUGACAAUAACGCUCAGGAUAAGUAUAGGAUCCUGGAAGAGAGGAUCAAGGCAGUAGAGGGCGCUGAAGUUUUCUCUGCUUUGAGUGCCAAAGAGCUCAGUUUGGUACCUGAUUUGGUUCUACCCCCAAAAUUUAAGGCACCUGAUUUUGAGAAGUAUGACAGAACAAGAUGUCCAAAGGCGCAUCUGAUCAUGUUUUGCCGAAAGAUGACUGGUUAUGUAAACGAUGACAAAUUAUUGGUGCAUUGCUUUCAAGACAGUUUGGUUGGCUCAGCCCUUCGAUGGUAUAAUCAACUCAGUAGAGAGAGAAUUCGAUCAUGGAAGGAUUUGGCUUCAGCAUUCUGUGAGCAAUAUAGGCAUGUAUCGGAUAUGGUGCCUGAUCGACUAACUUUACAAAUGAUGGAAAAGAAGCCGACAGAGACUUUUCGGCAAUAUGCACAAAGAUGGAGGGAUAUCUCUGCUCAGGUGGAGCCUCCGUUAACUAAGACAGAGAUAACAGUCCUCUUUAUUAAUACUCUCAAAGCACCGUUUUACGAUAAAUUAGUAGGAAGCGCCACAAAGGACUUUGCAGAUAUUGUAAUAUCCGGGGAACUUAUCAAAAACGUCGUCAAGAAUGGGAGAAUGGAAGGCCCCGAGAGUUCGAAGAGGGCAGUACCCGGAAAGAAAAAAGAGCCAGAGGCCCAUAUGGUUGGAACCGAGAGCCCCUGUGCUCCCAAUCCGUACCCCGCCCAACCACGACCUCAUUACCGUCCACCUUCAAACUUCUACUUUCCUCCUCAAGGUCCUUACUAUCAAGCGCCUCCAUCUUACCCUGUUUAUGCUGUGAAUAACCAAAGACCAUUCACCGUGUUUCCACUAAACACCAUGCCUGCACAAAGCCAACCCAGAAAUGAACAAAGACCAACAAGACCCAAUCCUGAAAGACCUCAGUUUACUCCGAUUCCUGUAUCAUAUGGAGAGUUAUACCCGAAAUUGUUUGAAAAACAAUUAAUUUCCCCACAUUACAUGGCACCCUUGAAGCCUCCAUACCCGAAGUGGUAUGAUCCUAACGCUAAUUGCAUGUAUCACGCUGAGAAUCAGGGACACUCUACAGAAAACUGCCUUGCUUUUAAAAGGAGGGUUCAAGGUCUUAUUGAUGUCGGCGUUCUACGAUUCGAUGGUGGUAGCAAUGUGACGGGAAAUCCUCUUCCUAACCAUACUGGCAGGAAUGUAAAUGCGGUAACAAACGAAGAUAAUUGUCGAGCAAAAGGGUGUGUUACCGAAGUAAAGACACCUUUGUGGAAGGUAUGGGAGAUGAUGAUUGAAAAUGGCUUGCUCCGUUCGUCUAGUAAGAUUCUCAAAGAAGAAAGUACAAAAGACCAGAGUUUCUGUGAUUUUCAUGGCAUCCAAGGGCAUGACAUCCAAUCUUGCAGGGAAUUUAGGAAAUUACUUCAGGACAUGAUGGACAACAAAGAGGUCAAGGUCUUUGAUAGGGUUGAGGGGGCCGAAGAAGGAGAAAUAUGUGCCUCUGAUAAUCAAUCGACGGCUUUCCCUUAUAGCGUCGAUAGACCUUUGGUGAUUUAUUACGAGGCAAAAAAGGAAGAGGUUAGUCGAGAAGUUAAACCAAGUUUGAUAAUCGAAGUACCUGCUCCUUUCCCUUACAAGGACAACAAGGCAGUGCCGUGGAAGUAUGAUGUCAAUAUUGUUGUGCCUGAAGGUGAAAAGUCAAAGGUUAUGAAUGAAGAUGUCAGUGAAGUAGGGCAUUUCACUCGCAGCGGAAGGUGUUAUUCUUCCGAGACUAUUGAACCAAAGAAGAAAGUUGUUGGCCCAAGCCAAAAAGGAAAAGCACCAAUGUAUGGUGUUGAGGAUGAUGUUGGAACACAGCUUGAGCAAGAAGUUAAAAAGGCUGUGAAUGAGGAGGAAGCACAUGAGUUCUUAAAGUUUAUCAAGCACAGUGAAUAUAGCGUUGUAGAACAAUUAAACAAGCAGCCAGCCCGAAUCUCGGUACUGUCUCUAUUGUUGAACUCGGAGCCACAUCAAAAUGCCUUGCUAAAAGUGUUAAAUCAAGCUUAUGUGGCGAACAAUGUAUCUGUGGAAAAGCUUGAUAGGUGGGCAAAUAAUUUAAAUGCAUAUAAUUUCAUCUCUUUUAGUGAUGACGAAAUACCGCCAAAUGGUAGGGGCUCCAUAAAAGCAUUGCACAUCACAACCAAUUGCAAAGGUUACAUAUUAGCAAAUGUACUCAUCGACAAUGGAUCUGCACUCAAUGUUAUACCUUUGGCCACGCUUUCUAGGAUGCCGGUUGAUAUGUCCUAUCUAAGGCAUUGUCAUUCCAUAGUAAGGGCAUUUGAUGGGACACGGCGAGAAGUCAUGGGAAAGAUCGAAAUUCCUUUAAAAGUGGGGCCAUGUGUAUAUGAUAUCGAGUUCCAGGUCAUGGACAUCACGCCUUCAUACAGUUGCCUCUUAGGAAGACCUUGUAUCCAUUCUGCUGGGGCAGUUCCUUCAUCUCUCCAUCAAAAAGUAAAGUUCAUCAUGGAUAGCCGCUUGAUUACUGUUAGUGGUGAGGAAGACAUCGUCGCAUCUAUCUCUACUGAUACACCCUACAUCGAAAUAAACGAAGAUGCCGUAGAAUGUUCUUUCCGCUCAUUGAAAUUUAUUAAUGCUACAUUUGUUGCUGAAGGGAAUAAGAUCCCUAUUCCAAAACUGUUAAGGAAUACCAAGAUGGGAAUUAAGUUGACUGUGGGAAAAGGAGCUUGAGCGAGGAAAGGUUUGGGAAAAUAUCAACAAGGGAUGGUUAGAGCCUUGAAACCAACACACCACAAGGGUCGAUACGGUUUAGGGUUCAAGCUAGAUAUACAUCAAAGAAGAAAACAAUUACAGAAAGAUCGAGAGAGAAGAAUCGCAAGGGCUUCAGGCCAGGAAUUGGGAUGGAAACCGUUAGUGUAUCCUCCUUUGUCAAGAACAUUUACAUCAGCAAGAGUGAUGUACCCAGGACAGGAUAAUCCGCAAGUCACAUUAUUGAUUGAAAAGGGUCUUCAGAAUAUCAGCCUAAAUGCUAUUAACAAUGAGAAUGAUGAAAUUAAGAAUGCUUCAAUGAUACGCCCUUGUCCUCCAGGAUAUGUUUUGAACAACUGGACUGCUGUGGACCUCCUUGUAGUUUUUAAGUCUCCUUCAGAGUAAUGCUCAAUGUUAACCCUUCAUUUUGUGUGUCCUUAAACAGUAGGGUUCCUUUUGUAAGAGCUUAUGUUUGCUCUUUAUCAUUUCAAUGAUCAUUAAUGAAGAUGCAUUUUGUUUUAUAUUAUCAUGUUCUUUUCAUUUCCAUUAACUUCACGACUACUCCUUCUAUUCAUUUCCUUUUCCAGCAUAUAUCUCAUAUCAUCUCAUAUCAUCGUGUGUUGAUCCCAUUACCUCAAUGCUCUUCUAUAGCUUUUUUCCAUUCACCUUUCAGGUGCUCAGAUAUCAAUGGCAUGAAUAAUCCCGUUAUGAAUCCUGAAAUCGAUUUUGAGAGGGUUGUUUGUUUAGGAGAAUUUGAAGCUGACGAAAAUGCUGAAGAUUGAGUAUCGUCUUCUGAUUUACUGAGAAUGGUCGAACAAGAGGAGAAACAGAUCCUACCCCAUCAAGAAUCUGUUGAGGUAGUGAACUUGGGGAAUGAAGAAAAGAAACAAGAAGUGAAGAUUGAGACUUCCAUUUCAGAAAACACAAGGCAAGAUUUGAUCGCCUUGCUCCAUGAGUACAAGGAUGUGUUUGCCUGGUCUUAUCAGGAUAUGCCAGGAUUGAACACGGAUGUUGUGGUCCACAAGCUCCCACUGAAACCAGAAUGCAAGCCCGUUCAGUAGAAAUUAAGAAGGAUAAGACCCGAAAUGCUGUUAAAGAUAAAAGAAGAAGUCAAGAAACAAUUUGACGCUGGCUUCCUACAAGUCUCCAAGUAUCCAGAAUGGGUAGCUAAUAUAGUCCCAGUGCCAAAGAAAGAUGGCAAGGUGCGAAUGUGCGUGGAUUAUCGUGAUCUAAAUCAAACAAGCCCUAAGGAUAACUUUCCUUUACCACACAUCGACACUUUGGUGGAUAAUACGGCAAAGCAUUCUCUGUUUUCAUUCAUGGAUGGCUUCUCAGGUUAUAACCAGAUAAAGAUGGCUCCCAAGGACAUGGAAAAAACUACAUUCAUAACAAUAUGGGGAACCUUCUACUAUAAGGUAAUGCCAUUAGGAUUAAAGAAUGCUGGGGCAACAUAUCAGAGAGCCAUGGUGACGUUGUUCCAUGAUAUGAUGCACAAAGAAAUAGAAGUUUAUGUUGAUGAUAUGAUUGCCAAAUCUCGGAAAGAAAGAGAGCAUGUUGGGAGUCUUAGGAAGCUGUUUGAAAGAUUAAGAAAGUUCAAGUUGAAGCUUAACCUGGCCAAAUGUACGUUUGGGGUUACCUUAGGAAAACUGCUAGGUUUCAUUGUUAGUGAAAGAGGUAUCGAGGUUGAUCCAGACAAGAUAAAAGCUAUACAAGAAUUGCCUCCCCCGCGCACACAAAAGGAAGUCAGGGGAUUUUUAGGGAGGUUGAAUUACAUUGCUUGAUUCAUUGCUCAACUUACCAAUCAGUGCGACCCAAUUUUUCGACUCCUUCGAAAACAUAACCCGGGAGAAUGGAACGAGGAGUGCCAAGUGACCUUCGAUAAGAUAAAACAGUAUUUGUCUAAUCCUCCUGUGCUAGUACCACCGACCCCUGGAAAACCCCUAAUAUUGUACCUGACCGUGUUCGAGAACUCAAUGGGUUGCGUACUGGGGCAACAUGAUGAGUCAGGGAGAAGAGAGAAGGCAAUUUACUACCUCAGCAAGAAGUUCACAGAAUAUGAGGCAAAAUACCCUUCAAUUGAGAAGUUUUGUUGUGCAUUGAUUUGGACAGUUCGAAGGCUCAGACAAUACAUGCUGUAUCACACGACAUGGUUAAUUUCAAAACUGGACCCAAUAAAGUACAUGAUGGAGUCACCUGCACUCUCAGGGAGAAUGGCCCGAUGGCAGAUCUUAUUGACUGAGUAUGACAUUGUAUAUGUGAGCCAAAAGUCGAUAAAAGGAAGCGCAAUAGCUGACUUCUUGGCAAGUCGAACAACGGAGGAAUACAAGCCUUUGAGAUUUGACUUCCCAGAUGAUGAUUUAAUGUGCAUUUCAGAAAAAGAGGGCGAGUCAUCAAAAGAAAAGCCAUGGAAGAUGAGCUUUGAUGGUGCAUCAAAUGCAUUGGGGCAUGGGAUAGGAGCAGUCUUAGUGUCACCUGAAGAGAACCAUUACCCGCUUACUACCAGAUUGAAUUUUUUCUGUACAAAUAAUAUAGCGGAAUAUGAGGCUUGCAUCAUGGGACUUCGUGCAGCUAUCAAGAGGAAAAUUAAAAUUUUAGAGGUACACGGGGACUCAGCAUUGGUCAUUUAUCAAAUUCGUGGAGAUUGGGAAGUGAGAGAUCUAAAAUUAGUCAAGUAUCACGAUCUCGUUGCAGAGCUGAUCAAGGAGUUCUAUAAAGUGACUUUUAACUACUUUCCACGAGAAGAGAACCAAUUGGCUGAUGCUCUGGCCACCCUGGCUUCAAUGUUCAAAGCAAACAGAGAAACUGAAAUAAUGCCUAUCCAAAUGAGCAUAUAUGAGACCCCCGCACACUGUUUUAGCAUUGAGGAGGAGUCAGAUGGACGAUCAUGGUUCCAUGAUAUCCUAGAGUACAUCAAGAAUCAAAGGUACCCUGAGCAAGCAAACAAGAAUGACAAAAGAACAAUCAGGAGAAUGGCGAUUGGAUUUGUUCUUGACGGGGAUAUUCUAUACAAAAGGGGAAAAGAUCAAGUACUCCUGAGGUGCGUAGACGCUGUUGAAGCUAGAAAGAUACUUGAAGAGGUUCAUGAAGGAAUUUGUGGAACACAUGCCAGUGGUUUCACCAUGGCCAGGCAGAUUAUGAGACUUGGUUAUUAUUGGCUGACGAUGGAAAGGGAUUGCAUUGGUUACGCACGAAAGUGCCACAAAUGUCAAAUUUAUGGCGAUAAAAUUCAUGCAGCUCCGUCGCCCCUUCAUGUCAUGACUUCUUCGUGGCCUUUUUCUAUGUGGGGCAUGGAUGUUAUAGGGCCAAUUUCCCCGAAAGCUUCCAAUGGGCAUCGAUUCAUCUUUGUGGUUAUAGAUUACUUCACAAAAUGGGUAGAAGCCACAUCGUUUGCUAAUGUGACAAAUGCUGCAGUCUGUAGGUUCUUAAAAAAGGAGAUUAUAUGUCGAUAUGGUCUGCCUAAAAGAAUCAUUUCAGAUAAUGCUUUAAAUUUGAACAACAAGAUGAUGAAAGAAGUAUGUGAGCAAUUCCAGAUAAAACAUCAUAAUUCCUCGCCCUAUCGCCCAAAGAUGAACGGAGCAGUAGAAGCCGCUAAUAAGAACAUUAAGAGGAUUAUUGGGAAGAUGACUAAGACAUAUAAGGACUGGCACGAGAAGCUACCAUUCGCUUUGUACGCAUAUCGCACCUCUGUACGGACGUCUACAGGGGCAACUCCUUUUUCUCUAGUCUACGGGAUGGAGGCCGUUCUGCCUAUCGAGGUAGAGAUCCCAUCCCUGCGCAUCCUGAUGGAGACAAAGUUAGAAGAAUCAGAGUGGGUUCGAGCUCGAUAUGAUCAACUAAACCUUAUUGAAGGGAAACGCCUGAAGGCAAUUUGUCAUGGACAGAUGUACCAAAAGAGAAUGAUCACGGCUCAUGAUAAAAAGGUGUGACCAAGAGAAUUUCGCGAAGGAGAGCUCGUACUGAGAAAGAUUCUCCCGAUACAGAAGGACUUUCGAGGAAAAUGGUCACCAAAGGGCAUACGUUAUAAAAAUGGCAUUCUCAGGAGGGGCUCUGAUUCUCACUGAGAUGGAUGGGAAAGAAUUACCUAAUCCAGUGAAUUCAGAUGCUGUGAAGAAGUAUUAUGCCUAAAAAAACAAAAAAUAAAAAAACAAAAAAGCAGAAAAGCAAAAAAAAAGGUAAAAAAAGAAGAAGAAAAAAUCAAGAUGAAAACCCUAAAAAGGGCAUCUUGAUAAAUAGAAAGGAUUAGGAUGAAAACCCGAAAGGGCGUCCUAAUGAAGUGAGCUCAAACUUAAGGUGCAAGGCGACUCGAACGGGGAGUCGAAUGGCGAAGUUACAAUAUUUGAAGCAUUCUCAGAAGCUCGGAAUCUUCUACACAGGAAGUCAUGCUCGAAAAUAUUCAGGAUGAAGAAACGUGGAGAAGUUUAAGCGUUGGAUAUCUAGGGCAUUCGUGUCCAUUGAAUUCACUUUCCUUUCUUUAUGAUGCUUUCUGUAUUUGAACUAUUCCUUGUCAAUUUUCUUUGUUUGUUGCUUUUGAAAAUAUUGAAUGUGAGGUAUUUUCUUUCAUGCCUACUUUGCCAUUUUUUCCAUGCAUCUCGUGUUUGAUUCAUUUAAAUGAUAAAUAGUAAGAUGACAUGCUCUAAACAAAAGAAAUGUUGAACAUUACCUGGAUGAGAAUUUGACAAGUACAAGGGCCCGAAAGCAGGAACAAUGUUCAGCAGGGGGCAAGAGAGUGAUAUAUGGAGAAAUGUGGAUUACUCACAGAACUUGAGGAUGAGUACAAAACUGGAGAGAAAAGUCAGGAAUUGAGGAAAUGAAUGCGGAACCUCACGAAAAUCAAAAGUGGGGCGUGUGACAAACAGCCUAGGGUGCAUGGCAUGAUCAUGUAGACAUAAAAGCAUUUAAGAUGAACAUGUGCAUAUCAUAAUAACACCAUACAUGACAUAUACAGGUAUACCAAUAGAGCAAGGAAUUUUGAGAGAAAGCUGUACAAAAUCAACGAAGAAGAAGGCUUUAGUUUCACCUGAUGUUUUUGAAACCCUGUUUCUUUCAAGAAUUACAUUUUUCAAUUUUUGUUUUUCAAAAAAUCAACUCAUAAUGCGAGAAGUGAGUUGAGCCUCGAGUCAUGUCGAGGCAUUUUUCAAUUUCUGUUUUUCAAAAAAAUCAUCUAAUAAUGCGAGAAGUGAGUUGAGCCUCGGGUCACGCUGAGGUAUUUUUAAUUUAUGUCUUUUUUUAAAAAUCAACUCAUAAUACAGAGGUGAGUUGAGCCUCGGGUCACGCUGAGGUAUUUUUAAUUUAUUUCUUUUUUUUAAAAUCAACUCAUAAUACAGAGGUGAGUUGAGCCUCGGGUCACGCUGAGGUAUUUCUUUUAAAUUUCUGUUUUUCAAAAACUCAACUCAUAUUGCGAGAGGUGAGUUGAGCCUCGGACCAUGCCGAGGUAUUUCUUUUAAAUUUCUGUUUUCAAAAAAAUCAACUCAUAUUGUGAGAGGUAAGUUGAGCCUCGGAUCGCAUGCCGAUGUAUUAUUUUCAAUUUCUGUUUUUCAAAAAAAUCAACUCAUAAUGCGAGAGGUGAGUUGAGCCUCAGGUCACAUGCCGAGAUAUUUCUUUUAAAUUUCGUAUUUUCAAAAAAAUCAACUCAUAUUGCGAGAGGUGAGUUGAGCCUCGGAUCGCAUGCCGAGGUAUUCUUUUCAAUUUCUGUUUUUUAAAAAAAUUAACUCAUAUUGCGAGAGGUGAGUUGAGCCUCGAGUCACGUCGAGGUAUUUUUCAAUUUCUAUUUUUCCAAAAUCAACUCAUAUUGCGAGAGGUGAGUUGAGCCUCGAGUCACGUCGAGGUAUUUUUCAAUUUCUAUUUUUCCAAAAUCAACUCAUAUUGCGAGAGGUGAUUUGAGCCUCAAGUCACGUCGAGGUAUUUUUCAAUUCUUGCUUUUCAAAAAAAUCAACUCAUAUUGCUAGAGGUGAGUUGGGCCUCGGGUUGCACGCCGAGCUAUUCUCGAUUUCUGUUUUUCAAAUAAAAAGAAAAUUUUGGAUGGUAGAACAAAAUUCAGUGCUUUUAAGUAUUUGCUCUAUCCCUGUUUCACAGCGAUGAGCAAAGAGGGGCAGCUGUAAUCACUGAAUUUUGUUCGGUACAUUCUUCGUGUUUUUAUUUUAUUUUAUAUAUAUUUAAAAAAUUAUGUUUUUUUUGGGCUUGCCUUAGAUGGGCCAAUGAUUGGGUCUAUGGGGGUUGGAUAAUUGGGUUUGAAACAUUUUAAUUUUGGACUUGUUUGGGCCUUGGCCCAUUGUUUUUAUUUUAUUUUAUUUAUUUAUAUUUUAAUAAUAUUAAUAAAACAAUAAUAAAUAAAAAUACAAAAAAUAAAUUAUGUUUUAGCCCCCGAAUUUUUCAAAAAUUACAUUUUAAUCCCGUAUUUUUGCCAAAAUUGCACUUUUACCUCAGAAACUUUGCGCCCUCUACAGUUUAGUCCUUCUGGACUUGUCAAAUCACCCAAGCGGCAGCCGAGCUACUCCAGCAUCCUCCCUAGGCCAUGAUUAUUCCACUGCCACCUGAAAACAAAGAGAAAAGAGACAAAGUGAACAGAUUAAAAGGAGAAAAUUGAAGAGAAAGAGGGGGAGCAGCCAAGAAAAGAAAAGAAAAAAACAAAAAUUUUAAGCAAAAAACCAAGCAAAAAUAGCAGUAAAAAGGGCCACCGCCGCCGUCGACCUCGCACCACCGCACCACCGCCUCAUCACUACCAUCCCAACACCCAACAAAGCAACUAGGAAGUAAAAAAGAAAAAAAAAUAGCAAGUAGAAAAAAAAACAGCAAGCAAAAGAGAAAAAAGGAAAGAGCAAAGAAGAAAAAGAAAAGGGGAAGAAGGGAGGGGAAGAGGAGACCUCCGUGCUCGCCACCGCCGGCCAUCGCACCAGGCGGAGAGACGUCACCGAUGACAAAAGGGUGGUGCUGUCGAAGGAAAAGGGAAGAAAAGAGAAAAAAAAGAGAGAAGAAGAAGAGAAAGAAAAAAAAAAGAAAAAGAAAAAUAUACCAUCAAUCGGGUUGACCCGACCCGACCCGCACCAGUGGACCCGACCAGCGCAGGCCCAACACCACUGACGGCCCACUAAGCCUCAAUUUGCAGCAAAAAAAAAGGAAAAAGGGCUUGUCCUCCAAGACUUUGGGCUUUUGGGUAAAUUUUUUUUUCUUUUUUCUUUUUAAUCUAUUUUAUUUUGUUUAAUAUAUUUAAAUGGUAUUUUAUUUAAUUUAAAAUAGUAUGUUUAAAAAUAGUUUUUCAUAGAUAUUAUUAUGUCAUUUUAAUUACAUAUUUUUUUAAAUAAUAAUGAUAAAUAUUUUAAUGCAUAAGGCAACGAACUGAUUUAGCAUCGAAUCAUCGAAUUCAUCGCUAUGUUGGAUGAAUAUUGAUGGCUCGUGUUAAAUACGGGACGCCCUUCUAAAAAAUCGAAAAUAUUCAAAAUUCCUCGUAUUUCAAUAAAAAUCCUCGUGUUUUAUUAGAAUCCCGAUUAAAUAUUAAAUUGAAUUGAUUUAACACUAAUUCGAUGGUUUCAUCGCCAUAUCGGGGUGAAUAUCAUCGAUUUGUGUUAAAUACAUUAUUUUUUAAAGAAAAAUCGUUUUUAAAAAAUUUUCAUGUCUUCAAAAUUUCUCGUGUUUCAAAAAAAAAAUCGUGUUUUCGUGUUUUCGAAAAAAUCUCGUGUUUCAAAAAAAAAUAAAAAAAUUUCUCGUGAAUAUUUUUUGAUAUUAUCGUGUUUUCAAAAAAAUUCCGUGUUCGACAAAUUUUGUGUUUUCGUGUUUUCAAAAAUUUUCGUGUUUUAAAAAUCUUCGUGUUUUCAAAAAUUCUGGCGUUUCAAAAAUUUUCGUGUUUUUUAAAAAAAAAUUACGUGUUUUCACAAAUUUUUCGUGUUUCACAAAUUCUCGUGUUUUCAAAAACUCCGGUGUUUCAAAGUUUUCAUGUUUUCAAAAAUUCUCGCGUUAAAAAAAAAAUUCGUGUUUCAAAAUAUUCUCGCAUUUCAAUUUUUGUUUUUUAAAUCGUGUUUCAAAAAAAUGUCGUGUUUUAAAAAUUUUCGUUUUUCUAAAAAUUUUCGUGUUUCUAAAAUUUUCGUGUUUACAAAUUCUCGUGUUUUCAAAAAUUCUCGUGUUUUAAAAAAAACUUUCGUUUUAAAAAAGAAAUACUGCGCUUGAAAAUUCUCGUGUUUUUUUUUUAAAAAAAAGGUUCUCGUAUUUCAAUCGGAUCACGACUAAAUAUUAAAUGGAACUUGUAUUUUUGAAAAUUAAGACAACAUGCGUUUAACAAGAUACCAAUUUUGGGCGUCGCGAGGGUGCUAAUACCUUCCUCGCGCGUAACCGACUCCCGGACCCUAAUUUUCUCUAGAUUUUGACGUGGACCUAAAAUUGUCUCUUUUUUAGAAAAGUUUAAAAAAAAAUUUCUUCUAAAAAAGGAUUUUAUUUGGUGUCCGAUCACACCUAAAAAAAAGAUCGGUGGCGACUCCUUUUUCAAAUAAAAUCGAGAUUCGAUUUUCAAGUUUUCAAUAAUUACUUCGAGUAGCGCCCGUACACGAAAUUUUUAGGUCGCUACACCCAACACUUGCUGAUUAACGAAAAAAAAUAUAUUGAUAAAGUAUUUACAUAUUUUAACAAUAUUUAAAAAUUUAAACACAUUGUUUUGCAUUUUUAUUUUAAAUGUUAAAAUUAAUUAAUUGAAAUAUAAAAAUUCAUUUAUUAUAAAUAAGAAAUUUUAAAAAUUUCUUUUAAACUAAUUUUUUUAAAAAAAUUCUAUCUAAUAAAUGAAGUAAAAUUCGUGAAAAAAGAAUUAAAAGCUUGAUGUGCAAAAAUUUCUCACUUUCCUUAUUGACGUAUUUUUAUUACAAAUAAGAAACGUCACGCAUAAUACUUUAUAUUAUGUUAUUUUUUUUAUAUAUUAUAUAAUUUAGAACACAUUAAAAAUUUUUAUACUAAAUAUAUAAUACUACUCUAACGUAAACAUUAAAAUAAUAUUAAGAUGAUUAUAUGAAAAUUUUCAAUAAAUAAAAAAUGUAUAAAAUUAUUAAAUAUUAAAAAUAUAUAAAAAUAUAAUUUUUUAAAAAAUACAGGCGGACCUAAAAUGAGUUUGGGUUAGUCUUUUGCAAAUAUGAGUGGAUUUAGGUAAAAUUUUAGGCUCAUAUUUCGGGUCAAACCGGACUUGAACAAACAUAAAAUAUAUUAAUAUCACGCUUAAACCCGACCCAACCAAUGAGCACUUCUAAUCACAACCAUAUAUAUAUUUUUAAAAUAAAUACCAUCAUAUGAUUUCCAUAUAUUGAAUAGAGAUAAUAAUAUGUUGUAAAUUUUGUAUACUAUUUGAAUUUAAAUUAAAUAAUUAUUCAUUGAUUGUCUAUGAUAAAUAUAUAAAUUUAAUCAGUAAAAAAAAUAAUAACAAAAGUUUUAAAAUGCAAAGUGGAUAAUGGAUUCUAUUCAUUAUAUUUAAAAAUAUAAUUGGUUCAAAUAAUGAAUAAUUAAGGAUUGAUAUUUUCCUUCACCUUGAAUUUAAUGUUAAUAUUAAUUAAAAUAUAAAAAAUGAAUAUUAUUAGAAUCUAUAAUUUCUAAAUCAGCAAAAUGUAAAUUGAAUAAUUGUAAAUAUCUAAAUUUGCAUUAUAAAUAGAUUGCGACACUGAAGAUUAUUGAUCAGCUUGGGUCGGGUGAGCACUAGUUGAGUGAUGAGACAAUUGCCCAUUUAUGUAUGAUAAAAGGAGAUUGAGCUGCUAUCUUUUUUUUUUUUUUUUAAAUAGAGAUUAUUUUCAGCACAAUGAUUUGGGUGGUCUGGAAAUGAACCAUUGUCCUGGUCAAAUGAUGCAAUGAUUUUCUGUUUUUCUUCCUCCAAAAGCACGAUUCAUCUUCCAUUGUCCCAUAAUUGAUAGUGUACACUUAACCCUCCAUUAUUAUUACAAUCCCAUCACUUGGCUAGCAUCCUUCAAAACAACUCAUAUCACUUGUCUAAGUUUUCCAAAACUCACCAUCACUUUCUCUACUAGCUUGUUUGGAGUAAUUCAAAACAUGAACUGCUAGCUUCUUUGAUGCAAUUCAUCAUUUGACUGUGAAAAGAAAAAGCAAGGUUUGUGUAAAAAAACAUUAUAAACAUAUCACUAAAUUGAGUCCUUAAAACAGCCUUCACGUCUCUACCAUUGACAGUCAACAGGGGAAGAUAGAUGGAAAGUAUGUCCAUGUUGCUAGAAUCGAACACCAUUCCCGGUGGAAGAACCCCAAUAAUAAUUUCUACCGAUUAUGUAUUAACUUUUUAUUCCUUCUUCAAAGCUCAAGAACAAGCACCAUUAAUUAGCGUUUAUAAUUUUUUAUUGCUCGAAACUUUUCGAUCGUGUAAAAUAGAAGACUACUUCAGUAUAUUUGUAAAAUAAAUCCAUGUCCUUGCAAAAUUUGAAUUAUUUAUUAAGGAUAUGGAUUUGGUAUUUUAUUUAACAUAAGUUUACUUCAAUAUGGCACGACAUUGUUGUGCAAUUACGUUGUAAAUUCUAAAGCAUUUAACAUAGUUAACAAGUUGUGUAUUUGUUUUAUGUAUUAUCCAAAUCAUUGCUCAAGAAAUCGUAUUAUGACUUGAAAAUUUUAAAAAAUGAUAAUGAAAAAACUCGGUUCAACCGAUCUAAUACUAUUUUCCAGACCAAUACCACCUGCCAGUCCAAUUUUAACAUCAUUGAAUAAAACAGAGUUACAUGUUCUUCUUACUCUUCAUAAAGAUUUGGUCCAACUCAAAAGAUAAUGCGAAAAGAGGUAUCCUUCCAAAAUUAUAAAUCAGAAGUUAAAAAGUGAAGCAGCCUACAAGAUGAAGUAAACAGCUAACUGUUGCAAUCUGACAUGAUAAUUAGAAUAACCAGUCAAAGCCUAUAUUCAACAAAUUUUCCCUCUUUUUAAAAAAAAAAAAAAACAAUAAUUUAGUCUGUAGGUUCCGAAGAAUACCUAAUACAAUUCAAAACUUGUGGUUCUUGCAGCUAUGAUUAGUCUCAGCUCUGUUGACUCCAAGUAUGCCAAUGAUUGCGAAUAUGUUUCACUCAAAGUUAUAAGCAUUCCAUCAAAAGACCCAACAAGAAUGGUUGUAAGAGCCAGAAAACUAAUCCAUCAUCCUCUCGGUGGCAUUUGCUACCUUCUGCAUUAUCAUACACUCAGCUUGAUGGAUUGCUCGCUGUGAUCCUGUGAUUGUCACUUUCCUACAACGCAAGGUAGAAGAAGAUAGAAAAGGGUUUUAAAUCUUUAAUAAAAUAGCCAAUGAAACUUUGGCUUAAUGGCAGGGUUCAAUGCUUAAUUAGCUAGUAGAUUAACACAGGGUCUCUCUACCUAUCUGUUGUUCCAGACAUGAAGUCACCUCGAUCCGAUAUUUUUAUCCUGGCCCCACUUACCUGCAAUGAUAAAAGUGUGCUAAAAUUCAGUACAUGAGCAAAAUUAUUGAAUCAAAUGCUAUAGGUUUAUCAUUUAUAAACCUGACUAAUUUCCAUUAUAUUCCUUCCACCACGCCCAAGAACCAGCCCAAUAUGCUCAUCCGGAACACCAAUCGUGAUGGAGUUGCUACGAUCCUCCUGGAUACACAUAUGGCUUCAGUCAAGUAAGAUCUAUUUAACUACAACUUACACAUAUACCACCAGUCCUUCAAUUUAAAACAAGCAUGUCAUAUAUUGAUGCCAAACUAAAACAACAAAUUUGAUUAGCAGUAAACAAUGUAAAUAGCAUCAGUCAGAAGGCAGCACUGAUAAAGGAAACCAGAAAGAGAUGAACCUUGUGAUUUGGAAACUUCCCGCCAGUCCCAUUUGGUGCAUAGCUCAUCGAAUAGUAAGUCGCUGUGGCAAUAAUAGUGUUCAUAAAGCAGAGACAAUUAAUACAACUGUAGAAGUCUGUUUAGACUUGGCAGCCAAAUAAAAAGAGUACAGACCAGCAUAUGAAAAUGGAGCAUGCAUAGCUUGUGAGUAAUGAGGGUCUUCGCAAAGCUUGGAAAGAAUCAAAUCAAUUGCUUGCAUCUGCUCAUCUAGUGUGCCAGUAAGUGUUACUAGCCUAUCAUUCAAGCCAUAAAAAUUAUUAUCCAAUGGAGAUAUCUUAAUGCCAGCUUGGGAGUCCUCAAUCAAUGACCUGCAAUAAGGCAUAAAUAACAAUCAGGACUUGCCUUACUGUUUUAAGGCAGCCAAUACUUGGAUAAAGGGCCCAAAAUACUUGAAUAGUAACUUAUCACAAGCCACACAUGUAAAAUGAGACAGUUUUAAAGAAUCAUUUAGUAUAUAUAUUGUGUCUUCUUAUAAGGCAGGGAAGAUGUUAAGGAUAUGUUUGUUUUAAAUAACCAAUUAUAUAUUCUUGCUGAGCUCAAGCCACAAGUAGAGCUAUAAGUCUAUAACCCACUAAGGAAAGCAAUCAUAUAUUCUUCCUGAAUAAGCAUGUGUUCACAGUCAAAUUGUGCUACUCUAGAAAUGAACAGGCUAGUUAACACUAGUGUUUUCUUGCAUGGAAGUUAUUUUAAGAUGUUGUCAUCUCGGGGAAUAUGUCUUCAAUCAUUCAACACCAGUGCAGCAAAUAAAUUUUUAAGGGACAAUAACAAUUCUAUGUUGAUAUCCAAGCUUCUCUAAAGCCUAAGGUACUUCAAAGACAAGGAAGCCAAAUAUAGCAUUAUUCUCAAAACCCAUAUGCCCAAUCUUUAGAUGUUGUAAUUAAUUAUGAAACAAAAGGCGAUGACAAAAGAAGCUUCUCCAAACAAAUGACUGUCAAGUUUCUUUAUCUUUAUUUUUUUCCUGGGUAUGCCUUUGUCUUACUUGGGACUCUGAUCCAUGUCAAAUAGAUACAAGACUUCACCAUGAUUUAGGUUGAACCAUAGUCAGAUAGGUCUUUGACAAAUUAAACCUCUGGUAACUUCCAACAUUUUCACAAAUAUACCUGAACUAAUUCAUUUCUUAGUCAUGACCAUCUACUUAAUAGGUUAUUACUAGGCAAUUCAAGCAGACUCACUAUGAAUCCAUGAUGCAUCAAAGUUAUUACUAUGGUAAACUUUACUAAAUUUGUUCCUACUGCCAAAAAUUUAUCCUUCCAAAUGCCCAUCUCCCCAAGUUAGCUCUCAAACUUAUUGUACACAGCACUUUGCAAUGUAAGGUUCCUGGAUUAUCCCCCUGGUCAAAUAUAGGUUUUAUUGUACACAUUCUCACACAAGAAUCAUUUCCAAACUGAGUGGUUUUUUCACUACUCAUGCCUAUCUGACUAUACUUUAAAUCAAUGGUAGGUUAAAAAUUUUAUAUUCUCUGCAAAUGAACAGAAUAAUGGAAGAAUAAACAUGCAUCCUUUAUAAACAAGCCUAUUCAGUGUUCAGCAUACUUCAAUUUUGUAACAUUACUAAAAACAACAUUCAAAUUUUACACGUAAUUCUCAAAAUCAUAGCAACAAAAACAUUGUAGAAUUAUCAGAGCAAGCAAACUUCUUACUUUAUGGUAGCUCCUCCCUUUCCAAUUAUACUGCCACAAGAGCUAUUGGGAACAAUUAGCCUGACUUUUGUUCUUGGUCCAACAUCUUCAUUAUCUUCAACAUUAAGCUGACCAGGAAGAAACAAACAUAUGUUAUUAUCAGAAAGGGAACUUAUAGAGUCGAAAGUUAUCAUGAAAUCACCUCAUCGAAUAAUUUUCCAAGGAUAAGCUCCAUAGCUUUGAGUAUGUCAUCAAUCGCUCCAGAGACCAUAAUGAUCCUGUCUGAUGUUCCUGGGAAUGUUUCAUGGUUGCGUGACAACUGAAUUCGAGCUCCUGAUUUUGACUGAAAUUCAGUAAUUGUUGACCCACCCUUUCCAAUUACAGAACCAGCCGCAGCAUUGGAGACAAGAAACCUUAUAUACAUAGGCUUCUCCACAUUUCCUGACAGAAGAAUGGGCAAAAAGUUCAUCAGUUAGUUCAUGGAUCAUAACUGCAUUUGCAGUUAAUUGAGGAAUUUCAAGAGCAAACAAGAAAGUUUCAACAAUUUGAGCAAUCUCCUCCCUUUUAGCCUAAAAUAAAACCAACAAUGAGGAUAACAAAGAAUGUUACACAACAGCAACUAUGUAUUACUUCACACAAUAUGCAAUUGCUAAUAAAAAAAGAAGAAGAUAGCAGUAAAAGUAUCAAAUAAAUACAAUACAUAUACGGUAGCUUCGUAAGCACACCACCUUGCAUUUCUGAAAAUAGUUGACAGUAAUAUUGUCGAUCUCAUGCAUAUGAAAAAGUAGAAAAUCGGAUCUUAAGGAAAGGUAAUACCAGACAAACAUUUUUCAAUUUUCAUGCAAGCCUUAUCAACACUUAGAUACUGAUAUAAUCAACCAACAGCAAGCAGCUCAUUUCACUAGAACCCCUUCUCGUUAGCAUCAGUACCAGGGGUGAAGCCAAGAGUUUUAUGCUGGGGAUGCGGGAAUAAAAGAGGGUAAAAAUUUAUGAACUUUUAGGUAGGCAAAAUAGAGUUUUACCAUUUUUUGAGUAACAGAAAGCUGAACAACCUAGUUUGUUUGGACGAGCCAAGUGGGGUCAAAUUUGGCAUCAGUCCUAAUCACCACAACAACUCGGAUCCCUUACAUUACAUCACCUUAUGUUAAAAACCAUGGAAGAAAUAAUGACGCAGAUGCUAAUUGCAAAAGGACAAGAUGUAAAACUGGAGAAUGACUCGGCAAAAACCACAAGAAUAUAAAAGAUAAAACUUGAGCUAUGAACAGCAGGAUGUAUUAUUGAUGUUUCAAAAUUUUAUAUCUGAAUAAACUUGAUGUUGUUCAAAUAUAUGGAUACACAUUAAAGAACGGAAACAGAGCAUGCUCGUGUUAGACAGAAUAGGUGACACGUACACCUAUUCGGAACUCACCCGUAGUCUCUGUAAUACAACAUUCGAGCAUUAGCCAAAUACUCAGACCAUAUUCUUCUUUCUCUCACUCUCCAUUUACCAUUUCACGCCAACCAAACAUAAUGUUAGGGUUAGGGUUUAAAAUUGUAUAUUAAAAAAAUUAUAAAUAAACGAAAUAAAACUCGAAAUUCAAACAAUUCCAAUCUUUAUAUUAGAAGAAAAUAAUACUAAUAAUAACAGGAAACAAAAACUAAAAAAAAAAUAAAACUCCAUUACUCCGAAGCAGAUAUAAAUUAAAAAACAAAACUCAGAAAUGAAACGCUUCAACGAAGAAAAGGUAAGAUCCAAUCAGAAAUUACCAGAAGUCGGCGAUUUAGGCGGCGGAGGAGAUCUAUUUCUCGCCGCCUCCGGUGAUGACACGUAAGAUGAUUCCGUCGACUCCAUUUCUCCCUUCUACCCUCUUGUAAGCCAAAACCAAAAAAGAUAAAACGUAAACAAGUAGAUAAAAGAAUGCAGAGCUUAACCAAAUUAAUAAAAGAAAAUCACCUAAUUAUUAGAAUGUUAAAAAAAUAAUUAACAAGAGAGAGAGAGAGAGAGAGUGAUUAAUACUCUUUUUCUUUUUCAGUUCACAGCUAAUCAAUUUCUUCGAUCCGAGCAGAAAUUUACUGAUAUUUUCGUUAUCUAUUCAUCGCUCGCUGACUUUAGGCUCAUUCGAGUUUUUAUUAUUUAUUUUAAUUAAACCGUAAACCCCGCCUAAUUUGUCAAAUCUAAUCAUAUUUUUUUAGGGUAAACUACUAGAAUAGUCACCCAACUAUGUAAGUGGUUCUAUUUUAGUCACUCAACUUUAAAAUUUUUCGAUUAAUUAUUAAACUUAUCAAAAUCUGGUUUAGUCAUCCCCUCUAGUUGCUGUUAAAUGAUUAACAGAAGUCUAUUGUGGAUUUUAUUUAUUUAUUUUCAACACAUUUACUUACCCAAGUGCAGUGGCAGAGCCAAGGGAGCUGGCAGGGCCUUGAUUUCCCCUAAAAUGGAAAGGUUUUUAUUAGGUCUUUUAUAAUUUAUAAAAUUUUAAAUUAGUAAUGGUAAAAUUGCACUUUGACCAUCCUAAAAGUGAUAAAAUUUUAAUUUUAUCCUUUAAAAAUUAUAAAGAUAUAGACUAUUUAAAGCGUGAAAUUGCAUUUUUACUGUCGUAAAAAUAUACAAUUUAAUUCUGGCCUCCUAAAUUUUUUUUUUGGCUCCGUCACUGCCCACGUGGAAAUCCGGAAAUCAUCACCAUACCAUGGGAGGAGUACUUAGUAUGAUGAGACCUUGUGUAGACAACCUGAAGUUGAAGGAGUUCAAGGGUUUGAGAGAUGCAAAAAAUGUGGACAAUUUUUUAUGGGGGCAUGGAGUAGUAUUUUCAAGUUGUGGCUAUUGUUGACAAACCGACCAAGGUAAGUAUUGCCUCUAUGUACUUAACUGAGGUAGCUUUGUUAUGAUGGCGUUGUAAAUGUGACAACAUGAGGCGAUGAGUACUUGUUUCCAUCAACACAUGGGACGUGUUUCGAAGGGAGCUUAAGCAAUAGUUUUACCCUAAGUAUGUCAAUGAUAAGAUGCAGUCAAGGUUGCAUCGUCUUACUCAACACAAUGGGUGUACGAGUACAUGCCAGGGUUCUUAGAGAUUAUACUUCAAAUUGCCAAUCUUGAAGGCAAUGAAGCCUUCUUCUACUUCAUGGAUAGGCUCAAGCCAUAAGCAAGACUUGAGUUGCAGCGUUAAGGGGUCCAACACUUGACGCAAGCGAUGGCUAUGGUCAAGUCACUAGCGGAGCUCAAGAGUUAAGAAGGACCAAUUUGAGUACCAAAGCAUCGAGAUUUAGGAUUGAGUGUUAGAGUGUUGCUUUGUAAAGCUUUCUUGUACAUACUAUAUUGAGCAUUCUCCUACACUCUCCCUUGUUCAAGUUUGGCUCUUUAGAGUGCCUUUUAUCAUAGUUGGUUGUUGAUAAGGCUAAACUUAAGCAUAGUUGGCUUAAGUAUCAUGUUUAAGGUCGCAUGUUGAGUCGAGCUAAAGUUUUAGCCUGUGACAAAACUUUGUUAUUAGUCUUUGUAAUAUGCAAAGACUGCAAAUUUAAUCCAUGUACUUUAAUUAGCUCAUUUAUUUUUUGAAUUUUAAAAUUUUAGUUAUGACUCUAGCGAUAAUUAUUAAAUUUAUUAAGUUAAAUUUUGUUAUUUCUGAAAUCUUAUGUGAAAGACAUAUUAUCAUAUGUAAUAUCAUGUCAACUUAUUACUUUCACAUAAUACUCAUAGAAAAAUCACAUUAUUUUAAAUUAAUGGAUUUAACCGUCACUGUUUGAUUCCAAAUUAAAUUUCAACUUUUAAAAAAUAUAAGGAUUAAAAAUGAUCAAAUUAAAGAAUAAGUAUUAAACCACAAAUUACCAUUUAAGCCAAAACUAAAAUUUCAAAAUUCCAAUUAAAAUUGACCAAAUUAAACUAAAAAGACUAAGUUCACAACUUUAGUAUAUUACAUGAACUAAUAGCAAAAUUUGACCAAUAAAUAUUAUAUUUAUUUACACAUUGAAUUUUUUUUAUUGUAUUGUUAUUUUAUAUGACCCCACCCAUGUGAACUUCAAACUGUUGAAUUUUAUUUUAUAAUAAUUAAUUGAGAUUAAUUAUAUUUUUUUAUGUACAUUUAUAAAUGAUAAUUUGGAAUUUGUCAUUAUCAAUGCCCAACUUGUUUGGAAUAAUAAAUAUGAAAAGGGGGAAUUGGUAAGAGUGAGAACUAGUUUGUAAUUUAAUAUUUUUUUUUCUUCCUUUAUACAAAUGCCAUGUCUCACAUUUAAGUUAGUAGUAAUUAAUGAAUAUAUAGUACCUUAUAGAAAUAGAUCUAGUUAUAAUUAUAGAAUUAUAAAUUUUAUUAAUUGAAUUUAGGGAUAAAUUUUAAAAUUAUAUAUGAAUUAUGGUUUAAUGUGCAAUUGUAUGCAUAAAUUUUGAUUUUGUGCAAUUUUAUACAUGAAAUUUUGAUUUGAUCCAAUUCUUGUAAAUUAUUAGCACAAUUAUUGAUAUAACAUCAUUUUAUGUUUAUAUAUUGUAUACAUAAAUAAUUAUAUUUCUCCAAUAUAAAAAUAAAUUGAUGUAUUUAUCCAAUAUAAAAUUAAAUCUAUCUAUCUUCUCUAAUGGUGAAAAUAGAUAGGGAUUGAAGACAAAUGAAAAGAUGAUAGUUUUCUCAUCCCUUAAUUUACCAACAUUUUAACUAAAUUAUCAAAUUACUUAAUUAACCUUUUAAAAUCAUUAAAAUUUCAUUAAAACCAAUCCAUAAACAUCCACUAUCAACAUAUAAGGUAUAGUUACCAUUCAAGUUCAUUAACUUCCCUUUCCAAAGCCAUUUAGCCCUUUUAACUAUUAGAAAUCAACUUUAACACUUUUUAUGAUUUAGUCCUUUUCACUAAAUUAACUAUGUAAACUUCAAAAUUUCUUAACGAAAUUUUAAUACGACCUUCAUAUAAUCCCGUUGACACUAAAUAAAUAAUAAAACAAUAAUUUACUCGCCAAAAUUGCAGUCUCAAAACCACUAUUUUUGAUAUCACUAAAAACGGGCUGUUACACCUGUUUUGAUAUCAAAACCUAAAAAUAAAAUGUAACGUAUACUGAGUACAAAUAACAUUUGUUUAAUGGUAACGCUUUCCAAUUUCAAUAAAAAAUCCUACCUACCAAAUCAUAUAUGGUAAGUUUGCCAACAUAUAUAACAUUUAUGUAAUUCCUUAAAAAACAUUUGUAACGCCUUUCCAAUUUCAUUGAUUUUUUCUUAAAAGAAUUUACCUGCGCAAUUUUUUUAUAGUAAAUAUUGACAUAUAAUGAAAUAAGUGAUAAAUAAAAAUAUAUAACAUGCCUAUAUAUUAAGGACAUUUUCCAAGUAAAUCAUCAAAACAAAAGUAAUGAAGUUCUCUUUGCAUAAGAAUUUUUUUUUAUCUUAUUUGGUGACCUAAAUUGGAUAUUGUUCAAGGGUAAAAGUUUCAUUUUCCUCCUAUUUUCUCUCCUGGUUUCUAAGCUUUACUUUUUUCCUUGAAAAUCCUUACAUAUAUAAACUAAAAAAAAUAUUUUAUUAAAUGAGAUCAAUGAAGUGCCCUUUUCAAACUUAAGGAAGAAUUUUUUUUUGAGAAUCGAGUCUUUACUCGAUUUGUUUUAAUCUAAUUAUAAACUCAUUUCGUAUUUUUAUGUAAGUUGAAAUUAAACAAUAAUAUCAACAAAACAAAUAUGAAAACUUAUUAAAAGAUUCUUACAUAUAUAAAUUAAAAAAUAUAUUUUAUUACAAGUAAAAAAAAUGUUUUAUUAAAUGAGGUUAAUGAAGUGCAAUUUUUAAACUUAAGCAAGAAAUUUUUAGAUAAUCAAGCCUUAACUCGACCUGUUUUGAUUUAAUCAUAAAUUCAUUUUAUAUUUUUAUGUGAACUGAAAUCGUAUAAACAAACCUAAAAACUUAUUAAAACAAUAAUGAAUAUAUUAUUAAUGAUUGUUUUUUUUUUUUGGUUAUUUGUGUUUAUCAGGUGAAAUAUAAAAAAUAAUAAAAUUGGACCAGUGAUUUACCAGAAAUCAAAUAUGAAAGUUGGUGGUGGAGAUUUAGGGAAGCAACAUCAAAGGUGACGGCAUUUUGGGUGGGUGAUGGAGAUUUAGGUAACAACAUCAAAUCUUGCUUGGUAAUUUUAUUAUUGGGUUACUUAAUUAGUACAUUUAUAUGGAGAAAUGUUUUAAUUUCAUCAGAGUUCAAAAUUAGGGUAAAUUGCAUCAUAAGUCACUCAAUUAUGGACUUAUUUUUUUUGUCAUUUAACUAUGAAUCUUUUAAAUUAAUCACCCAAUUAAUUGAGGUGUUUUUUUGUCUAUUUUCGUUAAGUGUCCUUAAAUGUCUGAUGCGGGGGUGAUGUGACAAUUAAAAAAUUAAUAAAAUAAUAAAUUUAAUCUUCACCUUUUAUAUAUUAUAUUGAUUUAAUCAUAAUUUUUUUAAAAAAAUUAACGUAUGAUUUCAAUUUGAUUCUAAUUCUAAACAGUUCAAAAACAUAUACAUAAAAAUACAUAAAUACUUUCAAAAAAUAUAUAAUAAAUUAUUUAUUUAUAUAUAUCUACAAAAUCCAACCUCAUCUCAUUAUGACAAUCCUCAAUCUCUCACUGUUUUCAACAAAUUCUUAAUAGCAUUUUUUCAAAAAAAAUUUCUUUAUUUUCUUUUUCUUUUUGUAAUUUAUUAUUAUUGUUGUUGAGUGAUAGCUGAAAUGGCAGAUACCCACAUUGUAGAAGUCCAAGAGAUGAAGAGCAUCAACACAAGCUCUCAUGUGCUUUGACCACAAUCACUGUCAUCCAAAAGCAUCAACUGAUGGAGAUCUUUCAGAGUCCAGGUCAUCUUGACAAUUGUGAAGGAUCUUUUUGAUCCUAAAGACUUCACCAACAAUCAUCCCUACUACUAUUCGCUUUGCUCUCUUUGCUACCACCAGCUUCAAAGAACCCACAACCAUCGUCAUCAUCAUCAUCAUAUUUUCUUUUAAAAAAGAAAAAGAAAAGCCCAAAUUGAACAUAAAUUGCAAUCUGCCAUCCUCAAAACCUACCUUUUUAAAGUGCUAUUAAACCUCAAAUUGAACAUAAUCAUGUAUUAGCUUCACCAAAGAGCACACAAUUCAUUUGUUCACAAAGAACUCAAACAAAAGUUCAAAGACAUCUCAUGGAUGUUCUUGAUAAGUCAGGCAUUCGUCCAAGUAAGAUAGUUUUUAUUUGAACUCAUAAGUCUAGCGGGCUUGGUAAUUUUAAUAAGACUAAGCGUGAUGUUUAGUUACAUUUAAUUCUCUGAUUGUUGCAUCUGUCUUGACAGCUUGAUGUUUGAACUUGUUAUAUAAGAUGUUGAUUAUCAUUUUUUUGAGAAGUCAGGAAAAUUGUAUUAAUCUCAAUUAACAACUCGUACCAAUUAAUAGUACAAAACAAAGACCAAAAUAUAAGAUGUUGCACUUACCAUACAACAACACAAGAUCCUGCAAAGUAAACAAAAUAAAGCGCUUUGCUAAACUCAUCAUUAGCCCCUAACCCAAAUAAGAAGGGCACAUUUGUCCACCCCUAAUUUUAUUAAGCUACCUGUCCAACUGUUUGCAACUUUUAGCUCCCUAAAACCAUCAACAAAAAUAAGCUCAGAAAUGAUUUUUAUAAACUUCCUAGUAUUGAAUAUCGAUUCAAGCACAAGUUUAUGUGAACUAUCCAUUUGCUAGCAAUAAGGAUGAUUAUUGUUUGUGUUUGUAAUUCAUACAGAAACUUUAUCACUAAUUGAUAAAUUUGUUGUAAUUCAUACAGAAAUAGCGUGGCCUUAAGUAAUUCUUUUGCUUCAAAUAGGCAUAAGUCAGCCUGUGUCUCAGAAAGAUGAGAAUUCUCAAAGAAAUUCUCUAAGACACCGAAAUAAAUCAAAAACAAAAGCGAAGAAGCAACAAAAGAACAGAAAAGCCAAAAGAAAUCUAAGCAAACCAAGUAUUUGAGUAAAUGCUCCCCAAAUCCAACGGUAUAGUUUUAAUUACAUUAAUGGUUGAGAUAAAAGUCUAUCGACAAUAUGAGAGUCCUAAGAGAUUUAAAUAUUAUAAAAUCUUAUCCCUUAGAAUUACAAAAUAUUUAACAUACAACUCUAGUUUUACUGGAGUGUUUCACUAAGCUAUCAAGUUUUUAAGUAGAUGAAUUUCUUCAUAUGUUCCACGAAACGGGUCAAUUCAAGUGAGUCAAAUGAGUUUUAUUUAAUUAGUUGACCUCCAUGGGAUUUUUUUUGUACAUCCAUCACGAGUUUUGAUCUGUAACUGUAACACUAGCACUUCCAUAAAUAGUUUUGAGUUUCAAUAAACAACAAUUGUAGGUAGCAACACAUUAUCUAUAACAUCUAUUACAAUUUCCUCAAGUUAAAAAUAAUUGAAAGGGCUAAUAUCGUAUAUGACACCUUAUGUUUAUUAAAUCUAUCAAAGUAGAAUUUCUAAUUUAAAAAUGUUCCAUGUGAUAUAUAUAAUAUCAAACCGUCCUCCAUUGUGUGGUUGGUUGUGUGGCAGCCUGUGUGGGUCACACAGUCGUGUAGCAAAUCGUGUAGGCCACACAGCCUGACAAGUAGGUUACGUGGGCCACAUGGGCGUGUGGCCCUAUUUUAGGCGAAUUUUUGGGCCUAGUUUAGGCUGGAUAUGAGAUUUUGAAGUUGGAUUUGUAAUGACCCUGUAAGCAUGUAAGACCAUGAAAUCCAUAAAAUUUAUAUGUUUGUAUGUUAGUGGCAUUAAUUACUAAACUCUAUAUAAGCUAUGUGAUAUUUUCUGUAUUCGUAUCUGUAUGUGCUUUUUCUGAUGACAUGUAUGUGAUAAAUUUUACAUCUGAUCUGCAAUAUAAGAAAUUCUAUUAGCAUGUUAUGAUCUGUUAAAGCAUGAUUCGUCUAUGUGUGUCUAAGUAUUUAUUUUGUUAGCAUGUGCAAUAGGGUGGGAUAUGUUAUUAUGACAGAGGAAAUGAUGGCGGUUUAAUAAUAUGCUUUAUCGAGUGGUUUAACCACAUAUCUAUUUUAGUAGCUUGACUACGAUUAUGGUGGCUCAACCACCCAUAUCUGAUUCUGCCAGUUUAUCUGUAUAUUUGGUGGCUUGAUCAUACUUAUCUAAUUCUGGCGGAUUACUGCAUUGUUUCUAACAGCUUGAUUGCACUAUUUUGAAAGUGAAAUACGCUCACUAUUGCAGUGUGAAGGAUUGGAAGUAUAUUUAUUACCCUAUUUGGUGUGUAGGAAUGGAUAAAGAUGGUGUCUAGUGAAUGGAGGUAUGAUUUGUUUCUACAUUUGAAUCUGCAUCCAAAUCUGAAACUAUAUCUAAAUCUGUAUAUUAUUUAUUAUUUAGGCUAAGUUACACACUGAGCUUGUUAGCUCACCCUUUACUUUUAAUCUUCUCAGGUAAUAAGAAAACUUAGGACCAGACGGCAUGCGAGAGCUCGAAUUGAUUUUCUAGUUCAUAAUAAUAUACAAUGAUUAUGUUUAAUUCAUUUCUGGUCUUUUGGUUUGUAAAUUUGUUUUUGGACUUUGCUUUAAGGUUUCUGCUUAUUUUGUUGGAUUUUGAUAUUUUUAAUGAAAAACUACAAUAUCGUACGAUUUAUCAAAUUAGAAUUCGGUUUUCAAAUUUAAAACGUUGAAAAUUUUCGUUGCAAAACUAAAUAAGUGAUUAAGUGAUCUUACUGUAAAAUAAGUGCUUUCGAACAUAAGAUUUUUCUAAAAAUAUGUAAGAGUUUUGACAAAUUUUUUACUUUCGAAACAUACACUAAGUUAGACAAAAUAAAAGUUCAUUAACGAGUUAAUGUAAUUCCUCAAGAUCCGGUCAUAAAGUCUAGGCCAAGUUUGGGGUGUUACAUUAACUGUCAACACUUCCUACGUCACAUCAUUAUUCCAUGCGAAUGCACAUGCUAAAACAUAGUACAUAUUUAGAUACACAUGGAUGAGUCAUGCUUAAACAGAUUUCUCAGAUCACAGAUUAGAUGCAGAUAUCAUAUAAUAGACAUGCUACAGAUGUUAUACACAUACAAUAUCAAUAUCGCUAUUACAAAUUUCACAUUAUUGGCAUACUGGAAGUAAAUAAACAUACAUAUUCAUAUCUCAAAUAUCGCAUACAGAAGUCAACAAAUGACACAAUAGGCCCUACGAAGUAGCAACCUUGAAUCGUACAAUAACUACAACCCUAAUCAAAGUUUAUAGAAAAUGGGCCUACACGCCCCAACUGAGCUAACUUGUGUGGCUCACACGGUCUAGCACUCGGCUUGACACACAAUCUUGUAGCAUCGAAAGUGGGUUUUCUGGCAUAACGCCAUUCACUGUUUUUCGAGAUUUUUGUUACACACUUGAUCGAGUCUGAACCACGACGUUACGACACACUUCUAGAGCCUAAAACAACAUUCAAAAUCAAUUAAUUAAUGAGAAUUACUGAAUCACUAAUUCGGCCAGAAACAUCAACAAUCGACCUUAACACGAAAAAAAUCAGCCCCAAACAACGGCACAAAGUCACUUACCUUUGAAAGAGACAACAAUCCUACGAAUUCUUAGCUCAUUGGAGGGUUAAAUGUUACCAAAUAUUCACCUAAACAGAAUUUCACAUAGUUAAAACGCGAAUGCACAUGCUAAAACAUAGUGCAUACUUAGAUACACAUGGAUGAGUCAUGCUUAAACAAAUUUCUCAUAUCACAGAUUAGAUGUAGAUAUUAUAUUAUAGACAUACUAGAUGUUAUACACAUACAAUAUCAAUAUCACUAUUACAAGUUUCACAUUAUUGGCAUACUGGCAGUAAUUAAACAUACUUAUUCUUAUAUCAAAUAUCGCAUAUAGAAGUCAACAAACGACACAACAGGCCAUACGAAGUAGCUAACCUUGAAUUGUACAAUAACUACGACCCUAAUUAAAGUUUAUAGAAAAUGGGCCCACACGCCCGUGUGGCCCACACGACCCAACUGAGCGAACCUGUAUGGCUCACACGGUCUAGCACGCGGCUUGACACACGAUCGUGUAACAGUGAAAGUGGCUUUUCUGGUAUAACGCCAUUCACUGUUUUUCAAGAUUUUUGUUACACACUUGAUCGAUUCUGAACCACGACAUUACGACACAGUUCUAGAGCCUAAAACAACAUUCAAAAUCAAUUAAUUAAUGAGAAUUACUGAAUCACUAAUUCAGCCAGAAACAUUAACAAUCGACCUUAACACGGAAAAAAUUAGCCCCUAACAAAGGCACAAAGUCACUUACCUUUGAAAGAGACAACAGUCCUACGAAUUCUUAGUUCAUUGGAGGGUUAAACGUUACCAAAUAUUCACUUAAACAGAAUUUCACAUAGUUAAAACUAUAGUCGCACAAUGGAAAAUCAUAACUCAAAACGUGAUAAUCCCUAUAACCAUAUAUGAAACUUAAAUCGACAACCUUACCACACACGGCCUGCAACGAUAUAGAAGGAAACAUGAUACGGAAAAAACUCAAAAGCAAAGAAGAGGGGAAAAAAACAAAAGAAAAGGAAACGACAAGAGGAAAUCUUGUGACAAAAAUUGAAUUGAAAACAAAUAGGAAAAACAAAACAGAAACUUACAGGAAGAACAAAACAAACGUGAAAGUGGCGGGGGAGGAGAGAGAAAGAAUAACCGGUUGAGGGAAAAUUUUUUUGGGAAUAAUGAAAAAUAUAUAUUUAAAAAAAACUAAAAUAUUAUUUAUCCAAACCCUAUCAGAUUUUCAGAAUUUGAAUUUUACUUAAAUUCUGACCACAUAGACGAUACAAACAGAGAAUAGCAAAAAUAUCUUCGCUUUACACGCAUGGGAUUUAAACACGGGACCCCUGGGUAAGCUGAAUCCUUACUACUAAACUAAUAGGCUUAUUCUUAUCAACAAACUAAUAAGAAUAAAAUAUAACCUACUUGUAACUAGUCAAUAAUAGGAAUAAAAUUAAUAAAAACUCAAGGAAAGGGAUUUGAACACAAGGCCCCUCACACAAAAGCACAACACCUAACCGCUAAACCAAAUCAAUUUAAUUGAAAAAUUUCGCAAAGUUUAUCCCUAAAACAAAACAUGACCACUCUUGGCUCACCGACCCAAUUUCUCCUAACCUGGUUUUUGGGAUGUGACAUUUAGUCUCUAAACCAAAUGAACUUACAGGCUUACCAAGACGAAUGAAGAACAACCACAACAUUGAAGCCCAACGAUUAGAGCGAUCGAUUUGUUGAACAGAAUAGAGAGAAAACAAAAUAAAAAGUUACAGAGAAAAUAAGGGGAAAAAGUUAAAAAGACAGAAAGGAGGAUUUUUGGGAAAAAAUUAAAAUUAAAAAUUAAUUCAAACUAAAAUCUCAAUUCCCCACAACCCCACUAACUACUAAAUCCCACCAAAACUGACCACUAACCUCAUCCAACUACCACAGACUUUCACUCCCACUGAACUUCACUACACAACGAGCACACACUCAUAGAAGCAAAAAUAACAUCCUUUGCUCACAUGAGGGUUCAAACACAAGACCUUAGAGCAAGCUAACACCUUACCACUUGAACCAACAGGCUUAUUCUAGUAUGAGUUGAUAAAAAAUAUAACAUAACCCAACCACUAGGGAUAAGGUUAGGAACAAAAAUAGCAUAAUUUCCAAAAAAAGGGACUUGAACCCAAGACCUCAAACACACACCCAUAUCAUUUAACCACUACAGUAGAUACUCUUUUAUGACAAAAUUAGUAAAAGCAAAGUUAAAUAAAUCAGGGCGUUACAUAGAGAUAGGUAAUGGUAAGGAAAAUAUUUGUGUUUAGAUUUGUUUUUGUUAUGUUUUGAUGGUGAUGGAUAAACAGGGAUGUUGUGAGUUAUUAUGCUUGAUCAAAUGGUUGCGAAUAGGUUUUUGGUUAGGUAAUGAAUUUUGCAGUUCUAAGAAAAUGAAUAUGACAGGAAUAGAAAGUGACAUCGUGGUGUUGUUCUAACAUCGUAACAAAGAGAAGGCCACGUUGUGACGUCAAGGGUUAGUCGUCAAGACGAGAAAUGGCCUGUAGGGUCUCAAUGCUAUGAGGGUUUGUCAUCUUAGCAAGGCCAUCACAGUAGGUGAUGUUGCAACACCGGUUGGCCUAUCAUCGAGAGAUUACUAACUAUUUGUCGUCAUUUCAACAUGGGGAGAAAGACGUCAGAUGAUAAUUCCUUAUUUUGAAAUCUUUUCAGUUAGGUCCUAUCUCUUCCUCAGGUUAGCUUUAGAGCUUGCGUAAGCUUGUGCAAUGCUCGUAAAUGAUUCCAUCUCAUAUUAAAUACACGUUUUAGUUGAAUUUUAGUUAUUAAUUGCUAUGAAAUGCUCAUAUUUUUGAACAAUUUCUCUUUAGUCAUUUAUUGAUUUCAUUUAAGCUUCAGAGUUUCAAAAUCACAAAUGACACACAGUCGUGUCACCAGGCCGUGUGUCUCACACGGUCGUGUGACAGCCCGUGUCUUAGGCCAUGUGAACCUAAAAUUUUACCUCAAAUCAAGCCAUUUCCUAACUAAUUCAUACAUAAACAUUUAAUCCAUUUGUGCACACUUUCAAGGGAUUAAAGCAUCAUUCAAAUACAUAUAAUUAUGCCAAUUCAAACAAUCUAAUUCACCUAACCAAUAUGCCAUUCAAAGGCGCCUCAAUUGCAUCCAAACAACACUUAUCUAAACAUGUCAAUAUUACCACAUUUCAUGCAAAUAAACCUAAUUCAAAUAGGUACUAAAACAUGUCACAAUAGACCAUUUUCAAGAUAACAUCAACAUACCAUAAAGUGCCUUAUUUACAAGCAUUAGUAAGUGACCAAAAUGACAAAGUUUGGUAAGCAUUAAAGUGCACCAACCAAAUGUAUUCUUUAAGACAUAAACAUAUCAAAUCACCAUUACAAAACAUCCUAUACAUGCCAUUAUUAACCUUGGCCAAAAUAUACGAAAACUAUCGAAAAGACUUCUGGAUACUGUGAUAGAUCUCCGACGAGGUUCUAAAUCGAUCGAGCUUCGGAUAAUUGAUAAAACAAAGGAAAGAAACUAUGUAAGUAACAAGUGCUUAGUAAGCUCGUAUAAACCUUAAACAUAACUUACGAUUUCUAUAAUACGAUUCAUAGGAUAAGUAUAAACCAAAACUAAUGCCAUAAGCUUAGUAUGGGCCUAUAUAACAUCAUCAAACUCACAAGUUAGUAUACUUAUUCAUGAUAUAUAUGAAUUCAACUAUAAAAUAUGUGGUUUACCAUGUAUAUACAUAACAUUUUACAUCAUCAAUGUUACCAUAAUGUUAUGAUUCAUUGCAUUUACAUACUUACCGUUUCUUACCAGUUGAACCAUCUAAAAUUACAUUGGAUACUCGGGAAAGCUCAUACGAAGUGUGCCUUUACAUAUAAUCGUAACAUUUCUUUUAUAUCAAUACUCACACGAGCUGUGAAAUGGGCCUGCUCACACGAUGUUGCUCACGCAAGCUAUGGAGAAUCCGUAACAAAUACAAGACCUCAGCCAUCGAUAGGACAUUCAAGACCAACACUCAAAACAUGAAAUCCCUAAUGACAUGUAAUUUGUAUCAUAAGAAUUCCUAAGGUUCAACUGGGACUCGAUAUCCAUCAAUUUAUCAUAGAAUUGAUGCAUUGGUAUAUUGAUUCAUUAGACCAAAACAACAUAAUAAACAUUCAAUUUAAAUAACAUUUAAGCGAUUACAGUUCAUACGAACUAACCUCAAUAAUUAAGGCGUAGUAGUUUAAUCAUAUUAGUUCGAAGCUUUAGCUUUUAUUCGAUCUAAGUCUAAAUGUGGUUUAUCUUGAUCUAAAUAGAUAAUUUCAAUCAAUCAAGUAAUUCUAGAGUUCAAUUUAAUCCAUAGUUCAUAUUUAUACAAAAUUAUCAAUUUACUCCUAACAUUUUAAUUUUUCACAAUUUAGUCUUUAAGCUCAUAGUUUAAAAUCUAACUAUUUUAACCUAAACCCAUGUUAACCAUAGAUGAAAGGGUAUCUACCAUCAUUUCACAAUAAAACCCUAGAAUUUAUACCUUGAACAAAUUAAUCCCUAUUUCCAAAAUUCAUCAAAAUCACUUAGCAAAACUUGUUUAUUUUUCAACAAGGAUUCAUAAUCUAUCAAUUAAAACCAAAACUCAUUCAAAAAAAUUCAUGGUAAGUCCCUCAUCCUUUAACAGUUUUACAAAUUAACCCUCGGAUUCACUAGAUUAAGCUAAAAUAGACUCAAAAACAUAAAAAUCAUUAAAAAUGGGGCUUGGCCGAACUAUUUAUCUUCUCUAAUGGUGAAAAUAGAUAGGGCUUGAAGACAAAUGAAAAAAUGAUAGUUUUCUUAUCCUUUAAUUUACCAACAUUUUAACUAAAUUAUCAAAUUACUUAAUUAACCUUUUAAAAUCAUUAAAAUUUCAUUAAAACCUAUCCAUAAACAUCCACUAAUAACAUAUAUGGUAUAUUUAUCAUUCAAGUCCAUUAACUUCCCUUUCUAAAUCCAUUUAGUCCAUUUAACUAUUAGAAAUCAACUUUUAUACUUUUUAUGAUUUAGUCCUUUUCAGUAAAUUAACUAUGUAAACUUCAAAAUUUCUGAACAAAAUUUUAAUACGAACUUGAUAUAAUCUCAUUGACACUAAAUAAAUAAUAAAAUAAUAAUUUACUCGUCAGAAUUGUGGUCUCAAAAUCACUAUUUUCGAUACACUAAAAACGGGCUAUUACACCUGUUUUGAUAUCAAAACCUAAAAAUAAAAUGUAACGUAUAUUGAGUACAAAUAACAUUUGUUUAAUUGUAACGCUUUCCAAUUUCAAUAAAAAAUCCUACCUACCAAAUCAUAUAUGGUAAAUAAAAUGUAAUGCAUUGCCAGCAUAUAUAACAUUUAUGUAAUUCCUUAAAAAACAUUUGUAACGCCUUUCAAAUUUCAUUGAUUUUUUCUUAAAAAAAAUCUACCUAUGCAAUUUUUAUAUAGUAAAUAUUGACAUAUAAGGAAAUAAGUGAUAAAUAAAAAUAUAUAACAUGCCUAUAUAUUAAGGAUAUUUUCCAAGUAAAUCAUCAAAACAAAAGUAAUGGAGUUCUCUUUGCAUAAUUUUUUUUUAUCUUAUUUGGUGACUUAAAUUGAAUAUUGUUCAAAGGUAAAAGUUUCACUUUCCUCUUAUUUUUUUCCCUAAUUUCUAAGCUUUAUUUUUUUCCUUGAAAAUCCUUCCAUAUAUAAACUAAAAAAUAUAUUUUAUUAAAUGAGAUCAAUGAAGUGCCCUUUUCAAACUUAAGGAAGAAUUUUUUUUGAGAAUCGAGUCUUGACUCGAUUUGUUUUGAUCUAAUUAUAAACUCAUUUCAUAUUUUUAUGUAAGUUGAAAUCAAACAAUAAUAUCAACAAAACAAAUAUGAAAGCUUAUUAAAAGAUUCUUACAUAUAUAAAUUAAAAAACAUAUUUUAUUACAAGUAAAAAAAAUGUUUUAUUAAAUGAGGUUAAUGAAGUGCAAUUUUUAAACUUAAGCAAGAAAUUUUUAGAGAAUUAAGUCUUAGCUCGACCUGUUUUGAUCUAAUUAUAAAUUCAUUUUAUGUUUUUAUGUGAGCUAAAAUCGUAUAAACAAGCAUUAAAAACUUAUUAAAACAAUAAUGAAUAUAUUACUAAUGAUUUUUUUUUUGUGUUUAUCAGGUGAAAUGUAAAAAAUAAUAAAAUUGGAUCAGUGAUUUACCAGAAAUCAAAUAUGAAAGUUGGUGGUGGAGAUUUAGGGAAGCAACAUCAAAGGUAAAGGCAUUUUGGGUGGAUGGUGGAGAUUUAGGUAACAACAUCAAAUCAUGCUUGGUAAUUUUAUUAUUGGGUUACUUAAUUAGUAAAUUUAUAUGGAGAAAUAUUUUAAUUUCAUCAGUGUUCAAAAUUAGGGUAAAUUGUAUCAUAGGUCACUUAAUUAUGGACUUAUUUUUUUGUCAUUUAACUAUAAUUUUUUUUAAAUAAUCACCCAAUUAAUUGAAGUUUUUUUUUCUAUUUUCAUUAAUUGUCCUUAAAUGUCUGACGGGAAAGUGACGUGAUAAUUAAAAAUUAAUAAAAUAAUAAAUUUAAUCCUCACCUUUUACAUAUUAUAUUGAUUUAAUCAUAAUUUUUUAAAAAAUUUAAGACAUAAUCUCAAUUUAUUCUAAUUCUAAACCAUUCAAAAACAUAUACAUAAAAAUACAUAAAUAUUUUUUAAAAAAUAUAAUAAAUUAUUUAUUUUUAUAUAUCUACAAAACCCAAUCUCAUCUCAUUAUGACAAUCCUCAAUCUCUCCCUGUUUUCAACAAAUUCUUAAUAGCAUUUUAAUUUUUUUUUUGUUUAUUUUCUUUUUCUUUUUGUAAUUUAUUAUUAUUGUUGUUGAGUGAUAGCUGAAAUGACAGAUACCCACAUUGAAGAAGUCCAGGAGAUGAUGAGCAUCAACACAAGCUCUCAUGUGCUUUGACCACAAUCACUGUCAUCCAAAAGCAUCAACUGAUGGAGAUCUCUCAGAGUCUAGGCCAUCUUGACAAUUGUGAAGGGUCUCUUUGAUCCUGAAGACUUCACCAACAAUCAUCCUUGCUACUAUUCACUUUACUCUCUUUGCUAACACCAGCUUCAAAGAACCCACAACCAUCUUCUUCAUCAUAUUUUCUUUUAAAAAAGAAAAAGAAAAGCCUAAAUUGAACAUAAAUUGCAAUCUGCCAUCCUCAAAAUCUACCUCUUUAAAGUGCUAUUAAACCUCAAAUUGAACAUGAUCACAUAUUAGCUUCACCAAAGAGCACACAAUUCAUUUGUUCACAAAGAACUUAAACAAAAGUUCAAAGACAUCUCAUGGAUGUUCUUGAUAAGUCAGGUAUUCGUCCCAGUAAGAUAGUUUUUGUUUGAACUCAUAAAUCUAGCGAGCUUGGUAAUUUUAAUAAGACUAAGCGUGAUGUUUAGUUACAUUUAAUUCUCUAAUUGUUGCAUCUGUCUUGACAGCUUGAUGUUUGAACUUGUUAUAUAGGAUGUUGAUUAUCAUUUUUUUGAGAAGCUAGGAAAAUUGUAUUAAUCUCAAUUAACAAUUCAGGUACCAAUUAAUAGUACAAAACAAAGACCAAAACACAAGAUGUUGCACCUACCAUACAACAACACAAGACCCUGCAAAGUAAACAAAAUAAAGCGCUUUGCUAAUUAACACAUCAAUAGCCCCUAACCCAAAUAAGAAGGGCACAUUUGUCCACCCUUAAUUGCUUUAAGCUACCUGUCCAACUGUUUGCAACUCUUAGCUCUCUAAAACCAUCAACAAAAAUAAGCUCAGAAAUGAUUUUUACAAACUUCCUAGUAUUGAAUAUCGAUUCAAUCACAAGUUUAUGUGAACUAUCCAUUUGCUAACAAUAAAUAUGAUUAUUGUUUGUGUUUGUAAUUCAUACAGAAACUUCAUCACUAAUUGAUAAAUUUUUUGUAAUAUAGAAAUCGCGUGGCCUAAGUAAUUCUUUUGCUCCAAAUAGACAUAAGUUAGCCUAUGUCUCAUAAAAAUGAGAAUUCUCAAAGAAAUCCUCUAAGACACUGAAAUAAAUCAAAAGCAAAAGGGAAGAAGCAACAAAAGAACUGAAAAGCCAAAAUAAAUCUAAGCAAACCAAGUAUUUAAGUAAAUGCUUCCCAAAUCUAACUGUACAGUUUAAAUUAUAUUAAUGGAUUAGAUACAAGUCUAUCGACAAUAUGAGAGUCCUAAGAGAUUUAAAUAUUAUAAAAUCUUAUCCCUUAGAAUUACAAAAUAUUUAACAUACAACCCUAGUUUUACUGGAGUGUUUCAUUGAGCCAUCAAGUUUUUAAGUAGAUGAAUUUCUUUAUAUGUUCCACGAAUCGGGUCAAUUCAAGUGAGUCAAAUGAGUUUUAUUUAAUUAGUUGACCUCCAUGGGAUGUUUUUUGCACAUCCAUCACGAGUUUUUAUUUGUAACUGUAACAUUAGCACUUCCAUAAAUAGUUUGAGUUUCAAUAAACAACAACUGUAGGUCGCAACACAUUAUCUGUAACAUCUAUUACAAUUUCCUCAAGUUAAAAAUAAUUGAAAGGGCUAAUAUAAUAUAUGACACCUUAUGUUUAUUAAAUCUAUCAAUGUAGAAUUUCUAAUUUAAAAAUGUUCCAUGUGAUAUAUAUAUAUAUAUAAUAUCAAACUGUCCUUCAUUGUGUGGUUGGCCAUGUGGCAGCCCAUAUGGGUCACACAGCCAUAUAGCAAAUCGUGUAGGCCACACGGCCUGACAAGUAAGGUGUGUGGGCCACAUAGGCGUGUGGCCUUAUUUUGGGCGAAUUGUUGGGCCUUGUUUGGGUCGGAUAUGAGAUUUUGAAGUUGGAUUUGUAAUGGCUCUGUAAGCAUGUAAGACCAUGAAAUUCAUAAAAUUUAUGUAUUUGUAUGUUAGUGGCACUAAUUACUAAACUUUGUAUAAGCUAUGUGAUAUUAUCUGCAUUUGUAUCUGUAUGUGCUUUUUCUGACAACAUGUCUGUGAUAAAUUUUACAUCUGAUUUGCAAUCUGAGAAAUUCUGUUAGCAUGUUAUGAUCUGUUAAAGCAUGAUUCGCCUAUGUGCAUCUAAGUAUUUAUUUUGUUAGCAUGUGCAAUGGGGUGGGAUAUGUUAUUGUGACAGAGGAAGUGAUUGCGGUUUAAUAAUCUGCUUUAUCUAGUAGUUUAACCAGAUAUCUGCUUUAGUAGCUUGACUGCGAUUAUGAUGGCUUGACCACCCAUAUCUGAUUCUGGCAGUUUAUCUGCAUAUUUGGUGGCUUGAUCACACUUAUCUAAUUCUAGCGGAUUACUGCACUAUUUCUGACAGCUUGAUUGCACUAUUUUGAAAGUGACAUAUGCUCACUAUUACAGUGAGAAGGGUUGGAUGGGUAUUUAUUACCCUAUUUGGUGUGUAGAGAUGGAUAGAGAUGGUGUGUAGCGAAUGGGGGUAGAAUUUGUUUCUGCAUCUAAAUCUGCAUCCGAAUCUAAAAUUGUAUUUGAAUAUGUAUAUUAUUUGUUAUUUAGGCUAAGUUACACACUGAGCUUGUUAGCUCACCCUUUACUUUUAAUCUUUUUAGGUAAUAAGAAAACUUAGGACCAGACGGCGUGUGGGAGCUCGGAUUGAUUUUCUAGUCCAUAAUAUUAUACAAUGAUUUAUGUUUAAUUCAUUUAUGGUCUUUUGGUUUGUAAAUUUGUUUUUGGACUUUGCUUUAAGGUUUCUGUUUAUUUUGUUGGAUUUUUGGUAUUUUUAACGUAAAACUACGAUAUCGUACGAUUUAUCAAAUUAGAAUUGGUUUUCAAAUUUAAAACUCUGAAAAUUUUCACUACAAAACUAAAUAAGUGAUUAAGUGAUCUUACUGUAAAAUAAGUGUUUUCGGACAGAAGAUUUUUCUAAAAAUAUGUAAGAGUUUUGAAAAAUUUAUACUUUCAAAACACACACUGAGUUAGACAAAAUAAAAGUUCAUUAAUGAGUUAAUGUAAUUCCUUAAGAUCCAGUCAUAAUGUCUAGGCCAGGUUUGGGGUGUUACAUUAACUAUCGACACUUCCUCCAUCACAUCAUUAUCUUACGCAAAUGCCAAUGCUAAAACAUAGUGCAUACUCAGAUCACAGAUUAGAUGUAGAUAUUAUAUUAUAGACAUACUACAGAUGUUAUACACAUACAAUAUCAAUAUCACUAUUACAAGUUUCACAUUAUUGGCAUACUGACAGUAAUUAAACAUACUUAUUCAUAUCUCAAAUAUCGCAUAUAGAAGUCAACAAACGACACAACAGGCCCUACGAAGUAGCUAACCUUAAAUUGUGCAAUAACUACGGCCCUAAUCAAAGUUUAUAAAAAAAUGGACCCACACACCCGUGUGCCCACACAACCCAACUGGGCCAACCUGUGUGGCUCACACAGUUUGGCACAUGGCUUUACACACGAUCAUGUGGCAUUGAAAAUGGGUUUUCAGGAAAAAUGCCAUUCGCUAUUUUUCAAGAUUUUUGUUACACACUUGAUCGGUUCUAAACCACGACGUUACGACACACUCCUAGAUCCUAAAACAACAUUCAAAAUCAAUUAAUUAAUGAGAAUUACUGGAUCACUAAUUCGGCCAGAAACAUCAAUAAUCGACCUUAACACAGAAAAAUCAGCCCCUAACAACAGUACAAAGUCACUUACCCUUGAAAGAAACAAUAGUCCCACGAAUUCUUAAUUCAUUGAAGGGUUAAACAUUACCAAAUAUUCACCUAAACAGAAUUUCACAUAAUUAAAACUAUAGUCACACAGUGGAAAAUCAUAACCCAAAACGUGAUAAUCCCUAUAACCAGAUACGAAAAUUAAAUCGACAACCUUACCACACACGACCCUCAAUGAUAUAGAAGGAAACAUUGAUACGGAAAAACUCAAAAGCAAAGAAGAGGGGAAUAAAACAAAAGAAAAGGAAACAAUAAGAGGAAACCUUGUGGCAAAAAUUGAAUUGAAAGCAAAUAGGAAAAAGAAAACAAAAACUUACAGGAAGAACAAAACAAACGUGAAAGUGGAGGGGGAAGAGAGAGAAAGAAUGGACGGUUGAAGGAGAAAAUUUUUGGGAAUAAUGGAAAAUAUAUAUUUAAAAAAACUAAAAUCUUAUUUAUCCAAACCCUAUCAGAUUUUUAGAAUUUGCAGAUUCUGACCACAUGGACGACACAAAUAGAGAAUAACAAAAAUAUCUUUGCUUUACACGCAUGGGAUUCAAAAACAGGACCCCUGGGUAAGCUGAAUCCUUACUACUAAACUAAUAGGCCUAAUCUUAUCAACGAACUAAUAAGAACAAAAUAUAACCUACUUGUGACCAGUCAAGAAUAGGAAUAAAAUCAAUAAAAACUCAAGGAAAAGGGUUUGAACACAAGACCUCUCACACAAAAACACAACACAUAACUGCUAAACCAGAUCAAUUUAAUUGACAAAUUUCACAACGUUUAUCCCCAAAACAAAACGUGACCACUCUUGGCUCACCGACCCAAUUUCUACUAACCUGGUUUUUGGGAUGUGACAUUUAGUCUCGUAAAUUGCACAGUUUUAAGUGAUUCAUUUGCUUCAGAUCUACCUAAGCCAAUCUAUCUCUAAAAAAAAAAAAGAGAAUUCUCUAAGAAAUUCUCUAAGACGUCGAAAUAAAGUGGAAGCAAACUCUUAAAAAUGAAGAAGUAAUGAACAAACAGAAAAGCCACAAGAAAGUUAAGCUCUUAAAGUGUUUCUAUUACUUUAAAGAGUUACAACUGAAUGAUUAAAAAUGAGAGAGAAGACAUCUAUUUGUAGUUUAGUUUCCCCAAAUCUAAUAGUACAAUUUAAAUUACGCCAACAGUUGAGAUCAAAAUCUAUCUACAAAAUGAGAGCCUUAAGGGAUUUAACCACUAUACAAUCUGAUCCCUUAUAUUUACCAUGAUAACUCUAGUUUUAUUAGAGUAUUUCAUUGGACCAUCAAAUCUUCAAGUAGAUGGACUUCUCCAUAUGUUCUACAAAUUGGGUCAAUUCAAGUGGGCCAAAUGAACUACAUUUAAUUAGUUGGUCUCCGUGAGACGUUCUGUGUACAUUCAUAAUAGGUUUCGAUCCCCAACUCGUGACACACUUCCAUAAACAAUUUUGAGUUUCAGUAAGCAACAAUUUUAGGUAGAAAUAUAUUAUCUUUAACAUCUAUUACAGUUUUCUCAAGCUAAAAAAAAUUGAAUGGCUUAAUAUCAUAUAUGACACCUUAAGUUUAUUAAAUUUAUCAAUGUCGAAUUUUUAAUUUAAAAACGUUCAAUGAGCUACAUAUAAUAUCAAACCAUCCUUUAUUGUAGCAUUUGAUAAACACCUAUCUCUCCAUGUAAAAUUUGUUUGUAUGCUUAUUUUGAUAUUAAAACAUAAAAAUAAAAUGUAAAACAUCUCCAACACAAAUAACAUUUGUUUAAUUGUAACGCUUUCCAAUUUCAAUAAAAAAUCCUACCUACCAAAUUAUAUAUGGUAAAUAAAAUGUAAUGCAUUGUCAACAUAUAUAACGUUUAUGUAAUUCCUAAAAAAAACUUGUAACGCGUUUCCAAUUUCAUUAAAUUCUUUUAAAAAAGAAAAUCUACCAACCCUUUUUUAUAUAGUAAAUAUUGAUAUAUAUGGAAAUAAGUGAUAAAUAAAAAUAUAUAGCAUGCCUAUAAAUUAAGGACAUUUUCCAAGUAAAUCAUCAAAACAAAAGUAAUGAGAUUCUCUUUGCAUAAGAAAUUUCUUUUCAUCUUAUUUGAUGAUGUAAGGUAAAAGUUUCGCUUUCCUCCUAUUUUUUUCUUGAGGUUUUUAGGCUUUAUUAUUUUUUCCUUGAAAAUUUUUACAUAUAUAAACUAAAAGACAUAUUUUAUUAAAUGAGUUCAACGAAGUACACUUUUUAAACUCAAGUAAGAAAAUUUUUUAAGAAUUAAGUCUGGACUUGAUUUAUUUUGAUUUAAUCAUGGACUCAUUUCAUAUUUUUUUUUGAAAUUAGACAAUAACAUCAUAAAAACUUAUUAAAACAUUAAUCAAUAUAUUACUAAUGAUUUUGUUUUUUUGUUAUUUGUGCUUCGCAGAUGCAAAUGUAAAAAAGAAAAGAAAAACUAUUGAAAAAUCGAGUCAGUAAUUUACCAGAUAUCAAAUAUGGAAGUCGGUGGAGGCAUUUUAGUAGAUUGUGGAGUUUUUGGGAUGUGUCUUCGAAGGUCAAGGCAUUUUGGGUAGAAGCUGGAGAUGCAGGCAACCACAACAAAUCAUGCUUGGUAAUUCCAUCAUUAGGGUAAAUUGCAUCAUAGGUCACUCAAUUAAGGACUUAAUUUUUUAUUAUUUAACUAUGAUUUUUUUUAAAAUUAAUCACCUAACUAAUCGAGGUCUUUUGUCCAGGUUUGUUAAGUUUCGUUAAAUGUCUUAUGGAAGGAUGACGUGGUAAUUAAAAAUUUAAUAAAAUAAUAAAUUUAAGCUUCAACUUUUAUAUAUUAUAUUGAUUUAAUCAUAAUUUUUUUAAAAAAAUUAAUACCUAAUCUCAAUUUAAUUCUAAUUUUAAAGAAUUCAAAGACAUAUACAUAAAAUAUAUAAAUAUUUUCAAAAAAAAUGUAUAAUAAUUUUUUUUAUUUAUAAAUAUAGUGAGACAAAACCCAAUCUCACAAUCCUCAAUCUCUCUCUAUUUUCAACAAAUUCUUAAUAGCAUUUUAAAUUAUUAUUUUUUUGUUUAUUUUCUUUUUCAUUUUGUAAUUUAUUAUUAUUGUUGUUGAGUGAUAGCUGAAAUGGCAGAUACCCACAUUGUAGAAGUCCCAGGAGAUGAAGUGCAUCAACACAAGCUCUCAUGUGCUUUGACCACAAUCACUGCAAUCCAAAACCAUCCGCUGAUGGAUCUCAUGUGCUACUAAUCGCUUUGCUCUCUUUGCUACCACCGGCUUCAAAUAUCCCACAACCAUCUUCUUCAUCAUCAUCUUUUCUUUUAAAAAAGAGAAAGAAAAGCCUAAAUUGAACAUAAAUUCCAUUUAUGCCAUUCUCAAAAUCUACCUCUUUAAAGUGCUAUUAAACCUCAAAUUGGAUCCUAGAGUAGAAACCCACCUUGCCACUCGGCAUCAUAGGCAAUUUACUCUUUCAUUUAUUUAAUGUGUUCUUAUUUUUCACGUAUAUUUGAUUUCUUGUUGAAUGCUCAACUCUCGUACAAAAUUUCCAUUCUGUUUGAUCCUAUAAUGGAUUUAAUAUAUAUUUAUGCAUUUUUCAACAGAAUUGCUUUACUCCUUUUGAUUGGUGCUCUCUAAUUUAUUGGAUUCCUGGAUUGACAAGCUUUUCAACAGCAUUUUUGAUGUUACGAUUGUGAACAUGGUUGCUAUUUUUCCUACUUAUGUUUAAUCACUUUCAAUUUAAAAUAAUUAUUUUAUACUUUUCCAAGGAUUAAAAUGGAGAACUCAACUGUACAAGAUCAUGUGAUGAAGAUACAAGAAGUUGAAGAUCAAGUCUUUGGAGUUGAUACAAUAUAACAGACUAUCAAACAAUCAACUAUUAAAGCUAACCAGAACCAUAUAUUGGUAUGGAAUUUGAGCCACCAAAUGAUGCACAAAAAUAUUAUUAUAUUAUGCGAGAGUCAAAGGUUUUGACACACGUAAGGAUCCCCCUAAUCAAAUGAUUGCUAGAGAAUUUAUUUGUUCGAAAGAAAGUGUGAAGGCAAAAAAACCCUUCAAAAGAGAAGAGAGAGUCCAUGCAACUUCGAAUGAAACAAUAGAAUAUUAGAAAGCAAUGAUUUUAAUAUCCAAGAAAGGAGGGAAAUAGAUUAUUUCUCGAUUUCGUGGAGAACAUAAUCCAUUUGUUCACAUAGAAUUCAAACAAAAGUUCAAAGAGAUCUCAUGGAUGUUCUUGAUGAGUUUGAUAUUCGUCCUAGUAAGGUAGUUUUGUUCUAGCUUAUAAAUCUAGUGGGCCUGGUAAUUUUAAUAAGACUAGGCAUGAUGCUUAGCUACAUUUAGUUCUCUUAUUGUUGUAUCUGUCUUUAUAGCUUGAUGUUUGAACUUGUCACUUAUUAAACUUGAUGUAUUAAAUAUAUAAUAUCUUAAUUAUUUAGUUACAUAAAUUUAUGAUAUUUUUUGAACUUGUUAUAUAAGAUGUUGAUUAUCAUUUUUUGAAAAGUCUGGAAACUUGUAUUAAUCUCAAUUAACAUCUCAAGUACCAAUUAAUAGUACAAAACGAAGGCCAAAACACAAGAUGUUGCACCUACCAUACAACAACACAAGACCCUGCAAAGUAAACAAAACAAAGCACUUUGCUAAACAGAGCAUUUGCCCCUAGCCCAAAUUAGAAGGGAACAUUUACCCACCCCUAAUUUCAUUAAGCUAUCUGCGUCAAUGUUUGCAACUCUUAGCUCCCUAAAACCAUCAACAAGAAUAAGCUCAGAAAUGAUUUUUUGCAAACUUCCUAAUAUUGAAUUCCAAUUCAAUCACAAGUUUAUGUGAACUUUCCCAUUUGCUAGUAAUAAGGAUGAUUAUUGUUUGUGUUUGUAAUCCAUAUAGCUUCGUCACUAAUUAAUAAAUUUAUUGUAAUUCAUACAAAAACUGUGUGAUAGGCAAUUCUUUUGCUUCAAAUUGUCAAAGAAAUUCUCUAAGGCAUCGAAAUAAAGUAGAAGCAAACUUUCAAAACCGAAGAAGCAACGAACGAACGAACGAACGAACGAACAAAAAAGCUAAAAGAAAUCUAAGCACACCAAAUGUUUGAGUAAAUACUCUCAAAGUGUUUCUAUUACUAUGAAAAAUUACAAGUGAUAGGCCUCUAUUUGUAGUUGAGUGUCACACCCCGGUUUGGCGAACUGGAUUCGUUCGAGAGACUACGAUGGGGAAAACCACCUAAGUUGUGAGACUUAGACUGUAUAAUGUUAGUAACUUCAUGGAGGAGUACCACGAAGAACUUCGUCAAUAGGAAACAGUACCACCUUGAGUGGUAGCGAGAUUAUAGUUAGGGUGAGAAACCAAGAGAGUUCUUCCUUGCUAACAAGGGUGUUAGUUGUAAAGGUUUAAGAGAACUUCUGCGCUAGUUGUCUGCAGGUAAAUUUUCGAACCUUCUUUUUAGCUUUACCAGAUAAAUAGACCACUAUACCGACUCUUUUGGUUUGUUGUUUGCUUCAACCUCUCAUUAUGUGGUUUCCCAUUACCAUCAUUUCUACUAGUUUUGUUUUUACCUUAUCCUUCUUUAUCUCUCACACCAUUAUACCUUUUUCUUGGGCUUGGAAGACUUGAACUUGUCUUUCCUCGAAGGAAGCUCAAUUAAUGACUCCUCUAUGGUCAUGAUUUUAGUAAGUUCUUUAACCCCUCAGCAUUACAACUUUUUCUUCAGUCAAAGCUUCAUCCCAUCCAUGAAGGAUAAAAAUGUCUCCUAUCCCAAAUUAGAAAUAUGGAGCAUUAGUUCAAUAAUCUCCUUUACAUACUCCCUAACUAUGUCUUGUUGCAUAAGCCGGUGCAACUAAGCUUGAGUCUCAUCCUCGACAUACUUUGGGUAAAACUGCCCUUUCAAUUCCUUCUAGAACUCUUCCUAAGUCCCAAUUGUAACUCCACCUUAUUUUUCAUCUUUGGACCUACGAUGCCACCAUCAAAGAGGAACAUUAGUAAAAUACAUAACAACAAUAUUUAGUAGCAUUAUCCAUGAUGCCAUGAUGCCUCUGGCAUGGAAGUAUUAUUCCAUUCCCCACAAGAAAUCCACAUCCCUUACAAAUUUCGUCCCCUUAAACUCUUUCGACUUGGGGAUAUCAAUCUUAGGCUUGGGUGUCGUGGCUAACACCCCAUUACCCAAAGCAACUUUGUAGAUAGCGAGGUCCCCUUUAAGCUUUACAAUAUGUUCAUUCAAAUUCAUCACCAUGGGUUCAAGAGUAUUUUCCUUCUUUUUCAGCUCACCUACAACGAUAUUGAGGACCCAUUGUAUCGUAUCCACAUUGGCAUUGAAAGCUCCUGCCACAUGUCUUUUGAGCUAAUCUUAUCUCAAUCCAAGCUCUAUGGUGUGUCCCUCAACCACCUUGAAUGUUACCUUUAUACCACCAACAAAUUCCUCGAGAUUUAUCACUCGACCUUCUAAAGCCGACAUCAUAUGACUCGAUCUUCUAGCUUUCUUGCUCCUCCUAUGAGUUUCCCUUUGCUCAACCUGUUCAUCUACUUCUUUCAUAAUCUUUUUUGAUGCAGUCGAACCUUAACUUUGACAUCUAGUGCCAGUGGGCUAGAAAUUUAGUCUCACAAGUCGCGCGGUCUUAGACAGUUUAAUUACUUUAGAUUUUCCUACGUCAACCUAUCUUUCAAAAAGAAUGAGAAUUCUCAAAGAAAUUCUCUAAGACGCUGAAAUAAAGUGAAAGCAAACUUUUAAAAACAAAGAAGCAAUGAACAAACAGAAAAGCCACAAGAAAGUUAAGCACGCCAAGUUUUUGAUUAAAUGCUCUCAAAUUGUUUCUAUUACUUUAAAAAGUUACAAUUGGAUGAUUACAAAUGAGGGGGAGACCUCCAUUUGUAGUUCAGUUCCCCUAAAUCAAACAGUACAGUUUAAAUGAUGUUGACGACUAAGAUCAAAAUCUAUCUACAAAAUAAGAGUAUUAAAGGAUUUAAACACUAUACAUUCUUAUCCCUUGGAAUGAAAAUAUAUUUACCAUGAUAACUUUAGUUUACUAAAGUGUUUCAUUAGACCAUUAAAUCUUCAAGUAGAUGGACUUCUCCAUAUGUUCCACAAAUUGGGUUAGUUCAAGUGGGUCAAAUGGGCCACAUUUAAUUAGUUUACCUCCAUGAGAUGUUCUGUGUACAUUCAUCAUGGGUUUCGAUCCAAACUCUGACACACUUCCAUAAACAAUUUUGAGUUUCAGUAAGCAACAAUUUUAGGUAGAAACAUAGUAUCUUUAACAUCUAUUACAAUUUUCUCAAGCUAAAAAAAAUUGAAUGGCUUAAUAUGCACCUUAAGUUUAUUAAAUUUAUCAAUGUAGAAUUUCUAAUUUAAAAAUGUUCAAUGUGAUACAUAUAAUAUCAAACCAUCAUUCAUUGUAGUAUCUGAUAAACCCCUAUCUCUGAAUGUAAAAUUUGUUUGUAUGCUAAUUUUGAUAUUAAAUAAUAAAAUAAAAUGUAACGCAUAUCCAAUACAAAUAACAUUUUUUAAUUGUAACGCUUUUCAAUUUCACUAAAAAUGGGCUGUUACACCUGUUUUGAUAUCAAAACCUAAAAAUAAAAUGUAACGUAUACUGAGUACAAAUAACAUUUGUUUAAUUGUAACGCUUUCCAAUUUCAAUAAAAAAUCCUACCUACCAAAUCAUAUAUGGUAAAUAAAAUGUAACGCAUUGCCAGCAUAUAUAACAUUUAUGUAAUUCCUUUAAAAUAUAUAUUUGUAACGUCUUUUCGAGUUCAAUGAUUUUUUUUUAAAAAAAAUCUACCUACCCAAUUUUUAUAUAGUAAUUAUUGACAUGUAUGGAAAUAAUUGAUAAAUAAAAACUUAUAAGAUGCCUAUAAAUUAAGGACAUUUUCCAAGUAAAUCAUCAAAACAAAAGUAAUGAGGUUCUCUUUGCAUAAGAAAUUUUUGUUCAUCUUAUUUGGUGACCUAAAUUGGAUAUUCUUCAAAGGUAAAAGUUUCACUUUCCUCCUAUUUUUUUCUUGUGGUUUCUAAGCUUUAAAUUUUUUUCUUGAAAAUUCUUACAUAUAUAAACUAAAAAAAACAUAUUUUAUUCAAACUUGAGCAAGGAAUUUUUGAGAAUCAAGUUUUAGCUCGGCCUGUUUUGAUCCAAUCAUAAAAUUAUUUUAUAUUUUUAUAAGAGCUGAAAUCAGAUAAUAAUAUAAAAGAAAGCACAAUAAUUUAUUGAAAGAUUAAUGAAUAUAUUAUUAAUAUUUUUUUAUUUGUGUUUGUCAGGUGCAAAUGCAAAACAAAUAAAUAAACAUUGAAAAAUCGGAUUAGUGAUUUACCAGAUAUUAAAUAUGGAAGUCGGUGGAGGCAUUUUUUUUUUUAGGAGGUGGAGAUUUUGGCAAUCGACAUCAAAUCAUGCUUGGUAUUUUAUCAUUGGAUUACCUAAUAUCUUUUAGGUACAAUAUUCAGUACAUUAAUCGAGAAAUGUUGUAAUUUUGAUAGAGCAAAAAUUAGGGUAAAUUGUAUCAUAGGUUACUCAAUUAUGCACUUAUAUUUUUUUUUUCAUUCUAUGAAAUUUUUUACAUUAACCAUUCAACUAAUCGAGUUUCUUUUGUCCAUUUUUGUUUAGUGCGUUAAAUGUUUGGCAAGAAGGUGACAUGGAAAUUAAAAAAUCAAUAAAAUAAUAAUUUUAACACUCAACGUUUACAUAUUAUAUUAAUUUAAUCAUAUUUUUUUAAAAAAAUUUAACGCAUAAUCUCAAUUUAAUUUUAAUUCUAAAUAAUUCAAAAACAUAUACAUAAAUAUUUUCAAAAUAUAUAAUAAAUUAUUUAUUUAUAUGUAUGGACAAACCCAAUCUCAUCUCACCUAUGACAAUCCUUAAUCUCUCUCUGUUUUUGAACAAAUUCUUUGAAAUUUAUAAUUGUUGUAAAGUGACAGCUGAAAUGGCGCCCACAUUGUAGGAGUCCCAGUAGAUGUAGAGCAUCAACACAAGCUCUCAUGUGCUUUGACCACAAUCACUGCCAUCCGAAAGCAUCGGCUGAUGGAGAUUUCUUAGAGUCCAGGCUCAUGUGAAUUGAACAUGCUAUCAAACAAUCAACUAUUGAGGCUAUACCAGAAUCAUAUAUUGGCAUGAAAUUUGGGUCACCAGAUGAUGCACAAAAUUAUUAAUUAUAACAACUAUGCGAGAGUUAAAAGGUUAUGGAACAUGUAAGAAUCGCAGUUUUAGAUCUAGAACUAAUAAAGAAAUGAUUUCUCAAGAAUUUGGUUAUUCGAAAGGCGUGAGGGCCAAAAAAACACUUCAAGAGAGAAGAUAGAGACGAUGCAAUUUCGGAUGAAACAAUAAAAUGUUGUAAGGCAAUGGUUCUAAUAUGUAGAGAUUAUUUCUCAAUUUCAUGCAGAACAUAAUCAUGUACUAGCUUCACCAAUGAGCACACAAUCCAUUCGUUCACAUAGAAUUUAAAUAAAAAUUCAAAGAGUUCUCAUGGAUGUUCUUGAUGAGUUUAGUAUUCGUUCCAGUAAGAUGGUUUUUGUUUUAGUUCAUAAAUCUAAUGGGUUUGGUAUUGUAUGAACUUGUUAUAUAUUAACUGUGAUGUAUCAAACAUAUACUAUCUUAAUUAUUCAGUUACAUAAAUUUAUGAUAUUUUUUUUUAUUAUAAUUUUUUGAAAAUUCAAUUAACAUUUUCAAAUAUUUAUAGUGCUCCAAUAACUAUAAAUGAAUGGGUGUAAUUAAUCAAAAGAUAAAUCUUUUGGUCAUUGGUCAAAAGUUAUAUCAUUUGAGUUUUGAAAAAGAAUUAUAACUAUUCAAAUAAUAUUACUUGAAUAGUUAUAAAAUUAGAUGAAUAAUAUUUUUUAUUCAGAAAGACACACAUUGAAAGAUGUCUCUAUGAAGAGACAUGAAAAUUCCUAUAAAUAGGGAUGAGAUUUCAUUUGGAAAUCACACCAACAAAUUCUAAAAUUCUUUCAUUCCUCCAUUUUCUAAUAUUAUUAGAUUAUUCUAUAAAGUAUUGCUAUAGAAAUCCUUUGUAGAAAUUGAGUUUCUUGUUAUUCAUUGUUCAGUACUCAGUGGACUAUUCUCGUUAGUGCAAAACGCAAAUAAUCAUUGGCUUCAUUGUAUCCUCGAGGUUAAUUUGCUUGAAACUUUUUUGCACAUCGAAUAUAGGUGGGGGCGAAUAUAACCUUAAAGAUAGUAGCUAGAUACACACCUUGGAGCCUUGUCCUAUUUCUUCAUUUUCUAUUUGAGUUUCGUUCGUGUGUUCGAGAUUUUCCUCACCGGAGAUAUGUACUAACAAUUUUAAGGUUAUACUUCAUGAGGACUACAACAAAACAUGAAAGUGGAACACUAAGGGAGUUGGCUUCCAACUUUGUCAAAUUUGAUCGUUUUGAUGGUAGCAAUUUCUGACGAUGGCAGAAAAAGAUGCACUUCUUAUUAACAACUUUGAAGAUUGUUUAUGUUUUGGAUACUCCAAGACCGAAAGAGAAUGAAAACGAAUAUGUUGCUGCAACCCGAGAAAGGCAAAAAUGGGACAAUAUUGAUUACAUGUGCAUAGGUCACAUAUUGAAUGGUUUAUCCAAUGGUUUGCUCGACACCUACCAAAACGAGGUCACCGCUAAGGAUUUAUGGGACAAAUUGGAGACAAGAUACAUGGUCGAAGAUGCCACAAGCAAGAAAUUUCUUGUCAGUCGUUUCAAUAGUUAUCAAAAGGUUAAUGGUCUUUCUAUUAUGGAACAAUUUCGUGAUAUUGAAAAAAUGCUGAAUCAAUUUAAGCAACAUGAUAUGAAAAUGGAUGAAAUGAUUAUUGUAUCCUCCAUAAUAGACAAACUUUCUCCAUCUUGGGAAGACUUAAAGAAGUCUAAAACAUAAGAAAGAGGAAAUAUCUCUUGAGGCUUUGGCAAAUCAUCUUCGUAUUGAAGAAGAAUAUCGAAAGCAAGAUCAGAACCUAAAUUCUGAAAAUGUCAAAGUGCAUGUUACGGAGGAAGUACGGACUACUAAACCAUUCAAGAGAAAGUUCAAAUAGACUGAUAGAGCACCUAAGUUCAAAAAGAAACAAAAGGACUCAUGCUAUCAUUGUGGUAAGUUGGGACAUUUCAAGAAUGAAUGUCAAUUUUUAAAGAAGAAAUCAUCUUCUAAGGCUGAUAAUAACGAAAAGUUCGUUGCAAUGAUAUAUGAAAUUAAUAUAGAGCAAGAUGAUAAUGCAUGGUGGAUUGAUACUGGAGCAACCAAACAUGUGUACAAAGACAAAAGCAUGCUCACAAAGUUCACACAAUGUGAAAAUGACAAUGUCUUGCACACGGGAAAUUCUUCCACCCCAACAAUCAAAGGCAAAUGGUUUGUUGAACUACAAUUCACUUGUGGAAAAGUUUUAACCUUGAAUAAUGUACUUUAUGUACCAGAAGUUAGGAAGAAUUUAGUGUUUAGAAGUCUGUUGAAUAAGUUUGGUUUCAAACUUGUUUUUGAGGUAGAUAAGUUUAUUUUAUCUAAGGGAAAAAUUCUUGUAGGGAAAGGAUAUAUGUAUGAGAGCAUGUUCAAACUCAAUAUUAUUAAUAAUAAGAAUAUUAUUUUUGCUUAUAUGGUUGAAUCUUCUUGUUUAUGGCAUUAUAGAUUAGGUCUUUUAAAUUAUAGAAAAUUGAAUGACAUGCAUAAGUCAUAUUUAAUUCUUAUUUUUAAUGAUAAUAUUGAAAAAUACAAUACAUGUAUGUUGACUAAAAUUACAAGAAACCCUUUCCCUAAGCUUAAAAGGAAAACAAAGUUACUUGAUUUGAUACAUAGUGAUUUAUGUGACAUACAUAAUGCUCCUACAUUAGGUGGAAAGAAAUAUUUUGUUAUUUUUAUUGAUGAUUGUUCUAGAUAUUGCUAUGUAUAUUUAUUGCAUUCAAAAGAUGAAGCACUUGAUAAAUUUAAAGUUUAUAAAUCUAAAGUUAAACUUAAGUGUGAAUCAUUUAUCAAAUGCUUGAGUAAAUGCUAAGCACAUUGUUAUUGAGUAAAUGCUCUUAAAGUGUUUCUGUUACUUUGAAAAAUUACAAUUGAGGUAGAAGGCCUCUAUUUGUAGUUGAGUGUUACACUUGGUUUGGUGAAUUGGAUCGAUUCGGAGGAUUACACUGGUGAAGACUACCAAAGUUGUGAGACUUAGACUGUAUAUGGUUGGUAACUUCGUGGCAGAGUGCUACGAAGAACUUCGUCAAUACUGCGGAGUACUAGUUCGAGUGAUAAUGAGAUUAUAGUUAGGGCGAGGACCUUAAUAGGCAAACCUUAUCGCUAAUAAGAUCGUCACCGUGUUUUAGUGUCGUUACUAAAGUCAGUAAGAUGGUUGGCAGGAUGCGUUUAGGUCACCUAGCAUCCUAGUUGAGGCAACAUGUCAGUAAUUGUGACACUUGUAGAGCCUCGUAGGACGUGAUUAAUUAGUGGAAAUGUGCAAGAAUGGGUAAUGAUUAGAGAUAAUUUUGAUUGAGAUUUAGACGUGGGUUAUCUAUAAAUAGGAUAAUAUGAUAGUAGAUAAAAGAUUUGUGAUUCAUCUUCACCACAAGACUUUGUUAUCAUCGAAGAAACCGUGAGAGUUCUUUGUUUAAAACAAGAAUAGGGAAGCUAAGAAUAUGGUACUUUUAGCACUUAUCAAAAAAGAAUUAGAAAACAAAACAAAGGAAAAGGAAACGAUAAGAGGAAAUCUUGUGACAAAAAUUGAAUUGAAAACAAAAGGGAAAAAUAAAACAGAAACUUACAGGAAGAACAAAACAAACGUGAAAGUGGAGGGGGAGAGAGAAAGAAAGGACGACUGAGGGAGAAAAUUGUUGGGAAUAACGAAAAAUAUAUGUUUUUAAAAAAAAACUAAAAUCUUAUUUAUCCAAACCCUAUCAAAUUUCCAGAAUUUGCUCAAAUUUUGACCCCAUGAACAGUACAAACAGAGAAUAGCAAAAAUAUAUUCGCUUCACAUGCGCGGGAUUCAAACACGAGACCCCUGGGUAAACUGAAUCCUUACUACAAAACUAGUAGGUUCAUUCUUGUCAACAAACUAACAAGAAUAAAAAAUAAACUACUUGUGACAAGUCCAACAGAAGAAUAACUUAAGGAAAGGGAUUUGAACACAAAGUCUCUCACACACAAACAAAACACCUAACCGCUAAACUAGAUCAAAUUAGGCAAUUCAUUUGCUUCAGAUAUGCCUAAGCCAGCCUAUCUCUAGAAAAUGAGAAUUCUUAAGGAAAUUAUCUAAAACUCUCAAAAUCGAAGAAGCAAUGAACAAACAAAAAAGCCACAAGAAAGUUAAGCACACCAAGUGUUUGAGUAAGUUCUCUCAAAGUGUUUCUAUUACUUUGAAUAGUCACAACUGGAUGAUUACAAAUGAGGGGGAAGACCUCUAUUUGUAUUUUAGUUCCCCCAAAUCCAACAAUACAGUUUAAAUUACGCCGACGGUUGAGAUCAAAAUCUAUUUACAAAAUGAGAGUCUUAAGGGAUUUAAACACUAUACAAUCUUAUCCCUUGGGAUGAAAAUAUAUUUACCAUGAUAACUCUAGUUUUACUAGAGUGUUUCACUGGACCAUUAAAGCUUCAAGUAGAUGGACUUCUCUAUAUGUUCUAUGAAUUCAGCCAGUUCAAGUAGGUCAAAUGAGUCACAUUUAAUUAGUAGGCCUCCAUGGGACAUUCUGUCUACAUUCAUCAUGGGCUUCAAUCUGUAACCCGUGACAUUAGCAUUUCCAUAAACAGUUUUGAGUUUCAACAAGCAACAAUUGUAUGUAGCAACACAUUUUCUGCAACAUUUAUUACAAUUUACUCAAGUUAAAAAAAAUUAAAUGGCUUAAUCUCAUAUAUGGCACCUUAAGUUUAUUAAAUUUAUCAAUGUAGAAUUUCUUAUUUAAAAAUGUUCAAUGUGAUACAUAUAAUAUCAAACCAUCUUUCAUUGUAGUAUCUGAUAAACCCCUAUCUCUCCAUGUAAAAGUUGUUUGUGUUCUUAUUUUGAUAUUAAAACAUAAAAAUAAAAUGUAACACAUCUCCAACAGAAAUAACAUUUGUUUAAUUUUAACGCUUUUCGAUUUCAAUAAAAAAUCCUACCUACCAAAUUAUAUAUGGUAAAUAAAAUGUAACGCAUUGCCAGCAUAUAUAACAUUUAUGUAAUUCCUUUAAAAAACCAUUUGUAACGCCUUUCCAAGUUCAAUGAUUUUUUUUUAAAAAAAAUCUACCUACCCAAUUUUUUUAUAAUAAUUAUUGACAUGUAUGGAAAUAAUUGAUAAAUAAAAACGUAUAAGAUGCCUAUAAAUUAAGGACAUUUUCUAAGUAAAUCAUCAAAACAAAAGUAAUGAGGUUCUCUUUGCAUAAGAAGUUUCUGUUCAUCUUAUUUGGUGACCUAAAUUGGAUAUUCUUCAAAGGUAAAAGUUUCACUUUCCUUCUAUUUUUUUCUUCAGAUUUUUAGGCUUUAUUUUUUUCCUUGAAAUUUUUUACAUAUAUAAACUAAAAGACGUAUUUUAUUAAAUGAGGUCAAUGAAGUGCACUUUUUAAACUCAAGCAAGAAAUUUUUUAAGAAUUAAAUCUUGACUCGAUUUAUUUUAAUUUAAUCAUAGACUCAUUCCAUAUUUUAUGUGAAUUGAAAUCAGACACUAAUAUCAUAAAAACAAGCAUGAAAACUUUUUAAAACAUUAAUGAAUAUAUUACUAAUGAUUUUUUGUUUUUUUUUGUUAUUUGUGUUUCUCAGAUUUAAAUGCAAAAAAAGUAAUGGAGAAUCGAAUCAGUGUUUUACCAGAUAUCAAUAUGGAAGUUGGUGGAGGCAAUUUAGGUGGCUGGUGGAGAUUUUGGGAAGUGACUUCAAAGGUGAAGGCAUUGCUUCAAAAAACCCACAACCACCUUCUUCUUCUUCAUCAUCUUUUCUUUUAAAAAAGAAAAAGAAUAGCCUAAGUUGAACAUAAAUUGCAAUCUGCCAUUCUUAAAAUCUACCUUUUAAAGUGCUAUUAAACCUCAAAUUGGAUUCUGGGGUAGAAACCCGCCUUGCAACUCGGUAUCAUAGGUAAUUUAAUCUUUCAUUUAUUUAAUGUUUUCUUAUUUUUCACGUAUAUUUGAUUUCUUGUUGAAUGCUAAACUCUCGUACCAAAUUUCCAUUCUGUUUGAUCCUAUGAUGGAUUUAAUACAUAUUUAUGCAUCUUUCAACAGAAUUACUUUAGACAUUUUGAUUGCUGCUCUCUAAUUUAUUUGAUUCAUUGACUGACAAGCUAGUGUCACAGGCCGAAGUGCAAAGCCCGUGACCAUGGCACAAAAAGUGCCCCAUAGAGGUUUAUCGAUUAGAUGGGGAACAUUUAGCCCACAAGAACUGACCCGAUUCAGAGAGCUGUUGGAGAAGCCUGUCAGAUUGAAGCCUGGUUGGCCCGAUGAUGAAGACAUGGCAACUUAGGCUAAUUUUAGUACUAAUAUUAGAAGAUAGAGAGAAUCAUAUCUUGUAAAGAUUAGAUUAGAUUAGAUAUGGAAAAUCUUGUAAAUUCUUAAAAUCAAGGGAUAUGGUGAAUCUCAUUGUAACACCCCUUACCCGUAUCCGUCGCCGGAAUAGGAUAUGAGGUAUUACCAGAUUUUACCGAUUUUUUUUAAAACUCAAUAUAACCCCUUUAUAAAUAUCUAAUCCUCCCUACAAAUUUUAAACCGAGACCAAGCCAACACAACCAAUCCAUUUCAACAUAUUUUCAAGAUAGAUUUAGUGUAUUCAUAAGAUAAUCUCAUCACAUGCCAAAACCAAAAAUUUGUUAGCCAUACCAAUGGCUAACCAUACAUUCAUUUCACCAUUAACAUCUACUUUACUAGCUUAUACAUGCCAUUGAUUUCCAAAAUAAAGUUUCUUUAUAUACCAAGAUUUUGAGAUUGAUAGUGUGAUGCGUCUCCGACCAAAUCCGACCUCUGAGCCCUUAACACUACAAAACAGGGGAAAAAGAAGCAGGAUAAGCACUUUGUGCUUAGUAAGCUCAUGUAACAAGAAUUAUACUUACCUAAUAUUUUCCAUACAAUGUAAUAAACAUUCAUACACCCAUUCCAUACAUUAUUCCCCUAUCAUGUACAAACUCAACAUUCAAAUUAGUCCAAUAAUUUCCAUGUAUCAGUAAUUUAUACCAUGAUUGAUGAGCUCAUCAAUUCUAUGAUUUCCAUUCCCUUACUAUUUUUCCAUAUUUAUCCCGUUGAAUUUCUCGGAAUUUCGAUGGAUUUUUAGAGGUACACUUUAGUGUACAAAUCCGGGUCCGUCAAUUCAUAUUCAAGUGCGCACAUUUCCAUUUCAGAGAGCACACUCCCGCGAACCUCAUCCUUACAGCGAGAUUACCAGUCCAGGCUAAAUCCCCUGUAAUAUAAACUCAUGGAGUAUUGUCGGGAUUACCAGUCCAGGCUAAAUCCCCUGCAACGACAAUUACUCUAAUGAGCUUGGAUCUGAAUUACCAGUCCAGGCUAAAUUCAGACCCUAAUUAGGAUUACCCGUCCGGGCUAAAUCCAUUUUCCACAUAUUCUUCGGGAGGGCUAUAUCAGGAUAGGAUCACCCGUCCGGGCUAGAUCCUUUUUACCGUCAAUUCCUUUUCAGAGAUCCAUCGAAUUUUCCUUUCAUUCAACCGGGAUUUAUUUCCUCUUUUCAUCAAGAAUUUUAAUACUUCAUCAAUUAUCAUACAAUAAACAUCCAGAUCAUAUUCACAUCAAUAACAAACAUUUCAAGCAUUUAAGAAUAUAAUUCAAGUUACACGAACUUACCUCGACACUUGUUCAUAACCAAAAAUCUACUAAUCCCAAACUUUUUCUUUCCCUCGAUCUUGCUUCAUAUUUGAAUUUUCCGGAUCUAAAUAAAUAAAUUUGAUCAUUAAUCUAAUACAUUUCAUGUUCAUAUGUAACAUUCUCUAAAAUUCCAUUAUUAUUUAUAGUGCAUUCGAAGCUGUCUCACUGAGUCACUGUCACUAAAUUAUUUAUAUCUUGAGCUACAAAACUCCAAAUUAAUAUCCGUUAAUUUUUCAUGAAACUAAACUCACAUAUAUUCUUACCAUAAAAUUUUCAGAAUUUUUGGUUUAGCCAAUAAGUACAGUUUAUUCUUUAAAGUUUCCCCUAUUUCACUGUAUGACAGUUUUGACCCCUCUUUACUAAAAAUUAAUUAUCUCACUGUACAGAAUUAGAAUAAUGCUUCCCUUUAUUUCUUCAGAAAAUAGACUCAUUAAGGAUUCUAAGCAUAUAAAUUAUAACUCAUAAUCAUUUUUUUUACAAUUUUUAAUGAUAUUCUAAAGUCAAAACAGGGGAACCCGAAUUCAUUCUGACCAUGUCUCACAAAAUCUAUUAUAUCUCAUGAUUUACAAUUCCAUUGCUUACACCGUUUUUUUAUAAGAAACUAGACUCGAUAAGAUUUAAUUUAAUAUUUUAUUCAUUCUCUAAUUCGAUUUCUAAAAUUUUUGGUGAUUUUUCAAAGUUAGACUACUGCUGCUGUCUAAACUGUUUUAGUGCAUGGUGUUAAUUACCAUUUUUCCCCUAAGCUUUCAACAAUGAUAAUUUCGUCCCUGCUCAAUUAACUUCUCAAUUGAGCUGAUUUUUCUCAAUCAACACUUUAUUAUAUCACUUUAAACUACCUUAUAACCUUUGGAAAUCAGAAUUUUAGCACUAAACUUUAAUUCCAAACUUUUUCACAAUUAGGUCCUACAAAUUAAUUUCUAUUGGAAUUACCUAAUAAAAUCAUCUCAUAAACAAAUUAAAGCUUAAAUUUCAUCCUAUUUCCUCAUAAACUUCCAGCACAUAUUCAUAUCAACUUUCAAUAUCAUUCAUAAAAUCAAAAACUAAUGAAUUUAGUAAUAGGACCUAGUUGUAAAAGUCUUAGAAACACAAAAAUUACAAGAAAAAGACAAGAAUUAACUCACUUGGUGCAAAAAUUAUGAAAAACCAGCUUGAAGAAACCCUUAGGAUGUUUUUGGCUGAUGAGAGUGCAGAAAAUGUGAAGAGAAUUCUUGAUAUUCCAAUUUGGUCCCAUUUUUAUAUUAGUGAAAUUUGUUAUUUUCCCAUUUUACCCUUAUUUCAUCAAUUCUCCUGAUUUUUCUCAGCGUAUGUCGCCCAAAAUAUCUCCUUUUGGGGUUAUUUGCAAUUUAUGUCCCUCCUCAUUUCACAAUUGAGCUAUUUAAUCCCUCUAGUAACUUUUACACCUUUUUCAAUUUAGUCAUUUUCCCUUAAUUGACUACCCAAACAUUAAAAUUUUCUAACAAAAUUUUAAUACCAUAUUAUUAACACUUCAUAAAUAUUUAUAAAAAUAUUUUUGACUCAUUUUUACGAGAUCGAAGUCUCGAUAUCUUAUUUUUACCUAAUUUCUUCAAUAAUUUCUUUUUCUAACUAACCACUUAGUCAGUAAAAUUUUUCUAUCGAUAUUUUCAUACGAUUUUUCCUAUCAUAUCAAUAUUCAUGCAAAAAUAUUAAAAUAAAUUUCUCUUUAAAUCAGAUUUGUGGUUACGAAACCACUAUUCCGAUAAUUUUGAAUUUGGGCCAUUACACUCAUCCGUCGAUGUAAAUGUAUCUUGACCGUCGGUUUUGGGGGAGCUCAACUACAAAUAGAGAGCCUCCCCCUCAUUUGUACUCAUCCAUUAUAAGCUAAAUUCCUAAGAGUAAUAGAAUUCUUUGAGCAUUUACUCAAACACUUUGUGUGCAUUCUUUCUUUGGCUUUCUGUUGUUCACUUCUAGCUUCUUUUGGCACAAUCGCUUCCGCUAUACAAAUUGGUGCAUUGGAGGAGUUCUUAAAAGAAUCCUCACUUUUGGGCGUAAAGGCUGACUUAGGCGAGUUUGGGAUGAACGGAUCGCCUAAGGCUGCACGGAUUGUGAGACGAAAGGUCUAGCCCGUUGACAAGUGGUAUCUGAGCCAAGUUUUGAACCAAGUGAUAUUUGAGUUUGGUUUGAAGGCACCGUUGGGAUGUCGAAAGAAGUUGUUGGUCAGAGUGAGCCAAUGGAGACCCGUGAAAGGGCUAGAAAAGAAAGCCGCUCGAGGGACAUGCUGACAGCUUUAAAAAAUCGAGUGGUUAAUCUCAAGGAAUCCAUAGGGAACAUGAAAGAGACGCUUGAAUUGGUUGAAGGACGCACGGAUGGGUUGGACUCAAUGGAAGAGCAACUCAGAGAUUUUGUAUUGGAUUCUCUCGAUGCCAAUGGAGAAAAGAUGAAGGAAUUACUCGAGUCCACUACGAAAAAGCUGGCAGAGAGGGAUAAGAAUCACAAGGAUAUGGUGUUAGCCAUGAAGAAAGAAAUAGAUAAGCUCAAAGGGGAGCUCACGAUUUACAAAGCCGCUUUGAGUAAUGGGAUGUUGUCUUCAAGGCCAAAGCAACAAGCAAUGGAUGUUCCCAAACCGGAGAAGUUUAAGGGUGCACGAUCCGCAAAGGAUGUGGACAACUUCUUAUGGGAAAUAGAGUAAUACUUCCGAGCGAUGGGCAUCGAGGAUGAUGCCAUUAAGGUAAACACUGCUUCAAUCUAUUUUACUGAUGUAGCUUUCUUGUGGUGGCGUCAUAGGUCCAUGGAUGAGAAACAUGGUGAUAACACAAUUGGGACUUGGGAAGAGUUUCAAAGAGAGAUGAAGAAGCAGUUUUACCCACAAUAUAUCGAGAAGGAGGCUCGGGCUAAGUUGUAUCGUCUCACGUAACAAGGCAUUAUUCGGAAGUAUGUUCGGGCAUUUAACGAGUUGAUGCUUCAAAUCUUUGACUUGAGCGAGAAAGAAGCAUUCUAUUGGCUUGAGGAUGGGUUAAAACAGUGGGCAAAGCAUGAGUUGCGAAGGCAAGGAAUCACUGAACUUACUGUAGCCAUGGCAGAAGCAGAGUCCUUUAUUGAACUUGGUCUAGCGAGAGACAAGCUCGAGGCAUCUAAACCCAAUGGAAAGGGCAAUGGUGAGAGAAACCAUGAAGAAGAUAAAGAGGGACAUAGCGAUGAUGACAAUAGUAUCGAUAGCACAAGUGGCAAUGGGAAACCAUAAGAUACGAAUCGGGGAUUCAACAACCCAAAUGACAAGAGGAAGAAGAUAAAAUGUUUCCUUUGUUAAGGACCGCACAAGGCGCGAAAAUGUCCAAAUAAAAUGAUAAUUUCGACAAUCAAAAAGAAAGAUGAGCCGAAGGAAGAGGCGAAGCCUACUGAGGGAAAGACAUCGAGAGUCAAUUCAAUGGUGCUCAUUCUUGGGAAGAGGAAUGGAGGGAAAGGGUUGAUGUUUGUGGACAUUAACAUUGUGGGUCAGAAGCUGAGUGCUCUUAUUGAUACGGGAGCAUCGGACUUGUUCAUGUCAGAAAAGGUUGCAAAGAUGCUUGGUCUAUUGAUUAGGAAAUCGAAUAAGAAGAUUAAGAUAGUAACUUCCGAGAAAGCCUCAACUGUGGGAGUAGUUUGUGAGGUGGAACUACAAAUAGGCGAAUAGAAGAGCAAGGACGAUUUCGAGGUAAUCCAAUUGGAUGAUUACGAUUAUGUGCUUGGCUUAAACUUCCUUGACAGGAUUCAGGCAACUCUGUAACCAUGGGUUGAUCAAAUCCUUAUUGUCACCGGUCCGUCAACAAAAACGAUUGUGCCGGUGCAUCGGGAUAUGAAGGUUGAGACUAAGGUGUUAUCGUCAAUCCAACUAGUCGAAGAUGUUUUGUAUGGGAGAAACAUUAAUUCGUCAGAAUGGAAUGCUACGAAAGCCCCUUCGAAAGUGCUAGUGGCGCAAGGGACCGAUAUGAAGCCAACGAUUUUGACUGUGGAGCAGACACCUUUGAGAAAUGUGGGUUGUGCAUCGAGCUUCGAGGGAAAAUGAGUGAUGCAAAAACAGUCGAGAUGAGUAAAUGCUGCAAGUAAAGUACAUUGUAAACACUCUGAUAGUGUUUUGACUUUUGACUUGUUGGUUUGACAAUGUUGUAGGGGCCCUUUCAAAGUUUAUAAGCAAUGAGGCUAAGGAACUGUGGGCGGUACGAAGCCGAGGUGUGAGAAUCGAGGGGAUUCCAAUGGAACAAGUUAAAAUUGGGGCAAGUUAAAGAAAAGACUUCUUGCCAAUAGAAUGUACCAACGAGUGCAGCAGUUCAAGAUAAGAGGCGACGGAAGCCGAGGCAUAGGUUCCGAAAGAAGAGACAACCCGAUCGCAAGACAAGUCGGGAAGAAGCCGAGGCAAUGAGAAAGUUUCAAAGUGAAUCAAGUCAGUGUCAUCCAGAAGUCACGACGAAGGCGUUACGAGAAUGGGUGGGGGAAAAUGUCACGGGCCGAAGUGCGAAGCCCGUGACCAUGGCAUAAGAAGUGCCCCAUGGAGGUCUAUCGAUUAGAUGGGGAAUAUUUAGCCCAUGAGAACUAGCCCGAUUUAGAGAGCUGUUGGAGAAGCCUGUCAGAUUGAAGCCUGGUUCACCCGAUGAUGAAGACAUGGCAACUUAGGCUAAUUUUAGUAACUAAUCUUAGAAGAUAGAGAGAAUCAUAUCUUGUAAAGAUUAGAUUAGAUUUGAUAUGGCAAAUCUUGUAAAUCCCUAAAAUCAAGGGAUAUGGUGAAUCUCGUCCGUUGAUGUAAAUAUAUCUUGACCGUUGGUUUUGGGGGAGCUCAACUAUAAAUAGAGAGCCUCCCCUUCAUUUGUACUCAUCCAUUGUAAGCUGAAUUCUUAAGAGUAAUAGAAUUAUUUGAGCAUUUACUCAAACACUUUGUGUGCAUUCUUUCUUUGGCUUUCUGUUGUUCACUUGUAGCUUCUUUUGGCACAAUCGCUUCUGCUAUACAAAUUGGUGCCUUGGAGAAGUUCUUAAAAGAAUCCUCACUUUUGGGCGUAAAGGCUGAAUUAGGCGAGUUUGGGACGAACGGAUCGCCUAAGGCUGCACGAAUUGCGAGAUAAAAGGUUUAGCCCCGUGACACUAGAUAGUCUUAAAAGCAUUUUUGAUGUUACGAUUGUGAACAUGGUUACAAUUUUUCCUACUUAUGUUUAAUCACUCUCAAUUAAAAUAAUUAUUUAUGCUUUUCCAAGGAUUAAAAUGAAGAACACAACUGUACAAGAUCAUUUGAUAGAGAUUACAAGAAGUUGAAUAUCAUCAAGUCUUUGCAGUUGAUACAAUAUAGCUUGCAAUCCAACAACCAACUAUUAAAGCUAGCUAGAACCAUAUAUUGGUAUGGAAUUUGAGCCACCAAAUGAUGCAUAAAAAUAUUAUUAUAUUAUGCGAGAGUCAAAGGUUUUGGCUCACGUAAGGAUCCCCAUAAUCUAAUGAUUGCUGGAGAAUUUAUUUGUUCGAAAGAAAGUGUGAAGGCAAAAAAACACUUUAAGAUAGAAAAGAGAGUCCAUGCAACUUCAGAUGAAAUAAUAGAAUGUUAUAAAGUAAUGGUUUUAAUAUCCAAGAAAGGAGGGAAAUAAAUUAUUUCUCAAUUUCAUGCAGAACAUAAUCAUGUAUUAGCUUCACCAAAGAGCACACAAUUCAUUUGUUCACAAAGAAUUCAAACAAAAGUUCAAAGACAUCUCAUGGGUGUUCUUGAUAAGUCAGGUAUUCGUCCCAGUAAGAUAGUUUUUGUUUGAGAUCCUAAAUCUAGCAGGCUUGGUGAUUUUAAUAAGACUAAGAGUAAAGUUUAGCUACAUUUAAUUCUCUGAUUGUUUCAUAUGUCUUGAUAGCUUGAUGUUUGAACUUGAUAUAUAAGAUGUUGAUUAUCAUUUUUUGACAAGUCAUGAAAAUUGUAUUAAUCUCAAUUAACAAUUCAGGUACCAAUUAAUAGUACAAAACAAAGACCAAAACAUAAGAUCUUGCACCUGCCAAACAACAACACAGGACCUUGCAAAGUAAACAAAAUAAAGUGCUUUGUUAAACACAUCAUUAGCCCCUAACCCAAAUAAGAAGGGCACAUCUGCCCACCCCUUAUUUCAUUAAGCUACUUGCUUCAUUGUUUGCAACUCUUAGCUCCCAAAAACCAUCAAUAAAAAUAAGCUCAGAAAUGAUUUUUGCAAACUUCCUAAGAUUGAAUUUCAAUUCAAUCACAAGUUUACGUGAAAUCUCCUAUUUUCUAGCAAUAAGGAUGAUUAUUGUUUGUGUUUGUAAUUCAUAUAGCUUCGUCACUAAUUGAUAAAUUUAUUGUAAUUCAUACAGGAACCGCGUGAUCUUAGGUAAUUCUUCUGCUUCGAAUUGCCUAAGUCAGACAAUCUCUCAAAAAGAUGAGAAUUCUUAAAGAAAUUCUCUAAGGAACAAAAAUAAAGUAAAAGCAAACUUUCAAAAGCAAAGAAGCAACAAAUAAACAGAAAAGCUAAAAUAAAUCUAAGCACACCAAGUGUUUGGGUAAAUGUUCACAAAGUGUUUUCAUUACUUUGAAAUAUUACAACUGAGGUGGAAUGCUUCUAUUUGUAGUUGAGUGUCACACCCUGGUUUGGCAAACCAGAUUAGUUCGGGAGACUACGACGGGGAAGACCGCCUAAGUUGCGAGAAAUAGAUUGUAUAAUGUAGGUAACUUCAUGGUGAAGUGCUACGAAGAACUUCUUCAAUAUUGCGGAGAACCAGUCCGAAUGAUAGCGAGAUUAUAGUUAGGGCGGGGACCUUAUUAUCCAGACCUUAUUGCUAAUAUGAUUGUUACCUAUGUUUUAGUGACGUUACCUAAGUAAGUACAAUUGGUUGUAGGAUACGUUUACAUCACCUGGCAUCCUAGUGGAGGCAACGUGUCAGUAAUUAGGACACUUGUAGAGCCUUGUAGGAUAUGAUUAAUUAGUAGAAGCGCACGAGAAUGAUUAAUGAUUAGAGAUAAUUCUUAUUGGGAUUUGGACAUGGGUUAUCUAUAAAUUGGAUAACGUGAUAGUGGAGAAAAUAUUUUUAAUUCAUCUUCUCCACCAGAAUUUAUUAUCAUCGAAGAAACUAGGAGAGUUCUUCCUUCCUAACAAGGGUGUUAACUCUACUUUAAAGAAUUGCUUUAAUUUUGACCACUUACCACGAAAAUCCUCGCCAUUGAAAUGAGGACACUCCCACUUAAUCUUCUUGAUCCGGCCCUCGACAGUAGGGAGUCUAGGAAACAAAUCUGCAAGUCCCAGGUCAUAAUUUGGGGACAUAACUAAGGACUCUCGGAGAGGAAAUCCAGGAGGUGAUUCUCUUAAUAUUUUCUUCCCUUUACCCUAACUCGAGCUUCUUACUCCAAGGUGUUGAUACUGACCUAUAAACUGCUCAAGCAAGGAAUACAGCGCAGUCUGCAUGUCCCCCUUAAAUCCUUCCUAGAAAUCCUUGAAUCGAGAAUCCAUUUUAGCAUCAAUAUCAACUCCGAGUUGGGACAACUCUUGCUAAAGUUGACCUAUCUCUUUCUGCAGUCUGGUAGUGACUCCAUCAGUAGCCAUGGACUGUAUUGGAGCUCUGAUACCCUGUAACGAAACAAAUAUCUAAAAGAGAAAUUAAGAAGAGAGAAUAGAGAAUUUGUUAGAGAGAAUGAGAAAGAAAAGAGUAAAUGAUUCAUUCAAUUUCAUAAUUGACUCAGGCUUCCUUCACUCCUGAUAAAAGAGAGAAGAAAUAGCUAUUCACAGCCUGACAACAGUUAACUGAAACGAAGAGUUUUGUGCUAACAACCAAAGCUAAACGCAUCAUUUCAUUAAACGAUCUAAGACUCCCCCAAAACGCAGCAUUUUAUUAUUACAAGAAAACAGAAUGAAAAUUAACAACCAGCCAUGCAACAAAGUGAAGGAAACAGUUCAUAACAUUCCCAUGAAGUAUGUGGACUAAAUUUUGACAAAUUAAAAUAAAAGAUUAAUUUUUCAAAUUUCAUAAAAUAGAGGGAUGGGAUUCAUAAUUAAACCCAACAAUUCCUAUACCUCUUCGUAAAUUACUCGAUUAUAAUAUUACAUAAAAUAGUAGGCUGAUUUGCUACUUUAGUACCUGGGCUUUCGGCUAUUUGGCAACUUGCAUCUUCGUUAUUACCAUGUAUUUUUCAAACAUUUACCUGUGUGAUUAUGAAACUUGAUCUUUGAAUCGAUGGAAAUGAGAAGAAACUAAAGCAAUGCGCAAACCAAACCCACAAAAACUUAUAAAAGUUUUCAACAAUUGGACUUUAGCCAUAAAAAAUGCUUCUUCUCCUCACCAAGCCUUGGUUCUUUACUCUCAAAUGCACCGCCAAUCGGUUCCUUUUAAUAGUUUCUCAAUUCUCUUCACCCUCAAGUCAUGUACUCCUUUGCGAAAUCCGAGUCUCGUUGCCCACCUCCAUUGUCAUAUCUUGAAGUUAGGGUUCGUUUCCCAUGUCUAUGUGGCUACUUCUUUGUUGAAUGCGUACGUGGUUUCUUGUUUUGACGAUGCAUGCAAACUGUUCGAUGAAAUUCCUGAUAGAAACAUUGUUACCUGGAACACCAUGAUAACUGGUUAUUCACGGUCUGGGGAUGUAAACAAAGCGUAUGCCUUUUUUAAGGCAAUGACUUUGAGGGAUGUUGCUUCUUGGUCUGCCAUGAUUGCGGCUUUCAUGAAUAACUGGAAAUGGAAUUGUGGGUUAUCUUGUUUUAGAGAAAUGGUAGCAAAUGAGAGGUUGAAACCUGAUGAAGUGACUGUGGGAGCGGUUCUAUCUGGCUGCGCUCACGUGGGUUCUCUUGGAUUAUUGGCGGGAAGAUCGGUCCAUGCGUUUAUAGCUAAAAAUGGGUGGAACUUGACUGUCGAAAUCGGCACUGUUUUGGUAGAUAUGUAUGCAAAAUGCGGUUUAUUGAAGUAUGCUUGUAUAGUUUUCAAUGCAAUGCAACAAAGAAAUGUAAUGACUUGGACGGCAUUGAUUAGUGGAUCUGCACAACAUGGCUACAGUGACGAGGCAGUGUCUUUCUUUGAAGCAAUGCAAGAGGCGGGAGUGAAGCCUAAUGAGAUGACUUUUACAGGCAUUCUCAAUGCAUGUGCUCGUAAAGGUUUAAUCAAGGAAGGCCGCAAGUAUUUCGAUAUGAUCGAACAAUAUGGUUUGCAGACAAGGAUUCACCAUUAUGGGUGCAUGGUUGACUUGUAUGGCAAGGCAGGGUUGCUAGAAGAAGCUUAUCGGGUUAUCGGUACAAUGAAAGUUGAACCCAAUGUUGUUAUAUGGAGUUCUUUUUUGUCUGCUUGUAAGGAUCAUAAGCAAUUUCAGAUGGCUGACAGAGUGAUCAAGCAAGUGAUGGAAACGGUAAAGCCAGAGAGUGAUGGGGGGGUUUAUUCUCUUAUAUCUGAUUUAUAUGUUUUGAAUGAGAAAUGGGAUGAUGCGGAAAGAGUAAGGAAACUAAUGGUUAAUCAAUAUGUGAGGAAGACUAGGGGCUCUAGUUUUAUUAGAAGUUGAAUUCUUGAAAGCAAUUUUGUUUCUUCUCAAGAUCUAUGUCAGUCAGACUCAGAAGUAUUGGGUAGGAUAUGUAUUAAAGUUUUUCACAUAUUUGGAGGGUUUUUGGAGUUUCACAAUAUGCACGUCCAGGGUAUGCAUUGGACAUGAAUAUUUGAGCAUCUGGUAGACCUUGUUCAGUGCUUGUGCAGCUCAUUGCAAUCUAAGGCUUGCAGGAACUAUCCAUCAGUUUAUGUACUUUUGUCAUCUCAUUACUAAGCCAGAAUCAUGGGAUCAUUUCAAGUUGACAAAGGGAAUCGAAGGCAAGAUUUUGAAGCUGCCUUUGCUUAACAAUUAUUGCGAUUGAAUAUGGGAGUUUUUCAGAAACCUCACAAUAUACUUGGACUGUUAGUUUCACUAGAUUCAUUGAUUUGACUAAAAAUAAAGAGAGAUCAAACAUGUAAGUCCUUAUCAUUUCAUUCCAAUAACUUUUUUUAAGUAAAUUCUUUUUGCUAUUAAGGUCUAUUUAUUUGUCAGUAAAAUAUUUUUCGGAAAAUAAUUUCUAGAAAAUGAUUUACUUUUCUGAAAAAUGAUUUACUGAAAAUAUUUUCUGGUGUUUAGAUGAAUCUGUAUAAAAUAUUUUAUGUUGUAAAAUAUUUUAUGCUGUUUGGUAGAAAUAUUUUCUGAAAAAUUUGUUAUUACAUAUAUUAAUAAAUUUAUAUACAUAUUAAUAAAUUUUUAUAUUUUUAAAUUAUUUUUACAUAUAUUACAAUGAUUUAUUUAUAAAUAAACAAAUCAAAUUAAAUAUAUAAUAAUACUCAAUUAUUAAAUUACAAUAUUAACCACCAUAAAUUGAAAAUAAUUAAAGUCAAAUAAAUUAUUUGUAAUUGUGUUAAAAAAAACAAGGAUUGAAUAAUUAUAAAUUAGAUUCCAAACCACAAUUAAUACUAGAAAUUAAAUAUUAUCAAAAUGCAUACUUAGUAGUAAACCAUAUAAUAACAACAACAUUGUCCAAGUGCAUAACUAAUAUUACACCACAUAAAAAUAUCAAUAUCUUCAACCUUAGGAAAAUUUUUGAAGCCAAAUUUUUUUAUGCUUCCUACUUUUAACUAAAAAUGCUUUAGCCUCGGAUUCAUGACUCACUAGAUAAUCAAACACAGAACACAAGAAGUCAUCGUCAAAUCCUUCUUCCUCCAUCGACAUCACUUCUUCGUAAAGCUGUGAUGUCUUAUCCGCAGUAAAUUGUUUCAAAGUAUUAGCAAUUCUGCCAAGUUGUUCACCCACAAAUUUAAUUUGUUCAUCAACGACACUUUCUUGAAUAUUUUUUCUUUUACUUUUGGAUGUACCAGAUUAAUAUAAUUUUCUCUUUCAUAAUCUCGAUUCACACAAGGGUGAGAAGCAACUUCCUUCAUAGUUUUUAAUUUUUUAAUCCAAAUAGCCCCAAAAGCUAAAACUGAAGCCGCGACUCCGACAAUUGCAUUUUGAUGUUGAUUACAAUCUAUCUACACAAAAUAAUGCCACACAAAUAUUUGAUCACUACAAAAAAGAUGUAAGAUUUUCAUAAGAUCACAUAUUAAAAGUUACCAUGACUAAAGUGCAUACAUACAUAUCAACUAAUUAUAAUUGCAUUAAUAAUUUUUUAUUAAUGAAUGCAAACAUACUGGCAAAAACUAUUAGUAAAUUUUUUAAUCAUCUGAGAUAAAAAUAAAAAAAAAAUUAUCUAAGGUUAUUGGAAGAAAAAACAAUAAUCGGAUAUUAAUGUUCUAAAAAAAUUUAAGGAAUCACGUUAUAAGUUAUAAUUUUCAAUAUCAAAAUCAAAUUUUGUUUAUGUUUGGCCAUGAAUAAAUAAAAAUACUAUUUAGUAUUUGCUUAUAAAAUAAUCGAGUGACUGACAUAAUUAUCGAAAAAACAAAAUAAUGGAUUUUCAAAUAUAAACAAAAUAAUGGUUUUAUAUAUUUGUAAAUGAUGCAGUAAAACCCUUAUUAAAAUUUCAAAGUCUAAUAAUUCUAUGGGAACCUUUAGCAAGUAAAAUCCUAUAUUAAAAAUUAAGCAUAUACAGAUUUCAGAAGAUCACUCUUCUAAAGAAAGUCAAGUGUUUUAUUAUAAUAAAAGCAAAGCAUAAAAGCAACUUUUGAAACCAUUUCUAGGCCUCAGCUUCUUAGAAACACAUCUUCAGCAAAUAUAUCAUAUACAAGCUGAGCAUAGUAAAGAAAAUGCAGAAAUUGAAACAUAGGAAGCAGCUACAAUUCAAUUGUCUUUUCAUUAACAAGCAUUCAACAGCCAAAUUAAGUAAACUAAAGGACUUUAAUUCCUAUAGGAAUCAAAUUGCCAUAUCAUUUUUACUCGACAAAAAUAUUCAAUGAAAGCCAGAAAUAACCAGUUGAAACAAUAGCCCUUUAGCCAUUAAUUCUUUGCACAGAGCUCUACGUAUCCAAUAAGCUAAAUCUAGAAAUUCAAUAUAUGUUGAACUGAACAAGAAGGGAUUGAAACAUAACCUGCCAGUAUCAAAGGAAGUUGCAAACCGAGAAAUUAAGAUAGUUAAAUCAUAAAUGUUUUCACCCUUCAAACACAAGCCAAAGAGCCCAUUCUGAUGAAACAGAGGCAUCAAUGUUACUUAAGGACCUUCCUUUGUAAUCAAACAUGCUAGAUAUCAAAUGAACAUUCAUCACCCCUUUUCUCUAGCAUCAAAUACUAACAAAUUUAACUUCUAACUAGAUAAGUAAUAAACACAGGGUCCGGAAAUUCUUUCUGUUUUGACUACAUUGGAUGCUGUUAGAACAUCAAAAGCAUGGAUUAAAAUCUAAGCUGCGACCAACGACACAGUAAGUGGUAACCAGAGAAGACUGUCGGCACAGAUCAGUGAGAGCAAGUUACUAUUACCGCGACAGAGGUGACAUUCAGCAUAACCAGGGGCCAAAAUCUUUCAGUUACUAUUCCCAACCAUCAAAUAUAUGAGCAAGAAACCAAGAACAUAAAGGAACUAACCCAGAAACCGAUUCACAAAACUAUGGACAAGAAAUUUAAAAAAAAUAAAAAGAUCAAAAAUUUGCAGAAACCAACACAUCUACUACAAAAACUUGCAGAAAAAAGUAUAUUUUAUCAAUGAACUAAAAUAUACAGAAACCCCUAACACAUCCGGCUUCAAAAACUUGCAGAAACCAACAGAUCCCCUACAAACCAAACUCGAGCAGAAGAAACCCCUAACCUAGAGCUUGCAAUUUUACCUUCGAUGAACCAGCAGAGUUGAACCAGCACGCUAACGAGGCAAGCAAAGAGAAGAGGUGAACUAGCAGAGAAGACGAGGCAGAGAUGAUGAGGCUGUAAUCAUUAGGGUGAAGAGAGUGAAGAGAGGAGCUGUGGAAAAUGUCUUACCACAUAGAAAUCGGUAAGACAUUUUUCGGAAAGAAUGAAAUGAUUUUACCCGUGUUUUGGAAAAUGUUUUCCUUAGAAAUUCAUUUUCCAACAAAACAAACACCGUAAAAUCUAGAAAACGUUUUCCGGAAAAUAUUUUCCCCCUAUCAAACAGACCGUUGGAAGCAUUUCAUUGCCUGCAGGCUAUGUAUGAAGGCCUUCUUUCGGCUUCCUUUGUGUUCUGUAACUUCUAUUCAAGUAAUAUUUUCUUCUUUACUCGAUGCUUUGGUUGUUGAACCUCUUUGAUCAACAUGCUGAUUCUAGUGACAGAAUUUUUUAUUUUUGGGUUAUAAAGGAUGUCAUCUGAGGGAUUCAUUUAGAGGCUCAAGCAAGCUUGAAUUGUCCAUAUUACUAUUAAAAAAUAAUAAUAUAUUUUUAUAUUUUUUAUUUAGUUUAAGGGUAAAUUACACUAACUGUCCCUAAACUUUGUUUAAAUUACAUUUCAAUCACAUAGCUUUCAAAAGUUACAUGAUCGUCACUAACGUUACCAAAUUGUUACAUUUUUGUCACUCGGCCAUUAACUUCUAUUAAAAAAGUAACAUUGCACUUAUUUCAAAGGAUUAAUAGUUAAUUUGGUCCUUAAGCUAUAGUUAAAACAUCAUUUUUGAUGUUUUAAAAUUUUCUUAAAAAUGAUUGUAAAAAAAUAAAAAAAUAAAAGUCUAUAAAAAGUUUUAAAAUUUUCUUAACAAUUUUUUAACUAUAGCUCAAGGACUAAAUUAGUAACCCUUUGAAUUAAAGUACAACAUGAUUUGAUAAUGUUAGUGACUAUUAUAUAAUUUUUAAAAGUUAAGUGAUUGAAAUAUAAUUUUAAACAAAAUUUAAGGACAAUUAAUAUAAUUUACCCUUAAUUUAAAUUAUUAUUUUUAAUAUUUUAUUUCAAGUCGGGUCGGACUCAUCCGAUUUUAGAAAAACUUUGUCCACACUUCAUCUAAGUCGGGCUGAACGGGUAUUCUUGUCCUUUAGACAGGUCUUGUAGAAUUGGAACUUGAAUGUUAAGCUGUUUCACCCAAGAUUCUCUUGUAGAUUCCUUAGGAUUUGCUAGUUACUGAAUCUUUUAAUUUGCAAUUUAAGUCUUUCAUUAAGUUAAUGUCGGCAUCUCCGAUUUCUUGCUUUCAUCGCCGGUCCAGCCAGCAAGAUUCGUCAUCUGUAUGUUAAUUUAUCCCCAUAGUCGUGUAGCAAAUGGAACAUUGCACAUAUUGUAGCUAAACAUUUCUUCUUACAAUGAGUGGUGGUAUUUUGCUUGCCAUAUUCUCAUGUAGUUUACAUCUGUUCAUACAAUGAGUUGCUUGCUCCCAAGUUCAUUCUUCCGGUAAAGGUGAUCUCCGAUCCGUAUAUUUUGAAGCUUCUUCUUCCCCUUGGAAGCCAUCAUUAUAUCAGUUUGAUCAAUGUGUUAUAAUGUUUAUAUGGUAAAAGCUGUGAUGUCCUGUUCCAUUAGUGAAGAGCCGAUUGGCAGUGAGUUGAGCAAAAACAAUAAGUUCAACAGCUCUCGUUUAGAACAUAUUCUGCCUUGCUUAACUGGGCAGAGCCAACCAUUUCCUGUUCGGAGUUCGUAAUGUUAUCAGAGUAAUUUAUAGUCGACUAAUCAUUUUAUUGCAGCUUAUCUCUCAAUAUCCUUUUAGAGCAUCUCAAAGUAGAUGAUGACCGGAACGUAAUUGAACUGCAGUAUGUUAGUCGAUUCCCUUGAUGGCUUGCAUAUCAAUUCCAUUGAGGCCAUUGAUAAGCUUUUGUAAAGGCUGUGUAAGGGGUACAGGCAGAGACUACUUGGAGCAUUGUAUACCUAAAAGAUGCUCAUAUUAUAACAUUAGAAACACCAAGCUCCGAUCGCAACUCCAAGGUUUGUGGAAAACUGCUGCAAACAUGAGAAGCCUAAGCUAUGUUACUCGGACUCAAGUGGACUCGGAAACGAGUCUUUGUCAACAUAAAGAACAUUCAAUUCCAAAGAUAAGAAUAGUUUCUACUAAAGACAUUCUAGUCAUAUUCAAAUGCAAAUACAUAUCAUAAAUCGAAAAGCAUCAGAAAUAAUAAGCACUAAAAAGAAUCAUACUACUUUUUUUCUAGACAAUGAAACCAAGCUUUCCUUGUAACGAAUGGAUCGUCCUCUUAAUACUUCCUUUGACCUCUCAAUUUGCUUGGUUUUAGUAUUAUACCAAACAAUUCUCCCAUACCAAUCACUAAGGACAAGAAGCUCACCAUUGUUCUCAAAGCUCAUCACCGGUCGAAACAUUAGUCGAACUUCCAGGACCGGUACUUCGAUCGUCAACUGCUUAAUCCAAGAAUCUGAUACACCAUAUUCCUUCAUCACCCAUAAAUCAUAAACAUGCAUAUUUACUUUUUGUUUGAUGAUCAAGGAAAAGAAAUUUUGAUAUUCUAUAAUCAGUGCAUUCAGAAAGUAAUUCUCCUCUUGAAAAUCAGGAUGAUUUGGCAAAUUAAGCUCUCGAAAUACCUCCUCAUCAAAUUGAAAUGACAUGAUCAUCCUCUUAGAUGACUUUAGAUUUCGUCCUCCCCAGUGAAAGGCUCCAUUGAAAUACCCUUUACCUUGGAAUGAAGUUGUCAAAACGGACCUUGGAUUUACUAUUUUUGUACUUCUCCAUGAAUUCCUAUUCCAGCUAUAAACUUCAACCCCUAAUGAAAAUAGACAACAAUUGGGGUCUCUAACAUUUACUACAGAGUCCAGAAGCUUUACUACUACCACUUUAUAAUCAUUAAAUUUAGGACAAAACCCAAAGCCAAUACUAAGAACAAAAUCAUUAUAAGCAUGAUGACAUUCCGGAAGCUCCAAAAUUUCUCUAGUAGAAGGAUUGCAGAUAUAAAUACUCAACCUUUUAUCUUCCUUCAAGAAGAAAUAUAAAUUAUUACUUAAACAAACUAAUCCAUUGAUAGAACCAAUCAUGUAUCCGGGUGAUUCCCCAAAUAAAAUUUUGAUCGACAUCGAAACAUCGAUGCUGCUGCAAUUAAGAUAUUGCUUAAUGUACUUAUAAGGACGAGAUCCAUAAAGCAGAAAACCAACACUACUUUUACCGUAAUAAUCGAGAUGCAUGGCGAUGAAAACAGGAUCUUCAAUGAAAUAACGCCAUGAUUUCUUAACGCAUUUGAAUCGAAGUAAACUCUUCACUGACAGUCUUGAUAAGAUAUCUAUUUCGAUAUCGUCCGGAACUUGAAAACUUGGUGCAAUCUUCUCCCUUUUCACCAUCUUUGUUUGCUAAAAAAGUAGAGGUUUUCUAUCAAGGUAUUGCCGGCGUAAACAGGUUUUUUUUUUUUUAAUAUUAUAUACAUAUUAAAAUUGGACAGUUUCAAGCUAGCCUGUUCCACUAAACACGGGCAGCAACUCAAGAAAACUCCCAAAUGAAUUACUUUUUAUUAAAUUCAAUCGACUACCAAAUAAAUUAUCUUUUUUUAUUUUAAAAUGUCAAAUAAGCAAAUUUAAUAAAAGAAAAUAUAAUAUACUUAACAAUUAAACUUAAAUUUCAAAAUAUAAUAAUUAAAUUUUAAAUUUAUCAUAAUUUAAUCAUUCAAAAUUUGUUAGUUCCACUUAAACCUGUUCAUGAGUUAGGUUAUCCACCCAAGCUCAAACGCCAGUUUGAAAUUUGGGAGGAUUUGGUAAAAAAACAUUAGGCUCGAAAAUGAGAUUAGACAAAAAAAUUAGGCCCAAAGGCCCGUUUUUAAGUUUAUAAUACUUAAUAUUAUGUUAUUUUUAUAUAUUAUAUAAUUUAGAACACAUUAAAAAAAUAAACAUAUACUAAAUAUAUAAUACUACUCUAAUUUAAAUAUUAAAAUAAUGUUAAGAUGACUAUAUAAAAAAUUUCAAUAAAUAAAUAUUAAAAUAAUAUAAUAUAAUAUAAAUAUAUUUUUUAAAAAUAAAAAUAAUAUGGACGGGCUUAAAAUGAACUUAAAUUAGUCUUUUGCAAAUAUGGAUGGAUUUAAAUAAAAUUUUAAACUCAAAUUUCAAACCGAGUCGAGCUUGGACAAGUUUAAAGUAUGCACCAUAUUUAGACCCGGCCCAUAAGCUCCUCUAGUUCCACUCCAUCGUCUCAUUUCCACACUACCCAAUUCAAACACGACUCCAUUAUCAUUAUGCAUCAUCUCCUUGAGUUCCCUGAUUCCUUGGGCUCGUCACUUGAUACUCGUGUUGCAAUUCUCUACAGAGUUUGAUUCACUACUUGCUUCAUACAACUGAAUGUUCUUGCUUGAUUCAUUUUUUGAAACAUACAACUCCCUCCAUUUCACCAUGUUGGUGCACAAGAUGCAAUGAGGUUUCAAAUGCUGUUCUAUGAGAUUUAGUAGUAAAAUUUUUCUCUAGUUAAUGUCCCAUAGACGUAGGUUACGUCCAAACAUUGUUUUUUUUUUUUUUUUUUGUUAUUCUAAUAGUCCAUGUUUGCGUGUUUCUGUUACAAAAGGUGUGCCCACUUCACUAACCUCACCACAUUACCAGUUCUAGUUUUCACACCUCAACUCUCUCCAACUGAUUCACCAUUAGCAGCAUAGAUCCAAAGCUAAAGGCCCUGCAUCUUUAAAGGCUCUCCCCCAAUCAAGAUGAAAUCACCCCAUAGCCGAGCAGUCUUCUUAAAUGUAUAGUAAGACCACACGAGAAUAGGUAAGCCGUGUAACUCUAUUUUGCAUUGUCCAAGGUUCAAUGGUCGUGAACCAUUCCUCAAUGACAACCAGCUUAAGCUUUCCAUCAUCGUCAAACUGGAUUUAAAAUUACUAUCUUCUUAACUUUAAUGUCCAAGACUCCUUCCAUUUUGAUAUUCUCUUUUUUAAGUGUUAAAAGUUUCAUAAUAACAUCGAGGUAUCCCCACCAAACUUCUCCAAUCUUUGUACAACUUCAUCGUUGAUUUGCUCCUGUUAUCACCUUCAUAUUUCUAAUAACAUUGUCAACACUCUUUUCUCAAUGGGUUCUUCUCCAUUCUUAAUUUUGUUCACAUCACCACUAGACUCACCUUCCUAUGAAUAUUUAAUCCGUCCUUAGCCUCAAUAGCAAGCCUUUUUGUUUCUUACUUGAAUGUUCAAACAAUGGAUGUUACGCAUAUUUAUGCUAAAAAAAUCUUAUUUAAGUUAUAUCGUAAACACCAAUCAUUUGUGUUCACAUCAUCAUUCUUAUCUAAAACAUAAUUUUUAUCUAUAUCCUAAGUAUCAUCUUAUCUUAAAGCUUAUCCAAAAUUUAGUAGAAGGAUUUUGAAUGGUCACUAAAAAAUAAUAAUAAAUCUAAUUAAAAUAAAUAAUAGCAACAAUAUUUUAAAUUAAAAUAGCAUUAUCUCAACAAUUGUUCUGUUGAAUCUUGCCAAUGUCAAGUCCUCAAAUCAUUCUGUCUCGUAAUUGCACAACGAGCAUUCUGCAUAAAAACAUCUCUCAAAUAUCUCUAUUAUUAUUUAAACAUUUUACUAAAUUGAUGUCAUAAACAACUCAAUUGAAAAAACCUCUAAAAAUAAUUAUUUAUAUAAAAUUAUAUUAUUAAGAGUUUAGUUUGUUGUUUUAAAAUAUUUUUAUAUAAAAUCCCACACAUAACCAAACUUGAAAACACCAUAGCAUUAAUCUUUACCAUUUGAUUAAAGUUUAAUCUAAUUUUUAUGUAAACCUUUAUCAAAUAUAUAUUUUACAAUGUAAAAACUUUGUUUGAACCAAUAUGCAUGUUGAAAACGUACUUUUGGGACCCCCUACAUAAUUAAUGAUUAUAAGAUGGUAUAUAUCCUCUCAUCGUGAUUUAUCGCCACCGAAGGCUCAGAUUCACAGCUUAAGCAUGGAUUCAUGAAAUAUGAUUAAGACAGGUCGUAAAGAACAAUAAUAUUGGUUCAAAAAUGGAGCUUCUCAUUAACUAGGACAUAACAAAAAACGAACUUUUAUCCAUAAAUUGAACUAAAACAAUAGUAAAUGUUCUUAAACCAUUUCUAAUAUCUCCACCUCCCUACUAAGAGCAAAUGGAACACAACUUAUACAAGGUGGCCUCUACCGUAACAACAAUCACCAUGAAUAAAUAUAUAUGUUAACAAUAACCCUUUAUCCUUCCUGACUCACGAGUCAAUCAAAACUUGGUUCACUUGGAGAGUGAGUCAACUUCUCAAGCCACCUUGCCUUGCUUCAUAAUUGAUGCUAUUCGAUCUCUAUUCUCCGAAACUUAAUGUUGAAAUAAACAAAAGAUAAAAUUUGCUCCGUUCUGGCUCCUUGCUGUGCUCCUCUCAGUUUUACUUACAACUGCUGGUGCUGGAAAAUUGCUAGUAAGAAGAAUCAGAACAUGGUACAAACAACCUAUCCCAUCUUAGAUUCCAUUCAUUUUGAUGAACAGCUGAUGAAUUAUCAUUUCUCUUACCCUGUUUCCUAGUCAGAAUCAGCAUCAGUAUCUGGAUCAGCAUCAACAAUGCCUGGAAAUGAGUCCAUAGAUGAGUCACUAUCCAAAUGCACCAUAGAUGAACUACCCUUCUCGGCAUUUCGCAAGGUUGAUGAAGUUUUUCCAGCAACAUGAUCAAAACCAUCAACUUUAUCCACGCAAGAGAACAUAUCAUGAUUGGUAUCAUUUAAUCUAUCACUAGCAGAAAGAGGCGUCUUAGAUUCUAUUUCACUACCUUCAGGAUUUGUUCCAACUGCAGGACUCAUGACGGCUUUUGCAGAAGCUACUCCCUGAGACUUUGGAACUGAUUCUUCUAAGUGACAGGGCUGCACCACAAUUUCAUUUUCCGUUCUCAUAUGCACAUCUGCUGCUGGCUCUUGUUCCCUUACCUCUAAAACAUUUGUAAAUGAUGGAUCAUUUGGUCUUGAUGUUUGAUCCUUCAUAUCCUCAACAGGAAUGUUUUCAUUUUCAUUUUGAUUUUCGUUUUCGUUUUGUAGCCACCUGUCAUAUAAAUCAUCAUCAUGUGACUCAACACCACCUUGUUCUGUUCUACGCAUGUCACUGAGAAACGAUGUAUUUUGCUUCCGACUGCCAGAGUAAAUAUUUUCUAGGAAUCUAUUGCUAGCUCCAUCAGUAGAAUUAUGACAAGCAGAGUAGAAAUCAUCUAGUGGAAGGGCUCUAGGAUGUAUGAGCACCUCCAGUGCAAACAAAGCAUAGGCACAAAAUUGGGCGAGCUUCAUUCCAGCUUCUUGUUUACCUGGAAUAGCCAUAUAAUUACAGUUAAACAAAAUGAAGUAUGGCACAAAAGUUAACAAGAAUCUAUAUAUGCAACAGACUAUGGAAAUGCCUGCACAAUGUUUUUAACUUAUUAAUUAUUUGACUUUACAGGCUAAGCUAGUUUUUUGCCCUGGCCUCAAUUUGGAGUGAAGCAUAAUAAGUACUACAAAAGAGGAGUUCCAAGAGGUCAUUUGAGCUGAAAAUGAAUUUAGUUUAUGGUUGAACCCUAAAAGGCAUUGUUAUAUUUAGGUUAAUUUCAGCUAUUAGACCCUAUACUUUGCGUAAGUUGUGGAUUUAGUACUUGUACUUUAAUUAGGUCAUUUUCAAUCUCUAUACUUUUAGAAUUUGAAAAUUUUAGUCCUAACUAAAUAAUAACUAUUAAAUUCAUUAAGUUCUGUUAUUUUAAAAUUUUGAUGUGUCAAACAAAUUAUCACGUGUAAUGCUAUGUUUGUUUGUUAUUUUCACAUUAUACUCGCAAAAAAAAAAAAUUUAAUAGAUUUAACAACUGUCGUUUGCAUUAAGACUAAAAUUUUGAAAUUCAUAAAAUAUAACCACUAAGAAUGAUCCACUUGGUGAACGUAAACUAAAUCUAUAACUUUAUAUAUAAUAUAGGACUAAUGACAUAAUUUAAUCAACCAAAUUUAAUUGCUACCAUUGGGUCGGGACUAAAAUUUAAAAAUUCAAAAAGUACAGGGACUAAAAUUGAUCAAAUUAAAGUAUAGGUGCUAAAUCCACAAUUUACACAAAGCACAGGGUCUAAUAGCAGAAUUUGACCUUAUUUUUAUUACCAUCUCGAGGAAAAAAAUUUGUUCUUAUUGUCAUUUUACUAAAUGUAAAACAAUGUUACCAUGUAGAAAAUAGUUACCUCUACGAAAAAGCUCAAGCCCUUGAGAUAAAUAUGGUGGUCGGGUGCGAGCUGGGGCGAGCAACGAUGUCAAGAGUGCACGUAAUGAUGAGAACUGGAAAUCUGCCCAUACUGAGGCUGAUUCAUGAGGCAAGAAAAUGUUGCUUUCCAAAUUCCCCCAUCCCCUUUUACAUGAAUUUAUGGCCGUCUUCAUUAAAAGACUAUCAAUGCUUGAUCGCCAACUCUCAGAUUUCGAAGCAGCACCCUUUGACAAAUAAACAUGACAGUAUUAUAUUCAUUGAAUACUUGACAACCAUUAUGAACCAUAAAACUGCAGACUUCCUGUAAAUCAUGUAGAUAUAGUUUCUCUGGAAAACAUGAUAAAAACAUCAUCAUGUAUGUAUUUAGGUUGAGUUCAAUAGUAUUUACUAUAAGACCAAUCAAGUACAAUUAUCCAGAAAAAAAAAACGUAGAACAAACAUUUUUCUAUUAGUUGGACAAUAACUAUUUGUAUACAUAUAUAAAAUAUGAAAAUAAAUGUCUUCAAAAAUAUCUUAAUAUUUUGGCCAAAAAAAAAAACGAACAAACAAUCUAAAACAAACAUCACAAGCAAAUAGUUUAGCAUAAUAUUAUUUUGUUUCAUCUAGUUUUGCUUACAAUUCAAUUUUAUCAACUUAGUUUCUAUAAUCCUUAAAGAAUGGAAAAGAUAUACAAAUAUAUAAGCUGUUUUACUAUCUUAUACUUCCAAUUAGGGGGAAAAAAGGAAUUUGGUCCAUAUUUCAUGUUAUGUUACUUCUUUCUCUAUACAGUAAGCCAAUGACAAUUUAUUCUCUCCAUGCAUAUGUACAUAUGUAUACAAAUAUAUACACAAACACAUGUAUAUAUGAUAUAUCAAGCUAGCAAAGUUGUCAAAUGGCAAAAUUUUCUAGAAAUAACAUACCACUGUAAGGAGGACUUCCAAAGUGUCAAGUGCAGCCAUUUUUACAGUAAUUGGAGUCAUUUGAUGGGUAUUGGAUUCUCCCACUUUUGGACUAGGUGCAUCUCGCUUCUCCUCCAGAGAUCCAGUUUCAGCACCAUGCUUUCUUUUCCUAUUGCUAAGCUGGGGCAAAGCUCCAGUAGCAGGACCUGUGUUUGCAGGGGAUGUCUCAAUAUCUUCACCGCCAAGAGAAUUCAGAUCAUUAGAAGCAUUCUCAAUGACAUCUGGUGCAAGAUAUAUAGCAAUCCCUGGUUUAAAAGAAAAAAGGUUGCAUAUUAGUAUUUCAGUCAAAGCUCAUCUCCAUGACAAUAGAAGACCACUAUGGUUAAAAAUCAAUACUUAUAGUCCUAAAUGAUAAAAAGUACCAAUCUAUUCCUGUGUACCAUUAGUAUUCUAAAGCACUAUUCCUUUAGCAAAUUAGAUUGUUAUAUGGAAAAAAGAAUUUAAAAAGACAUAAAUCUCCGACCUUUCAACUUUCACCAAGUUUUAUGAACAUUUAGCAAAUGGAGUCUUAAAAACUCUACAUUCAUUCAUUUAUCAAAAGUAUUAUUAAUGCAUUUAAUGUAUAGCCUCAAAGUGUUAAAAACUUUGUUUCAAGAUAUUUUUCUUUAUUUCUUUUCAGAAUAUAGCCACAAGCCCAUAAAUAACCACAAGCUACUCCUAGUCUCCUAUACUGCAAAGCAACAGCAGCAAAUACAAAACAACCAACAAAUAGCCAAAUUAAAUUAAAAAGAGAAGAAGAAGAAGACAGCUAUUAACAAGGAGAAUGAUCUGAGCAAAACUGCAUCAACAUUGAGGAAAAAACCUUUGGUUGCCAGAAAAAAGUACUGCUUUAAGUUGCAAGCAGGACAUAAUACUCAGUAGUCAGUACCAAAUUGGUGGCAAUCAGUAGGCCCUAUGUAGCUACUGUUAAAUAUUCUACUAUCCAGAAAUAUCAUUUCCAGAAACUUCAGAAAAGUACUUAUCCAAAAUAAUGUUUUAUCUCUGCCACGUUGAGACUCAAUUCUUCAGACAGAUUCUCAUUUAUUUUCAUUCUUAGAUUGGACAGUUUGACAAACCUACAUGUAAGUUGGCACUAGAACUCAAGGGUAUGCUAUUGUCCUUUCCCUCCCUUACCCAGUUUCUAUUUUGAAGCAUUAAAAGCACAGUCUGGAAAGAUAUCUCAUUUGAGCAGAGUAAAAGAUCCCAGGCUCCUGGCUGAAUUUUCUGAAUAUGAUGGAGGUCUAAAGCUUGACAUGUAUCAAAAGAAUUACUGGAAAUGCAAAUACAUGCAUGACUGAAGAUACGAACUAGCUGCUAAUAACCAAAAAAGAAGGGAAAGAAAUAGUAAUAGACUGAUGUUUAAAAGCAUAGGGGGUAAAUUUUAUAAAGGUUUUCAAAGAAUUACUCCUUACCAACACCCAUUGACACAAGCAACAUCCGUAUGAUUGAAUAGAGCUUUAUCCUCAAUUCUGGAAGAGAACAUCUUUUGAAAUAUCUUGUAACUACUCUCACAAUGUAUGCAGAAUGUGGUAACAGUUGCCUGAAAACAAAAUCAAGAUAAAAAAAUAAAGCACAUAUAUUUACUCAAAAUCGAUCAUCGAAAAAUUACACAUGACUGAAAUCUAUAAGAAAUAUAUUAUACAAAUACAUACGCAUAGAAAAGUGAAGAAAAUAAUCCAAGAAUAUCUACAAAAAUGGAAGUUGGCAAGGAGCAAGCAGAUAAUUACUUAAAGGAGGGACCAUAUGUUUUACUAAUAUUAAGUUCAGAAAAGAUCAGUAAGGGUUUAAAGCGAAGCAUGUGGUGAAUGAGGCUAACAUGACUUUUCAAGAGGAUAAUACCUCUGGUUCUCUUAUUCUACUAAGGUGUAUUGCUCACAAUCUCUUUCAGAAUUUAAAGAUAUUUUGAACCUUAACAGUGUAACAUCUUUAAAUUGAUUAGCAUUUAAGUGUUCUUGUGUACACUAUAUAUGCUAAGAUAUGACCACUUUACUUUGGCAUUCUUCAUAACUUGUGUGUUUGUAGACAUCCAAAAACACCACUGAGAAAGAUAUAAGCAAUUGCAUUAUGGAAUAAGCACUGGUGCAUACACAACAAACAAACAGAUUGGUAAUCACAAUAAUACAGAAGAUAAGAAGGUGAAACAUUUUGAAUAUAUAAUUGUAUUUUAAAACAAACAUAUUAGGAAACAUGCAUAGAUAGACAAAGACAUAAAAAAAAAGGAAUUAGCUGUCAUUUCAAAGUAGACAUACGUCAUAGAUGCGAGCAAAGGAUUGAUGUGGUUGGUCUUGACAAGGAAAUUGUCCUUUUGUUCCCAAUUGAUUCAUAUAGGUUGAAAAGAGAACAACCAACGAUUGCACCCAACUUAUGACAAAAAGUCUAGCAAAGAAUUAUGAGUAGAAAAGAUAGCCUAAAGAGAAGGGCCGGAGUUUAUAUCUCAAUUGUGCUAUUUUCAGUCCCUCUACUGCAAUUUUAAUGGUUUGAUCCCUAUAGUUCAGUUAAAAGUCAGAUUUAAGAAUAUUGAUAAUGAUAUGCAGUUAAUUCAACACUGUGGCCAUUUUGUUCAUUACGCAACAUGUUAGCCUCAAAUUUUUCUACAAUGCGCAAGAAAAAGCUUUAUUUUUAAUUAAAGAAAUUACUAAACCCUUUAUAGAAAUUUUCCAGAAAGAUAAUUAUUAUUCAAUCAAAAUAAUAAAUUAUUCUUUUAUACUGUUAUAUUUGCAUAGAAAAACAUUAAUCCACCUCAUCAUAUCAGAUUAUUACCAAAACACUGCAUAACCCAAGUUAUAGGCAAAUAUUAACACCUUAGUUAAAUUGGAAGGACUAAAUUCAUUAGAAUUGGAGUGAAGGGACUAAAUUGCCAAAUUUAGUUAAUAGAAGAACAAAACUCAAACUUCGAUCAAAGAGAAACAUAUCAGAAAGAAACAUAAAAAGAGCACUCUCCUUUUCGCAGGUACUUUCAGUUAGAUAUUUAAGCAAUCGACGUAAGAGCAGCAGUUUAAGGUUUGUAUUUAAAGGGGAAAAAGGUAGAGCCACAUAUAUUCUAGUAUAAUAAAGAUUGCAAACCAGAAAAAAGACAAAAGAAAAAGAUCAAAUAUGCCUACUUUCUUCUAAAGAACUGUAAGAACAUUGUAGUAAAACAAGUAGCUCUUUGUACCUGCGCAUCCCCUUUAUAAUUGCAAUGAGAAGCUCCAAACUAUAAGCAUGCAAGACCGGAAGCUCAGAACAAAUUAACUCUUGUUGCACAGAAGUCAUAAAGGGCAACAUGGUGUGUGGCAAAGAACCAUCAACUCUCAGCAGCCUCUCGACAAGAGCUAACAUCGACCGAACUGGAACAGUAACCUGUUAACCAAAACAUAUAAUGUUGCUGAAAAGCAUGAUUCUGAUGGAGCAGUAGCUUAAAAGAAAGAAAAAAAUAAGCCAGAAGAAUCUUUGACUCAAACUUAUAAAGCCACAUUUACAUAUAUUGCAUUUUCUAUUUCAAAAGUAAAAGAAAAAGCCAAUGAUAAUACCUGAACUGGAUAUGAACUUGUGAGCAUUUUACAGCAGCAAAACAUAAGAGUAGAGAUAGUUGCUGUAGGCAGUCUCUCAGAACUUGUUCCCUUAAAAGAGGCACCUCCUAAAGGUAAUGGCAGAUCUUUGCCAGGGGGAACCAAUAAUCUCCUAGCUUCAUCAGAUUUAGCUUCUGCAAGUUAUUCAAAGUACAGUCAUUUACUUAUUUAUCUUAACAAUAAAUGGUGAUUUAUCCAUAAAGGAGUUAAAUUAUAGUAUUAUACCUUCUUCUACACCUUGAAAGGCUUCAUUGAGGUGAUCAUUAAUUGAUAUCAUAAAUUUUUGCAUCAUUAAUGACCAGCUAUCCUUGUCUCCUUUUGCUUUGGGGAGCAAUGCUAAGCAAUAACCAAGUUUCUGGAGAUUGAACCAGACCAAAAAAUAAAAUUAAAGCAUGUAAUGGAAUUUACCCAUGCUACCUUUUUUUUCACCUUUUCUUUUGUAUUCAUGCCAUAAAACAGGGAAAAGAAACAUUUUACCUUCAAUGUUUUAGUACUAUAUUUCCCUGAAAGAAUUUUUGAAGCAAUAGCAGCUUCAACCUGCAAAAAUUAUUUUCGACCAGUACAUAGUAAAUUCGUUAGCAGGACGAAUCUAAUAAUUGUAUUAAGGUGUAGUUCAGUUGAAAGAAAUCCUUUUAUUCCUCUCUGACAUCAAUAUGCAAAUAAAACUAUAACAGCUGAGGUUUGAUUUCUCCUAUCAUAUUGAAUCUAAUGUAUGAAGUAUCAUAUAUGCUCCCCAUGAUUUUAUGGAAUCUUACGAAUCAUAGCAAAUAUGCCCCUGAUAUAUUAUUUAAGAUUUAUCAGACAAACAAUUUUUAUGUAUGAAGUUUAACAAUAUUGAAUCAUGUUGUCUACUAUACUUCUCUAUCACCCAACCUUUCUCACUUCUUCCUCUUUUUCCUUUGGCACAUGACUGCAGAGAUUGCAUGUUAUCAUAUUUGAGCAUUUUGCAACCCUAUAAAGCACAAGAUUAAGCCACGGAACAUAAACCAAAUCAUUAAUGUUUUUAAUAUCCAGCUAAAGAAGCUUCUUAUCUGUGGACAGCAUGUUUCUUCAGCUUCUAUUCUCAACGUAUAUGAGUUUGUAUCUACAUAGCACACGAGUUGACAUGGGACAUGAGUUCAUUCCAGACAUUGUUAAAUAAGAUUAACAUUUUUUCCAAAAAUAGGUCAAACAAAUAAAACCUACAUAUUUCUGUUCAUCGCUUUGUUUCUAUUACAAUUUAAUGGCCUAGAAGCUUUUAAAAUUCAAUCCCAUAAAAUUUGAACUUAUUAUAAACUCUUUUUAAAAUUGAAAGGAACCAGAAGUUGGCAUAGAAUUCAAACAUAACAUGGGGACGCAAUACAUUCAAGCACCCUAAAAAAUAUGCCAUAACACCAAUAUCUUCUUUUUCUAACACUUUAACCCCCCACCCCCGAAAAAAACUCCUUCCAGUCCCAGCAACCAUAAGCUGCACCUGAUAUGCAUCAAAACACAUCCGAACCAAGUCUAUAACUGACGUAGAUACAACAAUGAUACGUAGGGAGGGGGGGUAGGAGGAGAUAUUCAUGCUCAUAGGUCUUAACAUUACCAACAAUUAUUGAGAGUCAGAAAUUUCGUAAUGCAAAUAAACUUACCUUGUCAUAAUAGUGAUGGAUAGAAGCUGGAAAGAAGGCUAUAAGGGCAUAUAAUAAAUUAGCUGCUCCUUCCUGUCACGACAAAACAAGGACGGUAAACAACACUUCGAAGCAACAAGACAAGCAAAUAGAAGAAUCAUCAUUAUUUACAACUUAAGUCUGUAUCCCUAUGAUUCCUCCCAAGUCUAAAAAUGAAUUUCAACUGAUGUUGCCUCUAUCUAAAUGAAACUAUAGAUGCAUGUGAAAGAAUAAAUGAAUGAAAAAAAUGCAUUUCCAUAUCUUUCUGAAUAUGAGCUACUAUCCCUUAUUAUAAGACUUGUUCACACAUUAUAAUAAAUAUGUUCUAAACAUUGUAUGUUUUGAAGAAAAAGAUAAUAUUAAUUGUAAUAAAAUCUAAUCAAAGAACAAGUACAAUGUUUUGAGACAUUUCUAUCCAUACAAGCUUGGAAGGUACAGCAGGAAAAAAAACCUAGAAAUACACUACAUACCCAAACAGCCUCCACAUUAUCCUCAUUUAAGAGCUUCAAAACCGGUUGGAUGAGCUUCCCAGCAAGCAAGUUCCCAUCUUUCUUUACCUCUGGAAAUCUAGCCAAUCUAGAUCAGCAAAAAGAGCAGUUCUCCAAGUUACAAAAUAGUAUGAUAUAUGUCAUAGUGAACUUUGAGCUUUAAAAUUUGCUGUUUGGAGCAAUCUCUGACACAAAACAGAGGCAGCUGAAGCAAAAGUGUUGUCAAUAUGCAAAAGUAAACAACUUAUGCUAAUAUAAGAGUUAGUUAGAAAAAGCUUUGGAAAUUUAUGGUGAAACAAAACCAUAUUAGGAGAUCUACGGUUGUUCAUAAUUAUGAAGAAAUAGAAAAUGGCCGGAUCUUAUCCAAAAUGCAUACAAACAUCUUGACUAAUUCUAUGACUACAAUACUCAUUAAAUUUUGACUUUAACCCAACUGUCAACUGUACUAAGCUUCCCUCCAUUGAAUAAGUAAUCACCAAAAUUUCUGUCGAUAUCAUAUUCAAAGCAACUGCUAUCAGCAUAAAUAUUACAUGCAAAAUAUAUAUAAAACAAUGCAUUGACAAGCACAUGAGUGCAUAUGCAUAUGUAAGUACCUGUUCAGGCUAUACACGUGUUUGUUGGCAAGAAAAACAAAUAUCUAACCUCGUCAAUAGAUCUGCUAGUGAGGUACAUGAAGCAAUCUUCACAAGUUGAGAGUCUGCUGGAGGCUGUUUAGAACAAAGGAUAUGACAUGUAUUGUCAAGUACAUCAAAAAAGAAUGUAAAGAACUGCAUCAAAAUAUGCCUAGGAGUACACACACACACCAAUAUACAUUAUACAUUGAAAAGAAAUUCGAGCUUUCAUAAAAUUCAAGGAAAAGUCAUGACUGUUAACUACAAGAAAAAUAUCAAAGUUCCAGUACUUUUUGCAGCAUAAGAAACAUAUAUGAUUCAAUAUCACAAAUACUACAAGCUUUAUAGCUAACAUGCUAUCUACUACUCAUAAAUGACAGAGUUAGAAAAUCUAAAAUGCAAACCAAAUGAAAUUGGAAGAACUACUUGAUUUUGAUCUCUACCCACAUCAAUAUCACGCCACCUACAGCUUUUGUCUCUAACUCUGUAUAAACUAAAUAGGGCACAGGUACUCACUCACAUUAAUCUCUUGAAUAAAUUCAUUCAAAACUUUUCAGCCUAUACACAUACACAAUCCUGAAACACAGAAUCCCAGUAUGUUUAAUCUUCAAUUACUCUCUCCCUAAAAGCAGUUCAAAGUCAGACAUAACACAUCUUGUAGAUGUUUGCUAAACAGAAUCAUGUUAAAUACGUUCAUCUAUAACUAACAGAUUAUUGAUGGCUCCUUAAAUGUUAAAUUCUUUGCAAACUUCUAUGUGUUCUUACGCAACCAAUGUAAACCAGAUUUAGAUCUAUCCACUGGAAAUACAGGAUUUGAUAUGCAUUCCCAUAAAACUUAAUUAACUUCACAGGGUAAAACUGCAAUACUUCAUGUACAAAAACAUGAUUCUCAGAAUCAUACCCAAAAAAUAUGAUACAAAGAACAUUUUGGAAACCAUACAUAAAUCAUCAUGGUUAUAAACAAUUACAAUCUAUCAUAGUAGUAUGUUCACAUCAUCAGUCCUUAGAAAAUAAAUUAAAGAAAUACAAAUAAAUAAAAAAGUCCCACUUGCACGAAGUUUAAAUAAAGUAGAUAAACAAGUAGACAUAAAAAACAAUGUCAACACAAUAUUUCAUAUACCUGAAUAUGUGAUAGAAGCUUGUUGAGCCAAAUAGAGUAAGAAGACAAAAACCGUUGAUUACUGCACUCUUGACAAGUAACCCCAAGCAAACAGAUUCCAACCCAACAUUUAUCUGACUACAAAAUUUUACAUAAGAUGAAUAAAAUACGAUUGGGGGCAACAAAGAAAAUUUAGGCAGAGUUACAAUUUUAUCAUUAAUAAGAAUGAACCAGAAUAAAGCCAAAUUACACUCUCUCUUUUUUCUUUCAUCAAUAAAAGAAAUCUCAAAUUUUAAUUCUUCAACUUUCGAAAACAGAAACUACACAUUAGUAACAAAAAAACAAAGUAACAGAGUGAUGCUUCAUAACCCAAAGCUCAGAGCUAGAACAUUCUUUUAUUUUCAGGGAAAAGAAAAUGUGAAAUAAUCACAGGUCAUUCAUUUUAAACAGGAAAAAGGAAAACAUUUAGAAACUCAAAAGAAAGAAUUGAAACAUACCAUAUCGCUAGAGAGCAGCGAUAACAAGCAAUUGAGCCAAUCAUCGACGGCUGAUUUCCAGGUGUUAAUGAGCUUUGGAUCGAUGGAUUGUGAGUCCAAUUCCGACAAGAGACAGUGAGUUUGGACGAUGGAAACCAGGCUUGGCAGCUCAAAACAGCUGUUGUUGAGAUUGAGAGGGUGGUUCUCGGCAGGAAGAUAUUGUCUAAUCAGACUGCGAAGCAUCACUGGCUUCAAUCCCAGGUCGUACAUGUUUUCUAAUUGAUCGAACCUUGCCAUUAUUCAAGAAAUGGAAUUGCUUUUUUUUUUCUUGGUGCUAACCAUAAAAAUGCAAAAUAAGUUGUUUUUUUGUUAAUAAGGGUUUAGGGUUUAUGUUUGACAGAAGAAGAAAGAAAACCAAAAACCUGCAACUAUCUAUACAAUGACAAUUAAGCCCUGCCUUAAACUCUUUUGAAAUUUUUUUACUAUUAAUUAUUAAAAACAUUUAUUAAAAUCUUAUUAAAGAAUAUGAAAAUAAAUGUAUUACUUUUAUUUAAAUAUUAUAUAAUAUAAAUAAAUUUUCAACAAAAUUUUUAAUUUGUUAGUGUCACACAUGUAAUUUUUAAUUAAUUUAUAAAAUAUAUAUUUUUAAUUACUAUAAUUAAUAUAAAUUGAUUUUCGUUAUUUGAAUUAUUGAACAUAAUUAGAGUGUAGUAACUUAUUUAACAAUUCAAAUUAUAAUAGUAAUAAUAAAUUCCAAAUCACAAAACAUUUUUACCAUAUUUAGUGUAGAAUAUAGUUUUACUUAAUAUAAUUAAUAAACAUAAUUAAUUUAUAUAAAUUAUUUUUGUCACACCCCAAAUCUGACAGAUUCAAGAUUUGGGCGUGUUUUAAUGAAAUAAUAUAUUUGAUGAAGUGUACUUCACCUGUAUGUUUCUUUUGGCUUAAACAUGUGGGUUUAUUAAUAACUGUCUUGUAAGUAGGUAAAUGUUCUAUUUCAGAUUAUUAUGUUAUUUGAAAAGAAAUAUUUUGUCAAGUAGAAAGAUAAUUAUAGUAUGAGUUAACGUCAAAGGUAUAGUACACCCUGUUUGUCCAAAGUACUGUAUUAGUUAAGUUGUAAGGUAAUUUGGUUAGGAACUAACUAGAUAGAUUGGUCUGAUAUUUAUUCUAUCGGAUUCUCAUUUAUAUUUUUCUUAGAAAUUGUAGACCAUUAUAAUGGACAACUCUAAAAAUUUAUGGCACUUGUUAAGUUCCACUAAGAAGAAAUAGGUGAUAUAUGUGUGUGUGAAAAGAGUUCUAGGGGAAGGUUCUUCUUAUUUUUCUUCCUCCUUAAAAAUGCUACUCAUUGAUUCUUUUUCUUAUAGUCUAAAUGUAUUUCUUCCUCGUGAUGCUGGAAGCUAUGGUUCUCAAUUACUGAAUGAUUAUUCCAUUUCCGGGUAAGUAUUACAGCUCCGCAUGUUAGAUUUUGAUUGAGCAAGUUUGUAAGAGAUAUAUGAACAGUAAAGCUUUUGGUGUAAGGUUUUGCAUGAGGUUGUCAAUAGUUGAAGUAAAUUGUAUGUGUAAGAUUUGUAAUAGUGAAUUUAUGUCCUAUAAGCAACUGUUGUUGCUGGUUCGAGAAGGAUGUUUGAGUCUAAAACUUAGAUGCAGUAAAUGAGAAUCAGGUGAGUGUUUAUCCUAACUCUUUUAUGUGACUUGUUCAAUGGAAGUAUAACUAUAUACGUAUAUACGGGAUGAUGAUGUCUUCAAUAAUCAGUAGAAGUAUAAGUAUAAUGAAGAUGAGAUUUGUGCUAUGAAGAUGUGUAACAAGAUCUGUUAAAAUGAAUAAUGUUUUAUAAGCACGCAUGUAAGGUCUAAAAUACAAUAUGUAUAAACAAGUAAAAGUGGUGAACAUCUGGGUAAGUGAAUGUUGAGUAUGUGUUUCUUUGUGAAGCCUCUGGUAAGACAAUUAUAUUGCUAACUAGACUGGCAAAUCACGGUAUGAAAACAAAAGUAAGAUCAUGAGUUUAAACCUAUAGCAUCUUAAUACGAUUUGGAACCAUUCAUGGUGUAGCCUCUAGUAAGAUGAAGACUGGACUAGCAAAGCACGAUACGAAAAUGUACGUAAGACCAUGAGGUUGAGACCUAUGACAUCGUAUGAUAUGAAAACACUCAUGGUGCAGCCUCCAAUAAGAUGAAGACUGGACAGGCAAAUCACGAUACAUGAGAAUGUGCAAGUUCAUGUGGUUGAGAUCCAUGGCAUAAUAUGUUUGUAUAUAUGUUCAUGGUGUAGCCUUCGAUAAUGUACAAAUUGAAAUGGCAACUCACGAUACAUGCACUUGUGUAUAAGUCCAUGAGGGAGAAAUCCAUACCACCUUUUGUGAGAGUCCACCGAGAUAUUAAAGACAUGAUUCUGUAUGUCGUCUUUGUAGCGUAUUCUAUAUGUCACCUUUGUAGUGUAUUCUAUUUGUUACUCUAGUAUCGUAUUCUAUUGAGCUCUCAAGGCGUACUAUGUUAAAUUUGUUUCGUAAAAAAGUGUUUAUUCGCUUUUAUGGUAAGUUCUAGAAACAUUUUGACUGAUCUGUGAUAAGUAUUACUAAGAUAAGGUUAUGAUAUUGUAAUGACCCAAAAUUCACGGGCAUCGGAAAAGUAUAAUAUCGGGCCUCCGUCUUAGUAAACUGAGUUCGAAAAUAAUUAUUAGAAAUAUUUACGAAGCUAGUUGUAUGUUUAAUUAGGUUUUAGAUAGGUGAAUUUAGCUUAAUUAAGAGUAAUUAGGAAAAAGGGAUUAAAUUGAAUAAAAGGUAAAAGUCUAAUUAUAGAUCAAAAGAAAAUAAGAGGGACUAAAUAGGAAAUAAGCCAAUGGCUUAAGAGUAGGCGGCAAUACAUGGAAAAAUCUUAGAUUUUUCUUGAUUAAUAUUAUAAAAAUGUUAUUUAAUUAAAAUAUUAUAAAUUAUAUUAAUUAAAAUUAAGAUAUUAUAUUAUAAGAAAUAAAUAAAAUAAAGACAAUUGUGUGGUGAUAAAAUAUUACAUGUGUAAAAUAUAUAAAAACACACUUGUAAUAAAAUAAAACAUUUUCUUAUAAUUCAAGUAAAAGAUAUUUGUGAAUUAAAUAUUAUUAUAUGAUUAUUAUAUUAUUAUUAUUAUCUAAUACAUAAAAGGAAUAAAAGAAAAGAAGAAAAGAAAAAAGAAGAAGAAAAGAAACAGAAUAGGAAAGGACGAAACAGAGAAGAAACAGGGGAGAAAGAAGAAAAAGAAAGAAAAAGGGAAAAUAGGGUUUUUAAAGCUUGGAAUGUAAUUUGGUAAGUCAAUCAAGUCUUUUCUUUUAUUUUUGAUGUUUUAGAAGUUUUAAAACAAAGUUUUGUUGAAAAUAAGUUGAGGUUUUGAGAGUUUAUAGGUUUUUAGGGAUGGUUCAUGUUGAACAAAUUGUUGAAUUAGGGAUUUAAUUGAAUGAAUUUCAAGUUAGAAUUGAUAAAAGGAUUAAAUUGUAAAAGAAAUUAUAAGUUUUACGUUUUAGGGACUAAAUUUAGAGAAAUUCGAAAUUAGCAAAAUAUGCUGAAAUUUUGAUAGUUAAAUUUAAGUUUGGAUGAAAUUUGAAUAGAAAUAGAGUGUGAAUUGAAUUAGAAAAGUAAGUGAACUUAGUUAGGAUUAAAUUGAGAACAAGGUAGGAAUCGAUUAGAAAUUUAAUUAUUUAUUAUAAUUAGUGCUGUAAUUAAUAGUAUAAAUUAUUAUUAUUUUCGUAGCUAACAAAGAACUUGAGGCAUCGGCGUCAAAAGGAAAGGACAAAGUUAUCGAGGACUAAAACGGGAGAUUUACGGUUUGUAUUACUAUAAUUCAAGUUAUUUAUUAUUAAAUGUUAAAUAUUAAUUUAUGUGUUUAGUAAAUGAAAUGUGAGGUAAGUAUUAUUAUUAUUAUUAGUAUUAUUAUUAUGAAGAUGAGUGGGAAUUAAAUUGAAUAGUUGAUAUGAAUUAAUAUUUGAAUUGUUUGUUGAUUGAAAUUGGGAAAUGAAUUUGAAUCAAAUUGUGAAUGGUAUUAAAUUGUAUUGAAAUGUAUUGAGUUGUGGAAAUGUAUGAAAUUGUGGAUUAAUUAUUGAUUGAAAGGUGGAAAAAUGAUUGAAUUGAAAAUGUGAGAAUUUGUGAUUGAAUUGAGGUUAUAUGUGAUUUAAAUACCCUAUUAACUAGUCGAGCUGAGUCGGAUAUAGUUGGCAUGCCAUAGGAUUGGAAGAGUUCAGGGAUACUUCGAUCUCGAGUCGAUAAGACAUUGGGUGUCACUAUAUUUCUUCGGAUAAAUUCGAUGAGGUACUGGGUACCAACUUUCUUCGGCUUUGCCGAUGAGACACUGGGUGUCAACUAUUGCUUCGAACUAUCCGAUGAGGCACUGGGUGCCAUUUUGGUGUGUUUGGUUGAAUCCGUGUAUCUGCCAAAGUCCGAGUUUUGUUAAUAGGGUAAAUAAUGAAAUGAUAAACGUACGAGUUGAUCAAUUGUGCUACUGAAAUGAAAUGAAAAAGUUGAAUUAUGAAUUGAAAUGUGAUAUGAGAUUGAGAAAUGAACCUAAGGUUCAUGAUAUGUCUAAAAUCAAAUUGUGGAUGUAUGAUAUUAAUUGAUGAAUUGCUACUGUUGAGAUAUUGAAUUAAAAUUUGUAUAUAAGAUUUAUGCAUUACAUGUUUAUUAUUGUUAUAAUUUGAAUUAUGGUAAUACCACUGAGUAUGAAAUACUCAGAGUACGGUUAUUUCCGUGCGCAGGUCGAUAGAAGUCAAAGGUCCCGGUUCAGCAUCCAGAUUAAUCUCGGCUUCAGCAUAACUUUGGUGAUGUAUAUUUUCUUUUGGUAAUGUGGCAUGUACAUAGGAUGUGUAUAAAGAUUAUUAUGUUUUAAUAUAAAUGCUUAAAAAUGUUAGUAUUAUAAGUUUAUGAAUUAUAAUGAAUGAAGUUUAUCUAAAUCAAAAACAUACAUUAGGAACAAGUUGGGACUAAAUCAAAAACUCAAAGAAUUUUUUGUAAAAUCUCAAAAUUUUUCUAAGGUACAAGGGGCAUACGCCUGUAUGGCCAAGCCUUGUGGCUCACAUGGCCAAGUGACACACCCGUGUCUCAGGCUGUGUGGCGUUUGAAGUAGAGCACAUGGCUAUGUCCCUAGCCCAUGUAACUCUCUGACUUGCAAUUCUUUUAGGUGCAAGAGUCACACGGCCAAGUCACACGCCCGUGUGCCAGGCCGUGUGAAAAUUUCUGAGCAUUCUGCUUUAAAUUUUUAAGUUGUAGAGGAUACACGGCUAGAACACACACUCAUGUGCUAGGCCAAGUGUCACACACGACUGAGACACACGCCCGUGUCUCUGCCCGUCUGGACAAAAUAAGGUCAUUUCCAAGCCUUAUUCUUCACCCAAUUUCACCUGCCACCUAUAUAAACACUUAAACACAUUCAAGAGUCAAUCCAAGACAUUUAAACCUAGCCAAAUUCAAGUCUUAUGCAUGACAUAUUUAUACCUAUGAUCAAAUGUCCAACUUACCAAGAUAGUCUAAUACUUAUAAACAUGUUUUACUAAAUACACUAUCAUAAACUAAUAUCCAAUAUACUUAUAUGAUUUUCCUUAUUCAACCCUUUAAACAUACUCAUCAAGCAUAUUAAGACUAUUUACAUAUCAAAACAUAUCACUUAAUAGCCAUUACAAUGGCUAAUUUCAACCAACAUUACAUUGCCAUCAAUGGUAACAUUUAACCUAUACAUGCCAUUAUUACCAAAAUUAGUUUACUAUUUAUAUAUAUACCGAAAAGUCUGAGGGAUAGUGUGAUGUAGCUCUAACUAGCUUCCAACCUUUACGAGCCUUUAAGUACUAUAAAGUAGAUGAAAUAAGACAGAGUAAGCACUUAAUGCUUAGUAAGUCCGUAUAACGGAAAAUUAACUUACCAUUCAUUUACUUAUAUAAUAAACAUGCAUAAUACAUCCAAAGUAAUUUGGCAAUUAGCCUAACACAUAUAACCUCAACAAACAUGUUAGUCAUGUGUUUCAUGUAAAUAACAAGAACAAGGAUGAGCUCAUCAUGUAUCGAAUUUCCAAGUAUUUCAUGCAUAUACAGAUAAUAGUUUCAUUUUGAUUUCACAUGUUUCCAUGUCAGAAUUUCACCCGUUGAAUCAUUUGAAAUCUCGAUGGAUACUUGAGUUGUACACCUAAAGUGUACAAUACUAUAAAUUCGUCAAUUCAUAUCUGAGAGUGCUUUUAUGAGCACUUAAACAGAAAGCUCUCUCUUAAGCACUAUAACGGAAAGCUCAUUGAGCCUUGUAACGGGAAGCUUAUCCGGUCAAUAUAACGAGAAGCUCACAAAGAACCUAUAACGGGUAGCUCCAAAAAGCAAUUAAUGGGUAGCUUCGAAGAGCAAUUAACAGGAAGCACAUGAUAGCCAUAUAACGGGAAGUUCAAGCCAGCACUAACAGGAAGCUCAUAAAGAACCUUUAAUCGGGAAGCACAUGAAGAGCCAUAUAACGAGACGAUCAUAAGAGCUGCAGUGUGCCCACAACACAUGUAGGGUCACAACCGAUCGGGAUGCUCUGAAGAGCAUUUAACGAGAAGCUCGCAAGAAUACUAUAACAGGAAGCUUGAGAGGGCUUGUAACGGGACGCUCUUUCGAGCUACGAUACGUUCACAAUAUAUGCAGGAACACUACCAUUUCGGGAAAUAGAACCGUGUUUCCAUCGAAUCUCAUUAUCCAAACGAGACUUAUUAUUUAUCAGGGAUUUUCAGUUAUGAGAUCAAUUACAUAUACAUAUAUGAAAUUUACAUAAUUUACAUAUUCAACACUCAAUAUAAGCAUAUAAAUAUACACAAUUAAGUUAGACGAACUUACCUCGACAAUUGUUCGUGACUUGUAAACUCCUAAUCCGAUACUUUUUCUUUUCCACGAUCUAACUCCAUUUUUGAUCUAUCUAGAUCUAUACGAUUAAAUUUAACAUCAAUUUAAUACAAUUUACAUUCAAUUUAAUCCAAGUCACAUUUUAUGCCAAAUUAUCAUUUUGCCCCUAUACUUUUAAUUAAUGAUGAUUUCGUCCCUAGGCUCGGAAAAUAAAAUUCAUGCAAUUUAAUCCUUAUCCCAAGCCUAGAUAUUUUCAUAUAUAUUAAUAGCAGAUCAUGAAUUCCAUGAAAUUUUAGAAUUUUGCAUGAAUUCAACAACUUUUCAAUUUAAUCCCUAAAUAAUGAUUUCAUCCAAAAUCCUUUAAUAAAAUACCUUUAAAUAUCCAUAUACAUCUCAAUUUCAUCGUAUAAUAACUAAAAUCAUAUAAACUUAUCAAUGGUAUCUUUCAAAACUUUCAACAAAAUCAAAAACUAAUGACAUGGUUAGUUGGACCUAAUUGUAAAAGUCCCAAAAAAUAAAAAUUUCAAGGAAAGAGCAAGAAUUAAACUUACAUGAAGAAAAUAUUGAAAAACCAGCUUAAACCCUCUUAAAUGGUUGUUUUACAACUGAAAAAUGAUGAUAAAAUGUAUAGAAUUUCAAUUUCCCUUUUAUUUCACUUAAAUUUGGCCCUUAUUUCACAUCAAUCCUUUGAUUUUUCUAUGCUUAUGCCACCUCAGCCAUCCCAUGUGGGUCCAAUUGCCCUUUUAGUCCUCCUUUAUUUACUAUUUAGGCUAUUUAAUCACUAUUUAUUUAAUUAGCAAGUUUUGUUCUUUUUUCAAUUAAGUCCUUUUUAAUUAAUUAACUACCAAAACAUUAAAAUUUUCUAACAAAACUUUAGUACUACCUUAAUGACACUCCUUGAAUAUUUAUAAAAAUAUUUACGGCUCGAUUUAUAGGACCGAGAUCUCGAUACCUCUUUUCUAAAUCACUUUACCUAAUAAAGCCUUGUAAAACUCAAAUUACUAAUUCAAAAAUCUUUUAAAAACCACAUUUGAAUUGUAAAUAUUAAAUAAUAAAAAUUUACGAGCUUAUUUACUAGAUUUGGUGGUCUCGAACCACUGUUUUCGACAUCACUGAAAAUUAGACUGUUACAGUCUGUGUUAUGUAAGGGUUGAAUACGAGUCAUCAGGAAUCCACCAUACCUGAGUUGCAUUAAGCCUUCUUCUAAAAUCACAUGGAAUCUGAGUUAUUGUUAUCUUGAGUAUUUGGAGUCUUAUGAUAGAGUGGUAUGAAAUUUAUCAGAAUGAUCUGUAUAAAAUGUUAUCAGUGUGAGUUGGUAUGAUAUCGAGCUUAGACAUGAUGUGACAGGUAGUUGAGGGAAUUCAGAUCUGCAUAAGCAUUUGCCAAAAUGAUAAGAACCACUAUUUUGGAAUAAGUGUAUGGGUUAAGAGACUAUUUGUACGAAGUAAGCUUGUAGUCAUAUUUUUUGGAGUAGUACUUUUGUGAUUAAGAGAAAGAUGGGAUGGGUGUAAUGUUUGAAAGGAUCAUAAGCUAGUUAGUUCAUAAAGAAUGGAUAAGUUAAGAAUAAGGUAGUUGGUGUGUAAGAGUACGCUGAAACUGUAUAGUAUCUGCCUAAAACAGAAGUAAGUGAUUAAAAAAGAUAGUUGGCGCAUAGAUGUAUUGCAAGUAUUAGGAAGUAUCCGUCAAGGUAUUGUAUAUUAAGGCUCACCGAGUUCUUUGAAACUUACAACGAUUGUGGUUGUUUUAGGUAUGCGAUAUAAUAGUGCACUAGGAGGGACGACGCAAGGAGUACGCUAAAGUAGCGACGAAAAGGAUUAUUAUGCAUACAGUGGAAAAAAAAGGCGCACUGUAGUAUUUUACUAUAAGAGUCAAUUAUGUAGUAAAUACUUGUUUUGUAAUAAAUUGUUUUUGGUCUGAUGCAAACUUUUAUUUUUAAAUACUUUCUAUUGUUCCUUUGAUAAUAAGUAUUCAUAUGAAAUGGUAAUGAAAAAUGUUUUAAGUAAAGAAUGUCUGCCAUCUGCUUUGAAAGCUUUUGUUAAGUAAUGUAUGUCGCAAUAUCUGAGACCUAGAUUCGGUGAAUCAAGUCGGGUUGAGGAUGUUACAAUUUUUAUCAUUAAAAAAUAAUGUUAAUAAAAAAAUUCCUAAUAAUAUUACACCAUUUGUACAAACUAGAAAAAAAAUGAUAUAUUGUAAAUUAAACUUUUUCAUAUUCAAUUUUGUAUUUUCUUUCUUUCUUUAUAGUUAAUAAAUUGAAUACAAAAAUUUGUAGAUAAUAUAUAAUUAAUAUAAUUAUAAUAUAUUAGAUUAGAUUAUAUAAAUGUAUUAUCUAUAAAAUUUUAUAUAUGCAACUUAUAUAAAUAAUUAAAAUUUUCUUUAAUGGAAAUAUAAUAGUCAUUUAAUAGUAGUCUUUUAAUAUAAUCAAAUUCUUACUUAUGAGAUCACUUUUUUCAAGUAAAUUUGUUUAACCAAAUAUUUUAGGAAAGCUAAAUUUUUUAUUUAUAAAUGUAAUAAAUCUUAUAAAUAGAAGUAUUAAAAUGAAAAUUUUUAGUAUUAUAAUGAACAACAAAAAUUAUAUUAAUCGGUUCAAAAGUUUUUCUAAAUUUAUGUUUUAUAUAUUAAUUUUUAGCAUCACAUACAUUGUACAUGAUUUUAAGCCUUUAAUAAUUUAAUUAAUUUUUAAAAGAAUAUAUUUUUAAUUAUGAUAAUCAGUGUAAAAAAAUAUUCAAUUAGUUUUUUAAAUAUUAUAUUUUGAAUUACUUUAAUAAUUCUAAAAUGAUAAUAUUUAUCCAAAAUGUUGAAUAUAAUUAAAAUAUAUUAACUUAAUUAAUAAUUUAAAUAUAAUAAUAAUUUCCAAAUCAUAAUUAAAACAUAUCUAACAUAUUAUAAAUAAAAAACCAAAUAUAAGUAAAAAAUAAAACAAAAACAGUAUAACGCAAAAUAGAUUAUGAGGAUUAACGAGAGAUAAAGUUGAACAUCCCCAUGGGACAUGGAAUCGACAAAAUUUGGUUUUUUGGAGCUUUGGUCAUUUAACUGUCGUAAUUGGACUACCAAAUUUGGAAAUUAUUGAUGAUAUAUCCAAGUCAUAAAAAAAAAGGAAACAAAAAGUUCAAGAUUUUUCAUUUCAUGAAAGAUUUUGUGUUGCAUUGUUUUCUCUACUCGAAGAUUUUCGUCUAAAAAAGUUGUUGAUAAUACGAUUAUUAAUAAAAACAGCAAGAAAAAUAAACGUCAUAUGUAAUUUUAUCUAAUUGUUCUAGUGCAUAUUUGUUGGGUUAUUCUCUCUUUUACUAUUUAACGCAUGUUCCUUGUCAUCAUUUCAAUUUGAACAUGCAUCGUUAAGAUUAUCGAGAUCUCUUUCUUCCAUGUACUUUAUGAAGAAUGGGUCAUCACAAUUUCACCUAAGAUUGAAAUUAUGAAUAUGCAACAUGCUAGUAUAGUCUAGCAUUUUAUUUUAUAAAAAAGUUUUAUAAAAUAGGCCUGAAAUUUUUCCUAAGCCUGACACAGAUAAAAAUGCUAAAACCCAAGCCCAACUAUAUUAAAUUUUUUAUAUUUUCAUAUAAUUUUUUUAAAAACUAUAAUAUCUUAAAAAUAAAAUAAAUAUUUCCUAACAAAUUAAAAAUAAAAUUAAAAAAUGUAUAAUUAAAUAAAGAAUGAAAAAAACAUCCUAUGCGUACAAAUAACACUGUUAUAAAGAAUGAAAAAACAUCCUAUGUGUACAAAUAACACUGUUAUAAUAACAUUACUAUAUAUUAACCUUUUUUAAGUAACAAAUACAAAGAAUAUUUUUGUUAUUUAACCUUGUGAAGUUCUUAAUAAUACAGUUAUUUAUUUAAUAACAGUGUUAUAAUAUAUUAAUCCUAUUUGUAUCGAGUUUAAUAUGUUAGUAACACUAAGAAAUUAAAAAAUAUAUAUGUAUACUUAAAUAACCGUGUUAUUAUAACUCAACAUAGUUCAAUUUAACAAGUAAAUAUUUUUAAAAUAGUAACAAAAUUAACAAUAAAAUAAGAGUUAUAUAAUAUCUAAACAAUAACAACAAAACAAUAAUAACAUAGUAAUGAAAUGGUAGCAAAAUAGUGUUAAAACAACAAGAAAAUAGAAUCAGAAUAGUAAACAAAACAACAACAAAAACUAUUUUUUUUUUUGUAAAUUUGGGCUAGACUCGGGUCAAAAAAACCUUACUCAAGGUCCGACCCAUUUUCUAAAUGUACCUUAUUUUUAACUCAUACCAAUUUUUCGAGCCUAUAUUUUUACUUAAACUUUCUAACUUUAUGGGUAAGUCUUUAGGCCAAGCUGGGUGGCCCAACCUAUUAAUAGGUCUAUAAGUGACUAAAACAAAAAUAAAAGAUAAUAUUAAUGAUAAAAUUGAAAGUUUUUAUAAUUUAAUAACAAAAAAAAAUACGCUGAUAAUUGAGUAACUGAUUAUAUAAUUAUCAUUCCUAUGCAUAAAAUCUAUAUAAGAGAGGCAUGCUUUUUUUGUAGUCUUCCCCUUUAACUAGACAAAGCAAAGUGAUCUGUACUUGAAAUUAAGCAAAGCACAAUACUCUUUUUUUUUUUUUUUUUUUUUACUUUAGCAUCUCAACCUUUCAAGUUACUCUUGCAUAUACCUUUCUUGCUAGAAUUUAAGGUAAUAUGCCUUGUUUUUAAUUAAUUAUUCUUAAUUUAAUUAUCUUUCUUCUCCAUAAAUUUCUUACUUUUUUUAAUAAUGAUUAUGUUUUCCAAUAAAAAUAUUAUAUAUGUGAUGCAUUAAAAAAUUAAUUAUGAUAUAAAAAUUAAGAUUAAAGGGUGUUUGAAGCACCUACACUUUUUUACGAAAAAUUAUUUAAGCUUUUAUGCUUUUUUUUCUUUUCUUUUUUGCACUCCAUUGAGUCUUUAAAUAUUAAAAUUUUAAGUAAUUAAGUUUUUUAACUGUUAAAGUUUACGGUCAACUGUUAAAGAGUAAAUAUGACGAUUUUGAGGCUUGUUUUUAUCACAUAGCAAACUAGGAUUGUGUUAUAUGGUGAAAUCUGACAUUUUAUAUUAAAAAUCAUAAAAAUUAUAAAUAUAUAUAUACAAAUUGUAAACAUAUAUAAAAGUGAAAAAUUACAACAAAAAUUAUAUAAAUGACAAAAAAAUGUUAAAUUUAUUAAAAUUUGAAAAAAUUUAAAAAGUAUUAAAAUUUAAAAUUAAAACUAUAAAAAUUAUGAAAAUUUUUUAAAAUAUAGAAAAUUAUUUGAAAUAUUAUAAAAUAUAGAAAGUGAAAAAAUUAUAAAAAAAAGUUUAAAAAUAAGAUGAACUACAAAAAGGGUAUACCAAAAUAGUCACUUUUGUUUACUUCAGGUUACGUAUUAGUCACUUACGUUAACGUGUUGUAACAUUUUAGACACUGAGCCGUUAAUUGUAGUUAACGGUGUAAUGGUAAGCUGACGUGGCAUGUUAAAUUGUCAUUUCAAACAAAAAAAUUUGGCUAAAUUUUACAAUUGGUCCCUAUUUUUUUUUUGUUUUGAGCAAUUUAAUUUUUUCAUUUUGGUCCCAUAAAAAGUUUUAACAUAUGGAAACAUAGAAAAACUACGUGUUAAAAGAAAUGAAGAAGAGAAUAACAAUAAUAACAAAAUCAUGAAAUAGGAUAUUUUAAUUGUUAAACCAUUUAAUUGUUAAAGUUAACGGUCAACUGUUAAAAGAGUAACGAUAGCUAUUUUAGAGGUUGUUUUCAUGAUGUGGCACAUCAGGAUUGUGCCAUGCAGUGAAAUAGGAUAUUUUAUAUAAAAAAUCAUAUAAAUAUCUUCAAAUUAAAAAUAUAAUAAAUGGAAUAAAACAUAAAAAAUAUUAAAAAUUGAAACUUUUUUAAAUAAAGAUUAAGAAAACAUAAAUAUAUAUAAAUUACAAAAAAAUUGCAAAAUUAUGGAAAAUAUUUAAAAAUAUAGAAAAUUAUUAAAAUUAUUAAUAAAAUUUAAAAACUAUUAUAAAAAGCAUAAAUUUGUUCAUAAAAUAAUUAAGUUAUUAGUAUAAAUAAUGAGAUUUUUUUUUACUAUUUUUCAAGUUCGUUUUAUUGCUCAUGUUUCGGGUUUGUGACUGCCUCUCUUAAUAAUAUCACCUUCAAGAUUCAAAUAUACGUUCUUCGCUUAAGAGUGUAAUGUAUCUUAUCAUAGUACCCAACACUUAUUGGUAUGAUAUACUUAAACUACUAAUUGUAAUUCUAUACUAAAAAUAUAUAUAUUUAUUUUGGAUUUGAAUGAUUCGAUUUACAUUUUUAAAAAAUUGUUUUAAAUUUUUUAACUUACUAGAUUUAUAUAUUAAUCAUAUUUGGAUAUGUAACGCCCUGAAUAAUUUAUUUUUGUUUUUGUAAAUACUUGACAUAAUUGUAUAUUUGUUUUAGUGGUUAAGUGUUUUGGGUGUGUGUAUGGGGUUUUAGGUCCAAGUCCCACUUUAGGUAAAAUUUGUUAUUUUUCUAAUCCUAACCUUAUCCUUGUUGAGUGGGUUUAUAUAAAAUUGUUUGAUAAUUCAUAUUAGAAUAAGCUUAUUGGUUCGAGUGGUAAGGAGUUGGUGUGUUGAAGGUCUUGUGUUUAAAUCAUUGCGUGAGUGUAGGUAUUAAUUUUUACCUUGAUUGGCUGAGAGAGUUUGGAUGGGAGUGGGAGUCUGAGUGAGUGGCUAGUUGUGGUUGAGAUGAUAGUGGGAAGUUGGGAUACUGGGGUUAUCUGAUUUUGUUUUUGUUUUUUUCAAAAAAAAAAAAUUGGUCCUCUCUCUCAAAAAAAUUUCUGAUGUUGGUUUUCCCUUUCUCUACAUUUUUUAUCAAUUUAAUUGUUCAGUCUUGGUAGUUCAGCUUUUCGGUGUUCUUGUGCGUUUGUUAAGUGGUGUCAGAAUGCUUUCCUCGGGUUAUAGAGAUUUUUCUUUUAAGCUGUUUAGAAUGAUGUUGAUUUUUCGUUGGUAUUGAAAUUAUGUUUUUGGCAGUAGCGAAUCGUGAAGAACGAGACUCUCCUCUUGCGCAAUCGUAGUCGAAGUCAUUCAAGAAAUUGGGUAAGCGUUGAACAUUCGAGUUUCAUCAUCAUCAAUUUCGUUAGUUCGGUUUAAUUGUGAGUUUAGAAUGAUGUUGGAAGUUUAGUUGUGUCAAUUUUAGGUGUUGUUUUGGUUCGGAAGUGUUUUCGCAUUAAAACUGAAACAGUUGUGUUCCCAAAACGCAGAAAAUCAAGUUUCAGUAAAAGCCAAAAAAUGAAUUCUAUCGACGCCACACGGGCGUGUGCCUAGCCGUGUGCGAGACACGACCGUGUGUUUGUCGAAGGCAUGACCAUGCGUAAGACAUAGCCGUGCGGUGGUGUGGGUAUGGCCGUGUGGGCCACACAGGCUAAACCAAGUAGGCCGUGUGGGCCACACAAGCAUCUGGACCGACACGUUUUGGGCUAGCCCGUGUGAGCCACAGGGCAAGGCCAAUCUAGGCGUGUGGGCCCACACGGGUAUGUGGGCCCAUAAUUCUAAAAUUUUCCCUAGGGUUACACAGUUUGUUUCGAUCGACUGUGAGCCAAUCGUAAGGUCGGUAAGGGUUAACCAAACCAAUUAUGUGAUCUGAUAUUUUGAUAGUUUGCCUUGUGUAGGAUACCGAGAUGUAUAUCUGUUCUAUUUAAGUAGAUAUAUAUAUAUAUGCUAUCUGUGUAUAAGUAUGUUAUGAAUGAUAUUACUGUAUCUGUUAUUUUUAUAUUUAUAAACUAUAUCUGUGAUUGGACCAGGUUUUGUAUAUGUGGAGGAAGUGCUCUGUACAGUGACACUUCUCCUAUACUCUGGUAGCUUGUCUGCAUAUUAUCUGUAAUGUGUCGCAUCUAUGGUGUGUUAGGAUGAGUGAGUGUUUUUAACCCCACAUGAUGUGAUGGGAUGGUCGGAGAUGGUGUGUAGAGGAUGGGGUAGGCUUCUACAUGUCUGUACUGUUUAUUUGAAUAUGUUAUUUGUAUCUGAAAUUGACAUAAGUCCGAAUCUGUAUCUGACUGUAUAUGAGAUUUCUGUAUGUGUUACAUGUCUAUUUCUAUUGGGUUACACACUGAGUUUACAAAAAUUCACAUCUGUAUGUUUAUUUUGUUCAGGUAAUCUACAGACUUAGGCGGAUCAGUGUGACGGAGCCUCAUGGUGACCACGAGUCCGUAAAUUAUUUAAGAUUAAGGUUUUUAUUUAAUUUAAGAAUUAUUUCUGGAAGUUUUGUAAUAAUUGGACUCUCUGGAUUGUUUGACUUUUAUUUUGGUUUGGAGGCAUUUUAACUUUUAUCGUCACGUUUGACUAAAAUCACGAUUUUACAAAAAUAAAAGGAUUUUCCAAACACACGAACUAUAUUUCCAAAAUACAAUGUUUUCUAAAAACUUUAGCUAUAGUUCAUGUUUUGGAAAAAUGAAUUAGUUAAAUAAUGCUUUCAGUAACCGAUAUUAAACUUGGAUGAUUUAUCAAACGACUAAACAAAACUUUAUAAAAUUAACACUGUUUUAAAAACCCUUCCAUGUAACACUAUUGGAUUCGACCAUAACAUCUAAGCCAAGUCUGGGGUGUUACAUUUAGUGGUAUUAGAGAUAAGUUACAAAACUCGGGCUGUAAAUUUUGAGUUCCAAAAUUGUGUUUCAGAAAGAACUAGUUUUCAAAUGAUUUAGAUCACAUUGAGUAAGUUUGUGGUAUACCGAGUCUCUAGCGCCGAUCCUGUAAGUAUUUCUGAACUUAGAUAGAAUAUUCUGAAAACACUGUAGUUAGCACUUUCUGAAACUAUACUGAGUUAGUUAGAGACUAAAACCUUUAAAAUACUUUUGAACUUCUGAUAAAUUAAGUAUAAAAUAUUUGUUAAUAAAUACUGGAACUGAUACAUAAAAUUUUAUAAUGUAGAUAAAUUUGAAAUAUAUGAUGAACGCUCGUGAAACUUACUGUCGUGGUAUUCAUGAGUGCAGUAAGGGCCGUAAGGGGCUCGAGUUGAGUCUUUCUCUCUGGGUAGUAUACCAAACUUAGACACGAGUGAGACACUGGUUUCACCUGCUACUGAGACUGGGUAUCAAAGCUGCUCAACUGAGGAUGACGCACUGUCCAAGCUAUGUUGAGGGUGUUAGAGAGGGUCACUAGACCCUAUUUUGGAUCUGGAGACCGUGGGUUGGUAACUGAACGACUCCGGUCCAAUGGGGUUGAGCUGUUUAGGGGUGUCACUAGAGUCGCCCCUAUUGUGGCCGAGUAUUGGUUGGAGGCCACUGAGAGGAUCAUAAACGAUAUCGACUCUACUCUUAAGAAUAAACUUAAGGGUGCAGUCUCUUUCCUUCGUGACAAGGCAUAUCAGUGGUGGUUGUCAGUUGAGGAGGGUACUCAACUAGAUCGUCUGAACUGGAAUUAUUUUAAGACUACCUUCUAGGGAAAACAUGUGGGCACGAGUUAUGUUGAUGCUCGUAGAUGUGAGUUUAUGAAUCUCACGCAAGACGAUAAAUUUGUGGCCGAGUAUGAGGCUGAGUUUCAAAGGUUGAGCUACUACGCUCGAGACAUGGUGGCAUUUGAGUAUGAAAAAUGCGUCCUAUUUGAGGAUGGUUUAAGGGAUAGUUUGAGGGUUCUGAUUGUUCCAUAGAGGGAGCGUGAGUUUGCUAUUUUGGUGGAUAAUGCGAAAAUCACUGAAGAGGUUAAGUGCUUGGAGCGCCAGAAUAGGGAUUAUGAGAUAAGUAGGAAUAAAAGGGAUUUGGAGCCUUCUAGUUCUAUUCAGAUGCCUAAGAAAUGGGCCAGACCUGAUAGACCUGUUAAGGUGGUAAUUCCUGUCGCUCCUACUGGGAUUCAGCCAUGUGGUGAUUGUUGUAGGCGCCAUCCGGGCAAGUGUUGGAAGAGGUUAGGGGCUUGUCUGAGGUAUGGGUUUUUGCAGCAUCAGAUUAGAGAGUGUCCAUAAUGUGCUGAUCAAAUGCAUGCUUUAGGACCGAGUUCGGUACAGCCUCAGAGGGCAAUUCAGUAGCCACCUAGUGGCAGUGGACCGGCUAGGGGUGGUAAUGGUAUGGGCCAGGAUAGAGAGCAUCGGGCAGAUGUGCUAAUCAGACUGAGGCGAGACAGCCUACAUUAGUUUAUGUUGCUCGACACUAAGAGGAUAGAGACACUCCUGAUGUGAUCACGGGUACAUUAUUUAUUUUUUAUAUUCCUUAUACUGCUUUGAUAGACAUAGGUUCUACACAUUCCUAUGUAGCUAGUACUGUUUCUGAAAACUUGGAGGUUUCUAUUGAGAGUACUUCUAGCGAGAUUACCGUACUAAGUCCGUUAGGACAAUCUAUUCAGGUUAGUAGAUUAUAUAGAAAUGUUCCAUUAGAGGUACAAGGGGCUGUGUUUCUGGCAAAUUUAAUAGAGUUAUCGUUUAGGAAGUUCGACUUAAUUCUGGGAAUGUACUAGUUGGUUGAGCAUCUAGUUAGCUUGAAUUGUGCGACUAAAAGGGUUAUUCUAAGGACCGUGGAUGAUAAGGAAGUGGUUGUGAUCGGUGAGCUUCGAGAUUACUUGUCUAAUGUGAUCUCCGUUCUAGUGGCUGAGAAAUUGGUUCGAAAAGGGUGUCAGGCAUAUUUGGCUUACGUCAGUGUUUCAGUUUUUGAGGACUCUUCUGUCGAGUAUAUCAGAAUAGUGAGGGAAUUUCUGGAUGUCUUUCCUGAGGAGUUACUGGGUUUACCUCCAAAUUGAGAAGUUAAGUUUGGCAUUGAGAUUCUACUAGGUACAGUUUCGGUGUCUAUCGCUCCCUACCGAAUGUCACCGAAGGAGCUUACAGAGCUUAAGGCUCAACUUCAAGAGCUUCUGGACCGUGGUUUUAUCCGUCCUAGUGUGUCUCCGUGGGGAGCACCGGUUCUGUUUGUAAAUAAAAAGGAUGGUACCAUGAGGAUGUGCAUCAACUACCAACAGUUGAAUAAACUAACUGUGAAUAAUAAGUAUCCACUUUUGAGGAUCAACGACUUUUUUGAUCAGUUUUGAGGGGCUUUAGUGUUUUUGAAAAUAGAUCACCAUUCUGAGUAUCAUCAACUUAGAGUUAAGGAAGUGGAUGUUCAUAAGAUGACAUUUAGGACUCGUUAUGGGCACUACGAGUUCCUAGUUAUGCCCUUUGGUUUGACGAAUGCUCCGGAUGCAUUCAUGGAUUUGAUGAACAGAGUGUUUCAGCCGUAUCUGGAUUAGUUUGUCGUGGUCUUUAUUGAUGAUAUUCUGGUUUGUCUUUAUUGAUGAUAUUCUGGUUUACUCUAAGACUGAGGAUGAGCACGAUGAGCAUUUUUUCCAAAACAUGUCUGAAUUAUUCAUGCAACUAUAUUAUUCAUUGCAAAUGUCUGAAUUACCAAGUUUAGAGCUUUGUGGUUAGUACUUUGGAUGAUUAAAUAGCUAUUAUUUAAAAAAAAAUCAUCAAUGCAAUUAAUUGUUUUCAUGAUUUUAUUUUCAUUAUUAACAUUAGUUCUAAUUGUCUUCAUGGCUGCAGAUGUGUUUUGCUCAAAUGCAAAGCACCAGAAGUUUUAUCCGUUUCAAGGAGUUCACGAAGCAUUUGACAUUUCAUUCGUACUUCUUCAAUAAAGGAUGCUCAAAUUCUAAGUGUGAUUUGGUUUAAGUGCUGCUUUUGUUUAAGAUUUAUUUGGGUUUGUAUGAUUUAAAUUCACUAUUACUUAGGGGUUCAUCUAUGAUUUGUACGAGUGUGUAAGAUUUAAUUUUCAAUAUUAUUUUGGGUCAGAAAAUUAAUAAUUUUUUGAAUUAUUUCUAAUAUAAAUUAUUUUCUAUUUAAAUCAUUUCUGCAGUACUAAUUAAUUAUUUAAAUUAUUGUUUUAGGGUGUAUAUGAAUGAAAUUUUUGGAAGCCACCGAUUUUCUUUAAUGCUAAAUGCUUUUCUAUUGCAUAUAUUUAUUUGACAAGUAUAAGUAUAAAUAUUUAUAUUUAUAUGAAAUAAAACAUGAUCAAAAGAUAGAACAUGAUAUAAAAGAGUCACGGAAAUUAUACAAAUAUGAAGCUCAAUUUCAACUAUACAUAAAGUUAAUUCCAAUAUUUGGUCCCUUGCUAGAGUGAAAUCUUAGGCUCCAACUUAUUUUUUUGAAAAAGUUAAUAUUUUCUGGUGUUUGGAUGAAUUUGUGUAAAAUAUUUUCUUUUAUUUAGUAGGUUCUUUAAAAAUAUUUCAUGAAAGUCGUUUUCAAUUAAACAAACAUACAUUUGAGAUUUUUUUUUUAUUUUUUCAUUGUUUAAUUGAGUUUAUUUUAAAUAUUUUAAAUAUUUUAUUAUUAUCAAUAUAAUAAUAUUAAACUUGAUUUAUGUUAAUUUUUAUAUAAAAGUUAAAUUACCUAUUGAGGAGCUCUUUUCCGGAAAAUGACUUAUUUUCCGUUGACCUGUAAGUCAUUUUCUGUUGACCAAACUGUUUUCUAUGAAACAAACUCAGGAAAAUGUAGAAAAAUUUUUCUGUAAAACCUUUUACAUGUAAACAAACAUACCCUUAAUUUCAAAAUUAUAAAUAAAAUGCAUGGUCCAAUUAACAUACACAACCAUUGAAAAUUAUAAAUAAAUACUUUCAAAAUAUCCAAUAAGGUAUUUGCAAUCACUUAUGUCUAUUUAAAUUUAUUUUAUUAUAUUAUAUGAAUAACAUUCGUUUUUAAUAUUUUUUAAAAAAUAAUUAAUUUCUUAUAUGGCAUACACGUAGACUUCUACAUGGAUGUCAGAUCAAUAAGUUAACAUUCGUUAACUUUUCCCACAUAUAUAUUUUAUUUCUUUUUUUUUCUCAUUUUAUUUGACACGUUGUUACAUACCUAGUCAACUAUAAGCAGGAAAAAAAUACAAAGAAGUCAAACUGUAAUCCUCAAACUGCCAUUUCUCAGUCAUUCCUCAAAUUAAUAGUAUGGUUUGAGAAUUAAAUUGAUAGAAUUUAGAUUAAAUUUGUUGCAUUAUUUAGAAUUAGAGCUUAUUUGAUAAAAUGUGUAAGUGUUAAGGACUAUAUAUAUUAUUAUACCAAGUAAAAAAAGCCCACCCCACCAUUUCCAUUAACAUUUUAACUAGUGGGAGGACAAGUGACCAAAACAAAAACAAGUGAUAAAAUUGAAAAUUUUUAUAAUUUAAUAACCAAAAUAAAAAUAUACUAAUAAUUCGGUGACUGAUUAUAUAAUUAGCAUUCCCAUACAUAAAAUCUAUUUAUAAAGUAGUCUUCCCCUUAAAGUAGACAAAGCAAAAUGAUUACUUAAAAUAGAAAUUCUAAAUGCAUUAAGAAUAGAGAAACUUUGAAAAUUUAUUGUAUAAUUUAAUUAAGAAAUAAAAUAAAAGGGUUCAUUGAUGAAGUGUUAACAAAGUAUAAAGAAUUAUAUACCAAACUUGUUUGCAAAGAAAAGAAAAGAAUACUACUUUCAUUAAAUAAAAUCAAAUGCUUUUGCAUUUCUUAAUAGUUUGUUACAAUAUUAAAUAUGAAAGAGAAGAUAGUUGGCAUCUUUUCUUUUUUUAUUCAAUAUGAAUUGCAAUGCCUUCACCCAUCUUCACCCUUCUUUUCUUUCUUUACUUCCUACCUCUUUCUACCCUUCUCUUUUUCUCUCUUUCCUUUCUUCUUUCUUUUCUUCAUUCCUAUCAUCUCCUUCCUCUUUUUCAUUCCUCACAACCACACUAAUUAAUCGAGAUGAAGAACGAGAAUGAGAAUGUGAGUCACGAUGAGUCGGUGCUACAGAUUCAACAUCCUUUUCAUGAGGAACAUCCCUUGGUGUUAGUGGCAGAGCAAAGCAAUGAAGGUCUCAAAGCCCACUGCCAUGGAUGUGGGGAACUGCUUUCAGCUCCAUGCUUCACUUGUAUUCAUUGCAAUUAUCACCUUCACAAGCAAUGUGCAGAGGCACCCCUUUACCUUCCUAAUCACCCUCUCCAUCCUGAGCACUUAGAUGCAGGUCUUUUUCUUCGACAAAGGCCAGAUCCUAAACAUAUGGUAUAUGGUUGUGCAUUAUGCAAGGAAAAACGUAACAUGUUUUUUAUGAAUGUCGUGGUUGUUUCUUUUCCAUUGACAUCAAAUGUGCUCAAUUAUCUUCUUCAUUUAAGUUUAGCCAACUGUCCAAACAUGACAUCCACCAACAUCCAUUGACCUUCAUAGAAAGUCCCAUGGCCAUAGAUGUACCCAAAAGAUUCAGCUGCUCCUGGUGUCAUGAACCUUUGACAAAUGCUAUAUAUUUUUGUUUUGAGUGUCCAUUUUUUAUCCUUCAUAAGAAAUGUCUUGAUGAGUUACCUACUAAAAUUAAUCACACUUCCUAUCACAUACACCCUAUUUUUCUUAACCGUAGUGGCAGUGAUUGUUUGUGCAACCUAUGCCAAAAGCAACAUUCAGGACCUUUUUAUGGUUGUUCUCUUUGCCAUUUUAACAUCAAUAUUGGUUGUACUCUUCCAAUGUCCAUUGUUGAAGGUAAAAGCCGCCAUCAACACCCAUUCACAUUAUUUCGAAGACGAGGUUCAUUCAUUUGUGAUGCAUGUGGCAUCGAGGGAAAUUCUAUUUCUUAUAUAUGUUUGAAAUGUUACAUCGAAGUCCACAAGAAAUGCACUUCACUCCCACGUAUUAUCAAAUUUUCUCGACAUGAUCACUGUAUUUUUCACAAAUAUUUUCUUGAAGAUCUUACAAGGCAAGAUUGCAAGAUUUGUUUCAAAGAAGUGAGACUAGAGCAUGGGAGUUACUCUUGUGGGAAGCUAGGGUGCAAUUACGUUGUCCAUGUGAAUUGUGUCUUAGAGGAUGAUAAGUUGUACGAGGUAAUUGAGGACGAAAAGCAAUGUGAGGUAUGGUGCAUUCAGAUGUGGAAAGUGCAUAUUUGCUUUGGAUUUUGGAUGCUUAACAUUACCACGUUCAGCUCUUCACAAAAUUGAUGAACACAAGCUAAAGCUUACUUAUCAUGAUGAUAAGGAGCAAAGUUAUUGUGAUAUUUGUGAGCAAUAUAGAGAUCCAAGCCUUUGGUAUUAUUCUUGUUCAAUCUGUGAUAC
rnacentral:lncRNA from 1 species